rnacentral:lncRNA from 1 species
AUGAACACAGCGGUACUCAUAAACUCAUAACCUGAAUUGUUGCAACCAAUCCAAUAAGUUUCAGAGAACUGAAACCUACCAUUAACAAUACAGAUGUUCAGUCCAGUGGCACAGUUCGGUUCAGAAGAGCAGAAAAGCAAACAACAGUCAGAUCAUAAGCAACGCUGCUAAAUCUCAGCUUGCAAAAGCGGCACCAUAAGGUUCAUAAUUCUGUUCUUACAGCGAACGAAGCAUCGGUAAGCAUUCAGCAACUCCCAUCCAGCACUAGCACUACUUCUACUUGGCGAUAACCAGAGUGAACAACCACAUCUGGUACUAGAUACAGGCAACGGAAUCUAAGAGGAGGUGAACUUGGUGACGGCCUUGGUGCCCUCGGAGACGGCGUGCUUGGCGAGCUCCCCGGGGAGGACGAGGCGGACAGAGGUCUGGAUCUCCCGGGAGGUGAUGGUGGGCUUCUUGUUGUAGCGGGCGAGCUUGGCGGCCUCGCCGGCGAGCUUCUCGAAGAUGUCGUUGAUGAAGGAGUUCAUGAUGGACAUGGCCUUGGAGGAGAUGCCGAUGUCGGGGUGCACCUGCUUCAGCACCUUGAAGAUGUAGAUCUUGUAGGUCUCCACGCUCUUCUUGCCCUUCUUCCGGCCCCUCUUCUCGCCGCCGCCCUCCUUGGAGGCGGUCUUCUUGCCCGCCGGCAGCCGCUUCUCGGCCUUGGGCUUCUUCCCGGCAGGGGUCUUCUCGGCCUUCUCCGCCGCGGGCUCCUCCUCCGCGGGCUUCUUCGCCGCCGGCUUCUUCUCCGCCUUGGGGGCCAUCGCUGCUCCGGGAAGAUGGGUGGGGAUUGGGGGCUACGGUGGAGAGUUGUGUGCAGGGGAAGGUGGGUGGCGGAUAUGGAAUUGGGGAAAGACGGAGCACGGUGCUGGGUUUAUAGUGGGAGAGAGGUCACCGCUGAUUGGUGGAUUCGUGGGUGCCGCGGAUCCGUGACAUGGCAUCGUAUGAACCGUUCGUUCGAUAUUGCUUGCAACGAUCCAGAUUUGCUGCGGUGCGUCUAUGGCUGUGGUGGCAAAAACCGUGUACGGCAUUUCUUUUGUUUUGUUUUGAAAAAGACAAGCAAAGGAUAUCGGAACGGCAGAAUAGGAUUUCGGAGAAUGGAUGGGUCGGAUGAUAUAUUUUUCCAUAUACGCAUACUCAUGUUGUUUAGAUGUAUUUUUUAUUUGAAUUUUAUGCAUUUGAGUACUUUUUUAAAUAUAACUUUUAAAGUAUUUUAUCUAAAAUGACAAAAGGAGUUUGUGGCACAAAAUUGAAAAAACUGUGGGGACACCAUGAACUUGAGCUUCCCCCAUAAAAAGUAAAUACGAAGAAUCUACAUAGCUGUCCAUUUAAUUAUUGAAAAUUGUUACUAUUAAAACUGAAAGGAAAUGGAGUGCCAUGAACAAGAAGGCGAGAGAGGUGGAUAUUAAAAGCUCCCGCUCCUUAUAAACUUUAUACUUAGAAGAUGGUUAAUAGUAUAGUCAGCUGCGGAAAAUUGCUUAUGGAGCUCGGCUUUCAUGGAGUCCGGUUUCUAAAAAUUCAAAAUUGAACAAAACUCAUAUAUUUCCAAUUUCAAAAAAUACUGAAAAAUACGGACAUACAUGAAGGCAUAACACAUGUGUGUGUAAAUUUCAGGACGAAAUACGUUGAAAUGACGGUUGUGCAAAAAAAAUGGCUUUUCAACACAUGAUACUAUUCAUCUCAAAAGAUCGUGAAUUUGUUCUUUUUGCACAGAUCGCAUCUCAAGGUAUUUCAUUAUGAAGUUUUACACACAUACACAUCACAUCCUUGUGUGCUUGUAUAGAAAAUUUUAGAUUUUUCUGAAGCUAAAAUGUAUGAAAUUUGUUUUUUUUAAUUCGGCCUCCAUGAAGGCCGAGCUCCAAACUGUCAUUCUCAAUUAGUUGUUGGCUAUAUGAUAUUGCCACAUCAUCUAUAACAAACCUUAUAGCCGGCAAAAUAUAAUAGUCAGAUGUAAGGGCAUCUUCAGCACCGACCCUCAGACCGCUUGUAUACAUUCGGACCGCGCGGUUCAGACCAUGGAAGCCAUCCAACGCGGGCCUGUAUCGCUCCGCUGAGCGGUCUGACGUGUUUUCUCCCGCAUAUUGGAAACAAAGGGGGGUUGCGGGAGUCCGAAGAACAACCACGUAGGACCCCCCCCCACACACACACACCUCCCCCUUGCUUUGCAUCCGCCCCUCCACCUUCGCCGAUGUACGUCUCCGGCUGCCAAAGAGGCAUUGCCGGACUUCCACAACCGACACUGAUGUGCCUGCUCGCAUUUACGACAACGUUUCCACCCCGUUGUCGUUUGCACCCUGGUACACUUUGCCCCCCUAUCGACGACCUCCAUGACGGACACCAUGCUCGGCCCGGCAGGUGUUUGGUUAAAUGCCAUUGAGCUUAUUUUCGAACAUUAUGUCGUUUUUAGAGUAUGAAGGAUGGCGAGCUACUCGACCAUGGAGGAUGAGUUGUUGUGCGAUGCGUGGUUGGCCGUAUCCAUGGCUUUUGUAGGUAGGAGCAAAUGGGGGACCUUCUGGCAGCAAGUGCAUGAAUCAUUUCACGCACGAAAACAUAUUGCGCCCUACGACAUGUAUGCCAUUUAAUAACAUAAUGUGAGGUCAUUAUCGUAUCGCCGGUAUACUAUCCAGACCAGCGUCUCCAAGUUCUGUAACGUGGUUCGUCCGCUGGAGAUAAGGUGGUCACUGCACGCGGCUGUGGACGAGGUCACAAGUUUUGCUUCCUCUUGCUCAACUUGUUGAUGGAUUCGUCCACUCAAUGUUGGUCUACACAUUAUCACUACUAGGGAAAAGCUUAUAGGCAGACGCUUACUAGUAGCGAGGGUUUAUACCCCUCGCUACUGCUACUUACUAGUAGCGCGGGUUUUUGCCCAUCCCAACUACUAAGUUGAUAGUAGUAGCGCGGGUUUUUAUGAAGGAAAUAUGCCCUAGAGGCAAUAAUAAAUGUGCUAUUUUAUAUUUCCUUAUUCAUGAUAAAUGUUUAUUAUUCAUGCUAGAAUUGUAUUGACCGAAAACCUUAAUACAUGUGUGAAUACAUAGACAAAACACCGAGUCCCUAGUGAGCCUCUACUUGACUAGCUCGUUGAUUAGAGAUGGUUAAGGUUUUCUAACCAUGGACAUGAAUUGUCAUUUGAUAACGGGAUCACAUCAUUAGGAGAAUGAUGUGAUGGACAUGACCCAUCCGUUAGCUUAGCAUUUUGAUUGUUCAGUUUUAUUGCUUUCUUCAUGUCGAAUACAUAUUUCUUCGACUAUGAGAUUAUGCAACUCUCGGAUCCGGAGGAAUACCUUGUGUGCUAUCAAACUUCACAACAUAACUCAGUGAUUAUAAAGAUGCUCUACAGGUAUCUCCGAAGGUGUUUGUUGGGUUGGCAUAGAUCGAGAUUAGGACUUGUCACUCCGAGUAUCGGAGAGGUAUCUCUGGGCCCUCUCGGUAAUGCACAUCAUAAUAAGCCUUGCAAUCAAUGUGACUAAUGAGUUAGUUGCAGGAUAAUGUAUUACGGAAUGAGUAAAGAGACUUGCCGGUAACGAAAUUGAACUAGGUAUGAAGAUACCGACGAUUGAAUCUCGGGCAAGUAACAUACCGAUGACAAAGGGAAUAACGUAUGUUGUCAUUACGGUACGACCAAUAAAGAUCUUCGUAGAAUAUGCGGGAACCAAUAUGAGGAUCCAGGUUCCGCUGUUGUUUAUUGACGGGAGAGGUGUCUCGGUCAUGUCUACAUAGUUCUCGAACCCGUAGGGUCCGCACGCUUAACGUUCGAUGACGAUUUUGUAUUAUAUGAGUUAUGUGAUUUGGUGACCGGAUGUUGUUAGGAGUCCCAGAUGAGAUCACGGACAUGACGAGGAGCCUCAAAAUGGUCGAGAGGUAAAGAUUCAUAUAUUGGACGAUGAUAUUCGGACACCAAAAGUGUUCCGAGGGUACCGGGUACAUAUCAGGUCACCGGAAGGGGUUCCGGGCAUCCCCCCGGCAACUACACGGGCCUAAUGGGCCAAGAAGGGGACAGACCAACCCCUAGGGGGAUGGUGCGCCCCAUGUAGGCCAAAAUAAGGGGGAAGGAAAGAGAGGAAGAGAUAAAGGAAGGGGAGCAAUUCGGCCUCCCCCUUCCUUCUCUCCUCCCUCCUCCUUCCUUCCCCCUCCGGAUGAAUAUGGAAGGGGGAAGGCCGAAUUGGGAGGCGCCCAAGUAGGAUUCCUCCUACUUGGGGCGCCCCCUUGGCCGCCUCUCCUCCCCUCCAAACUGUGGAGGGGGGCGCCGCACACAGCUAACAAUCGUUGUUGUGUGUUCUAGCGGUGCCCCCUCCACAGUUUACUCCUCCGGUCAUAUUGUCGUAGUGCUUAGGCGAAGCCCUGCGCGGAUCACAGAUAAUCCACAAGUAUAGAGGAUUGCAAAAGUUUUCGAGGGUAGAGUAUUCAACCCAAAUUUAUUGAUUCGACACAAGGGGAGCCAAAGAAUAUUCUCAAGUAUUAACAAUUGAGUUGUCAAUUCAAUCGCACCUGAAAAGACUUAAUAUCGACAGCAAAGUAUUUAGUAGCAAAGUAAUAUGGAAGUAACGGUAACGGUGGCAAAAGUAAUAGUAUUAGUUUUGUAGUGAUUGUAACAGUGGCAACGGAAAAGUAACUAAGCAAAGAUCAAUAUGUGACAAGCUCAUAGGCAAUGGAUCAGUGAUGGAUAAUUAUGUCGGAUGCGAUUCCUCAUGCAACAGUUAUAACAUAGGGUGACAUAGAACUAGCUCCAGUUCGUCAAUGUAAUGUAGGCAUGUAUUCCGAAUAUAGUCAUACGUUCUUAUGGAAAAGAACUUGCAUGACAUCUUUUGUCUUACCCUCCCGUGGCAGCGGGUCCUAUUGGAAACUAAGGGAUAUUAAGGCCUCCUUUUAAUAGAGUACCGGACCAAAGCAUUAACACUUAGUUAAUACAUGAACUCCUCAAACUAUAGUCAUCACCUGGAGUGGUCCCGAUUAUUGUCACUUCGGGGCUACCGAAUCAUAACACAUAGUAGGUGACUAUUGACUUGCAAAAUAGGAUCAAGAACUCACAUAUAUUCAUGGAAACAUAAUAGGUUCAGAUCUGAAAUCAUGACACUCGGGCCGUAGUGACAAGCAUUAAGCAUAGCAAAGGCAUAGCAACAUCAAUCUCAGAACAUAAUGGAUACUAGGGAUCAAACCCUAACAAAACUAACUUGAUUACAUGAUAAAUCUCAUCCAACCCAUCACCGUCCAGCAAGCCUACGAUGGAAUUACUCACGCACGGCGGUGAGCAUCAUGAAAUUGGUGAUGGAGGAAGGUUGAUGAUGACGAUGGCGAUGGAUUCCCCUCUUCGGAGCCCCGAACGGACUCCAGAUCAGCCCUCCCAAGAGAGAUUAGGGCAUGACGGUGGCUCCGUAUCGUAAAACGCGAUGAAUCCUUCUCUUUGUUUUUUUCUCCCCGAACGUGAAUAUAUAGAGUUGGAGUUGAGGUCGAUGGAGCAUCAGGGGGCCCAUGAGGCAGCCCCCCCCCCCUCGUGGACAGGGUGUGGGCCCCCUGACGUUGAUUCUUUCGCCAGUAUUUUUUAUAUAUUCCAAAAUACUCUCUGUUGAUUUUCAGGUCAUUUCGAGAACUUUUAUUCCUGCACAAAAUAACACCAUGGCAAUUUUGCUGAAAAUAGCGCCAGUCUGGGUUAGUUCCAUUCAAAUCAUGCAAGUUAGAGUCCAAAACAAGGUCAAAAGUGUUUGAAAAAGUAGAUACGAUGGAGACGUAUCAACUCCCCAAAGCUUAAACCCUUGCUUGUCCUCAAGCAAUUCAGUUGACAAACUGAAAGUGAUAAAGAAAAACUUUCACAUACUCUAUUUCAUCUUGCUGUUGUAAAUAUGUAAAGCCAGCAUUCAAGUUUUCAACAAAGAUUAUGAACUAACCAUAUUCACAAUAAUAUUUAGGUCUCAUGUUUACUCAUAUCAAUGGCAUAAUCAACUAGCGAGCAAUAUUAAUAAAUCUCGGAUGACAACACUUUCUCAAAACAAUCAUAAUAUGAUAUAACAAGAUGGUAUCUCGCUAGCCCUUUCUCAGACCGCAAAACAUAAAUGCAGAGCACCUCUGAAGAUCAAGGACCGACUAAACAUUGUAAUUCAUGGUAAAAGAGAUCCAGACACAGUCAUACGCAAUGUAAACUAAUAGUAAUACAUGCAAAUGACAGCGGUGCUCUCCAACUGGUGCUUUUUAAUAAGAGUAUGACGACUCAACAUAAAAGUAAAUAGAUAGGCCCUUCGCAGAGGGAAACAGGGAUUUGUAAAGGUGCCAGAGCUCGAUUUUUGAAACAUAGAUGAAUAAUAUUUUGAGUGGUAUAGUUUCAUUGUCAACAUAACAACCGAGAGAUCUCGAUAUCUUCCAUGCUACACACAUUAUAGGCAGUUCCCAAACAAAAUGGUAAAGUUUAUACUCCAUCUACCACCAACAAACAUCAAUCCAUGGAUUGUCCGAAACAACGGGUGCCUCCAACUAACAAAAAUCCUGGGGGAGUUUUGUUUGCAAUUAUUUAAAUUUAAGCAUGGGACUGGGCAUCCCGAUUACCAGCCAUUUUCUCGUGAGUGAGGAACAGAGUCCACUCCUCUUGAGAAUAACCCGCCUAGCAUGGAAGAUAUAGACAACCCUAGUUGAUACAUGAGCUAUUCGAGCAUACAAAGCAGAAUUUCAUUUGAAGGUUUAGAGUUUGGCACAUACAAAUUUACUUGGAACGGCAGGUAGAUACCGCAUAUAGGAAGGUAUGGUGAACUCAUAUGGAAUAACUUUUGGGGUUUAUGGAAGUGGAUGCACAAGCAGUAUACCCGCUUAGUACAAGUGAAGGCUAGAAAGAGAUUGGGAAGCGACUAGCUACAGAGCGACAAUAGUCAUGAACAUGCAUUAAAAUUAAUCAACACUGAGUGCAAGCACGAGUAGGAUAUAAUUCACCAUGAACAUAAAUAUCGUGGAGGCUAUGUUGAUUUUGUUUCAACUACAUGCGUGAACAUGUGCCAAGUCAAGCCACUCGAAUCGCUCAAAGGAGGAUACCACCCUAUCAUACCACAUCACAACCAUUUUAAUAGCAUGUUGGCACACAAGGUAAACAAUUAUAAACUCAUAUCUAAUUAAGCAUGUCAUGAGCAACUAUAAUCUCUAAUUGUCAUUGCAAACAUGUUUCAUUCAUAAUAGGCUGAAUCAGGAACGACGAACUAAUCAUAUUUACAAAAACAAGAUAGGUCGAGUUCAUACCAACUUCUCUCAUCUCAAUCAGUUCAUCAUAUAUCGUCAUUAUUGCCUUUCACUUGCACGACCGAACGGUGUGGAUAAUAAUAAUAAUGCACAUGCAUUGGACUAAGAUGGAAUCUGCAAGCAUUCAACACAAGGGAGAAGACAAGGUAAUACGGGCUCUUUGUUGCAUAUGAGAGCCACUCAAUAUUUUCAUCAUGGUCUUCUCCUCUCGACCCCCAAAGAAAAGAAAAGAAACAAAACUAUUUACACGAGAAAGCUCCCAACAAGCAAAAGAAGAACGAGAAAUAUUUUUGGGUUUUCUUUUAAUUACUACUACUACAGACAUGGAAAGUAAACUAGCUAAAAGCUACAACUAUUUUUUUGGUUUUUCUUAAGGUUUUUCAAACACACAAGAAGAAUGCUGGAAAAUAAAAUAAACUAUCAUGGAUAGUACAAUGAAAAAGUAUGAGCACUAACAACUGGCAUGAGUGUGUGAACAUGAAUGUAAUGUCGGUGAGAAAUACGUACUCCCCCAAGCUUAGGCUUUUGGCCUAAGUUGGUCUAUGCCCAUGCAUAGCCUGGUGGAUAUCCAAAGUUGUAGCUGGGGUCGUACUGAGAUGCAGCGGGUGUUGCUUGAUGAGCUGCAUCUUGGAGGCGAGCUGCCUCCAUCCUCCUCUCAUACUCGUUCGCCUCCUCCCUGGUUAUAACAUAUCUCCCUUUUGUCUGAAAGUCAAAGAAAGCAGGAGCAGGGAGAGCAACAUGGACAGUGCGACGUCUAUCAAAGAUUAGUCGGUAUUGGAGGAACUGUUCGUUCCUCUCAACAAACUGAUGACGAACCAUAGCAUUAUAAUCUAGAUAAGCAGGAGGCAAUUCCAUAUCAUUCUCAUGUAUGGGUAUCUCAAGAUAAUUAGCUACACGGGUUGCAUAAAUUCCACCAAACAAGUCUCCACUUAAACUAUUAAGAUGCAACCUUCGUGCAAAAAUAGCCCCCAAGUUAUAUUGUCUAUCACCUAAUACCGCACUCUUGAGGACACUAAGAUUUGGAACGCACAUGUGGCAAGCCUCAUCUUUACCGUUAAUGCAUCUACCCACGAAGAGAGCAAAAAAAUGUAUGGCAGGAAAAUGAAUGCUCCCUAUGGUAGCUUGUGUGAUUUCUCUAGAUUCCCCCAUAGUGAUACUAGCAAGAAAGUCUUUGGCCCUGUUUGGUUCGGCUGUGGAUUUCUAAAAGCAGCUGUAAAAAAUCUGUUGUGGAAAAACAGCUGUGGAAAAUCUGAUGUGAAAAAGAUGUAGGUCAUUUGACAAACUAGGUGAUACAACAUUUUCAGAUUUUGGCCCGCAACGGAAUCAGAUUUUGGAAAGCACGUCCUGGGUUGCUUCCGCUUUUGGUUCAGAUUUUGACAGCGGAUUUCUGGAAUCGGAUUUUGUUGGGUUCGUCCUUUGGUUCAGAUUCUGCUACGCGGCAGCGGAAUCUGUCGAUAAAAGCUGAACCAAACAGGGCCUUUAUAUUCAGAUUUGCGAGGUUCACUAACAUUGCCCCAGUGCGGGAGUUUACAAGCAGUAUUAAAAUCUUCUAGGUCCAUGGUAUAUGAUUUACCAUAAAGAUCAAAUAAAACAGUGUGAGAAUUGCACGAGGAUGUAAAUUUAAACCUUCUCACAAAUGAAUCAGUUAGGUAACAGUAUUGCGGGCACUUAUCUGACACGAAGCCCUCAAGGUUAGCAUUACACACAUACGCGUCAAGUUCAUCCUUAAUACCCGCUCCGACCAUAAAAUCUUCUAACGUCAAGUUCAUAGUCUGACUCACGUAUCCCGAGCCUAGGUGCCUGCUUCCUUGAGGAACCACCUUGGUAAAUUUUCCUAAACAUAUUUCUUCCUCUGAAAAAUUUCUGAAAUUUUUAGUGAGUCAAAAUAAAAGUGAACCCAACUCAACAAGAUUGAUAGCAACUACUCCUACAAGUGCCUAGAGGCCAUAUCAUGCAUUAAAACUACUUUUGACCACAUAAAUUUGACUUGCAAGCUCAAGAACAGGGUCACCUAAGCAGCAAAAAUUUGCAAUAAAUAAAACACUAGAACAAAAACUAAUUGGACCAUUGGAGGAGUCACAUACCGAAGAACAAUCCCCCAAAGCAGUUUUGUGAAUGGAGUUUUGAGCAAGGAGAUCGAAAAUGGCAGCAAGAUGAGCUAGAACACGGGUUUGAGCUAUGGGAGAAUUUUUUCUGGAGGAAGACGAAGUGUGUGGGUGCAAGAAUAAGUGGAGGGGACCCACGUGGGGUCCAUGAGGCAGGGGGCGCGCCCCAGGGGGGUGGGCGCCCCCUCCACCCUCGUGGGCACAUGGUGGGUCCCCCUGGUGUGUUCUUAGUGCCAAAUAUUCUUAAAUAUUUUAGAAAAAAAUCAUAUAAAAUUUUCAGGGCAUUUGGAGAACUUAUAUUUUUGGGGUAUUUUUUAAUGCAAGGAUAAUUCAGAAAACAGACAAAAAAUACUAUUUUUGCUUUAUUUAAUCUAAAUAACAGAAAGUAAAAAGGGGGUACAGAGAGUUGUGCUUUCUAACUUCAUCCAUCUCAUGCUCAUCAAAAGGAAUCCACUAACAAGGUUGAUCAAGUCUUGUUAACAAACUCUUUCCGAAUCGCAUGAAACUGGAGAAUUUUCGAAUAACACUAGGUUACCUCAACGGGGAUGUGCACAUCCCCAACAAUAAGAAUAUCAUAUUUCUUCUUGACAGCAGGAAGAGGGAAUUCAAAACCUCCAAUAGUAAUUGUUGAAGUUUUUCCAGUAUAAUUUAUACUGUGGACUUGAGGUUGUUUCCUCGGAAAGUGUACCGUAUGCUCAUUACCAUUAACAUGAAAAGUGACAUUGUCUUUGUUGCAAUUAAUAACAGCCCCUGUAAUAUUCAAAAAGGGUCUACCAAGAAUAAUAGACAUACUAUCGUCCUCGGGAAUAUCAAGAAUAACAAAGUCCAUUAAAAUAGUAACGUUUGCUACCACAACAGGCACAUCCUCACAAAUACCGACAGGUAUAGCAGUUGAUCUAUCAGCCAUUUGCAAAGAUAUUUCAGUAGGUGUCAACUUAUUCAAAUCAAGUCUACAAUAUAAACAGAGAGGAAUAACACUAACACCGGCUCCAAGAUCACAUAAAACAGUUUUAACAUAGUUUCUUUUAAUGGAGCACGGUAUAGUUGGUACUCAUGGAUCUCCAAGUUUCUUUGGUAUUCCACCCUUAAAAGUAUAAUUAGCAAGCAUGGUGGAAAUUUCAGCUUCCGGUAUCUUUCUUUUAUUUGUAACAAUAUCUUUCAUGUACUUAGCAUAAGGAUUUAUUUUAAGCAUAUCAGUCAAACGCCUUCUCUUGGCGGGCGGCUUCACGCUCCCGGUCGGGUUUGCCGCGCGCUUCACGGCCUGGGCCCGUGGCACAACAUUGUCCUACCCAUGCGGCUGACUGGCUGCCGGUGCUCCCCGAGACGACCCAGCUCCUGCCGCACUGCCUCCUCCGCCCGGUGCUGCUACAUCAACAAUUCGCAUCAGCACUCCUAGUGCCGCCUCAUGACCGACAGUUCAAGAAACAAGGACGAAACUUACCCGCAUAGCAUCCCGCGCCGAUGUCGCCAGCCGCCUCCACCCCUCCGCUGUGGGCUGCGGGUUCCUCUGAGACGGCCCGCACCACUUGCUUCGGCGCCCGGUCGUAAGGAUGCCGGAUGGCAUUCAGAAGCACUUCCCGCGUCGCGUCAGGGCAAACAAGAAGAUGAGCAGUGGAAAAAUACGAAGACCAAGGACUCACCAUGGGUGCCGGGUUCGCCUGGCUGUACGGAGGUUUGCCGAACACCUAGUCGUCCCAUAGCCCGGCCUUGGAGAUAUCGUUGACCCAACGCGUGACCUGGUCCGCCGCCAACCGCAAAUUCAACAUGCGGUCAGGGUCUUGAAGCCCGGCCAUAUGACCAAUGAGGUGGCUACGCUGCUGCAGCGGCAGCACGCGGCGCUUGAUGAAGGCGAUGAUGAGAUCGGUGCCGAUGAGCCCCUCCCGCUCCCUCAUCUCCGACACCCGCGCGCACAGGUUUAGCACCUCCUGUGAUGGGUGCUUGGGGUAGUAACCCCACUUUUGCUUCGCUCGCGGCGGCGCGUCGACAAAGGGCGGCAGAUUGAUAUGGUCCACACCGAGGUUGCGAACGUAGAAGAAAGAAUUCUGCCACUUCUUGGCAGAAUCCUCCAGCGGCAUCUUGGGGCAGUCGGUGCCCGACUGCUACGUCUUGAGAUUGCGUUGGUUUUCCCCGAAGAGGAAGGGAUGAUGCAGCAGAGUAGCGUAAGUAUUUCCCUCAGUUUUUGAGAACCAAGAUAUCAAUCCAGUAGGAGGCCACGCUCAAGUCCCUCGUACCUGCACAAAGCGAUAGCUACUCGCAACCAACGCAAUUAGGGGUUGUCAAUCCCUUCACGGUCACUUACGAGAGUGAGAUCUGAUAGAUAUAAUAUUUCUGGUAUUUUUGGUAUAAAGAUGCAAAGUAAAAAGUAAAAGCAAAGUAAAAAAGCAAAGCAAGAUUAAAUGAUGGAGAUUGAUAUGAUGAGAAUAGACCCGGGGGCCACAGGUUUCACUAGUGGCUUCUCUCAAGAGCAUAAGUAUUCUACAGUGGGUGAACAAAUUACUGUUGAGCAAUUGAUAGAAUUGAGCAUAGUUAUGAGAAUAUCUAGGCAUGAUCAUGUAUAUAGGCAUCACGUCCGUGACAAGUAGAUCAAAACGAUUCUGCAUCUACUACUAUUACUCCACUCAUCGACUGCUAUCCAGCAUGCAUCUAGAGUAUUAAGUGAAAAACAGAGUAACGCCUUAAGCAAGAUGACAUGAUGUAGAGAGAUAAAUUCAUGCAAUAUGAAAUAAAACCCAUCUUGUUAUCCUCGAUGGCAACGAUACAAUACGUGCCUUGCUGCCCCUUCUGUCACUGGGUAAGGACACCGCAAGAUCGAACCCAAAGCUAAGCACUUCUCCCAUGGCAAGAACUACCAAUCUAGUUGGCCAAACCAAACGGAUAAUUCGAAGAGACUUGCAAAGAUAACCAAUCAUACAUAAAAGAAUUCAGAGAAGAUUCAAAUAUUAUUCAUAGAUAGACUUGAUCAUAAACCCACAAUUCAUCGGUCUCAACAAACACACCACAAAAAGAAGAUUACAUCGAAUAGAUAUCCACAAGAGAGGGGGAGAACUUUGUAUUGAGAUUCAAAGAGAGAGAAGAAGCCAUCUAGCUACUAACUAUGGACCCGAAGGUCUGAGGUAAACUACUCACACUUCAUCGGAGAGGCUAUGAUGAUGUAGAAGCCCUCUGUGAUGACGGCCCUCUUCCGGCGGAGCUCCGGAACAGGCCCCAAGAUGGGAUCUCGUGGAUACAGAAAGUUGCGGUGGUGGAAUUAGGUUUUUGGCUCAUGUUCUGAUUGUUUGGGGGUACGUGUGUAUAUAUAGGAGGAAUAAGUACGCCAGAGGAGCAACGAGGGGCCCAUGAGGCAGGGGGCGCGCCCUGGGGGGGGGGGCGCCCCCACCCUCAUGACUGCCUCUUUUGUUCCUUGGAGCAGGGUCCAAGUCUCCUGGAUCACGUUCGGUGAGUGAGGGAGUCCUGGAUUAAGGGGUGUCCGGAUAGCCGGACUAUACCUUCGGCCGGACUCCUGGACUAUGAAGAUACAAGAUUGAAGACUUCGUCCCGUGUCCGGAAGGGACUUUCCUUGGCAUGUAAGGCAAGCUUGGCAAUACGGAUAUGUAGAUCUCCUACCAUUGUAACCGACUCUGUGUAACCCUAGCCCUCUCCGGUGUCUAUAUAAACCGGAGGGUUUUAGUCCGUAGGACGAACAUACAAUCAUACCAUAGGCUAGCUUCUAGGGUUUAGCCUCCUUGAUCUCGUGGUAGAUCUACUCUUGUACUACCCAUAUCAUCAAUAUUAAUCAAGCAGGAGUAGGGUUUUACCUCCAUCGAGAGGGCCCGAACCUGGGUAAAAACAUCGUGUCCCUUGUCUCCUAUUACCAUCCGCCUAGACGCACAGUUCGGGACCCCCUACCCGAGAUCCGCUGGUUUUGACACCGACAUUGGUGCUUUCAUUGAGAGUUCCUCUGUGUCGUCACUUUUAGGCCCGAUGGCUUCUCCGAUCAUCAAUAGCGAUGCAAUCCAGGGUGAGAUCUUUCUGCCUGGCCAGAUCUUCGUAUUCGGCGGCUUUGCACUGCAGGCCAAUUCACUUGGUCAUCUGGAGCAGAUCGAAAGCUACGCCCCUGGCCAUCAGGUCAGAUUUGGAAGUUUGAGCUACACGGCCGACCUCCGCGGAGACUUGAUCUUCGACGGAUUUGAGCCACAGCCGAGCGCGCCGCACUGUCAUGAUGGGCAUGAUCUAGCUCUGCUGCCGAACAGUGCCCUGGAGGCUGCACCCGCAUCAGCUCCGACCCUUAAUUUGGAGCCAACUACGCUAAUCGAGGAUGGGUGGUUGGACACCGCCUCGGGGGCUGCAAUCUCCACGGCGAUCGAGCCGAACACCAGCCCUAUUCUCUGCGAAGCCCGUGACUCCAAGGAGCCGGACUCCUCUCCAGACUCCGAGCCCUCCGCGCCCCUACCGAUCGAACCCGAUUGGGCGCCGAUCAUGGAGUUCACCGCCGCGGACAUCUUUCAGCACUCGCCCUUCGGCGAUAUUCUGAAUUCACUAAAGUCUCUCUCUUUAUCAGGAGAGCCCUGGCCGGACUAUGGUCAGCAAGGUUGGGAUGCGGAUGAUGAAGAAAUUCAAAGCCCACCCACCACCCACUUCGUAGCCACUGUCGAUGAUUUAACCGACAUGCUCGACUUCGACUCCGAAGACAUCGACGGUAUGGGCGCCGAUGCAGGAGACGAUCAAGAACCAGCGCCUAUAGGGCACUGGAAAGCCACCUAGUCGUAUGAUAUAUACAUGGUGGACACCCCAAAAGAAGGCAAUGGCGAUGGAACAGCGGAGGAUGACCCCUCCAAGAAGCAGCCUAAGCGCCGGCGUCAACGACGCCGCUCUAAAUCCCGCCAAAGCAUAAACGGUGAUUCCGGCACGGGAGAUAAUAACACCCCGGACAGUGCCGAAGACAACCACCUCCAGCAAGAUUCAGCACAGGAGGAUGGAGAAGCCAGCCCUCAUGAGAGAGCGACAGACAGAGAGGUCGAGGACGAUAAUUAUAUGUGAGGGAGUCCUGGAUUAGGGGGUGUUCGGAUAGCCGGACGAUACCUUCAGCCGGACUCCUGGACUAUGAAGAUACAAGAUUGAAGACCCCGUCCCGUGUCCGGAAGGGACUUUCCUUGGCGUGGAAGGCAAGCUUGGCGAUAUGGAUAUGAAGAUCUCCUACCAUUGUAACCGACUCCAUGUAACCCUAACCUUAUCCGGUGUCUAUAUAAACCAGAGGGUUUUAGUCCGUAGGACAACAUACACAUCAACAAUCAUACCAUAGGCUAGCUUCUAGGGUUUAGCCUCCUCGAUCUCGUGGUAGAUCUACUCUUGUACUACCCAUAUCAUCAAUAUUAAUCAAGCAGGACAUAGGGUUUUACCUCCAUCGAGAGGGCCCGAACAUGGGUAAAACUUCGUGUCCCUUGCCUCAUGUUACCAUCCGGCCUAGACGCACAGUUUGGGACCCCCUACCCGAGAUCCGCCGGUUUUGACACCGACAUUGGUGCUUUCAUUGAGAGUUCCUCUAUGUCGUCGCCAUCAGGAAGGAUGCCUCACCCCGUCUUUAAAGACGGCACCGUUGCUAAGGGAGCUUUGGCUGUCGGCCAAACCCUCCGGUUAGGUGGCUUUCUUAUGACCGCCUGUUCGGCUUCUGCAUCGACGAUGACCUCUCGAGCCAUCGAAAACAAUCUUCAUGUCAACUCGGAGCUCGCCGAGCAGUUAGAUCCAAUAGAGCUUUCCUCCAUAAAUGAGCUCUUGGAUCGCUUCGCCGCCCUCGGAGUCGCUACGGAUUACGACCAGAUUGGGCCUAAAACUGAUCUGAGAGAGAUUAACUCUCCCCAAGUCACCCAUCACGUUGCCGUGGUAGAGGGACAGUGCGGCGAUCCUUCAUCUAUCUUAAGGACUAGCUACGUCCGGAUUCCCGAUCCCUCCAAGCCGGAUACCCGCGGAGGGGAGGAUAUCACUCAAGACCUGAACUUAGAGUCAGGCGAUGGGCUGGAUUCAUUAGACAACAUCCAGGAAUCCAAAUUUUCGAGUUCAGAAAUUCCUCGGCCUCUGAGCCUUAGAUGGGGUGAGGCUUCGAAUUUAAUUCCACCCACCCACCCCAACAUAAGCGAUCUAUCCAAAAUCAGGCAAGAACCCGAUGAAAUAGUACAUCAUUACUGGGCCAGAUUCCUCCUGGUUAAGAACAGGCUAAGGGACUGCCGCGAGGAAGACGCAAUCUCAAUCUUCUGCAAUAACUGCAUGGAUAAGGGAAUACUCAACGCCAUAAGUCACCGUGAUAUUACACGCUUCGCUGACUUGGCGUCCAUUGUAUGAAAGUACUGUGCGAUGGAAAGCGCCUAGAAAACCGAAAUAAAAUUUUGGGACAAUUCGGCCCUGAAUACAAACCCAGUCCGAAAUAAAAGGGUGCAUCGUCACCAGUCACCCGGGUCAAGCACUAAAAAGCAAAAACCCUCUACAGGGCAUGGAACCGUACUGGAAGGGUGGCUUAAUGGACCCUGUAAAAUUCACAGUACAGAGGACGCCACACCAACUCACAGCCUCAGAGCAUGUUGGAUACUCUGGCAGGUGGCCAAAAUUGGCGAAAAUCUCCUAAUUCCGGAGGCCACAGAAAGCCACCCCAGAGACACCAAUACGGCAUUAACAGUCUUCGAGACUUUCGCAUCAAAUAAUAUGCGAAAAAGGACACUCCGCAGCCUUGCCGAAGUCUACCAAGUAGCAACAAUAAACCCAUGGAGUGACACAUCCAUUACCUUUAACGCCAGUUAUGAACCUAAAUUCCGAACAGCCCGAGCACCAGCCGCAUUGGUCCUCAGUCCAAUAGUGGACAACUUUUGUCUUACCAAGGUACUCAUGGACGGUGGCAGCGGAUUGAACCUCAUUUACGAGGAGACUCUUCAAAAAAUGGAAAUAGACUAGAACCGCAUUGAGCGAAGAAGCACAACCUUUAGAGGAAUAAUCCCCAGUCGGGAAGCGCGCUGUACAGGAAAAAUCACACUAGAUGUGGUGUUCGGCACGCCGGAUAAUUACAGGUCCAAAGAGGUCUCCAGGUGGCUCCGUUCAGCAGCGGUUAUCACACUCUGCUAGGGCGGGAAGCAUUUAUAAUCUUCCAAGCAAUACCCCAUUAUGGGUACAUGAAGCUCAAGAUGCCCGGGCCUAAUGGGAUCAUCACUCUCGCUAGUGAUCCGGACAUAGCACUCCGCGCCGAAAACAAGACAGCCACACUGGCCCUCAAGGCACUAUCCGAAGCCCUAGCGGCUGAGGAGCUGACUGCGCUGCGCUCUACAGUGAAUAGGGACGAUGUGGUACUCGACAAAAGAUCCAAGUCCACCUCCUUUAAACCGGCGGACGAAAUAGUCAAAUUCCAAGUCCAUCCAACGGACCCCAAUAAAACAGCUUCCAUCGGGGCACAGUUAAACCCUGAUGUCGACGCCACAUUGCGAGAGUUCCUACGAGAGAACUAUGACAUUUUCGCCUGGCACCCUUCAGACAUGCCAGGAAUCCCACGCAGGCUGGCCGAGCAUAGCUUAAAUAUCCAAACAGGAUUCAAACCUGUCAAACAGGCUCUUCGGCGUUUUUCCGAACCUAAGGACAGGCCAUGGGAGAGGAGCUAGCAAAGCUAUUGGAGGCCGGAUUCAUCAGAGAUAUAAAACAUCCGGACUGGCUAGCAAACCUAGUGAUGGUACCAAAGAAGGACAAAUCCUAGCGCCUGUGUGUUGAUUUUAAAGACCUUAACAAGGCUUGCCCAAAGGAUCCCUUCCCCCUCCCCCGCAUCGAUCAAAUUAUCGACGCUACCGCAGGACACGAUUCGUUGUGUUUCCUCGACGCAUAUUCUGGCUACCAUCAAAUUAAGAUGGCAGAACCAGACCAAGCCGCAACAGCAUUUAUCACACCAUACGGGCCAUUCUGCUUCAACACGAUGCCCUUCGGGCUCAAAAACACCGGCGCAACAUAUCAGCGCAUGAUUCAGACAUGUCUGGCAAGCCAGAUCGGCAAAACAGUGGAGGCAUAUGUAGAUGACGUGGUCGUCAAAACAAGACAUGUUGAAUCUCUAGUAGACGACUUGAGGCUCACAUUUGAUAACCUCCGAACAUACGACAUCAAGCUCAACCCGGAAAAAUGCGUUUUCGGCGUUCCAGCCGGAAAGCUCUUGGGCUUCAUUGUAUCCAGUAGAGGAAUUGAAGCAAAUCCAGCCAAGAUCCGAGCUCUGUCGCAACUGGAUAUCCCAAAGGACCUCAAACAAAUACAAAAGUUAACCGGAUGUGUGGCGGCUCUAAGCCGCUUUAUCUCCCGCUUGGGAGAAAAGGCCCUACACCUUUACCGCCUCCUUCGGCACACCGAACACUUCAAAUGGACGGACGCAGCCACGGCCGGACUCGACGAAUUAAAAGCCAUACUGGCAACAAACCCAGUCCUGGUCGCGCCAAACAUUAGCGAACCAAUGCUAUUAUACAUUGCAACAACACAUCAGGUUGUAAGCGCAGUGCUCGUCGUCGAACGAGAAGCGGACGGACACAAAUUCCCCCUUCAAAAUCCGGUCUAUUAUGUGUCCACUGUCCUCACUCCCUGCAAAUCAUGGUACCCGCAUUAUCAAAAGAUUGCAUACGCAGUAUUCAUGGCAUCCCGGAAGCUACGACACUACUUUCAAGAGUGUUCAAUAACAGUAGCCUCGGAAGUACCACUUAACGAUAUUAUAAACAACUGUGACGCAACGGGCCGGAUUGCGAAAUGGGCCAUCGAGGUCCUCCCGUUCGACAUAACUUAUAAGCCACGACGAGCCAUCAAGUCACAAGUCUUAGCCAACUUCGUCGCAGAAUGGACGGAGGCCGAACUCCCUAAAGAGUACGGCACAUAUUCAAAUUGGAUCAUGCAUUUCGACGGCUCCAAGAUGUUGGCUGGACUGGGGGCUGGCGUCGUUUUGACGUCCCCCACAGGAGACACAGUUCAAUACGUACUACAGAUUAUGUACACGGACUCCAACAAUGCAGCCAAAUAUGAGGCCUUUUACAUGGUCUCCGGAUGGCAGUAUCCAUGGGCAUCCAACGCCUAGAGGUGCGCGGGGACUCGAACCUCGCAAUAUCCCAAAUAAAUGGAGACUUCGAUGCUAAGGAUCCAAAAAUGGCAGCUUACCGCAACGCCAUCCUAAAAAUGUCAGCUCGGUUCGAGGGGCUUGAAUUUCACCAUAUAGCCCGGGAAAAUAAUCAGGCGGCAGAUGUCCUGGCACGCAUCGGCGCAAAACGUGAUGUAGUCCCCCCAACAUCUUCUUGGAAAGGCUGUUCAAGCCAUCCGUAGCAUGGGAAGGGGAGCCGAACAAUAACAGCCCGGACCCAACCGCACUGCCCGACACCGAACAUUCUGACACAAUCGGAGGCUCUACCAAUGAAAUAACACCUUCAGCCCACGUAAUAAUGGCCGUCAUCGCCCCGUGGACAGAACCAUUCCUCGCCUACCUUACUAGGCAGGAACUCUCCGAGGACCAAAAUGAGGCACGCCGCAUAGUGCGGCGAUCCAAAGCCUACAGAGUCCACGAGGGAUAGCUUUAUAAGAAAAGCACUACCGGAGUCCUUCAAAGGUGCAUCUCCGAAGAGGAGGGGUGGAAUCUCCUGGCUGAAAUUCAUGCCGGACUCGGCGGUCAUCACGCUGCAGCCCGGUCCCUUGUAAGCAAGGCCUUCCGUACAGGCUUUUAUUGGCCGACGGCCCAGGCAGACGCUCAGGACUUAGUCCAACGAUGCACCGGUUGCCAGCUCUUUGCAAACCAAACCCAUAUGCCACCCACCGCCCUCCAAACCAUCCCCAUUACUUGGCCCUUUGCGGUCUGGGGGCUUGACAUGGUUGGACCCCUUAAAGGCGGAACCCACAAGCAAAAUACUUACUGGUCAUGGUGGAUAAGUUCACCAAAUGGAUAGAAGCCAAGCCUGUUAAGACGGCCAAAUCCGGACCUGUGAUAGACUUUAUAUCCGGGGUUGUACACCGUUACGGCAUCCCCCACAACAUCAUCACUGAUAAUGGCAUGAACUUCACGGCCGACGAGGUAAAACUCUGGUGCAAAAACAUGGGCAUCAAGCUCGAUUAUGCUUCCGUCUAUCACCCACAAACUAAUGGCCAGGUCAAACGUGCAAAUGGUCUUAUCAUGAGCGGCAUCAAACCCAGAUUAGUGCGGUCCCUCAAGGAAUCUAACACGCACUGGGUAGAGGAGCUCGACUCCAUACUCUGGGGGCUGCGGACCACGCCGAAUCGCACCACCGAAUACACACCAUUCUUUAUGGUGUACGAUGCAGAGGCAGUUUUGCCUUGCGACAUAAUUCAUGACUCACCUCGAGUGCGCAUGUACGAAGAAAGAGAAGCCGAGCUUGAUCGGCAGGACAGCUUGGACGCAUUGGAGGAGGAGCGUGACGUGGCAAAAGCCCGUUCCGCAUUCUAUCAACAGCAGGCUCGAAGAUACCAAAGCAGAGAAGUACGGGCCAAAAAUUACAACGUUGGCGAAUUAGUUCUACGACUACCGGACAAGAAAAAGGACAAACUCAAGCCCAAGUGGGAAGGUCCCUUCAUAAUCGACCAAGUCCUGACUGGUGGAGCGUACCGCCUGCGGGAUGCAUCGGAUAACCGACUCGAGCCAAACCCAUGGAACGCAGCCCGUCUCCGAAGAUUCUAUGCCUAGCGUCGAACUCUGUGUUCGUCUCCUUCCUCUGUCCAUUUUGUUAUAUUUUCUGUCUUACAUUUCUCUUCUCUCUCUCUCUCUCUCUCUCUCUCUCUCUCUCUCUCUCUCUCUCUCAGAGCCUCUAAAGGCUCAUAAAAUGACGCACUAUCCGCGCUCAUUAAACCUGGGGGCUUCUUUAAACAGAAGCUUAUUCAUGCGGGCUUCAUGCCCAACACAUGUGUCACACUUCCGCAUGUACCUUUUAUUCACCAUUAUAUGCAUCGAUAUGACUUAAGUUUUGGCCAAGCUGGGUUGCCUGGCUCCUGUGCUUACCCCUACGUUCCCGAUUAUUCGGCUAGGUGGUAAAGGGAGCACCUCUGCGAUUGUUACUGCCGGGUCAGCCGGACGUGUACCUUAGACUGGGUGAAGCCGAAAGCUAGCGUUCUUAAGGGAAUAUUCGGUCGGUGAACUAAAGAUGAUCUUUUUUUAUCUUUAUCUAUACACCCCUAGAUGUUUUUCCUGCAUUUCUUUUCGCAGCAUGGACAUGCACCUUAGGGCAUGCCUCCCAGGGAAAGGAACCCCUAACGGAACUAUUCUCCCUGGAAGAUGUUUCUUACUAACCAUGUAAUAUAACAUACCUAGUCGGGCACUUGUCUGUUCACGCCCUAAUGACCCCUACGCCUGGUAUCCAUGCAUUCCCCGGUUCCUAUAUAACUGCAUGGGAAUUCGGACACACUCCAGACCGUCAGGUCCCGAGGCUGAAGCGAAAAGGCCGGCCAUGACAAAUGAUCUACAAUCCGGCUAGAAGGCAUUAUAAAUGUCAAUUAAAUUACAUAGUCAUUUUGACUGAUUGUAUUCCUCUUCAAUACCAUCUAACAGGAUGUCUAAUUUACAGUCCUGCUGGGAAUACUUUGCGGCCAACUAUACUUGGCUGUAUACUAAGCUUACAGGGAUCUCCUUCCCAUCAGGCCCUACAGGACCGACCUCGGCCAUGUGGUUGGGGUCAGCCUUUGCGUACCGCAUCUUCACCAUGGCCCAGGCCUCCCUAGCGCCUUGACGGCAGGCUGAUAUCUUCCACAAUCGGAAGCGCCGCCGUGCUCCCUUUAGCUUCUCCGCAAGCUCUCCAAGACCUUCGGGCAUGGAGACGGAUGGCCACAGGGCCUGGGCGACGCCUCGCAUCGCCUGCCGAACUCGAUUGAGCAGUUGCGAGAGCUCGGGAAGAAGGUCACCCGUAGAACCGGGCAUCUCCUCUGCAGGACGACCUGUUAGCACACCUACAGACAUUGCUUUGUUAGUCGACUUCCCCGCCGAACUUUCUUUCAAAAGGUUCGUUCAAGCACUUACUAAAUAUGCCGCGCCGAAGCCGCUAAUUCUCCUUCACGGAGUCUGACAGCUGGGCACGAACAUCUUUCAGCUCGACGCCUAGCUUGGUGUUGGCAUCUUGGAGAUUGUUCUUCUCCCCCAUCACCUUUAUCAACACCCUCUCACCAGCCUUUAGCUGGCGUAGGAGGUGUUGCCUUUCCGGGUUCAAUCUGGUGCCAUCUGCAAUUUCAUUUGUCAGAUUCGCACCAAAGCCGUGCUUCGCAAAAUACUUAUCUUUCAAAGUAUAUAUUACCAGAGGGGGUCUCCUUAGGCUCCCCUGCCGCGGCUAGUGUGGCCUCCAGUUGGGCUUUGCACUCUUCUAGCUCCUUGGACAGUAGGGAAUUCUUUUCUGUAAGAACCUGCAUACCAAAUGAUCCUUAAAUCAGUUAUUCUAACUGUUUCAAGUCUCGGGGGCUACUGCUAUAUAUAUAAUUACCAAAAUUUUCUUACUCGUAUGUCUUUUACAUAUUGCUCCGUGGCUCUAGCUAGACCAUUUUGAGCGGCACGGAGGUGUGCAUCUCCCGAGUUGAAGGCAUCUAACGCCCCUUGGGAGAAACAAGCGUCGCGAAGAAUUGUCCGGCGACGCCUGUGGUUCAUGGCACUCUCCACCUCAGAGUUGGUGGCAGACAACCCGUCCACAUCCUCCGUCGGAGGAGCGUCUGGCGCGCGCCUUGUGUUCGCCUCAGCCUCCGGACCAGGCUUUGGAGCCUGGCUGGUGGAGGCGCGAUUGGCAGCCUCUUCGGGUAUAGUCCGGCGAGGUCUCUUUGUCCUGAAGAGAGCACGAGUGUCAAUGUGCCUCGAAGGUAUAACACCUGGGAUAAGGGGGGCGCGCCAUACCUUUGUGCUGACGCCUCGGUCCGGACUGCACUUCUUUUCGGCCCACGGGGCCCUACGGCCCCUCGUUGACUUGUCGCCGCAGGUUCGGCCUUCCGCCUUAAAAACCUCCCCUGCAAAGUUUGUUGCAAUCAGGAAACUGAACACGAGUGGAGGACACCUAUUCGGGGUACUGGGACUUCGAUCUCAGGUACCUGGGGCAUCAGGAUUAGCCUUGGGUAAUCGGCCAUAAUGGCCACCAAGGUGUUGUCCUCGCUCAAUUGAUGGAACACUCCAUCAAUCAGCUCCACAGAUAUGUCCGGAUCCUCUUGAGAGGCCGGGUCGAGGGACCGUCCUGGGUCCUCGGGUUGUGGAGGAGGGCUGCUUAUUUCCCUAAUAGCCCGGCGCAGUUCCUGUGUUAAAGUCAUCAGACUGAAUAUUUAACAAUGGGAAUACAAAACAGAUGGACAAGUAAAUACGGCCGCUUACCCAGCUCGGGGGAUUGUGCAUGGAGAAUCCACCCUGAGGGUUGACACGGAGAAAUUCCUCCUCUUCUCCCUUAUACAAAGUGGACAAGAUCUUUAGUAGAGCGGCAGCUGAAUCCGGCCCCUUACGACCGUAGCGGGUGUCGUCGUCGUCCCCGUUGAAGUCCCACAUGGGUUGGCUUCUAUACUGAAGUGGCUGCACCCCCCGCAUAAUGCAUUCGGCCAUAACCCUGAUCAUGGUUAGUCCGAAAUGGGCUAACAAUCUUAUUCGGCCCAUCAGGUAAAUGAUGUCCCUGUCACUUUCCCUCUGAGGGCUCCGUAGGCGCCAGCUUAGGUGCUUCUUUAAGGGAGCACUGUUGAAUUCAGGGAGGCCGAUCCGGACAUGAUUCGGCAGCGGUACGUCUUCUAUAUAGAACCAUUCCGAGGGCCAGUCUUCGGAUGCCUUCUUUGGGGUUCCGGACAGAUAUCCGGUCCCGGCGAUGCGCCACACUUCGGCUCCGCCCACUUGAUACAUUGACCCCUUCUUGGAACGGGGCACGAGGCAAAAUAGCUCCUUCCACAGUCCGAAAUAAGCUUCAACACUCAAGAACAGCUCGCAGAGGGCUACAAAGCCCGCGAUAUGCAAUACUGAGGCAGGCGUGAGAUGAUGUAGCUGGAGGCCAUAGAACUCCAGCAACCCCCGGAGAAAUGGGUGGAUUGGAAAUCCGAGCCCCCUUAUUAAGUAAGGGACAAGGCACACCCGCUCUCCUUUGGAGGGAUUAGGGGCAUUCUCUGCUUGCUCUCCGCCGUUGUAGACGGCAAGACCGGCUCGAACCAGGACCAUAUAGGCCGGGGGGAGAAAUCCCUUGGUCUAGAGCGUCACUAGCUCGCUAUGCGGGAUGGAACAUCUCUCCCAAUAUCCAGGCUUAGGGCUGGAAGGGCGAGGGGAGGAGUUGCGACGGCUGGCCAUGGUGGAAUGGACCUUUGUCGGAUGCGCUCUGACGAACACUCGCGGAGGGGAGAAGGUGUGGAUUGGAUCUAAAUCCUCGUCCCCUUAAAUAGGGCAGCUCAUUUACGCGGCUAGGGGUGUGAAUGUAAAAACACUCAGACUUUUCAUAUUCGUUUGACACGUGGGAAGCGACCAUUAUUGGGCGUAGAAGCCAAGGAGCGCAACAUCUACAAGAAAAUGGACUUUAUUCAAAUAGGUACACGAAAUUUGGAGGAGAACCCGCCUUGCAAUGCCGAAGAGAAUCUGCGCGCCAGACUCAUCGUCAUUGAAGCCUGGUUCGGGGGCUACUGAGGGAAUCCUGGAUUAGGGGUUAUUCGGAUAGCCAGACUAUACCUUCAGCUGGACUCCUGGACUAUGAAGAUACAAGAUUGAAGACUCCGUCCCGUGUCCGGAAGGGACUUUCCUUGGCGUGGAAGGCAAGCUUGGCAAUACGGAUAUGAAGAUCUCCUACCAUUGUAACCGACUCCAUGUAACCCUAACCCUAUCCGGUGUCUAUAUAAACCGGAGGGUUUUAGUCCGUAGCACAACAUACACAUCAACAAUCAUACCAUAGGCUAGCUUCUAGGGUUUAGCCUCCUCAAUCUCGUGGUAGACCUACUCUUGUACUACCCAUAUCAUCAAUAUUAAUCAAGCAGGACAUAGGGUUUUACCUCCAUCGAGAGGGCCCGAACCUGGGUAAAACUUCGUGUCCCUUGCCUCCUGUUACCAUCCGGCCUAGACGCAUAGUUCGGGACCCCCUACCCGAGAUCCGCCGGUUUUGACACCGACAAUAUGCCUCCCUCCGAAGACGAGGCAAGCCUCGACGACGACGAAUUUGUCAUGCCGGAGGAUCCCGUCGAACAAGAGCAUUUCAAACGCAGGCUUAUGGCCACGACGAGCAGCCUCAAGAAAAAACAGCGACAACUUAGAGCUGAUCAAGAUUUGCUAGCCGACAGAUGGACUGAAGUCCUUGCGGCCGAAGAUUAUGAACUCGAAUGCCCCUCCAAGAGCUACCCAAAGCGCAGGUUGCUACCCCGAUUAGAGGAGGAAGCACCUAAACCACAUCACCAGCGCAUGAUGCGGCCGACCGGCCACCCCGUGGCCGCGACAGAGAGGCCUCUCGGCCCUCCACUCAAGCCGCACCCCGGCGCCGCUCAAAAAAUACCAAGGCACGGGAAAAUGCGCCAGACGUGCGAGAUAUAUUGGAGGACAAGGCAAGGCAAACAAGAUCGAUCUAUGGAUCACGUGGGUGCCCCACGACACGAGACGGUAAUCGUCACUCCGGAUACAGUAAAUCUGGCCGGGCCGAACACAGUAGACAAAGCUCGUUUGAGCUGCAUCGUGAUAUAGCCCAAUAUAGAGGCGUCGCACGCCCACUAUGCUUCACAGAUGAAGUAAUGGAUCAUCAAAUCCCCGAGGGUUUCAAACCCAUGAACAUCGAAUCAUACGAUGGCAUAACAGAUCCUGCAGUAUGGAUCAAGGACUAUCUCCUUCAUAUCCACAUGGCCCGCGGUGAUGACCUACACGCCAUCAAAUACCUCCCACUCAAGCUUAAAGGACCAGCUCGGCAUUGGCUUAACAGCUUGCCAGCAGAAUCGAUUGGUUGUUGGGAGGACCUGGAAACCGCAUUCCUCGACAAUUUCCAGGGCACUUAUGUGCGACCACCAGACGCUAAUGACCUUAGCCACAUAAUUCAGCAGCCAGAGGAAUCGGCCAGACAAUUCUGGACACGGUUCCUAACCAAGAAAAAUCAAAUCGUCGACUGUCCGGAUGCAGAGGCCCUAGCAGCCUUCAAGCAUAACAUCCGCGACGAGUGGCUUGCACGGCACCUAGGACAGGAAAAGCCGAAAUCAAUGGUAGCCCUCACCACACUUAUGACCCGCUUUUGUGCGGGAGAAGACAGCUAGCUAGCUCAUAGCAAUAACAUGACUAAGAGCCCUGGUAAUUCAGAUACCAAGGACAGCAGUGGCAGGUUGCGUCGCAACAAGCAAAAGCGCCGCAUUAACAGCGACAAUACUGAGGAUACGGCAGUUAAUGCCGGAUUAAGGACAGCAGUGGCAGGUUGCGUCGCAACAAGCAAAAGCGCCGCAUUAACGGCGACAAUACUGAGGAUACGGCAGUUAAUGCCGGAUUCAGAGGCUCUAAACCCAGUCAGCGGAAAAGGCCAUUCAAAAGAAAUACUCCGGGCCCGUCCAGUUUGGACCAAAUACUCGACCGCUCAUGCCAGAUACAUGGCACCCCCGAAAAACCAGCCAAUCACACCAAUAGGGAUUGUUGGGUGUUCAAGCAGGCAGGCAAGUUCAAUGCCGAAAGCAGAGACAAGGGGCUGCAUAGCGAUGACGAGGAGGAGCCCCGGCCGCCGAACAAUAGUGGACAGAAAGGUUUUCCCCCACAAGUGCGGAUGGUGAACAUGAUAUACGCAACCCACGUCCCCAAGAGGGAGCGGAAGCAUGCGCUAAGGGACGUAUACGCGAUGGAGCCAGUCGCCCCAAAGUUCAACCCAUGGUCUUCCUGCCCGAUCACUUUUGAUCGAAGGGACCACCCCACUAGCAUCCGUCAUGGCGGAUUCGCCGCAUUGGUUCUAGACCCAAUUAUUGAUGGAUUUCACCUCACUAGAGUCCUUAUGGACGGCGGCAGCAGCCUGAACCUGCUUUACCAGGAUACAGUGCGGAAAAUGGGCAUCGAUCCCUCAAGGAUUAAACCCACUAAAAUGACCUUUAAAGGCGUCAUACCAGGUGUAGAGGCCAACUGUACAGGCUCAGUUACACUUGAAGUGGUCUUCGGAUCUCCGGAUAAUUUCCGAAGCGAGGAGUUAAUCUUCAACAUAGUCCCGUUCCGCAGUGGCUAUCACGCACUGCUCGGGUGAACCGCAUUUGCCAAGUUCAAUGCGGUGCCGCACUACGCAUACCUCAAGCUCAAGAUGCUAGGCCCUCGAGGAGUCAUCACGGUCAAUGGAAACACCGAACUCUCUCUCCGAACGGAGGAGCAUAUGGCGGCUAUCGUAGCAGAAGUACAAAACAGCCUCUCAAGGCAAUUCUCCAGUCCGGCCAUUAAACGUCUGGACACCGUCAAGCAUGCCCGGAGUAACCUACAACAAGACCACCUGGCACGUUCCGAGCAAGCGUAGCAAUGCGGCCCCAACCCCAGCCCUCGCGAACUUGCGAAACCAGUGUUGCGCGUACAUAACUAUGUUGUGGAAAUACCAUGGGCACAGGGGGAGGGGCACCAUCACGGCAUGCCCGCAACGCGGCUUAAACCGCACUAGGGACUGCCGAUUUCUUAUUUUUCUCUUAUUUUCAGGACUCCAUUCUUCGGAAGGCCUGUCCGGCAGUACAAUUGCCGCACAAAGAUAUAACCAGGGAAGCAGAAAGCUGCGCCGCACUAUGGAAUUCUAAGGUGGUCUCUAUAACGAGCAGUAUACCUGUUUCACAUACCAUUCCGCAGCUCACCCCUGGAAAGGACAUGUUAAAUAGUCCCAUCUUUUGCUUAUUGCACUAUUUGUAUCGUUCUGCUUUGAUCGCAGCUUCUUUAAAUAAACAAUGCAUAGCUUCCAUCUAUUAUUGCAUUACUCUUUUUUACGAAUAUAUGUUCAUUAAUGACAUGUUGCACCCGUACACUUUGGUACGACCAAUACGCCAGGGGCUUAAGUACUCCACAAUACGGUGUGAGAAGUCCAAACACUUUCACAAGUGCGGCACCCCGAACUUAUAGCAUUAUAUGCAUCGGCUCCGAAUCAUGUCUUGGGUCAAUAGUUGGGUUUGCCCGGCUCCUAUGUUUUGGUACCUUACGUUCCGUUAUAUCGGCUAAGGUAGCACUAGGAGAACUACUACGAUUGUGCCCCAGUUGAGCUGGGCUAAGCACCUCAGUAGAGAAAGCUAAAACUGACCGUCAUGAUGAGGCGAGAGUUGGUCGCUGUUCGAGAGGUUUUCGAGUCCCUAAAGACUUAUGCCGCUUAGAGCGAGGAGUCGGCUUUGUCCGGCCUAGGCGUGGAUAGCGCCCCGAACUCGGUCUUCUGAACACUAGGGGCUUCACCGAAAUUUAAAAUUAUAGAAUUCUAUGGCUAAGUGAGAGUGUUCAAGCAUUAUAGUCCGAUUGCCUUGUUCGUUGUGUUGAGCGCCUCCCUCGAAGGACCCAAGAAUGGGAAAAAGAGCGCUCAUGUUUAUCCCGAACACCCCAGCACUCGUGGCAUGGGGGCAGAAGCCGACGACUCGCCAUCUCUCAAAUUUGAUAAACGGCCGCACAAAAGGUAAUAUUUUAAAUUCAAAAGCGUUGCUUAGCGCAUAUGGACAAGUUUUCAGCGUACAGGAUCACAAAUGCGAGUUUACUCAAAAAUUACAUCUUUGGAGCAUUCAUCCGCUAUAAGGCGGGCACCCUUCAGGACGCCCUCAUAAUACGCCUCUGGGAUGCGAUGCUCCUUGCCCGGCGGCGGCCCGUCCUUCACCAGCUUCUCCGCAUCCAUCUUGCCCCAGUGCACUUUAGCACGGGCAAUCGCCGUACGGGCACCUUCGAUGCAGACGGAGUGCUUGAUUACUUCAAGCCGUGGACAGGCAUCCACCAACCGCCUCACCAGCCUGAAGUAGCUCCCAGGCAGAGCCUCUCCAGGCCAAAGCCGAACUAUGAGGCCCUUUAUGGCCUGUUUGGCCACCUUGUGGAGCUCGACCAUUUGCUUCAGCUGGUCGCUCAAAGACACCAGGUGUCCGGCCUCAGCAUACUGAGACCAGAACACCUUCUCUGUCGAGCUCCCCUCCUUGGAUCGGUAGUAGGCGGCGGCAUCAGACGCACUGCGGGGCAAAUCUGCGAAUGCUCCUGGCGAGCUCCGAACUCGGGUAAGUAACAAGUAAUUCACUUUCAUGUGCUUGCUUUGCAUAAUGAAUGCCUUACCCGCCGCUAUCUUCUUCAUCGCUUCAAUUUCUUGGAGGGCUUUCUGGGCUUCGGCCUUGGCAGACUUCGCGCUUUCGAGGGCUGCCGCAAGCUCGGACGCUUGCAUCUUUGAGUCAAGCUCCAAACUCUCGUGUUUUUUCACGAGAGCCUGGAGCUCUUUCUGCACCUCCUCCACCCGUGCCUCAUGCUUCCCUCUCUCUGUGUGCUCCGCGGCUGCUCUGUUUUCGGCCUCGGACAACGCUUUCUUAAGGGUUGCCACCUCGGUCGUGGCCCCUAUAAUAGCACGUUGAUCCUAUCAUUUUUUGCAACCACAUCUUCUCUAUAUACUUGCGCAAGGUAUUCCUUACCUUCCUUCUCCUCGAGUUGCCUCUUGGCAUGGUCGAGCUCGUUCUCGGACCGCGCGAGGUUUUGCUUCAGCGUAUCCACCUCCGCAGUCAGUGCGGCGGAGGCCAGCAGCGAAGCCUGCAUACGCAUAUUGACUUGAUUAUGUUAGACUCCUGCGAAUGUUAUUAGAUCCUCUAUUCGGCUUUUCUUUCCGAACGCUGAACAGAGCAUCAGGGGCUACUGUCUAUGCGGUAAUAUUUUUACAUAUUCUUUACUUACCUCAAAGCCUGUUAGAAGGCUGGCACAGGCUUCAAUCAGUCCGCUCUUGGCGGACUGAACCUUCUGGAUCACCGCACUCAUAAUAAUGUGGUGCUCCUCGUCGAUGGAGGCGCCGUUAAGCACCUCCAGCAAAUUGUCCGGUGCCUCCGGUUGGACGGAGGUCACCAGCUCGGUAGGCUUGCUCCUCUUGGAAGGAGGCUGCCUACCGGAGUCCGGAAUCGCUGAAGGUUCCGGCGCGGUGUCCGGCUCAAGGCCGGACUUGGAGCCCUUGGGGGUUCUAUCCCCUUUGCGCCUGGAGUCCGGGAGGUCGCCUUGUGGCGCCUCCAGGACCACCUCCUCCUGGCUUGGAACCUGUCGGGACAGCACCUCGGCGUCGUCCGUAGGGUGGGGGGAGGUAGCGGGCGGAAGUGAAUUCACGUCCGACGAAUCCAGGGAGCCGCUCGACGACUCGUCGAGCCCGGCCUUGGGCGGACUGCAUAGUCAUAUUCGGCGUAAGGAGGAGCUGUGCAAGAAAGGAACACUAUGAAUUGCUCUGGUGUCUGAAUACUUACGAUCUCGCCAGGGGCUUGGACCUGUGCGGCCACUCCUCUUCGUCGUUGUCGGCGUUGGUGGAGUAGUCCGGAGGAAGGGUCUUCCCCUUCUUGGACCCUUCAGCCUCCCCAGUUGGGGCGGCCUUCCUUUUCUUCCCUCCCCCCGCUGGAGGGGGAGAGGUCUCUUCUUCCUCCUCCUCGUCUUCACGGGAGGAGUGCGUCUUGGAGUCGUCGGAUGAUGAAUCCGACACCUCCAGGCGUUGGGCACUCUUUCGAGUCCCCGUGGCCUUCUUCUUGGCAUUCUUCUCCGGCACCACAUAGGGUGCCGGAACCAGCAGCUUCGCCAAGCGAGCGUCCGCUGGGCCUUCGGGCAAAGGAGCCGGACAGUUGAUCUGUCCGGACGUCUCCUGCCAAUCCUGUCAAAGGUAAGGGAGCUUAGAUCCCGCAUGGAGUCAAACUAUGAAAAAGGGGCCUCGGCGCCCUUGAAAAGCACCUUCCAGGCAUCUUCUUACGUCACGUCGAAGAGCCUGCUCAGGGUUCGGUGCUGCGCCGGGUUAAACUCCCACAGGUUGAAAGCCCGUUGUUGACACGGGAGGAUCUGGCGGAUGAGCAUAACCUGGACUAUGUUGACAAGUUUGAGCUUCUUGUCCACUAGGGUUUGGACGCAUGUUUGGAGUCCGGUCAGCUCUCCUUUUUUUACCCCACGAUAGGCCCGUCUCUUUCCAGGAGGUGAGCCGCGUAGGGGGUCCGGAUCGGAACUCGGGGGCUGCGACCCAUUCAGGGUCGCGCGGCUCGGUGAUGUAAAACCACCCCGAUUGCCACCCCUUUAGGGUCUCCACGAAGGAGCCCUCGAGCCAUAGGACGUUGGGCAUCUUGCCCACCAUGGCGCCUCCACACUCCGCCUGGGUGCCACGCACCACCUUCGGCUUGACAUUGAAAGUCUUGAGCCAUAGGCCGAAAUGGGGGCGGAUGCAGAAGAAAACCUCGCACACAACGAUAAACGCCGAGAUGUUGAGGACAAAGUUUGGGGCUAGAUCGUGGAAAUCCAGGCCAUAGUAGAACAUGAGCCCCCGGACAAAUGGGUGGAGAGGGAAGCCCAGUCCAUGGAGGAAAUGGGGGAGGAACACCACCCUCUCAUGGGGCCUAGGGGUGGGGAUGAGCUGCCCCUCUUUGGGAAGCCGGUGCGCAAUGUCGUUAGACAAGUAUCCGGCCUUCCUCAGUUUUUUGAUGUGUCCCUCCGUGACAGAGGAGACCAUCCACUUGCCUCCCGCUCCGGACAUGGCUAGAGAAGGUUGAGGUGGGGUGUGCGGACUUGGGCGCUGGAGCUCGAGUGCGCGGAAAUGGAUAAGCAAAGGAGGAAGAAGGCGUGGAUGAAAAGGUGGAUCCUUAUCCCCUUAUAUGGGUGGACGCGACUAUGCGACCCCACCAGCCUGGUAAAACUCGCUUAUCUCCCAAGCGCCGUAAUCAAUGGCACGGUUGGGUUACCCACGCCAGUAUUGAUGAGAAUCCCGAAAUAAGGGGACACGAUCUCUGAUUUGACAAGACGUGCCAAGGAAACCACCUCGCUAAAUGCGCUGAGGUGGGACAGUAAAAUGAUUCAAAUAAAGACUUGGCCGUGGUGUGAUGUCACUCUACGGAAUACGUCAGCAGAUUAGAUUUAUGUAAAUAUUAUUCUCUCUAUGGCAAUAUGUGGAAACUUAUUUUGCAGAGCCGGACACUACCUUUGUGUUCAAAAUCUUCUAUGAAGUACUUGGAGGAGGAACCCGCCUUGCAAUGCCGAAGACAAUCUGCGCGCCAGACUCGUCGUCAUUGAAGCCUGGUUCAGGGGCUACUGAGGGAGUCCUGGAUUAGGGGGUGUUCGGAUAGCCGGACUAUACCUUCGGCCGGACUCCUGGACUAUGAAGAUACAAGAUUGAAGACUUCGUCCCGUGUCCGGAAGGGACUUUCCUUGGCGUGGAAGGCAAGCUUGGCGAUAUGGAUAUGUAGAUCUCCUACCAUUGUAACCGACUCUGUGUAACCCUAGCCCUCUCCGGUGUCUAUAUAAAUCGGAGGGUUUUAGUCCGUAGGACGAACAUACAAUCAUACCAUAGGCUAGCUUCUAGGGUUUAGCCUCCUUGAUCUCGUGGUAGAUCUACUCUCGUACUACCCAUAUCAUCAAUAUUAAUCAAGCAGGAGUAGGCUUUUACCUCCAUCGAGAGGGCCCGAACUUGGGUAAAAACAUCGUGUCCCUUGUCUUCUGUUACCAUCCGCCUAGACACACAGUUCGGGACCCCCUACCCGAGAUCCGCCGGUUUUGACACUGACAAUGAGAAAAUCAUGUUCCCGAAGAUUUUAUUCCGUUUGGACUCCGUUUGUGUGACGCCCGGAUACUUAAGCUACAGUAAACCACUGUUAAUGAUGCCCCGUCAGCACAAUUACUGUUGCUAAUCUCGCGUUAGUUCGAAACUGAUUCAAAUUCAAAUUCAAAAUCAAAUCAAACGGUAAAAGUUUUCAAACUUUAAAACUAAAAUAUUCGAGUUGUGCCAAAUAAUGCAAAGUUAAUUGUGGUGAAGAAACCCCACUUUUAUAAAAUGUUUUAAUACCCUAAAAUGAUUAAAACAGUAGGUAAAACAAUUAAAUAAAUGCAUUUUGGGUUUUAUAAAAUACUAAACUAUUUUGUUCAGGGAAAAAACCUUUCGUGGCAGUAGUUAUAAUUAUAACUCUAUUUUAGCUAUGGGUUUCACUUUUUGUAAAAACUAUAAACUAUUAUAUAAGAAAAAUAAAACAGAACAGAAAAUAAAUAAAAGAAAGAAAAUACAAAAGAUAAAACAGAAAAACAAAAGACAAAAAAAAUAAAUAAAGGAGAGAAGGCCACCCCCCCACUGGGCCAGACGGCCCAGCCGGCCAGGCCCCCCCCCCAACCGGCCCAGGCAAAGGCCCAGCCGGCCGCCCCCAUUNNNNNNNNNNNNNNNNNNNNNNNNNNNNNNNNNNNNNNNNNNNNNNNNNNNNNNNNNNNNNNNNNNNNNNNNNNNNNNNNNNNNNNNNNNNNNNNNNNNNNNNNNNNNNNNNNNNNNNNNNNNNNNNNNNNNNNNNNNNNNNNNNNNNNNNNNNNNNNNNNNNNNNNNNNNNNNNNNNNNNNNNNNNNNNNNNNNNNNNNNNNNNNNNNNNNNNNNNNNNNNNNNNNNNNNNNNNNNNNNNNNNNNNNNNNNNNNNNNNNNNNNNNNNNNNNNNNNNNNNNNNNNNNNNNNNNNNNNNNNNNNNNNNNNNNNNNNNNNNNNNNNNNNNNNNNNNNNNNNNNNNNNNNNNNNNNNNNNNNNNNNNNNNNNNNNNNNNNNNNNNNNNNNNNNNNNNNNNNNNNNNNNNNNNNNNNNNNNNNNNNNNNNNNNNNNNNNNNNNNNNNNNNNNNNNNNNNNNNNNNNNNNNNNNNNNNNNNNNNNNNNNNNNNNNNNNNNNNNNNNNNNNNNNNNNNNNNNNNNNNNNNNNNNNNNNNNNNNNNNNNNNNNNNNNNNNNNNNNNNNNNNNNNNNNNNNNNNNNNNNNNNNNNNNNNNNNNNNNNNNNNNNNNNNNNNNNNNNNNNNNNNNNNNNNNNNNNNNNNNNNNNNNNNNNNNNNNNNNNNNNNNNNNNNNNNNNNNNNNNNNNNNNNNNNNNNNNNNNNNNNNNNNNNNNNNNNNNNNNNNNNNNNNNNNNNNNNNNNNNNNNNNNNNNNNNNNNNNNNNNNNNNNNNNNNNNNNNNNNNNNNNNNNNNNNNNNNNNNNNNNNNNNNNNNNNNNNNNNNNNNNNNNNNNNNNNNNNNNNNNNNNUCUUUCUCAGCGGCGCCCCUCGCCGCGCCUGCCGCGUCGCCCUGCGCCCGCCCUCCGUCGUCCGCUGCUGCUCGGAACACCGCCCGUCGCCGGUGCCGCAUCGCCGGACCUCCCCGACUCCUCCACGAGCCCGCUGCCAUGCCCCUCCUGCUCCCCUGUGAGCCGCCAUCCGUCCUCCUCUCUCCCCCUCUGCCUCGAUGUGGCCACCACAUCCCGGUGCGCUCGCCGCGCCCGGGCACCUCCAGCCACGCCCAACGCACGCGCCCGGGCACCGCGGCCCUUCCCGGUGCGCUCACCGCGUCCUGCCGCUCCACCCACGCGCCCGUCGCCCAAGCACCCGCUUCGGCUGCCGCCGUCCGGCGACGGCCCCUGCUACCCCGGCCUGACCUCGCCCCUUCCCCCCGUCGGUGCCGUGCCCGCCGGUGCCCUUCUGGGUGCCGCGGCGCUCGCUCCUGGGCUGCACAGCCCCAGGCCUUGUGCCACUGACCAGGGGGCCCCAUGCCCCUGUUAAAAAAACGAACGAAAUUGAAAAAUAGAAAUAAUUAUUUAAUUAAUUAGUAAUUUGAUUAAUUAAUUAAUUUGCUUAGUUAACUACCUAAUUAACUUUGAUUAAUUAGCCUAAUGAACAUAUUUAAUCUAAUUAAACCUGCUUAGUUAAACUAGUCUAUGACGAUGGGCCCCAUUGCCCUGUUUGACCAGUCAACGUUGACCCAGUCAACAGCUGACUAGACUGUUGACUUUGACUCUGACCCCACCUGUCAUACACUAUGGCUGGCACUGCACUUUGUGACAAUAGUUUUACUGAUUAAAUUUUGGAGUUAAAUAAAUCAAUAUAAUCAUAUAAAACUUUGGAAAUUCAUAUAAAAUAAUCCGUAACUCGGAUGAAAAUACUUUCUACAUGAAAGUUGCUCAGAACGACGAGACGAAUCCGGUUACGCAGCCCGUUCGUCCGCCACACACCCCUAGCAUACCGAACACGCAACUUUCCCCCUCCGGUUCACCGGUCCGAAAACGCGGAACACCGGGAAUACUUUCCCGGAUGUUUUCCCCCUUUGUCGGUAUCACCUACUACCGCGUUAGGGCACACCGAACACCGCGUAUUGCCUUGAUAUAUUUUGUGGUGCUUUGUUUGCUUUGUAUUCAUUAUUUCUCCCCCCUCUUCUCUCCGGUAGACUACGAGACCGACGCUGCUGCUGACCAGUUCGACUACGGAGUUGACGACCCCUCUCUCUUGCCAGAGCAACCAGGCAAGCCCCCCCCCUUGAUCACCAGAUAUCGCCUAUUCUCCUCUAUACUGCUUGCAUUAGAGUAGUGUAGCAUGUUACUGCUUUCGUUAAUCCUAUUCUGAUGCAUAGCCUGACAUUGUCGCUACAUCUGUUGAUACCUUACCUGCAAUCCUAAAUGCUUAGUAUAGGAUGCUAGUUUAUCAUCAUUGGCCCUACAUUCUUGUCAGUCUGCCUUGCUAUACUAUCGGGCCGUGAUCACUUGGGAGGUGAUCACGGGUAUAUACUAUACAUACAUACAUACUAUACAGAUGGUGACUAAAGUCGGGUCAGCUCAUUGAGUACCCGCAAGUGAUUCUGACGAGGGGGCUGACAGGACAGGUGGCUCCAUCCCGGUAGAGGUGGGCCUGGGUUCCCGACGGCCCUAGACUGUUACUUUGUGGCGGAGCGACAGGGCAGGUUGAGACCACCUAGGAGACAGGUGGGCCUGGCCCUGUUCGGCGUUCGCGGAUACUUAACACGCUUAACGAGAUCUUGGUAUUUGAUCUAAGUCGGCUACGAGCCUAUACGCACUAACCAUCUACGUGGGAGUAGUUAUGGGUAUCCCGACGUCGUGGUAUCAGCCGAAGCACUUCAGACGUUAGCGACGGAGCGGCGCGCGCGGAUUGGAACGUAAGCCUGCUCUUGUAUUAAGGGGGCUAGUUCUGCUUCCGGCCGCCCUCGCAACGUGCAGGUGUGCUAUGGGCGAUGGGCCCAGACCCCUGUGCGCUUAGGUUUAGACCGGCGUGCUGGCCUCUCUGUUUUGCCUAGGUGGGGCUGCGACGUGUUGAUCUUCCGAGGCCGGGCAUGACCCAGGAAAGUGUGUCCGGCCAAAUGGGAUCGAGCGUGUUGGGUUAUGUGGUGCACCCCUGCAGGGAAGUUAAUCUAUUCGAAUAGCCGUGAUCUUCGGUAACAGGACGACUUGGAGUUGUACCUUGACCUUAUGACAACUAGAACCGGAUACUUAAUAAAACACACCCUUCAAAGUUCCACAGACAACCCGGUGAUCGCUUUUCCACAGGGCGACGAGGAGAGGAUCGCCGGGUAGGUUUAUGCUAUGCGAUGCUACUUGGAGAUGCUACUUGGAGAUGCUACUUGGAGAUGCUACUUGGAGAUGCUACUUGGAGGACUUCAAUCUACUCUCUUCUACAUGCUGCGAGGCGGAGGCUGCCAGAAGCGUAGUCUUCGAUAGGAUUAGCUAUCCCCCUCUUAUUCUGGCAUUCUGCAGUUCAGUCCACUUAUAUGGCCUCCUUACACAUAUACCCAUGCAUAUGUAGUGUAGUUCCUUGCUUGCGAGUACUUUGGAUGAGUACUCAAGGUUGCUUUCUCCCCCCUUUUCCCCCUUUCCUUUCUUUCUAGUUGUCACAACCAGAUGCUGGAGUCCAGGAGCCAGACGCCACCGUCGACGACGACCCCUACUACACCGGAGGUGCCUACUACUACGUGCUGCCCGCUGACGACGACCUGGAGUAGUUAGGAGGAUCCCAGGCAGGAGGCCCGCGCCUCUUUCGAUCUGUAUCCCAGUUUGUGCUAGCCUUCUUAAGGCACACUUGUUUAACUUAUGUCUGUACUCAGAUAUUGUUGCUUCCGCUGACUCGUCUAUGAUCGAGCACUUGUAUUCGAGCCCUCGAGGCCCCUGGCUUGUAUUAUGAUGCUUGUAUGACUUAUUUUAUUUGUAGAGUUGUGUUGUGAUAUCUUCCCGUGAGUCCCUGAUCUUGAUCGUACACAUUUGCGUGCAUGAUUAGUGUACGGUCAAAUCGGGGGCGUCACAAGUUGGUAUCAGAGCCGACUGCCUGUAGGAAUCCCCCUUCCAACUCCUUGGCCGAAGUCGAGUCUAAACUUUACAAAACUUUUACUAACAUGGCUGUGCGGCCCAUGGGCCCACGUCGCCAUUGGGUGGUAGUAGGAUCUUUUACUCCUCGACCUAUACUCUGGGACUCUUAUUUCUCUUCUAUUCGGGUUAAAUGAUUUUUGCUAAAAUCUAACAUUAGGAUCUCGUUAUCACUUUCACCCGGAGAGCCCCUUAUUAAUGAUGAUCGUCUGCGGCACGUGAAGACCCUGAAGAUACUCUCCGUUGUUAACCCGAGAACUUAUGUUCAUCGCAUUUGCAAUUCCCCUUCCACCGUCAACCCUUAUGGAUAACUACUUGCAGUUGUUAUUCUUACAUUCAUCCCCAGUUGGUCUUGUUAUUACCAGAUACCUCGAAACACUCGUCGUUGUCUCGAUAAUCCUUGAGAUUAUCACCUUGCUGUUCCUUGUCACCUGAAUACCCCUAUGGAUAAUUCUCGCACUUAUCGAGUAUCCGCUCAUCCCCCAGUUGUUCAUGUGUUUCACAAUGGUCUUCGAAAUACUAUUUGAUCCUCCAAAAAUCCUUAAUAGCUUAUUGCUCUGCAAUACUUGUCUGCUUGCAUUAUGGAUGCUUCCCAUUGGCAAUAUUCGUUAGUAUCCUUAGGCAUCGUCAUUUUGAUCCUAUUGAUUCAGCAUGUGUGCGAAUGCACACAAACAUCUAUCAACCCUUCUAAAUUACCCUUCCGGCUCAGACAUCAUUUUUGAACAUGAGCUGGUUCUGGACCAAACUAUUUGUCGUCAAUUGUGCCUCUGGUAUAUUCAACUUAUCCAUCCCUACUCAGAGCAUUGCUUCUGAUCCUUUGUUUUGGGGAUCGAAAUUCCUUUAUUAUCUAAGCAUCGAAUCCUUCCGAUGUUCUAUAAUAUGAUGCCCGUGCAUUCUUCUUCCUCUGGUUGAGUACCGAUGCUCACGUCAGAUCCCUUGUGGACCACCAGAUCCUUUGUUGGAUUUUAUCUGACAACGCCCUUCAUAUUCAAUAACCUUGUGAGCCUUUCCUCUGAUACAUAAUGCCUUUGGUAAAUUGUAUCCUCUGCUUUCUUAACCAUGCUCUGUCUUCGAGCUUGAGUUAAUUACUUCUAAAGAUUCUGGUAUAUGAUUAUAAGAUGCUCCGAUGGGUUGAACCUAUGCCCUCCUUAAUGGGUGAGAACUCGAAAGUUUUCACGAGUCAUACUCUUCUGGUGCUUCGCCAGAUAAAAUUUCAACCCUGCAACUUAAUCGAACGCGAGAAGUGGAUGAAAGGUUAUGCAUUGGAGAAGUGGGAGUCGACCUUGAACUUUGUGUUCAUGCCCAUGGACCCGAUGUACAUCUUCUCAUCGAAGCUUCUUUUAAAAUUAAUUAUUCCCUUGAUAUAAGUUCAUCUUAUAUCUGGGGUAUGGCCUUUUACAAUCGUGGUUCCGACCAUGUUCUCCUUUAAAUACCAUUUUUGGUGCAAGUGUAAGCACUUGUCUUCUGCAGAGCAAUACCCCAGUCCAACCUCUAUUUUGAUCUGUCGUCGAGUAUUACCCCCUGGUAUCUCGAGAUUAUCUUGGAACUGCAUAACUUCCUAUGAGUUCUUCAUCAAGUACUACAUACUCACUGAUUACAAUUUUUCAUGGGCUCUGAGUUAUUGAACACUCAAAGACAUCGAUAACUGAACCGAGUCCGCUCUACGGUUCAACCACUCUUCAGUAAGCUUCUAUAAGUACGAGUUUGUACCCGAUCAUGUCAUUCCUAGCCUGUUUGGCUAUAUCAUUGUCGUGAUGAUUUUAACUGUGCUACCCGGUCCUUCUUCUCGGAGCACAAUUUUCGACGAUGAAUUAAGCUUACGUCGAUUUUCCUCGUCAUUCCCUUUCACCUUAAACAACAAGCUUGAGUUCGAGUUUAUGCCAUAACCGUGGUUCCAUUAACCUCUUGCUUCAUCAUUACUUUGACUUGAUGUCGUCGCUGAUUGAUCACAUCGGCAUGGAAACUCUCGACACUUGUGUCGUGAUCAUCAUCAACCUUAUGAGCUCUUCCAGGAAUUCAGUUGAAUUCAUGAUGGGUAAUACCAUCCUUGCCCCUCGAUGAUUCCUGUUCUCAUCGACCACUUUAUUGCCUUCCGUUCAACACAACUUGUUCGUGUUUGGUGUAAACCUUGAGAUCACUGCUAACCAGCAGUCGAUCUUCCUUACCUCGGUAGUAUUACCAUCUCUUUUUGUCAAGAAUGUGGUGAGAAUUUCACCACCUCUUAAUAAUUCUUCAUAACAUAAUAUUUCUUGCCAUCUUCGUUCAUUCCUUGGUCCCCGUAUUGUUUUCAACCGGAAUACCGACAAUUGAGCUAUGACGUGUGAAUUCAAAACUUCUAACAACCCUAUUGCUUUGAAGUGAAUGGGCGAUAGUUCAUUCUAAGUCCUUCGCUAAUUGAAUCACCAUUCUGACAUUGGUCGUGCAACCCAACCCAUAUUUUGGGCGCACAUAUCAACCAAUGUUUAAUUGUGUAUGUUUUCCUCGAGCAUACUUCCUUAUAUCAUUUGAUCUGACAAAUGUUAUCUCCUUGUUCACUUAAUGGUGGAAAUCCAUCUUUUGGUAAUCUCGGUGAAUUGCUGUUGAGUUCACCAGACACCUCCUUGUCCUCUCCUUGGUUUAAUGAUGAACUAUUGCUUUAGAAACCCGCUCCCAUAGUUCAUUUCUCGAGGAUCUUGCAAUGUCAUUUCGACAAUUUGUGUUGCACCUUUUCCCUCUCGGACCCCCCCGAGUCUGAGGUUUCAUGACACCAACUGGAUAUGAAUCUCGGUCAGAUAUGAUGGUUGGGACAACUUUCCAAGAGUUAUAAUGUUGAUCCUCUGAUGACCCGGUAACAUGAUGUCAUGCCUAGCACCCCCCCCCCCGGCUGGAGGACCUAUCAUUAUAGAUUCCUUUUCAGCAAGGUUAUUCAUUCAUCCAUGAGGAAAUUGUAAGACUUAUUCUACAAGUUAUUCUUGAUGGAUCCUUCGUGUUUCCAAAGUUUGAUCUUCACCUGAAGACCAUGUCAAUUCUAUCUCGAAGCAUGUCAAUGGUACUCCGAUGUUUCAACAAGAACAUUUGAAGCACGAUGCUAAAUUUUGCUUAUCAUUUAUCCUAACACCGUUGUAUGGGUAAUAUCAUGAGAUUCCUCCCCCCUUACCUAAAUGGUUGUCUACCUUAUAUCCUGUCAUGGAUAUCUUGUUCUGUUUGUCCUUGGGAAGGAUAUACCCCUGAAAUAGGUGUAUAAACAUAUUUUCCAUUCCAUUGUUCUAUUUGAUCUGAUGAUCACCUUUUCCUUUCCAUUGUUUUGUUUAACCUUUCUUGUGAUCUAUAUGAUCUAAGCAAUAAUAUUCUCCUGCUUAUGUAAACACCUCGGUGUACAACUCUGUCAGUAAGACCCUGUUGAAAUUGUCGAUAGCAUUCCGGUCACCACCGAUGGACGAGAACUUUGCCUAUUGGUCCGCCUCGUUCAACGAGCAGGAAAAUGGUUCUCUUCGUCCCUCGCCCCUGGUACCGACAUUGUGCCGACAUAACUGAUAGGCUACCCUCUGACAUGCCUUGCUACCAUAAUCGUGCAAGAUGUCACCGCUCUUUUAACGUUUAACCCACAUGGUGGGCCCAUAACCCACAGUUCCACAGGAUCAAAACCUGACUCUCCUAUACACCCUAUUGUCGAAGUUAUUCCUCGCGCUUGGCUUCGUAUUUAAUUCACGGGCCACCUUCCUAAUGCUCUAUUCUGGUAUCAGAUGCAAUACUUACUCUCGCUGCUCUGAAACCCUUUCUCACUCUGGGUCAGACUUCGAGCAACUAUCUAUCCACUUGGAACCUCUUAUUGUACCUUCGUACCUUACUCUUGAUGUAUUCGAUAUGUUCGACUCAAGAGAUAAUCUUAUGCUCAUUCAUGGGUUAACCCCCAGAUUGUUUCCCUCAUAAGCAUUCUGUCGUAGCCGAGCUGCCCCCUUACCUAUUCGUAAGUACGUUGGAGUUCCCGAGAAAAGAACGACAUCACCAUGAUGACCUGAAGCAGAGAAGUGAAGACAACCAUGUAAUGGAUCGACCUCCUCGAGAAGAGUAGCCAAGACCAACAAGACCCGUUAGAAUUUCGCAACCUAAUCCCUUCCCCGCACUUCCCCUCUUAAAUCUCAGGACGAGAUUUCUUGUAGUGGAGGAGAAUUGUGACGCCCGGAUACUUAAGCUACAGUAAACCACUGUUAAUGAUGCCCCGUCAGCACAAUUACUGUUGCUAAUCUCGCGUUAGUUCGAAACUGAUUCAAAUUCAAAUUCAAAAUCAAAUCAAACGGUAAAAGUUUUCAAACUUUAAAACUAAAAUAUUCGAGUUGUGCCAAAUAAUGCAAAGUUAAUUGUGGUGAAGAAACCCCACUUUUAUAAAAUGUUUUAAUACCCUAAAAUGAUUAAAACAGUAGGUAAAACAAUUAAAUAAAUGCAUUUUGGGUUUUAUAAAAUACUAAACUAUUUUGUUCAGGGAUAAAACCUUUCGUGGCAGUAGUUAUAAUUAUAACUCUAUUUUAGCUAUGGGUUUCACUUUUUGUAAAAACUAUAAACUAUUAUAUAAGAAAAAUAAAACAGAACAGAAAAUAAAUAAAAGAAAGAAAAUACAAAAGAUAAAACAGAAAAACAAAAGACAAAAAAAAAUAAAGGAGAGAAGGCCACCCCCCCCACUGGGCCAGACGGCCCAGCCNNNNNNNNNNNNNNNNNNNNNNNNNNNNNNNNNNNNNNNNNNNNNNNNNNNNNNNNNNNNNNNNNNNNNNNNNNNNNNNNNNNNNNNNNNNNNNNNNNNNNNNNNNNNNNNNNNNNNNNNNNNNNNNNNNNNNNNNNNNNNNNNNNNNNNNNNNNNNNNNNNNNNNNNNNNNNNNNNNNNNNNNNNNNNNNNNNNNNNNNNNNNNNNNNNNNNNNNNNNNNNNNNNNNNNNNNNNNNNNNNNNNNNNNNNNNNNNNNNNNNNNNNNNNNNNNNNNNNNNNNNNNNNNNNNNNNNNNNNNNNNNNNNNNNNNNNNNNNNNNNNNNNNNNNNNNNNNNNNNNNNNNNNNNNNNNNNNNNNNNNNNNNNNNNNNNNNNNNNNNNNNNNNNNNNNNNNNNNNNNNNNNNNNNNNNNNNNNNNNNNNNNNNNNNNNNNNNNNNNNNNNNNNNNNNNNNNNNNNNNNNNNNNNNNNNNNNNNNNNNNNNNNNNNNNNNNNNNNNNNNNNNNNNNNNNNNNNNNNNNNNNNNNNNNNNNNNNNNNNNNNNNNNNNNNNNNNNNNNNNNNNNNNNNNNNNNNNNNNNNNNNNNNNNNNNNNNNNNNNNNNNNNNNNNNNNNNNNNNNNNNNNNNNNNNNNNNNNNNNNNNNNNNNNNNNNNNNNNNNNNNNNNNNNNNNNNNNNNNNNNNNNNNNNNNNNNNNNNNNNNNNNNNNNNNNNNNNNNNNNNNNNNNNNNNNNNNNNNNNNNNNNNNNNNNNNNNNNNNNNNNNNNNNNNNNNNNNNNNNNNNNNNNNNNNNNNNNNNNNNNNNNNNNNNNNNNNNNNNNNNNNNNNNNNNNNNNNNNNNNNNNNNNNNNNNNNNNNNAAAAAAACGAACGAAAUUGAAAAAUAGAAAUAAUUAUUUAAUUAAUUAGUAAUUUGAUUAAUUAAUUAAUUUGCUUAGUUAACUACCUAAUUAACUUUGAUUAAUUAGCCUAAUGAACAUAUUUAAUCUAAUUAAACCUGCUUAGUUAAACUAGUCUAUGACGAUGGGCCCCAUUGCCCUGUUUGACCAGUCAACGUUGACCCAGUCAACAGCUGACUAGACUGUUGACUUUGACUCUGACCCCACCUGUCAUACACUAUGGCUGGCACUGCACUUUGUGACAAUAGUUUUACUGAUUAAAUUUUGGAGUUAAAUAAAUCAAUAUAAUCAUAUAAAACUUUGGAAAUUCAUAUAAAAUAAUCCGUAACUCGGAUGAAAAUACUUUCUACAUGAAAGUUGCUCAGAACGACGAGACGAAUCCGGUUAUGCAGCCCGUUCGUUCGCCACACACCCCUAGCAUACCGAACACGCAACUUUCCCCCUCCGGUUCACCGGUCCGAAAACGUGGAACACCGGGAAUACUUUCCCGGAUGUUUUCCCCCUUCGUCGGUAUCACCUACUACCGCGUUAGGGCACACCGAACACCGCGUAUUGCCUUGAUAUAUUUUGUGGUGCUUUGUUUGCUUUGUAUUCAUUAUUUCUCCCCCCUCUUCUCUCUGGUAGACUACGAGACCGACGCUGCUGCUGACCAGUUCGACUACGGAGUUGACGACCCCUCUCUCUUGCCAGAGCAACCAGGCAAGCCCCCCCCCCCUUGAUCACCAGAUAUCGCCUAUUCUCCUCUAUACUGCUUGCAUUAGAGUAGUGUAGCAUGUUACUGCUUUCGUUAAUCCUAUUCUGAUGCAUAGCCUGACAUUGUCGCUACAUCUGUUGAUACCUUACCUGCAAUCCUAAAUGCUUAGUAUAGGAUGCUAGUUUAUCAUCAUUGGCCCUACAUUCUUGUCAGUCUGCCUUGCUAUACUAUCGGGCCGUGAUCACUUGGGAGGUGAUCACGGGUAUAUACUAUACAUACAUACAUACUAUACAGAUGGUGACUAAAGUCGGGUCAGCUCAUUGAGUACCCACAAGUGAUUCUGACGAGGGGGCUGAAAGGACAGGUGGCUCCAUCCCGGUAGAGGUGGGCCUGGGUUCCCGACGGCCCUCGACUGUUACUUUGUGGCGGAGCGACAGGGCAGGUUGAGACCACCUAGGAGACAGGUGGGCCUGGCCCUGUUCGGCGUUCGCGGAUACUUAACACGCUUAACGAGAUCUUGGUAUUUGAUCUAAGUCGGCUAUGAGCCUAUACGCACUAACCAUCUACGUGGGAGUAGUUAUGGGUAUCCCGACGUCGUGGUAUCAGCCGAAGCACUUCAGACGUCAGUGACGGAGCGGCGCGCGCCGGAUUGGAACGUAAGCCUGCUCUUGUAUUAAGGGGGCUAGUUCUGCUUCCGGCCGCCCUCGCAACGUGCAGGUGUGCUAUGGGCGAUGGGCCCAGACCCCUGUGCGCUUAGGUUUAGACCGGCGUGCUGGCCUCUCUGUUUUGCCUAGGUGGGGCUGCGACGUGUUGAUCUUUCGAGGCCGGGCAUGACCCAGGAAAGUGUGUCCGGCCAAAUGGGAUCGAGCGUGUUGGGUUAUGUGGUGCACCCCUGUAGGGAAGUUAAUCUAUUCGAAUAGCCGUGAUCUUCGGUAACAGGACGACUUGGAGUUGUACCUUGACCUUAUGACAACUAGAACCGGAUACUUAAUAAAACACACCCUUCAAAGUUCCACAGACAACCCGGUGAUCGCUUUUCCGCAGGGCGACGAGGAGAGGAUCGCCGGGUAGGUUUAUGCUAUGCGAUGCUACUUGGAGAUGCUACUUGGAGAUGCUACUUGGAGAUGCUACUUGGAGGACUUCAAUCUACUCUCUUCUACAUGCUGCGAGGCGGAGGCUGCCAGAAGCGUAGUCUUCGAUAGGAUUAGCUAUCCCCCUCUUAUUCUGGCAUUCUGCAGUUCAGUCCACUGAUAUGGCCUCCUUACACAUAUACCCAUGCAUAUGUAGUGUAGUUCCUUGCUUGCGAGUACUUUGGAUGAGUACUCACGGUUGCUUUCUCCCCCCUUUUCCCCCUUUCCUUUCUUUCUGGUUGUCGCAACUAGAUGCUGGAGUCCAGGAGCCAGACGCCACCGUCGACGACGACCCCUACUACACCGGAGGUGCCUACUACUACGUGCUGCCCGCUGACGACGACCUGGAGUAGUUAGGAGGAUCCCAGGCAGGAGGCCUGCGCCUCUUUCGAUCUGUAUCCCAGUUUGUGCUAGCCUUCUUAAGGCACACUUGUUUAACUUAUGUCUGUACUCAGAUAUUGUUGCUUCCGCUGACUCGUCUAUGAUCGAGCACUUGUAUUCGAGCCCUCGAGGCCCCUGGCUUGUAUUAUGAUGCUUGUAUGACUUAUUUUAUUUGUAGAGUUGUGUUGUGAUAUCUUCCCGUGAGUCCCUGAUCUUGAUCGUACACAUUUGCGUGCAUGAUUAGUGUACGGUCAAAUCGGGGGCGUCACAGUUUGAUAUUCCGUUUAUCUGAAACACUGAAAUAGGCAAAAAACAUCAAUUCUGGGUUGGGCCUCCGGUUAAUAGGUUAGUCCCAAAAAUAAUAUAAAAGUGGAAAAUAAAGCCCAACAUAGUCCAAAACAGUAGAUAAUAUAGCAUGGAGCAAUCAAAAAUUAUAGAUACGUUGGAGACGUAUCAGGCAUCCCCAAGCUUAAUUCCUGCUCGUCCUCGAGUAGGUAAAUGAUAAAAAGAGAAUUUUUGAUGUGGAGUGCUACUUGGCAUAAUUUCAAUGCAAAUCUUCUUAAUUGUGGUAUGAAUAUUCAGAUUAGAAAGAUUCAAGACAAAAGUUUAUAUUGACAUAAAAAUAAUAAUACUUCAAGCAUACUAACAAAGCAAUUAUGUCUUCUCAAAAUAACAUGGCCAAAGAAAGUUAUCCCUACAAAAUCAUAUAGUCUGGCUAUGCUCCAUCUUCACCACACAAAGUAUUUAAAUCAUGCACAACCCCGAUGACAAGCCAAGCAAUUGUUUCAUACUCUAACCUUUUCAAAACUUUUUCAAUCUUCACGCAAUACAUGAGCGUGAGCCAUGGAUAUAGCACUAUAUGUGGAAUAGAAUGGUGGUUGUGGAGAAGACAAAAAGGAGGGGAAGAUAGUCUCACAUCAACUAGGCGUAUCAAUGGGCUAUGGAGAUGCCCAUCAAUAGAUAUCGAUGUGAGUGAGUAGGGAUUGCCAUGCAACGGAUGCACUAGAGCUAUAAAUGUAUGAAAGCUCAACAAAAGAAACUAGUGGGUGUGCAUCCAACUUGCUUGCUCACGAAGACCUAGGGCAAUUUUGAGGAAGCCCAUCAUUGGAAUAUACAAGCCAAGUUCUAUAAUGAAAAAUUCCCACUAGUAUAUGAAAGUGACAACAUAUGAGACUCUCUAGGCGAGGAACAUGGUGCUACUUUGAAGCACAAUAUAUGAGACUCGCUAUAUCAUGGUGCUACUUUGAAGCACAAGUGUGGAAAAGGAUAGUAGCAUUGCCCCUUUUUAUUUUAUUUUUUAUUUUUUGGGCCUUCUCUUUUUUUCUUUGGCAUUUCUCUCUCUUUUUUAUUUGGGACAAUGCUAUAUUGAAUGAUGAUCAUCAUACUUUUAUUUAUUUACAACUCAAUGAUUACAACUUGAUUCUAAAACAAGGUAUGACUCUAUAUGAAUGCCUCCGGCGGUGUACCGGGAUAUGCAAUGAAUCAAGAGUGACAAGUAUGAAGAAAUUAUGAACGAUGGCUUUGCCACAAAUACUAUGUCAACUACAUGAUCAUGCUAAGCAAUAUGACAAUGAUGAAUGUGUCAUGAUGAACUAGAUGGUGGAAAGUUGCAUGGAAAUAUAUCUCGGAGUGGCUAUGGAAAUGCCAUAAUAGGUAGGUAUGGUGGCUGUUUUGAAGAAGGUAUAUGAUACCGGCGAAAGGUGCGCGGUAUUAGAGAGGCUAGCAAAGGUGGAAGGGUGAGAGUGCGUAUAAUCCAUGGACUCAACAUUAGUCAUAAAGAACUCAUAUACUUAUUGCAAAAAUCUAGAAGUUAUCAAAGCAAAGUAUUACGCGCAUGCUCCUAGGGGGAUAGAUUGGUAGGAAAAGACCAUCGCUCGUCCCCGACCGCCACUCAUAAGGAAGACAAUCAAUAAAUAAAUCAUGCUCCGACUUCAUUACAUAACGGUUCACCAUACGUGCAUGCUACGGGAAUCACAAACUUUAACACAAGUAUUCUUUAAAUUCACAACUACUCAACUAGUAUGACUUUAAUAUUAUCACCUCCAUAUCUCAAAACAAUUAUCACGCUUCAAUCUUUUCUUAGUAUUCAACACACUCAAAAGAAAGUUUCACAAAUCUUGAAUACCAAGCAUAUUAUUAUUAAGCAAAUUACCAUGCUAUUAAGAGACUCUCAAAAUAAUUUAAGUGAAGCAUGAGAGAUCAAUAGUUUCUUUAAAACAAAUCCACCACCGUGCUCUAAAAGAUCUAAGUGAAGCACAUAGAGAAAAAUUAUAACGCUCAAAAGAUAUAAGUGAAGCACAUAGAGAAAAAUUAUCUAGCUCAAAAGAUAUAAGUGAAGCACAUAGAGCAAAAUUACAACGCUCAAAAGAUAUAAGUGAAGCAUAUAGAGCAAAACUACUUAGCUCAAAAGAUAUAAGUGAAGCACAUAGAGUAUUCUAUCAAAUUUUAGUUCAUGUAUGGCUCUCUCAAAAGGUGUGUACAGCAAGGAUGAUUUUGGCAUACUAAGACACAAAGACAUAAAUAAUACAAGACGCUCCAAGCAAAACAAUAUCAUGUUGGUGAAUAAAAAUAUAGCUCCAAGUAAAUUACCGAUGGAAGUGGACGAAAAAGGGGAUGCCUUCCGGGGCAUCCCCAAGCUUUGACUUUUUGGUGUCCUUGGAUUAUCUUGGGGGUGCCAUGGGAAUCCCCAAGCUUAGGCUCUUUCCACUCCUUGUUCCAUGAUCCAUCAAAAGAAUUCACCCAAAACUUGAAAACUUCACAACACAAAACUCAAAAUAGAAAACUCGUGAGCUCCGUUAGUGAAAGAAAACAAAAGACCACUUCAAGGUACUGUAAUGAACUCAUUGUUUAUUUAUAUUGGUGUUAAACCUACUGUAUUCCAACUUCUCUAUGGAUUAUAAACUAUUUUACUAGCCAUAGAUUCAUCAAAAUAAGCAAACAACACACGAAAAACAGAAUCUGUCAAAAACAGAACAGUCUGUAGUAAUCUGUAGCUAGCGCAAGAGCUGGAACCCCAAAAAUUCUAAAAUAAAUUUCUGGACGCGAGUAAUUUAUCUAUUAAUCAUCUGAAAAAAGAAUUAACUAAAAGAACUCUUCAAAUAAAAAUGACAGCAGUUCUCGUGAGCGCUAAAGUUUCUGUUUUUUACAGCAAGUUCAACAAGACUUUCCCCAAGUCUUCCCAACGGUUCUACUUGGCACAAACACUAAUUAAACACAAAAAACCCAACCAAAACAUAUGCUAAAUAAUUUAUUUAUUACUAAGCAGGAGCAAAAAGCAAGGAAUAAAAAUAAAAUUGGGUUGCCUCCCAACAAGCGCUAUCGUUUAACGCCCCUAGCUAGGCAUAAAAGCGAGGAUAGAUCUAGGUAUUGCCAUCUUUGGUAGGCAAUCCAUAAGUGGCUCUCAUGAUAGUUUCAUAUGGUAAUUUUAUUUUAUUUCUUGGAAAGUGUUCCAUGCCCUUUUUUAAUGGAAAUUGAAAUCUAAUAUUCCCUUCCUUCAUAUCAAUAAUCGCACCAACCGUUCUAAGGAAAGGUCUACCAAGAAUAAUAGGGCAAGAAGGAUUGCAAUCUAUAUCAAGAACAAUGAAAUCUACGGGCACAUAAUUCCUAUUUGCAACAAUAAGAACAUCAUUAAUCCUUCCCAUAGGUUUCUUAAUAGUGGAAUCUGCAAGAUGCAAGUUUAGAGAGCAAUCAUCAAAAUUACGGAAAUCUAGCAAAUCACACAAAGUUUUGGGAAUAGUAGAGACACUAGCAUCCAAAUCACACAAAGCAUAGAACUCAUGAUCUUUAAUUUUAAUUUUAAUAGUUGGUUCCCACUCAUCAUAGAGUUUUCUAGGGAUAGAAACUUUCAACUCAAGUUUUUCUUCAUAAGAUUGCAUCAAGGCAUCAACAAUAUGUUUGGUGAAGGCUUUAUUUUGACUAUAAGCAUGUGGAGAAUUUAGCAUGGAUUGCAACAAGGAAAUACAAUCAAUUAAAGAGCAACUUUCAUAAUUAAAUUCCUUUAAAUCCAAUAUAGUGGGUUUAGCAACAUCUAGAUUUUUAUUUCUUUCAAUCCCACUUUCAUCAAUUUCAUCAUUAAGAUCUAAAUACUCCGAAUUUUUAGAACGCCUUCUAGGUAAAGGAAGAUCAUAUUCAGUUUCAUCAAGAUUCAUAUUGCAAAAAAAAGAUUUAAUAGGAGAUACAUCAAUAACUUUUAGAUCUUUAUCUUGAUUUUCAUAGGCAUUCGGUUUAGCGGCCAUCUUAUUGACUAAGGUGGCUUGCAUAUCCGAAAUUUCAGCAGUCAUCUUUUCUAGACGAGCAAUUUGGGAUCUUAUACAAUCAAAUUCUUUAGACAUAUCAUCAAGCUCUUUAUUCAUAUAACUCAUAAAACUUUUUUGUUCUUUAAGCUUGUUUCUAAAGAAAUUAUUAUGCUCAAAUUGCAAAACCAUAAACUUCCUAACGUUGUUUUCGAUCUCCUCCAACCUUUUAGGUGAAGAUCACCAAAUCUCGGUUGAGCCAUCGCGACAAACAAGCAAACUAGCACACAAGCAAACAAAAGCAAACGGGCAAAAAAAGCAAAUAGAGAGGGAGGAUAGAGAGAGAGGGGGCAAAUAAAACGGCAAGGGUGAAUUGGGGGAGAGGAAAACGAGAGGCAAAUGGCAAAUAAUGUAAUGCGAGAGAUAGGGAUUGUGAUGGGUACUUGGUAUGUUGACUUUUUGUGUAGACUCCCCGGCAGCGGCGCCAGAAAUCCUUCUUGCUACGUCUUGAGCUUGCGUUGGUUUUCCCCGAAGAGGAAGGGAUGAUGCAGUAGAGUAGGUAAGUAUUUCCCUCAGUUUUCGAGAACCAAGGUAUCAAUCCAGUAGGAGGCCAUGCUCAAGUCCCUUGUACCUGCACAAAGCGAUAGCUACUCGCAACCAACAUGAUUAGGGGUUGUCAAUCUGAAAGCACAAGUGCUCCCUGGGAUGGUUUUGGUAAUUAAUGUCAACAUAUCUCUUGUUGGACUAACACUUUUACCUAGUAUGUUUCAAAUAAGUUCAACAAUGGAGUGGCAUGGACUAGAGGAUGUGGAACCCCUUCAAGAUGCUAAGGACAAAGGAUUGGCUCAAGCUUCAAGAUCAAGACUCUACAUUUUCUAUUUUAGUGAUCCAAGACCACAUUGAGUCUAUAGGAAAAGCCAAUAAUAUCAAGAGGGGAUGAGGUGUUGCUUAAUUGCUUGCUUGCUCAAAGUGCUUAGUGAUAUGCUCCAAAACCCUCAACUACCUUCCCACAUCCACAUAUGACCUAAACCAAAAGUCAAACUCGGCCCCACCGAUUCUUUCUAUCCGGCGCCACCGAGUUUCAAAUGUCAUAGCCACUGCCACAAACCCUAGCAAAUCGGUCUCACCGAUAGGGAUCUCGGUCUCACCGAGAUGGGAUUGUAAUAUCUCUGUUUCCCUUAGUAACAUUUCGGUCUUACCGAGAUGAGCGAUCGGUCCCACCGAGAUUGCAAUGUAAACUCUCUGUUUCCCUUUUGUAACAUUUCGGUCUCACCGAGAUGAGCGAAUCGGUCCCACCGAGUUUACCUGACCAACUCUUUGGUUAGCUUAUUACCAAAAUCGGUCCCACCGAGUUUGUGUAAUCGGUCACACCGAGAUUACAUUAUGCCCUAACCCUAACCAUAUCGGUCCUACCGAGUUGCAUCUCAGUCCCACCGAAAAUCCUAACGGUCACUAGGUUUGCUAAAUCGGUCCGACCGAGUUUAACCAUUCGGUCCCACCAAGUUUGGCAAAUUGUGUGUAACGGUUAGAUUUUGUGUGGAGGCUAUAUAUACCCCUCCACCCACUCUUCAUUCAUGGAGAGAGCCAUCAGAACAUACCUACACUUCCUAUACACAUUUUCUGAGAGAGAACCACCUACACUUGUGUUGAGGUCAAGAUAUUCCAUUCCGACCAUAUGAAUCUUGAUCUCUAGCCUUCACCAAGUUGCUUUCCACUCAAAUCUUCUUUCCACCAAAUCCAAAUCCUGUGAGAGUUGAGUGUUGGGGAGACUAUCAUUUGAAGCACAAGAGCAAGGAGUUCAUCAUCAACAAACCAUUUGUUACUUCUUGGAGAGUGGUGUCUCCUAGAUUGGCUAGGUGUCACUUGGGAGCCUCCAACAAGAUUGUGGAGUUGAACCAAGGAGUUUGUAAGGGCAAGGAGAUCGCCUACUUCAUGAAGAUCUACCGCUAGUGAGGCAAGUCCUUCAUGGGCGACGACCAUGAUGGAAUAGACAAGGUUGCUUCUUCGUGGACCCUUCAUGGGUGGAGCCCUCCGUGGACUCGCGCGACCGUUACCCUCCGUGGGUUGAAGUCUCCAUCAACGUGGAUGUACGAUAGCACCACCUAUCGGAACCACGACAAAAACAUCCGUGUCUCCAAUUGCGUUUGAAUACUCCAAACCCUUGUCUUUACAUUCUUGCAAGUUGCAUGCUUUACUUUUUGCUGCUCAUAUACUCAUUGCAUGCUUGCUUGAUAUGUAUUGUGUUUGUUAAACUUGUGCUUAAACUCCACUUAAACUUAAGAAUAUUAAAAACUGCAACUUUUGGCACUUAGUGUCUAAUCACCCCCCUCUAGACACCUCUUCUUGUUCCUUUCAAUUGGUAUCAGAGCAUUGGUCUCCAUUGCCUUGGUUUAAACACCAUUGGGGGAAGAUGGAUGUGUCUACUUUGGGGAGUCUUAGACAUAGAGUGCCUAUUCUUGAUGGAGAGUAUUUUCAUGAGUGGAAAAAUGAAAUGCUUGAGAUUUUCAAUGAAUGUCAUUUGAACAAGUACAUUACUAGCCCUUGUGCACCUCAUGUUGAUCCUUUGCACCCUACCCUAGAUGAAGAUAUUGACAUGAUUCACAAUCUUAGAACUGUUGAGCUCAUCAUUAGAGGCUUGCCUAGAAACUUGAUUAGAUGUUUGCCUACUCUCAAGUGUGCCUACACCAUAUGGAGAUUUCUUGAGGAAUGAUUUCCAGAUUAUUCCUUGAAAAAUUUAGACGAAAUUCUCCAUAAGUCUAUUGCCUUGAGUAAGAUAAACUCUAGUGAUCCUAGCUUUGGUGAUUGUCUAUUUGAGUUUACCAAUCUCAUGCGUGCUAAAGGAAAUGUUGGAAUCAUUAGCGAUAUCAUAUCCGAAGCUAUUAGAAUUCAUAAAGGUAAACAUUGUGAUGAUCAUUUAUCUAAUGAAUUACCCUCUCUAGGAAUUGAUCAAUCACAAGAUGAUGUUGAACAUGGAUACUAUGAUGAAGAUGAUGAUAGUGACUAUGAUCUUGACGAUGCAAUGAGGCAUUUUGGUCUUAUGGCAAAUCUUCGCGGCUACAUGGCUGGAGGAAAGGAAUGGGUCCUUGAUAGUGGAUGUACUGAUCAUAUGACCAGAGAUAAAGAUAUGUUCCGUGAGCUUGCUGAAAACGACGGCCCUCGAAAAUAUGUCACUUUUGGUGAUAAUUCAAAGGGUAAGGUGGUUGGCCUUGGUAAGGUGGCCAUCUCACAUGAUAGCUCCAUACAAAAUGUCAUGCUCGUUGAAUCCCUUGGAUACAAUUUACUUUCAGUUUCUAGACUUGCGGAUUUCGGUUUCAAUGUCCUAUUCACUGAAGUAGAUUGCCAAGUGUUUCGUAGAGACAAUCAUAAAAUGGUCUUUACCGGUAUACGUAGAGGAGAUCUUUACAUUGUUGAUUUCACUAAAAAGGCUCAACCUAGAACUUGCUUAAUUACCAAAUCUUCUAAAGGCUGGUUGUGGCAUAGAAGACUAGGUCAUGUUGGUAUGCGAAAUCUUGAUAAGCUUAUUAAAGGUGAUCAUAUCCUUGGAAUAAAAGAUGUCAUAUUUGACAAGGAUAGACUUUGUAGUGCUUGUCAAGCAAGGAAACAAGUUGGAGGAAGUCACCACGCAAAGAACAUCAUGACCACAAGAAGACCACUCGAGCUACUUCACAUGGAUCUCUUUGGUCCACAUGCCUACAAGAGUCUCGGUGGUAACUCAUUUGGUCUAGUCAUAGUUGAUGAUUUUUCAAGAUUUACGUGGGUGUUCUUUCUUGAUGACAAAUCACAGGUCCAAAAGAUCUUCAAAAACUUUGCUAGGAAGGCCCAAAAUCAGUUUGACGUGAAGAUCAAGAAGGUUCGGAGCGACAUAGAAUGGAGUUCAAGAACGCAAAUGUGGACACCUUUCUUGACGAAGAAGGGAUUUCACACGAGUUCUCGGCUACAUACACACCUCAACAAAAUGGAGUUGUUGAAAGGAAGAACCGGACUCUUAUCGAGAUGGCAAGAAUGAUGCUUGAUGAGUACAAAACGCCAAAGCACUUUUGGGGGGAAGCGGUUGAGAUAGCUUGUCAUGCAACAAAUCGCUUGUAUCUUCACAAGCUACUCGGCAAGACGACAUACGAGCUCCUCACCGGUAACAAACCCCAAGUUGGAUACUUUCGAGUAUUCGGCUCAAAGUGCUACAUUCUUGAUAAGCAUCGUCAUUCUAAAUUUGCUCCUAAAUCUUAUGAAGGUUUCCUACUUGGUUAUGGCUCAAACUCUCACACUUACCGUGUCUACAACAAUUUCACCCGAAAGGUUGAAGAGAUGGUAGAUGUGAAGUUUGAUGAAUCUAACGGCUCGCAAGUAGAGCAAUUGCCAAUUGAUGUAGGAGGCAAAGACCCUUCGGAAGCAAUUCAAGACUUGUCCAUUGGAAAGAUUCGUCCAAAGGAAGUGAAGGAGAGUACCUCGUCCGUCCAAGUGGAAGCUUCUACCUCACGAUAAGGUGAACCAAGAGUUGAUACGGAAGCAUCCACAAGUGGGACACGCCAAGAUGAAAAAAACGAGGAAGCGCACCAAGAUGAACAUCAACAACCUCCUUCUCCACCAUGACAAGAGAACGACAACAUCAACAAUGAAGAAGGCCAAGAAGAAGCACAAGAUGAAGAGGAUGUUUCACCCCGACCCAAGCAAAAGAUUUCAUGAGUUCGAGCAAGAAUUGCUAAGGAUCAUCCCGUCGAGCAAAUCUAUAAUGAUAUCCAAACCGGGAGAAUCACUCGCUCUAAAACUCAUUUAGCUAACUUUUGUGAACAUUACUCAUUCAUCUGUAGCAUUGAACCUAUGAAGGUUGAAGAAGCAUUGGAGGAUCCGGACUGGAUAAACGCUAUGCAUGAAGAGCUACACAACUUUGAGAGAAAUCAAGUGUGGACAUUGGUCGAGAAGCCCGACAACAACCACAACAUCAUUGGUACCAAAUGGGUGUUUCGCAACAAGCAAGAUGAAGAUGGACAAGUGGUUCGCAACAAAUCACGUCUCGUCGCCCAAGGCUACACACAAGUUGAAGGUAUGGACUAUGGUGAGACAUAUGCUCCCGUUGCUAGACUUGAGUCCAUUCGCAUCUUACUUGCUUAUGCUAAUCACCAUGAUAUCACCUUGUACCAAAUGGACAUUAAAAGUGCUUUUCUAAAUGGCAAAAUUAAGGAAGAAGUUUAUGUUAAGCAACCUCCCGGCUUCGUCAAUCCUAAGAAACCUAAUCAUGUUUACAAACUUCACAAAGCCCUUUAUGGUCUUAAACAAGCUCCUAGAGCAUGGUAUAAAUGCUUGACCAAGUUCCUUAUUGAAAAAGGCUUUGAAAUUGGUAAAAUUGAUUCUACUCUUUUUACUAAAAGGGUUAAUGGAGAACUAUUUGUGUGCCAAAUUUAUGUUGAUGAUAUCAUAUUUGGUUCAACUAACCCUCAUUUUAGUGAGAAGUUUGGAAAGCUAAUGCCGGAGAAGUUUGAGAUGUCUAUGAUGAGUGAACUCAAAUUCUUUCUCGGUUUGCAAAUCAAGCAAACUAAGGAAGGUACCUUUGUCUCUCAAACGAAGUACACCAAUGACUUAUUCAAGAAGUUCAAUAUGCAAGAAUGCAAAGGUAUGACUACACCCAUGCCUACUAGUGGACAUCUUGAUUUAACCAAAGAUGGUGAACCGGUUGAUCAAAAGGUUUAUCGCUCUAUGAUUGGUUCAUUGUUAUAUCUAUGUGCCUCUCGUCCCGAUAUUAUGCUAAGUGUGUGCAUGUGUGCACGAUAUCAAGUUGCUCCUAAAGAGUGUCAUCUUAAGGCUAUGAAAAGGAUAGUGAGAUACCUAAUCCAUUCACCAGAUUUUGGCAUUUGGUAUCCCAAGAGGUCCUCUUUUGAUCUUGUUCGCUACUCCGAUUCGGACUAUGCCAGAGACAAGGUUGAUAUAAAAUCCACUUCAGGUACUUGUCAAUUCCUUGGUAGAUCUCUUGUGUCUUGGUCUUCCAAGAAACAAAACUCGUAUCCUUAUCCACCGCCGAAGCGGAAUACAUUGCCGUUGGUUCAUGUUGUGCUCAAAUACUUUGGAUGACCCAAACUCUUAAAGAUUAUGGGAUAUAUGUGAAACAUGUUCCAUUGCUAUGUGACAAUGAAAGUGCUAUUAAGAUUGCUCACAAUCCCAUGCAACAUUCUCGAACUAAGUAUAUUGAAGUUCGUCAUCAUUUCAUUCGAGAUCAUGUUGCAAAAGGGGACAUUAGCCUUAAGCACGUUCACACCGAUAAGCAACUGGCAGAUAUAUUCACUAAACCACUUGAUGAGAAAGUGUUUUGCAGGUUGAGAGGUGAAUUGAACAUCAUUGAUGCUUCAAACUUGGAGUAGGAACUCCAUUUGAUACAUGCGGGGCAUGAGCCUAUGACUAAUCCUCGAUAUUUCUCUUAUGAUGCUAUUCAUAUGUCUUGGAUAUAUUUGUACCUUGCAUGUUAUCUAACCCGUGUAGGUACUUGGUUGAAUCUAAAUCUAUGAGAUUGCAACUCACUCACAUCUUGAGCAAUCUCUACAUCACCAAGUCUCUACACAAUGGUGGUUGAAGACAAGGAAGCACGAAACCAUUCAAACAUAUCCUUUGGAAAAUUCUAUGUUGAGUCUCAUGAUUGUCAUUUUGGAUACACAAGUGCUCUUCCUUGCAAAGCUAACCCAUGUAGGUACAUGAACUCAAACUCCAAGUAGUGCUCCCAAUCCUUGAUGAACUACAUCAACCUUGACCAACCCGCACAAGUUCAACUACAUGAGCAAGAUCAACACCACCACCCAAGGUAUGUUAUUCCAUCUUAGAGAAGCUUUACUCCAAGUCAUGAGUCAAAGCAACUCGACAAGAUGUGAAUACAUCAAAAGGCUUAAACGAAAAAUGGUAACCCCAUUUUGAGCUUAAACGAUGAGUAUGACCUAUGAUGAAGUGCUCUCACUUGACUCCUAAGUCAAUAUACUCUAACAUAGGUGACUUUGUCGCCGACCAUCUCUAGAUGAAGUUCUCGUGUGUCUCUCCGUGCUUUUGUCUCUUGCAUAUUUGUUUCCCUUUUCAAAAAAAACUUCAUCUAGAACUUUUAGUUUCUUUUCUUUCCUUUUUGUUCUGCAUUUUCUGCAUCCAAUUCAUUGCAAAUCUUUCAGUAAAUUCCUUGCAUAUCCUUGUGAGAUCUUACUUUUCUAGUGAACUGAGGUGACAAGUGGUUUCACUCUGAUGAACUCGGUCACACCGGUUUGUUCUCUUCGGCCCAACCGAAAUCUUUCGGUGCAACCGAAGCACACAACUCGGAGUCACCGAUCCAUCACAGGAAAACCAACUUGCCACUUAUUCCUGAUUUCUGUUUGCUCCAGGUCCACUCAAUGAUUCUUGUCCUCUACCAGCAUCAUAUUAGACAUGCUGCUUUGCUCUGUGACUCAAGGACCAACCCAUUUGUAUCACAUGUCCAGAAGAGCCCUUCUUGGAAAUUGAUGUCAAAGGGGGGGAGAGAGAUCACAUCAAAGCUUAAUCAUUCCUAUAGGGGGAGAAAGAGAGAAUACUCAGGGGGAGAGAGUUUCUCAACUAGGAGAAAGUAAAAUCAUCAAAGACCCCAGAUGCUUGGUGUUCAAGAGGAGAGAUGUCACAUGUCUUUAAGAGGGGAAAGACAUGUUUGGUUGCUUGCUUUAGCUCAAGCUCUGUUGUUUCCUUUUUGUUGCUCUGAUUUUCUGUUCCCUAUCUUCUCCCAAUAUCCCAUGCAGAUUCAGGGGGAGCAAGACAUCUAAGGGAAGGAAAUCUCUGAUUUUAUUGCAUAUCUUUACCUUUGGGGACAUGUCUAUAUCCAAUGUGGUACUUAGUACUCACUCUACAUGUCAUCCCAGUCUUGGUUCUCUUGUGGUUUCUCUUGCUUGCUCUGGUCAGUAGGUGUAUCUGUGUUAUUUAACCUUGUUUGCGCAGGUUCAUCCCAUCCUAAGCCAACUCAAGACCACAAGGUAAGUAUAUGCAUCACAGUCAUGUGAAUGAGAAGUUCUUGCUGAUGUACAUACUGUUUGCAAGAAGGACUCAUGAGCAUGAAGGUACAUUUCUCACAUUCACAUCAUUUGCUCUGAUGCAUAUAGCCAAGAUACAUGUAACACAUUGCUUACUCUGUCAUGUUUACGCAUUCACAUGCUCCUAUAUUCAAUAUUCACAUGAUUGCAUACAUGUAGGGGGAGCCUAUGCAUGUUACAUGUCUUUCCAAAGCUUUACUUGCUAUUCUCUAUAUCUUUAUCUAAAGCUUUGAUGUAUGUUGUCAUCAAUUACCAAAAAGGGGGAGAUUGAAAGCACAAGUGCUCCCUGGGUGGUUUUGGUAAUUAAUGUCAACAUAUCUCUUGUUGGACUAACACUUUUACCUAGUAUGUUUCAGAUAAGUUCAACAAUGGAGUGGCAUGGACUAGAGGAUGUGGAACCCCUUCAAGAUGCUAAGGACAAAGGAUUGGCUCAAGCUUCAAGAUCAAGACUCUACAUUUUCUAUUUUAGUGAUCUAAGAUCACAUUGAGUCUAUAGGAAAAGCCAAUACUAUCAAGAGGGGAUGAGGUGUUGCUUAAUGGCUUGCUUGCUCAAAGUGCUUAGUGAUAUGCUCCAAAACCCUCAACUACCUUCCCACAUCCACAUAUGACCUAAACCAAAAGUCAAACUCGGCCCCACCGAUUCUUUCUAUCCGGCGCCACCGAGUUUCAAAUGUCAUAGCCACUGCCACAAACCCUAGCAAAUUGGUCUCACCAAUAGGGAUCUCGGUCUCACCGAGAUGGGAUUGUAAUCUCUCUGUUUCCCUUCGUAACGUUUCGGUCUUACUGAGAUGAGCGAUCGGUCCCACCGAGAUUGCAAUGUAAACUCUCUGUUUCCCUUUUGUAACAUUUCAAUCUCACCGAGAUGAGCGAAUCGGUCCCACCGAGUUUACCUGACCAACUCUCUGGUUAGCUUAUUACCAAAAUCGGUCCCACCGAGUUUGUGUAAUCGGUCACACCGAGAUUACGUUAUGGCCUAACCCUAACCAUAUCAUUCCUACUGAGUUGCAUCUCAGUCCCACCGAAAAUCCUAACGGUCACUAGGUUUGCUGAAUCAGUCCGACCGAGUUUAACCAUUCGGUCCCACCGAGUUUGGCAAAUUGUGUGUAACGGUUAGAUUUUGUGUGGAGGCUAUAUAUACCCCUCCACCCACUCUUCAUUCAUGGAGAGAGCCAUCAGAACAUACCUACGCUUCCUAUACACAUUUUCUAAGAGAGAACCACCUACACUUGUGUUGAGGUCAAGAUAUUCCAUUCCAACCAUAUGAAUCUUGAUCUCUAGCCUUCCCCAAGUUGCUUUCCACUCAAAUCUUCUUUCCACCAAAUCCAAAUCCUGUGAGAGAGAGAGAGAGUUGAGUGUUGGGGAUACUAUCAUUUGAAGCACAAGAGAAAGGAGUUCAUCAUCAACACACCAUUUGUUACUUCUUGGAGAGUGGUGUCUCCUAGAUUGGCUAGGUGUCACUUGGGAGCCUCCAACAAGAUUGUGGAGUUGAACCAAGGAGUUUGUAAGGGCAAGGAGAUCGCCUACUUCGUGAAGAUCUACCGCUAGUGAGGCAAGUCCUUCGUGGGCGACGGCCGUGAUGGAAUAGACAAGGUUGCUUCUUCGUGGACCCUUCGUGGGUGGAGCCCUCCAUGGACUCGCGCGACCGUUACCCUCCGUGGGUUGAAGUCUCCAUCAACGUGGAUGUACGGUAGCACCACCUAUCGGAACCACGACAAAAACAUCCGUGUCUCCAAUUGCGUUUGAAUACUCCAAACCCUUCUCUUUACAUUCUUGCAAGUUGCAUGCUUUACUUUUCGCAGCUCAUAUACUCAUUGCAUGCUUGCUUGAUAUGUAUUGUGUUUGUUAAACUUGUGCUUAAACUCCACUUAAACUUAAGAAUAUUAAAAACUGCAACUUUUGGCACUUAGUGUCUAAUCACCCCCCUCUAGACACCUCUUCUCGAUCCUUUCACAAUCCCUUCACGGUCACUUACGAGAGUGAGAUAUGAUAAAUAUAAUAUUUUUGGUAUUUUUGGUAUAAAGAUGCAAAGUAAAAAGUAAAAGCAAAGCAAGAUUAAAGUGAUGGAGAUUGAUAUGAUGAGAAUAGACCCGGGGGCCAUAGGUUUCACUAGUGGCUUCUCUCAAGAGCAUAAGUAUUCUACGGUGGGUGAACAAAUUACUGUUGAGCAAUUGACAUAAUUGAGCAUAGUUAUGAGAAUAUCUAGGCAUGAUCAUGUAUAUAGGCAUCACGUCCGUGACAAGUAGAUCGAAACGAUUCUGCAUCUACUACUAUUACUCCACUCAUCGACCGCUAUCCAGCAUGCAUCUAGAGUAUUAAGUGAAAAACAGAGUAACGCCUUAAGCAAGAUGACAUGAUGUAGAGAGAUAAAUUCAUGCAAUAUGAAAUAAAACCCAUCUUGUUAUCCUCGAUGGCAACGAUACAAUACGUGCCUUGCUGCCCCUUCUGUCACUGGGUAAGGACACCGCAAGAUCGAACCCAAAGCUAAGCACUUCUCCCAUGGCAAGAACUACCAAUCUAGUUGGCCAAACCAAACGGAUAAUUCGAAGAGACUUGCAAAGAUAACCAAUCAUACAUAAAAGAAUUCAGAGAAGAUUCAAAUAUUAUUCAUAGAUAGACUUGAUCAUAAACCCACAAUUCAUCAGUCUCAACAAACACACCGCAAAAAGAAGAUUACAUUGAAUAGAUCUCCACAAGAGAGGGGGAGAACUUUGUAUUGAGAUUCAAAGAGAGAGAAGAAGCCAUCUAGGUACUAACUAUGGACCCGAAGGUCUUAGGUAAACUACUCACACUUCAUCAGAGAGGCUAUGAUGAUGUAGAAGCCCCCCGUGAUGACGGCCCUCUUCUGGCGGAGCUCCGGAACAGGCCCCAAGAUGGGAUCUCGUGGAUAUAGAAAGUUGCGGCGGUGGAAUUAGGUUUUUGGCUCCUAUUCUGAUCGUUUGGGGGUACGUGUGUAUAUAUAGGAGGAAGAAGUACGCCGGAGGAGCAACAAGGGGCCCACGAGGCAGGGGGCGCGCCCUGGGGGGGCACCCUCGUGACCGCCUCUUUUGUUCCUUGGAGCUGGGUCCAAGUCUCCUGGAUCACGUUCGGUGAGAAAAUCACGUUCCCGAAGAUUUUAUUCCGUUUGGACUCCGUUUGAUAUUCCGUUUAUGUGAAACACUAAAAUAGGCAAAAAAACAACAAUUUUGGGCUGGGCCUCCGGUUAAUAGGUUAGUCCCAAAAAUAAUAUAAAAGUGGAAAAUAAAGCCCAAUAUAGUCCAAAACAGUAGAUAAUAUAGCAUGGAGCAAUCAAAAAUUAUAGAUACGUUGGAGACGUAUCACCGACCGCUUGGAGAUUACGGCGGCCCCGCAGUCGGACAUCUCCCCGGCCCUCGGCCCCAGCUGCUUCAAAGAGAAGAAGUGCACCCAGAGAUCGAUGGAGGGCUCGACCCCCAGGUACCCCCGUAGAGGGUGACGAAGCCUGAAAGCUGCACAAUGGCGCCCGCGCCAAGAUGAUGGGGCUGGAGCCGUGAUGUCUACUACACAACCUUCUUCUUGUAGAUGUUGUUGGGCCUCCAAGUGUAGAGGUUUGUAGGACAGUAGCAAAUUUCCAUCAAGUGGAUGACCUAAGGUUUAUCAAUCCGUGGGAGGUGUAGGAUGAAGAUGGUCUCUCUCAAACAACACUGCAACCAAAUAACAAAGAGUCUCUUGUGUCCCCAACACACCCAAUACAAUGGUAAAUUGUAUAGGUGCACUAGUUCAGCGAAGAGAUGGUGAUACAAGUGCAAUAUGGAUGGUAGAUAUAGGUUUUUGUAAUCCAAAAAUAUAAAAACAGCAAGGUAGCUAAUGAUAAAAGUGAUCGUAAAUGGUAUUGCAAUACUAGGAAACAAGGCCUAGGGUUCAUACUUUCACUAGUGCAAGUUCUCUCAACAAUAAUAACAUAAUUGGAUCAUAUAACUAUCCCUCAACAUGCAACAAAGAGUCACUCCAAAGUCACUAAUAGCGGAGAACAAACGAAGAGAUUAUUGUAGGGUACGAAACCACCUCAAAGUUAUUCUUUCUGAUCGAUCUAUUCAAGAGUCCGUAGUAAAAUAACACGAAGCUAUUCUUUCCGUUCAAUCUAUCAUAGAGUUCGUACUAGACUAACAUCUUAAGAAACAAAUCAACCAAAACCCUAAUGUCACCUAGAUACUCCAAUGUCACCUCAAGUAUCUGUGGGUAUGAUUAUACGAUAUGCAUCACACAAUCUCAGAUUCAUCUAUUCAACCAACACAAAGAACUUCAGAGAGUGCCCCAAAGUUUCUACCGGAGAGUCAAGACGAAAACAUGUGCCAACCCCUAUGCAUAAGUUCACGAGGUCACGGAACUCGCAAGUUGAUCACCAAAACAUACAUCAAAUGGAUCACGUGAUAUCCCAUUGUCACCACAGAUAAGCACAUGCAAGACAUACACCAAGUGUUCUCAAAUCCUUAAAGACUCAAUCUGAUAAGAUAACUUCAAAGGGAAAACUCAAUCCAUCACAAGAGAGUAGAGGGGGAGAAACAUCAUAAGAUCCAACUAUAAUAGCAAAGCUCGAGAUACAUCAAGAUCGUGCCGAAUCAAGAACACGAGAGAGAGAGAGAUCAAACACAUAGCUACUGGUACAUGCCCUUAGCCCCAAGGGUGAACUACUCCCUCCUCAUCAUGGAGAGCGCCGGGAUGAUGAAGAUGUCCACUGGAGAGGGAUUCCCCCCUCCGACAGGGUGCCGGAAUGGGUCUAGAUUGGUUUUUGGUGGCUACGGAGGCUUGUGGCGACGAAACUCCCGAUCUAGGUUAUGUUCUGGAGGUUUCAGUAUAUAUAAGAGGUUUUGGCGUCGAGAACAAGUCAGGGGGGUCUCCGGGCUGUCCACGAGGUAGGGAGGCACGUCUAGGGGGGUGGGCGCGCCCCCCACCCUCGUGGGCAACCCGGGACUCUUCUGGCCCAACUCUUUUACUCCAUGUCCUUCUUCUGGUCCAAAAAUAAGUUCCAUGAAGUUUCAGGUCAAUUGGACUCCGUUUGGUUUUCCUUUUCUGCGAUACUGAAAAACAAGGAAAAAACAGAAACUGGCACUGGGCUCUACGUUAAUAGGUUAGUCCCAAAAAUCAUAUAAAAUAGCAUAUAAAUGCAUAUAAAACAUCCAAGGUUGAUAAUAUAAUAGCAUGGAACAAUAAAAAAUUAUAGAUACGUUGGAGACGUAUCAAGCAUCCCCAAGCUUAAUUCCUGCUCGUCCUCGAGUAGGUAAAUGAUAAAAACAGAAUUUUUGAUGUGGAAUGCUACCUAACAUAUUUAUCUAUGUAAUUCUCUUUAUUGUGGCAAGAAUAUUCAGAUCCAUAAGAUUCAGGACAAAAGUUUAAUAUUGACAUAAAAAUAAUAAUACUUCAAGCAUACUAACUAAGUAGUCAUGUCUUCUCAAAAUAACAUGGCCAAAGAAAGCUUAUCCCUACAAAAUCAUAUUGUUUGGCUAUGCUUCAUUUUGGUCACACAAAAAUGCCCCCAUCAUGCACAACCCCGAUGACAAGCCAAGCAAUUGUUUCAUACUUUAGUAAUCUCAAACUUUUUUCAACUUUCACGCAAUACAUGAGCGUGAGCCAUGGAUAUAGCACUAUGGGUGGAAUAGAGUAUAAUGAUGGAGGUUGUGUGGAGAAGAGAAAAAGGGAGAAAGUCUCACAUUGACGCGGCUAAUCAACGGGCUAUGGAGAUGCCCAUAAAUUGAUGUCAAUGCGAGGAGUAGGGAUUGCCAUGCAACGGAUGCACUAGAGCUAUAAAUGUAUGAAAUCUCAACAAAAGAAACUAAGUGUGUGUGCAUCCAACUUGCUUGCUCACGAAGACCUAGGGCAUUUGAGGAAGCCCAUUGUUGGAAUAUACAACUAAGUUCUAUAAUGAAAAAUUCCCACUAGUAUAUGAAAGUGACAAAACAAGAGACUCUCUAUCAUGAAGAUCAUGGUGCUACUUUGAAGCACAAGUGUGGAAAAAAGAUAGUAGAACUGUCCCUUCUUAUUUUAUAUAUUUUUUCUUUUUUUAUUUGGCAUUUCUUUUUUUAUUUUUUAUUUGGCCUUUCCUUUUUUGGCCUUUUUUUCUGGGACAAUGCUCUAUUAAUGAUGAUCAUCACACUUCUAUUUAUUUACAACUCAAAGAUUACAACUUGAUACUAGAACAAAAUAUGACUCUAUAUGCAUGCCUCCGACGGUGUACCAGAAUGGGCAAUGAAUCGAGAGUGACAUGUAUGAUAAAUUAUGCAUGGUGGCCUUGCCACAAAUACGAUUUCAACUACAUGAUCAUGCAAGGCAAUAUGACAAUGAUGAUGUGUGUCAUGAUGAACGGAACGGUGGAGAGUUGCAUGGCAAUAUAUCUCGGAAUGGCUAUGGAAAUGCCAUAAUAUGUAGGUAUGGUGGUUGUUUUGAGGAAGAUAUAAGGAGGUUUAUGUGUGACAGAGUGUAUCAUAUCACGGGGUUUGGAUGCACCGGCGAAGUUUGCACCAACUCUCGAGGUGAGAAAGGGCAAUGCACGGUACCGAAGAGGCUAGCAAUGAUGGAAGGGUGAGAGUGCAUAUAAUCCAUGGACUCAACAUUAGUCAUAAAGAACUCACAUACUUAUUGCAAAAAUCUACAAGUCAUCAAAAACCAAGCACUACACGCAUGCUCCUAGGGGGAUAGAUUGGUAGUAAAAGACCAUCGCUCGUCCCCGACCGCCACUCAUAAGGAAGGCAAUCAAAGAAACACCGCAUGCUUCAAAUUUGUCACACAACGGUUAUCAUACAUGCAUGCUACGGGACUAGGAAACCUCAACAAAAGUAUUUAUCAAAUUCAGAGUUACUCAACUAGCAUGACUCUAAUAUUGCCAUCUUCAUAUCUCAAAAUAAUUACCAAGUAUCAAAGUUCUCAUAGUAUUCAAUGCACUUAUAUGAAAGUUUUUAUUAUAUCCCUCUCGGAUGUCUAACAUAUUAGGACUAAAUUCAUAACCAAUGCAAACUACCAUGCUGUUUAGAGACUCUCAAAAUGAUACAAGUGAAGCAUGAGAGUUCAUCUAUUUCUUCAAAAUAAAACCACCGCCGUGCUCUAAAAGGAUAUAAGUGAAGCACUAGAGCAAAUGACAAACUACUCCAAAAGAUAUAAGUGAAGAUCAAUGAGUAGUCGAAUAAUUAUGCAACUAUGUGAAGAAUCUCUAACAUUUAAUAAUUUCAGAUCUUGGUAUUUUAUUCAAACAUCAAGCAAAACAAAAUAAAAUAAAACAACGCUCCAAGCAAAACACAUAUCAUGUGGUGAAUAAAAAUAUAGCCUCAAGUAAAGUUACCGAUGAACGAAGACGAAAGAGGGGAUGCCAUCCGGGGCAUCCCCAAGCUUAGGCUCUUGGUUGUCCUUGAAUAUUACCUUGGGGUGCCUUGGGCAUCCCCAAUCUUAGGCUCUUGCCACUCCUUAUUCCAUAUUCCAUUGAAUCUUUACCCAAAACUUGAAAAUUUCACAACACAAAACUUAACAAAAAACUUGUAAGCUCUGUUAGUAUAAGAAAAUAAAUCACCACUUAGGUACUGUUGUGAACUCUUUCUAAAUUCAUAUUGGUGUAAUAUCUACUGUAUUCCAACUUCUCUAUGGUUCAUACCCUCCGAUACUACUCAUAGAUUCAUCAAAAUAAGCAAACAACACAUAGAAAACAGAAUCUGUCAAAAACAGAACAGUCGGUAGUAAUCUGUAUCAAACGUAUACUUAUGGAACUCAAAAAAUUCUUAAAUAAAUUGGUGGACGUGAGGAAUUUGUCUAUUAAUCAUCUUCAAAAAGAAUCAACCUAAUCGCACUCUCCAGUAAAAAAUGGCAGCAAAUCUCGUGAGCGCUAAAGUUUCUAUUUUUUACAGCAAGAUCACAAAGACUUCACCCAAGUCUUCCCAAAGGUUCUACUUGGCACAAACACUAAUUAAAACAUAAAACUACAUCUAAACAGAGUCUAGAUUAAUUAUUUAUUAUUAAACAGGAGCAAAAAGAAAAGAACAAAAAUAAGAUUGGGUUGCCUCCCAACAAGCGCUAUCGUUUAACGCCCCUAGCUAGGCAUGAUGAUUUCAAUGAUGCUCACAUAAAAGAUAAGAAUUGUAACAUAAAGAGAGCAUCAUGAAGAAUAUGACUAUCACAUUUAAGCCUAACCCACUUCCUAUGCAUAGGGAUUUUGUGAGAAAACAACUUAUGGGAACAAUAAUAAACUUGCAUAGGAAGGUAAAACAAGCAAAUCUUCAAGAUUUUCAACACAUAGAGAGGAAACUUGAUACUAUUGCAAUUCCUACAAGCAUAUAUUCCUACCUCAUAAUAAUUUUCAGUAGCAUUAUGAAUGAAUUCAACAAUAUAGCUAUGACAUAAAGCAUUAUUUUCAUGAUGCAUAAGCAUAGAAAUUUUAUUACUCUCCACAUAAGCAAAUUUAUUGUCAUGGAUAAUAGUGGGAGCAAACUCAACAAAAUAACUAUCAUGUGAGGCAUAAUCCAAUUGAAAAUUAAAAUCAAGAUGACAAGUUUCAUGGUUAUCACUAUUCUUUAUAGCAUACAUGUCAUCACAAUAAUCAUCAUAGAUAGCAACUUUGUUCACAUAAUCAAUUGGAACCUCUUCCGAAAUAGUGGAUUCAUCACUAAAUAACGUCAUGACCUCUCCGAAACCACUUUCAUCAAUAUAAUCAUCAUAAAUAGGAGGCAUGCUUUGAUCAUAAUAAAUAUUCUCAUCAAAACUCAGGGGACUAAAAAUAUCAUAUUCAUCAAACAUAGCAUCCCCAAGCUUGUAGCUUUGCAUAUCAUUAGCAUCAUGGAUAUUCAAGGAAUUCAUACUAACAACAUUGCAAUCAUGCUCACCAUCCAAAGAUUUAGUGCCAAACAUUUUAAUGCAUUCUUCUUCUAACACUUUGGCACAAUUAUCGGAAUCCUUAUUUUCAUGAAAGACAUUAAAAAGAUGAAGCAUAUGAGGUAACCUCAAUUCCAUUUUUUGUGUAGUUUUCUUUUAUAAACUAAACUAGUGAUAAAACAAGAAACUAAAAGAUUUGAUUGAAAGAUUUAAAGAUAUACCUUCAAGGGCUAACCUCCCCGGCAACGGCGCCAGAAAAGAGCUUGAUGUCUACUACACAACCUUCUUCUUGUAGACGUUGUUGGGCCUCCAAGUGCGGAGGUUUGUAGGACAGUAGCAAAUUUCCCUCAAGUGGAUGACCUAAGGUUUAUCAAUUCAAGGGAGGCAUAGGAUGAAGAUGGUCUCUCUCAAACAACACUGCAACCAAAUAACAAAGAGUCUCUUAUGUUCCCAACACACCCAAUACAAUGGUAAAUUGUAUAGGUGCACUAGUUCAACGAAGAGAUGGUGAUACAAGUGCAAUAUGGAUGGUAGAUAUAGGUUUUUGUAAUCUAAAAAUAUAAAAACAGCAAGGUAGCUAAUGAUAAAAGUGAGCGUAAACGGUAUUGCAAUGCUAGGAAACAAGGCCUAGGGUUCACACUUUCACUAUUGCAAGUUCUCUCAACAAUAAUAACAUAAUUGGAUCAUAUAACUGUCCCUCAACAUGCAACAAAGAGUCACUCCAAAGUCACUAAUAGCGGAGAACAAACGAAGAGAUUAUUAUAGGGUACGAAACCACCUCAAAGUUAUUCUUUCUGAUCGAUCUAUUCAAGAGUCCGUAGUAAAAUAACACGAAGCUAUUCUUUCUGUUCAAUCUAUCAUAGAUUUCGUACUAGAAUAACACCUUAAGACACAAAUCAACCAAAACCCUAAUGUCACCUAGAUACUCCAAUGUCACCUCAAGUAUCCGUGGGUAUGAUUAUACGAUAUGCAUCACACAAUCUCAGAUUCAUCUAUUCAACCAACACAAAGAACUUCAAAGAGUGCCCCAAAGUUUCUACCAGAGAGUCAAGACGAAAACGUGUGCCAACCCCUAUGCAUAAGUUCACGAGGUCACGGAACUCGCAAGUUGAUCACAAAAACAUACAUCAAGUGGAUCACGUGAUAUCCCAUUGUCACCACAGAUAAGCACAUGCAAGACAUACAUCAAGUGUUCUCAAAUCCUUAAAGACUCAACCCGACAAGAUAACUUCAAAGGAAAAACAAUCCAUCACAAGAGAGUAGAGGGGGAGAAACAUCAUAAGAUCCAACUAUAAAAGCAAAGCUCGCGAUACAUCAAGAUCGUGCCGAAUCAAGAACACGAGAGAGAGAGAUCAAACACAUAGCUACUGGUACAUACCCUCAGCCCCGAGGGUGAACUACUCCCUCCGUGUCAAGGAGAGCGCCGGGAUGAUGAAGAUGGCCACCGGAGAGGGAUUCCUGUUGGGGAACGUAGUAAUUUCAAAAAAAAUCCUACGCACACACACAGGAUCAUGGUGAUGCGUAGCAACGAGAGGGGAGAGUGUGUCUACGUACCCUCGUAGACCGAAUGUGGAAGCAUUAGCAUAACGCGGUUGAUGUAGUCGUACGUCUUCAUGAUCCAACCGAUCCAAGUACCGAACGCACGGCACCUCCGACUUCUGCACAUGUUCAACUCGAUGAUGUCCCGCGAGCUCCGAUCCAGCAAAGCUUCACGCGAGAGUUUCGUCAUCACGACGGCGUGGUGACGGUGAUGAUGAUGCUACCGACGCAGGGCUUCGCCUAAGCACCGCUACGAUAUUAUCGAGGUGGAUUGUGGUGGAGGGGGGCACUGCACACGGCUAAGAGAUCAAUGAUCAAUUGUGUGUCUAUGGGGUGCCCCUGCCCCCGUAUAUAAAGAGCAAGGGGAGGAGGUGGCCGGCCAGGGAGAGGUGCGCCAAGAGGGGGAGUAGGAGAGGGGGAAGGAAAGGGAGAGGAGGAGAAGGAAAGAGGGGCCCGACCCCCUUGCCCUAAACCAAUUUGGUUUGGGCCUUGGGGGGGGGGGCGCCCUACACUCUCCUUGCUGCCCUCUAUUUCCACUAAGGCCCAUGUAGGCCCAUUAAGCCCCCCGGGGGGUUCCGGUAACCCCCCGGUACUCCGGUAUAUGUCCGAAACCUUCCAGAACCUUUUCGGUGUCCGAACAUAGUCGUUCAAUAUAUCGAUCUUUACAUCUCGACCAUUUUGAGACUCCUUUACAUGCACGUGAUCACAUCCGGGACUCUGAACUACCUUCGGUACAUCAAAACACAGAAACUCAUAAUAUCGAUCGUCACCAAACUUUAAGCGUGCGGACCCUAUAGGUUCGAGAACUAUGUAGACAUGACCGAGACACAUCUCCGGUCAAUAACCAAUAGCGGAACCUGGAUUCUCAUAUUGGUUCCCACAUAUUCUACGAAGAUCUUUAUCGGUCAAACCGCAUAGCAACAUACGUUGCUCCCUUUGUCAUCGGUAUGUUACUUGCCCGAGAUUGUAUCUCAACACCUAGUUCAAUCUCAUUACCGGCAAGUCUCUUUGCUUGUUCUGUAAUACAUCAUCCCGCAACUAACUCAUUAGUUACAAUGCUUGCAAGGCUUAUAGUGAUGUGCAUUACCGAGUGGGCCCAGAGAUACCUCUCCGACAAUCGGAGUGACAAAUCCUAAUCUCGAAAUACGCCAACUCAACAAGUACCUUCGGAGACACCUAUAGAGCACCUUUAUAAUCACCUAGUUACAUUGUGACGUUUGGUAGCACACAAAGUGUUCCUCCGGUAAACGGGAGUUGCAUAAUCUCAUAGUCAUAGGAACAUGUAUAAGUCAUGAAUAAAGCAGUAGCAACAUACUAAAUGAUCAAGUGCUAAGCUAACGGAAUGGGUCAAGUCAAUCACAUCAUUCUAUAAUGAUGUGAUCUUGUUAAUCAAAUGACAACUCAUGUCUAUGGUUAGGAAACAUAACCAUCAUUGAUUCAACGAGCUAGUCAAGUAGAGGCAAACUAGUGACACUCUGUUUGUCUAUGUAUUCACACAUGUACUAAGUUUCCGGUUAAUACAAUUCUAGCAUGAAUAAUAAACAUUUAUCAUGAUAUAAGGAAAUAAAUAAUAACUUUAUUAUUGCCUCUAGGGCAUAUUUCCUUUAGUCUCCCACUUGCACUAGAGUCAGUAAUCUAGUUCACAUCGCUAUGUGAUUAACACCCAAAGAGUGAUCAUGUUUUGCUUGUGAGAGAAGUUUAGUCUACGGGUCUGCAACAUUCAGAUCCGUAUGUAUUUCACAAAUUUCCAUGUCUACAAUGCUCUGCAUGGAGCUACUCUAGCUAAUUGCUCCCACUUUCAAUAUGUAUCCAGAUCGAGACUUAGAGUCAUCUAGAUCGAUGUAAAAGCUUGCAUCGACGUAACUCUUUACGAUGAACUCUUUUAUCACCUCCAUAACCGAGAUAUAUUUCCUUAGUAAUCUAAGGAUAAUUUUGAACGCUGUCCAGUGAUCUACUCUUAGAUCACUAUUGUACUCCCUUGCCAGAAUGAUGCUAAGGUAUACAAUAGGACUGGUAAACAGCAUAUCAUACUUUAUAGAACCUAUGACUGAGGCAUAGGGAAUGCCUUUUCAUUCUCUUUCUAUUUUCUGCUGUGGUCAGGUUUUGAGUCUUUACUUAACUUCACACCUUGCAACACAGGCAAGAACUCCUUCUUUGACCGUUCCAUUUUGAACUACUUCAAAAUCUUGUCAAGGUAUGUACUCAUUGAAAAACUUAAGCGUCUUGAUCUAUCUCUAUAGAUCUUGAUGCUAAAUGUAAGUAGCUUCAUCGAGGUCUUUCUUUGAAAAACUCUUUUCAAAUACUCCUUUAUGCUUUCCAGAAAAUUCUACAUUAUUUCCGAUCAACAAUAUGUCAUUCACAUAUACUUAUCAGAAAUGUUGUAGUGCUCCCACUCACUUUCUUGUAAAUACAGGCUUCACCGCAAGUCUGUAUAAAACCAUAUGCUUUGAUCACUUUAUCAAAGCAUAUAUUCCAACUCCGAGAUGCCUGCACCAGUCCAUAGAUGGAUCGCUGGAGCUUGAUCACUUUGUUAACACCUUUUAGGAUCGAAAAAACCUUCUGGUUGCAUCAUAUACAACUCUUCUUUAAGAAAUCCCUGAAGGAAUACAAUUUUGACAUCCAUUUGCCAGAUUUCAUAAAAUGCGGCAACUGCUAACAUGAUUCGGACAGAUUUUAAGCAUCUAUAUGAGUGAGAAAAUCUCAUCAUAGUCAACACUUUGAACUUGUCGAAAACAUUUUGCGACAAUUCGAGCUUUGUAGAUAGUAACACUACUAUCAGCGUCCGUCUUCCUCUUGAAGAUCCAUUUAUUCUUAAUGACUCACCGAUCGUCGGUCAAGUCAAUCAAAGUCCAUACUUUGUUCUCAUACAUGGACCCCAUCUCAGAUUUCAUGGUGUCGGUGUCAAAACCGGCGGAUCUCGGGCAGGGGGUCCCGAACUGUGCGUCUAAGGCGGAUGGUAACAGGAGGCGGAGGACACGAUGUUUACCCAGGUUCGGGCCCUCUUGAUGGAGGUAAUACCCUACGUCCUGCUUGAUUGUUCUUGAUAAUAUGAGUGUUACAAGAGUUGAUCUACCACGAGAUCAGAGAGGCUAAACCCUAGAAGCUAGCCUAUGGUAUGAUUGCAUGUUGUCCUAUGGACUAAAACCGUCCGGUUUAUAUAGACACCGGAGGGGGCUAGGGUUACACAAGGUUGGUUACAAAGGAGGAGUAUACAUAUCCGUAUUGCCUAGCUUGCCUUCCACGCCAAGUAGAGUCCCAUCCGGACACGAGACGAAGUCUUCAAUCUCGUAUCUUCAUAGUCCAACAGUCCGGCCAAAGGAUAUAGUCCGGCUGUCCGUAGACCCCCUAAUCCAGGACUCCCUCAGUAGCGCGUGAACCAGGUUUCAAUGAUGAUGAGUCCGAUGCGCAGUGUUGUCUUCGGCAUUGCAAGGCGGGUUCCUCCUCUGAAUACACCCUGGAAGAGUUUGAAUACAAGGACAGUGUCCGACCCUGCAAAAUAUGUUCCACAUACCACCAUAGAGAGAAUAAUAUUUCCACAAAUCUAAUCUGUUGACACGUUUUGACAACAUGACGUCACGCCAUGGCCUGGUCAUUAUUCGAACCGUUUUUCUCAACCAGCUCUGCACAUAACGCGAGGCGGUUUUCUUGACACGUCUUGUCAAAGCAGAGAUCAUGUUCCCCUUAUCACGAGAUUCUCAUCAAUACGGACGUGGGUAACCCAACCACGCCAUCAAUUACGGCGCCUGGGGAAUAAGCAGUUUUGCCAGGCAAGUGGGGAGAGACGUCGCCUCUUCCGCCCUUAUAAAGGGACAAAGAUUUACUUUUUUCACCCACACCUUCUUUCUCCUUGCUUACCCAUUCCCGCACACUCGAGAUCUAGCGCCCAAGCUCGCGUUCUUCUUCUCAAACCACUCCAAGCAUGUCUGAAGCAGGAGGCAAGUGGAUGGUCUCCUCCGUCAUGGAGGAGAACAUCAAAAAGUUAUGGGAAGCCGGAUACCUGGCUACGGAUAUUGCGCACCGGCUGCCAAAUGCGGGGCAUAUCGUACCAACGCUCAAACCCCAUGAGAGGGUAGUUUUUCUUACCCAUUUUGUCCGCGGACUGGGAUUUCCUCUCCACCCCUUUGCCCGCGAGCUCAUGUUCUACUAUGGGCUGGAUUUUCAUGAUCUGGCCCCCAAUUUCAUUCUCAACAUCUCGGCGUUUAUCGUCGUGUGUGAGGCCUUCCUCCGCAUCAAGCCCCACUUCGGCCUAUGGAUGAAAACCUUUAAUGUUAAACCGAAGGUGGUAGGUGGCCAACAAGCAGAGUGCCAUGGUGGGCAAGAUGCCUAAUGUCACCUGGCUCAAGGGUACCUAUGUGGAUACCAUAAAGGGGUGGCAAUCGGGGUGGUUCUACAUCACUGAUCCGCGCGACUCCAACUGGGUGGCGGCCCCCAAAUUUCAAUCCGGAAUCCCCACGCGGCUUACCUCCUGGAAAGAGAAGGGCCUGUCUUGGGGUUCGUCGGUAGAGCUGACCGGACUCCGGACCUGCAUCCAGAACAUGACGAACAAGAAAAUCAAGCUUGUCAACGUGGUCCAGGUUAUGCUCUUCUGCCGGAUCCUUCUGUGUCAACGACGGGCAUUCAAUUUGUGGAAGUUCGACUCGGCCAAGCACCAGACGCUGCGAGAGCUCUAUGACACGAUGCACGAGGACGUCUGGAGGGUGCUGUUCAAGAGUGCCGAGAUUCCUCCCUCCCUCACCGAGGACCGCAGACUCAGCGCAAAGCGCCGCGCCAAUCCGGUAGGCUUUUUAUAUCUCUCAGGGUAUCUAUUUGCCGCAGGAUCUGAACUUCCAUGUCAUUAACAAGACUGGAUAGAGACGACGGAGCAGCUUGAUAGCCCAGCCCCACUGCCCAAAGAUCCUGCAGAUGCUCUUCUAACGAAGAUGCUGACUCCGGCACCCUACGAGGUGCCGGAAAAGAAGACCAAGAAGAAGGCCGCGGGGGCCCGAAAGGGUCUCCGGCGCAAGGUUGUACCGGAGUCAUCGGACGAUGACUCCGACGCGCACUCCUCCCACGGAAACGAGGAGGAGGAGGAGGAGAAAAGUUCUCCCUCCCAGCCGGGGAAGACAAGAAAAGGAAGGUCGACCCAUCCGGGGAGGCCGAAGGGUCCAAGAAGGGAAGGACCCUCCCUUCGGACUGCGCCACAACGGCCGCCGACUGUGGCGACGAGUGGCUACCCAGGGCCAAGCCCCUGGCGAAAUCGUAAGUGUCCGAAUACCAUAGUACUUCAUGGUAUGUUCUAUUACACUGCCUCUCCUCAUGCCGAACAUGAUUAUGCAAUCCGUUCCGAGCUCACCUCGACGUAUCCUCGUCGAGCGGCUCUCUGGACUCGUCGGAUAUGAACAUCGGUUCUCUCCCAACCGCUACCACCUCUCGCCCUACGGACAAUGCUGAGGUGUUGUCUCAAAAGGCACCGAGCCAAGGGGAGGUGGUCCUAGGGGCGCCUAGAGGCGACUUCCCGAACCUUGGGUACCAAGGGAGCGAGGCCCCUACGGGUUUUGAGUUCUGCCCCCAGCCGAAUACUGCACCGGAACCUUCGAUGGUUCCGGACUCCGGCAGGCGGUCCCUCUUUAGGGAGGGCCAACCAUCCGUGCCGGUGUCCUCUGUCCAACCAGAGGUACCGGACAACCUUCUGGAAGCGCUUCACAGCGCUUCCAUCGAAGAAGAGCACCGCGCUAUGAUACGUCUCCGUCGUAUCUAUAAUUUUUGAUUGUUCCAUGCCAAUAUUAUUCAACUUUCAUAUACUUUUUGGCAACUUUUUAUACUAUUUUUGGGACUAACAUAUUGAUCCAGUGCCCAGUGCCAGUUCUUGUUUGUUGCAUGUUUUUUGUUUCAAAGAAAACCCAUACCAAACGGAGUCCAAACGGAAUAAAAACUGACGGAGAUUUAUUUUGGAAUAUUUAUGAAUUUUGGGAAGUGGAAUCAUUGUGAGACGGUGCCCGAGGGGGGCACGAGGUAGGGGGGCGCACCCCAGGGUGUCAGGCGCGCCCCUGACCCUCGUGGACACCCCGUAAGGAGGUUGGUGCCCUUCUUUCGCCACAAGAAAGCUAAUUUCCGGAUAGAGAUCAUGUCCAAAAUUCAGCCCAAUCGGAGUUACGGAUCUCCGGAAAUUUAAGAAACGGUGAAGGGCCAGAAAACAGAACGCAGAAUCAGAGAGAAACAGAGAGAUAGAUCCAAUCUCGGAGGGGCUCUCGCCCCUCCCACGCCAUGGAGGCCAAGGACCAUGGGGGAAACCCUUCUCCUAUCUAGGGAGAAGGUCAAGGAAGAAGAAGAAGGAGGGGGCUCUCUCCCCUCGCUUCCGGUGGCACCGGAGUGCCACUGGGGGCCAUCAUCAUCACCACCAUCUUCACCAACAACUUCACCGUCAUCAUCACCAACUCUUCCCCCCUCUAUGCAGCGGUGUAACCUCUCUCUUACCCGCUGUAAUCUCUACUUAAACAUGGUGCUCAAUGCUAUAUAUUAUUUCCCAAUGAUGUAUGGCUAUCCUAUGAUGUUUGAGUAGAUCUGUUUUGUCCUAAUGGCUAUUUGAUGAUCAAGAUUGGUUUGAGUUGUAUGUUUUAUUAUUGGUGCUGUCCUAUGGUGCUCUCCAUGUAGCGCAAGCGUGAGAUAUUACCGCUGUAGGGUUUGCAAUAUGUUCAUGAUUUGCUUAUGGUGGGUGGCGUGAGUGACAGAAGCACAGACCAGAGUAAGUAGGUUGUUUGCGUAUGGGAUAAAGGGGACUUGAUACUUUAAUGCUAUGGUUGGGUUUUACCUUAAUGAAUCUUUAGUAGUUGCGGAUGCUCGCUAGAGUUCCAAUCAUAAGUGCAUAUGAUCCGAGUAGAGAAAGUAUGUUAGCUUAUGCCUCUCCCUCAAAUAAAAUUGCAAUAAUGAUUACCGGUCUAGUUAUCGAUUGCCUAGGGACAAAUAACUUUCUUGUUGACAAAAGCUCUCUACUAAAACUAAUUUAGUCAUGUCUUUAUCUAAACAGCCCCUAGCUUUUAUUUUCGUGUUCUUUACUUUCUUGCAAGCUUACCCAAAAACACCUACAAAGUACUUCUAGUUUCAUACUUGUUCUAGGUAAAGCGAACGUCAAGCAUGCGUAGAGUUGUAUCGGUGGUCGAUAGAACUUGAGGGAAUAUUUGUUCUACCUUUAGCUCCUCAUUGGGUUCGACACUCUUACUUAUCGAAAGAGGCUACAAUUGAUCCCCUAUACUUGUGGGUUAUCAAGACCUUUUUCUGGCGCCGUUGCCGGGGAGCAAUAGCGUGGGGUGAAUAUUAUAGUGUAUGCUUGUUUGCUUUAUCACUAAGUAAUUUUUAUUUGCUGUUCUUAGUUGUUUUCUAUCUUUAGUUAUGGGUAGGAAACACAAAAUACCAAAAAAAAUAGUUGUACCUACUGAACCAAUGGUUGAAGAACAACUCAAAAUCUAUCACACCGCUGAAGCUUAACACCUAUCCGGAUAGCUCUGAGUAGAGAUACCGGAUACGUAUAAUGGAGCAACAAUUUAGAAUAGCUCCAAGUAGAACAGUUAUUUGGAGUGGCUCCAAAUGUAGCGUAGUAGUUGCAUCUACAAGAUGACAUAGAGAUUUGCGAAGUACAUACGGAUCUGAAAGAUUCAGACCCGUUGACUAUAACAUCUCUCACAAGCAUAACAUGAUCAAACCCAGAACUCAUUGAGUGUUAAUCACAUAUCGAUGUGAACUAGAUUAUUGACUCUAGUAAACUCUUUGGGUGUUAGUCACAUGGGGAUGUGACCUUGAGUGUUAAUCACAUAUCAAUGUGAACUGGAUUAUUGACUCUAGUGCAAGUGGGAGACUGUUGGAAAUAUGCCCUAGAGGCAAUAAUAAAUUAGUUAUUAUUAUAUUUCCUUGUUCAUGAUAAUCGUUUAUUAUCCAUGCUAGAAUUGUAUUGAUAGGAAACUCAGAUACAUGUGUGGAUACAUAGACAACACCAUGUCCCUAGUAAGCCUCUAGUUGACUAGCUUGUUGAUCAAUAGAUGGUUACGGUUUCCUGACCAUGGAUAUUGGAUGUCGUUGAUAACGGGAUCACAUCAUUAGGACAAUGAUGUGAUGGACAAGACCCAAUCCUAAGCAUAGCACUAGAUCGUGUAGUUCGUAUGCUAAAGCUUUUCUAAUGUCAAGUAUCAUUUCCUUAGACCAUGAGAUUGUGCAACUACCAGAUACCGUAGGAGUGAUUUGGGUGUGCCAAACGUCACAACGUAACUGGGUGGCUAUAAAGGUACACUACGGGUAUCUCCGAAAGUGUCUGUUGGGUUGGCACGAAUCGAGACUGGGAUUUGUCACUCCGUGUGACAGAGAGGUGUCUCUGGGCCCACUCGGUAGGACAUCAUCAUAAUGUGCACAAUGUGAUCAAGGAGUUGAUCACGGGAUGAUGUGUUACAGAACGAGUAAAGAGACUUGCCGGUAACGAGAUUGAACAAGGUAUCGGGAUACCGACGAUCGAAUCUCGGGCAAGUAUCGUACCGCUAGACAAAGGGAAUUGUAUACGGGAUUGAUUAAGUCCUUGACAUCGUGGUUCAUCCGAUGAGAUCAUCGUGGAACAUGUGGGAGCCAACAUGGGUAUCCAGAUCCCGCUGUUGGUUAUUGACCGGAGAGUCAUCUCGGUCAUGUCUGCAUGUCUCCCGAACCCGUAGGGUCUACACACUUAAGGUUCGGUGACGCUAGGGUUAUAGAGAUAUUAGUAUGCGGCAACCCAAAAGUUGUUCGGAGUCCCGGAUGAGAUCCCGGAUGUCACGAGGAGUUUCGGAAUGGUCCGGAGGUAAAGAAUUAUAUAUAGGAAGUGUUAUUUUGGCUAUCGGGACAAGUUUCGGGGUCACCGGUAUUGUGCCAGGACCACCGGAAGGGUCCCGGGGGUCCACCGGGUGGGGCCACCUCCCCGGGGGGCCACAUGGGCUGUAGGGGGUGUGCCUUGGCCUACAUGGUCCAAGGGCACCAGCCCCAAGAGGCCCAUGCGCCAAAGGGACAAGAGGAGGGGAGAGUCCUAAAGGGGAAAGGCACCUCCGAGGUGCCUUGGGGAGGAUGGACUCCUCCCCCCCUUGGCCGCACCCUUCCUUGGAGGAAGGGGCAAGGCUGCGCCCUCCCCCUCUCUCUUGGCCCUAUAUAUAGUGGGGGAAGGGAGGGCAGCACCAACCUUGAGCCCUGGCGCCUCCCUCUCCCUCCCAUGACACAUCUCCCUCCUCCCGCAGCGCUUGGCGAAGCCCUGUUGGAAUCCCGCUGCUUCCACCACCACGCCAUCGUGCUGCUGGAUCUCCAUCAACCUCUCCUCCCCCCUUGCUGGAUCAAGAAGGAGGAGACGUUGCUGCUCCGUACGUGUGUUGAACGCGGAGGUGCCGUCCGUUCGGCGCUAGGAUCAUCGGUGAUUUGGAUCACGACGAGUACGACUGCAUCAACCCCGUUCUCUUGAACGCUUCCGCGCGCGAUCUACAAGGGUAUGUAGAUCCACUCCUCCCUCGUUGCUAGAUGACUCCAUAGAUAGAUCUUGGUGACAUGUAGGAAAAUUUUGAAUUUCUGCUACGUUCCCCAACAGGGCAUACCGGCAUCGUCGCACGGUCGCUUCAUCAAGCCGGCAUCGACCACGUCAUGACCUGCAUCGGCAGGACCACACUAUUGCUUCUUCAAUCUGGUGUCCAUCACACCGACCUACUUCGACUCAUCAACUGACAUCGAGGCUUCGACAUCUUGGCUGGACCGGGGGCUUCGCCAUAUCUUCAUCAAACUAUACUCCGGAGACUUCGGCGUCACUAGCCGACCAACUCCGGCACGUUAACUGGACCGAGGGCUUUGCCUUGGCGAGCCGACCUUUGCCAGCACCGCCGUGCCAUCGCUUUAUCGCCCAUCAGGCAAUGGGUGCAUGGAUUGAGUCCCAAUUUUGGGAAUCACCUUUUUUCGGAUUGCUACGACAAUUAAACCAGGUGCUAUUAAUCCUAGUAUUUUUUUUGCUUGUUUGGGUUUAUUUUUCCCAAGGAAUUAUUACUCUUGUUUGUCCAUCAUCUGUACACAGGUCUAUCAAAUGAUGGCUGCAUUAACAACGGUCGCGUGGUAGUUCGGUCAGUUUCCGUACAUAGUCCGGCGAACGCCGCAUCCGGAACUCGGACCGACCUGUGAAUUCAGGCUUUGCCACGCCUUUACCGCAUUAUGCCGACGCCCUACAUCGACAUUGACUUCGGCGCCAGGCCAUAUUUCUUUUAUUACUCACUUUGCAUAAAUUAUUUAUUAUGCAACGAUUUUUUUAAUUAUCAUUAUUACUAUUAUCUUCGGUUUGCACUAUUUUUUGUGCACAGGAAAAUGAUCCGGGGACCUCGACAUCACUCUGCCGGUCUGCAUUGACCUUGCUAUGUCACCGCUUCGGCGUCUCGAGCUCUCUACUCCGCCACCUCGGGACCGGCUUCGGGGAUGGAACCUUGUCCUGCAUCAAGCUCAGACCGCGUCAUCAAUGCCGAACACAUUAACCAGCUAAGUCGCUUUCAUGCUCAAAGUUUUAAUUUUUAACUUGUGUUCGGUUCGACCAAGCAUUAUACUUUUUUGGAAAAAAAGUUGCUUGUAAAAGAUUUCCUUGUCCAAACUUUGUUUGUGACACACAAAUUCAAAUACCCCGUUUACUUGGGGGCUCCCUUGAUGGAGCUUUUCCUCUUGCAUAUGAUUAUACUUGUACGACUUCGUUCCUUGUUCGUGUAUUACGCCACAAUAUGCACCAUAUUGACUUAAGCGAUUUGCAAGCUGGGUUGCCUGGCUCCUGUGCUUACCCCUACGUUCCCGAUUGUUCAGCUAGCGAGUAAAGCGAGCACCUCUGCGAUUGUUACGACCGGGUCCUCCGAGCUCUGACCUCAGACUGGGUGAAGCCGAAAGCUAGCACUCUUAUUGUUUUCAAUCAUGGUCGGCACACAACGGAACUCAUGAGUACAAAAAAUCUAUUGCACAAGUCUCAUAGUAAUAAUGAGCACCGAAGAAAGGUAUCUAUGGGGGUACUAUUUUCUUUGAAGAUGCUUCUUACACUUCGUCUGUAAUAUAGCAUAAGUUCCCUGAGCGCGCUUUGUUUGUUACAGCCUUAUGGCCCGGUUGCUUGGUUAUCGGAAACACUGUCGAUAUUCUCGACAGGUGGAGUACAUAACACUUUUCGGUCCUUGACCGAAGAGGGAGAAGCCGACGGUCGGUUAAGACGCGUUUAAAGUUCGGUUAAACAAAGAUAUGAUAUAAGUACUUCGGUACAUACAAUCAUUAUACAUAAAAACUUUUACCCAAGUCACUUGGGGGAUCUUAAAAUUUAUAUGAGCUAUUUUAUAGUAAAUGUGUUUUCUUCCUGGUCGUUGCAAUGUCUUUUUCUAUCGCUCCUUUUUCGACGUGAGUGUGUGGUCAAUAGCCAGAUAACCCAUUUUCUCUCUAGUGACCGCUCGAGUUUAGUUCACUAAACUGGUCUAACGAGAAGCACUCCGCCUUCGGGAUAGGUGGCUGUAGCCGUAGGCUGACCCGCUUGAAGUCUUGAGAUUGGAUGUGUAAUGUUAAAGCACGACAGAAGCACUCUUUUUUUCUAAGACCAAUUUUUGGAUUGGCACCGAACACUUGAUCUUGUUCGGACGUCAAUUUUUUACUGACGUUUUUUGGUUUUCCAAGCUCAUGGCACUUUUAAACUAUUUGUGUGUUUUCAACACAAGUCUCGCAGUGCAAUGCCGGACACCUUUAUAGAUUCGGCAAAAAUAUUCUCGGAUAUUGCUAUAUAUGCAUCGGUUUCGAAUUGUGUCUUCGGUCAAUAGUUGGGUUGCCCGACUCCUGCACUUGCUUCCUACGUUCCGCUUUGUUCGGCUAGGCGUGCAAAGGGAGAGCCACUGCGAUUGUGCUUCCAGCUCACACGGUUAAGCAUCUCAGUGGAGAAAGCCGAAAACUGACUGUCACAAUAAGUGUAAACUGGUCAGUGAUCCGAUGACUAUGUUAAAAUGACGGGCCACUUAUAACAAUGGCCGAAGUGUUUACGGCUUGACCUUGAAUGUCGCCGAACACUACCGGGGGCUAUUAAUUGACCUCCCAAACUAAAUCCUCGAUAUUUUGCUCUUACAUUAGAGCUGAGGUUUCAUGAUCAUGCUUAGCAUGACAACCCAAAGAAAGGAACCGAUAGCGGGACUAUUUUCUUUGGAAGACAUUUCUUAUGUUAAACAGUAAUAUAACAUAUCUCUCUGUGUACCUUUGCUUGUAAAACCGUAUGGCCAGAUUGCCUUGUUUGUCGUAAAUCUUUGCCCUCAUAAAGGCUUUAUAAAGUAGGACAAACACUCCUCGGCUACUGCCCGAGGAGGUGGAAGCCGAUGGUCGGUCAACAAAGUUUUGUACAAUGCGGAUCCGAGCAUUAAUGACGUAAAGUACUUGGAUACAUAGAGUCAUUACACAUAAUUUGUGAUUUUACUAUGGAUAUCGAUCCUUAAUUCGGCCACCUGUGCCCGCAUUAAGGCUCGGGGGCUAUUGGGCUUCGGGCUUAUUAUUUACAAAUAUUAAAGGGGCACAUCGAUCCCCUGAUCUGGUGUUGCCACCCGACCAGUGUCUCGGGGGCUACUGCAUUGCCUAUCCAAUGUAGAAAAUUUUAAGUGCAAUACAGUUUCCGAGGAGAUUUUGAUCCUCAGGUUGGUCGACCGCACCCAACCUGAGUCUCGAGGACUGAGCAUGCCGCUUUUUGUGUCCCGAAGUAUCCUGCUGAGCUAGGACUUGAUCCUCAGGCCGAUUUUACAAAUCAACCCGAGUCUCAGUGGCUACUGGGAUCAACGGUCUUAUGUCAUCCUUUAGGUGCAUCUCGGGUUUUAAACCGAUACACACCUUGAGGGGCUACUGGCUAUAUAUCUCGGCAGAGAAUAAAUUGCACCAAUAAAAAAUAUUAACAAAAAAUCGGCCCACAGUCGGGGUGGUGCACCACCUCGGAAGCAGUCCGGCAUAAAGCUCGGGUGCUAGCGGCUGGCUCCAUAGAGGGAAUUUCCGGCAUUAAGCUCGGCUAAACUCCUUCAACCUUUUUGAACCAAGGUGAUUUAUGAUAGUCCGGCAUUGGAGCUUGGACAUAGUCCGGCGUUGGAGCUUGGACAUAGUCUGGCAUUGGAGCUCGGAUACAUUCUGGCGUUGGAGCUCGGAAAGCGGUCCGGCGUUGGUGCUCGGCUGCAAAAGAUACCUCGAAUGCAGUCCGGCGUUGGAGCUCGGACGCAAGAGGACGCUGCCUCCCGGGAACAACUUCAAACCCGAGGUGUGGCAUAAAAAUAACAAGGCAUUGAUAAAGGCCGGAAACUUAAAGGGGCUCCUCGGACACCCGAUGUGUAAACUCGCCGAAUGCAUUUCGGCGAUCCUCAAGAUCGAAGAUGAGAAGAUUUGUUGAACCAGUUUUCAAGACCGACAACGGAAGAUGAAGAAUAGUUCGGAAGAAUCGAGGAGCAUCCCCAACUUGAAGACCGGUUCAGGGGGCUACUGACAGUGUCCUGGACUAGGGGGUACUCAUCACAUCCUCUCCCGAUCAGUUGGAUUGGGCUGAGGACCCCCAUGGCCGCAUACUCAUGGGCCAGUUCGGACAGCUGCCGCAUACAAGGAAGAUUACACAAGACUUGGCGAUCAAGACAAGGACUUCUCCCCACCGGCGUAUUCGUCUAGGACUCUUGUUAUCCUAGGCCUCUGGUACAUUAUAUAAACCGAGGCCAGGCUAGUCGAUAUAGAUACAACAAUCAUACCAUAGGCUAGCUUCUAGGGUUUAGCCUCUCUGAUCUCGUGGUAGAUCUACUCUUGUACUACACAUAUCAUCAAUAUUAAUCAAGCAGGACGUAGGGUUUUACCUCCAUCAAGAGGGCCCGAACCUGGGUAAAACUUCGUGUCCCCUGCCUCCUGUUACCAUCCGCCUAGACGCACAGUUCGGGACCCCCUACCCGAGAUCCGCCGGUUUUGACACCGACACUACAGUUAAUAUCUUUGGUAUCCGAGGUAUCCGGAUUCCUCGAUGUGUUGUUGCUGCGAGCCAGCUAGCUAUCCUCGCCCGCGCAAAAGUGGGUCAUGAGUGUUGUGAGGGCUGUCAUGGACUUCGGCUUCUCCUGGCCAAGGUGGCGGGCGAGCCAUUCGUCACGGAUGUUAUGCUUGAAUGCCGCUAGGGCCUCUACACCCGGACAGUCUACAAUUUGAUUUUUCUUAGUCAGGAACCGUGUCCAGAAUUGUCUGGCCGAUUCCCCUGGCUGCUGGGUUAUGUGGCUCAAGUCAUCAGCAUCCGGUGGCCGCACAUAAGUGCCCUGGAAGUUGUCAAGAAAUGCGUCUUCCAGAUCCUCCCAAAUGCCGACGGAAUCUGCUGGCAAGCUAUUCAGCCAAUGCCGAGCUGGUCCUUUGAGUUUUAGUGGGAGUUACUUGAUGGCAUGUAGAUCAUCACCGCGAGCCAUGUGGAUGUGAAGGAGGAAAUCCUCAAUCCAUACAGCGGGAUCUGUUGUGCCAUCGUAUGAUUCGAUAUUUACGGGUUUGAAACCCUCCGGGAAUUCAUGAUUCAUAACUUCAUUAGUGAAGCAUAGGGGGUGUGCGGCACCUCUGUGCCGGGCUAUAUCCCGACGUAGUUCGUAUGAGUCUUGUCUGCCGUAUUCGGCCCGGCCGGAUUUACUCUUAGUGUAUCUGAUGCGACGAUCAUCGUCCCGUGUGGGCGCACGUGCCCGUGUGCCGUAUAUUGACCUUGCAAUUUUUGCCUUACUGUCCAACAUGUCUUGCAGGUCCUCUAUGUUGUCCCGGGCCUUAGUAUUUUUGAUUGAGUGGCGACGGGGUGCAGGCUGAACUUUAGGCUGAAACGCCUCUCUGGCUCGGCCGCGUAGUGGCCGGUCAGCCGCAUCGUACACUGGUGAAUGAGGUUUCAAUGCUUCCUCCUCGAGGUGAGGUAGCAACCUGCGUUUUGGGUAACUCUUGGAUGGGCGCUCGAGUUCAUGCUCCUCAGCCGCAAGGACUUCGGUCCACCUGUCUACUAGCAAGUCUUGAUCAGCUUGAAGCUGUUGCUGUUUUUUUCUUCAGGCUAUUUGCCGUGGCCAUAAGCCGGCGCUUGAAGCGCUCUUGCUCGACGGGGUCCUCAGGAACGAUAAACUCGUCGUCACCGAGGCUCGCCUCGUCUUCGGAGAGAGGCAUGUAAUUGUCCUCCUCCGAUUCUCCAUCUGCUGCCUGCUCUGGAGGGCUAGCUUGUUCGUCCUCUAGCUCUACAUCGUGCUGGAGGGGAUUGUUGUUUUCUUCGGCGCUAUCAGGAGUGUUAUUAUCUCCUGUGCCGGUAUCAUUGCUCUUGCUGUGGCGGGACUUAGAGCGGCGCCGCUGACGUUGGUGCUUGGGUUGCUUCUUGGAGGGGUCAUCCUCUGCUGUCUCGUCGCCAUUGCCUUCUUUGGGGGUGUCCAGCAUGUAUAUAUCAUAUGAUGAGGUGGCGGUCCAGCGCCCUGAGGGCGGUGGUUCCUGUUCGUCUCCAGCUUCGUCGUCCAUACCGUCGAAGUCUUCAGAGUUGAAGUCGAGCAUGUCGGUUAAGUCGUUGACAGUGGCUACUAAGUGGGUGGUGGGUGGGCAGCGAAUUUCUUUGUCGUCCGCAUCCCAUUCUCGCCGGACAUAGUUCGGCCAAGGUUCUCCUGACAGGGAGAGAGACCUUAAUGAAUUUAGCACAUCUCCGAAAGGUGAGUGCUGAAAGAUAUCCACGGAGGUGAACUCCAUGAUCGGCGCCCAGUCGGACUCGACGGGCACGGAUGUGAGCGGCUCGGAGUUCGCGGCCGGAGAUGAAUCCAGUGGUUCGGCGACACGGCUCUCGUAAGGGGUGAAGUCAGUAUCCGGCUCUAUCACCACUGAGAGUGCGGCCUCCAUGGCGGGGUCCAUCCCUCCGGUCUCGGAUGGCACGACUUGCUCCGGAUUGAUGGCCGGAGUAGUUAUGGAUGCGAUCUCCCGAACAUUGUCCGACGGCAGAGUUACGUCAUGCUCGUCGCGACUGUGCGGCACGUCCGACAUGGGCUCGAAUCCGUCGAAGAUCAAGUCUCCGCGGAUGUCGGCCAUGUAGUUCAAGUUUCCAAAUCUGACCUGAUGGCCAGAGGCGUAGCUCUCGAUCCGCUCCAGAUGGCCAAGCGAAUUGGCCCGCGGUGCAAAGCCGCCGAAUACGAAGAUCUGUCCAGGGAGGAAAACCUCACCCUGGACCGCAAAGUUAGCGAUGAUCGAAGGAGCCAUCCAGCCUUAUGGUGACGACACAGUGGAACUAUCAAUGAAAGCACCAAUGUCGGUGUCAAAACCGGCGGAUCUCGGGUAGGUGGUCCCGAACUGUGCGUCUAAGGCGGAUGGUAACAGGAGGCGGGGGACACGAUGUUUAACCAGGUUCGGGCCCUCUUGAUGGAGGUAAUACCCAGCGUCCUGCUUGAUUGUUCUUGAUAAUAUGAGUGUUACAAGAGUUGAUCUACCACGAGAUCAGAGAGGCUAAACCCUAGAAGCUAGCCUAUGGUAUGAUUGCAUGUUGUCCUACGGACUAAAACCCUCCUGUUUAUAUAGAGACCGGAGGGGGCUAGGGUUACACAAGGUCGGUUACAAAGGAGGAGAUAUACAUAUCCGUAUUGCCUAGCUUACCUUCCACGCCAAGUAGAGUCCCAUCCGGACACGGGACGAAGUCUUCAAUCUCGUAUCUUCAUAGUCCAACAGUCCAGCCAAAGGAUAUAGUCCGGCUGUCCGGAGACCCCCUAAUCCAGCACUCCCUCACAUGGCCUCAAGCCAUUUCGCGGAAUCUGGGCUCAUCAUCGCUUCCUCAUAGUUCGUAGGUUCAUCAUGGUCAAGUAACAUGACAUCCAUAACAGGAUUACUGUACCACUCUGGUGCGGAUCUCACUCUGGUUUACCUAUGAGGUUCGGUAGUAACUUGAUCUGAAGUUACAUGAUCAUCAUCAUUAGCUUCCUCACUAAUUGGUGUAGGAGUCACAGGAACAGAUUUCUAUGAUGAACUACUUUCCAAUAAGGGAGCAUGUACAGUUACCUCAUCAAGUUCUACUUUCCUCCCACUCACUUCUUUUGAGAGAAACUCCUUCUCUAGAAAGGAUCCAUUCUUAGCAACGAAUGUCUUGCCUUCGGAUCUGUGAUAGAAGGUGUACCCAACUGUCUCCUUUGGGUAUCCUAUGAAGACACAUUUCUCCGAUCUAGGUUUGAGCUUAUCAGGAUGAAACUUUUUCACAUAAGCAUCGCAACCCCAAACUUUAAGAAAUGACAACUUUGGUUUCUUGCCAAACCAUAGUUCAUAUGGCGUCGUCUCAACGGAUUUAGAUGGUGCCCUAUUUAACGUGAAUGCAGCUGUCUCUAAUGCAUAACCCCAAAAUGAUAGUGGUAAAUCGGUAAGCGACAUCAUAGAUUGCACCAUAUCUAAUAUAGUACGGUUACGAUGUUCGGACACACCACUACGCUGUGGUGUUCCAGGUGGUGUGAGUUGCGAAACUAUUCCACAUUGUUUCAAAUGAAGACCAAACUCGUAACUCAAAUAUUCUCCUCCAUGACUAGAUCAUAGAAACUUUAUUUUCUUGUUACGAUUAUUUUCCACUUCGCUCUGAAAUUAUUUGAACUUUUCAAAUGUUUCAGAUUUAUGUUUCAUCAAGAAGAUAUACCCAUAUCUUACUCAAAUCAUCUGUGAAGGUCAGAGAAUAACGAUAGCUGCCGCGAGCCUCAACACUCAUCGGACUGCAUACAUCGGUAUGUAUUAUUUCCAACACUCAUCGGUAUGUGUAUCACUACGAUCAAGAUUCAAUAAACCAUUCACCUUGCGUGUAUGACCAUUGAAGGUUUUAUUCAUGAAGACAGAACAACAAUUAUUCUUUGACUUUAAAUGAAUAACCAUAUUGCAAUAAACAUGAUCAAAUCAUAUUCAUGCUUAACGCAAACACCAAAUAAUAUUUAUUUAGGUUCAACACUAAUGCCGAAAGUAUAGGGAGUGUGCGAUGAUGAUCAUAUCAAUCUUGGAACCACUUCCAACACAUAUCGACACUUCACAGUUAACUAGUCUCUGUUCAUUCUGCAACUCCCAUUUUGAGUUACUAAUCUCAGCAACUGAACUAGUAUCAAAUACUGAGUGGUUGCUAUAAACACUAGUAAAGUACACAUCAAUAACAUGUAUAUCAAAUAUACCUUUUUUCACUUUGCCAUCCUUCUUAUCCGCCAAAUACUUGGGGCAGUUCUGCUUCCAGUGACCAGUCCCUUUGCAGUAGAAGCACUUAGUCUCAGGCUUAGGUCUAGACUUGGGCUUCUUCACUUGAGCAUCAACUUGCUUGCCGUUCUUCUUGAAGUUCCCCUUCUUCCCUUUGCCCUUUUCUUGAAACUAGUGGUCUUGUCAACCAUCAACACUUGAUGCCACUACAAAAAAAAGACACAUCCGUGACAUUUUGGGCCGAACGAAUUUUUUCUGUCAUACAUAUGACACUUCUAUGACGAUAAUUGUGACAAAACCCGGUAUCAUCAUAGAUGUGGUGGGCUCCUACUUCUAUGACAAAAAAUCAUGACAGAAAAUGGGCUUUUCGUCCUGGGCGGGUCGGAGACGCAGCUGCAUGACAUUCUUUGGGCCGUCCAUGACGAAAAAAACCAUGGUAGAAGCGAGGGGGAGGAAAAUUUUGGGGAGUUCCCGGUUACGGUGGGAGGUCGGGGGCCGAGGGAUGCGCAUUUCUCUCGUACACGUACACGCGUGUGUGCGAGGCGUUGGCUCUAACUGAACCCAAGCGAGGCGUUGAGCUCUAACUGAACCCGAGCGAUUGCACUACAGGCUACGCGUUACUGAACCCGAGCGAUCGAUCGAUGGCUGUUAACUGAACCCGAUCGAGCGAUUCCUUCGNNNNNNNNNNNNNNNNNNNNNNNNNNNNNNNNNNNNNNNNNNNNNNNNNNNNNNNNNNNNNNNNNNNNNNNNNNNNNNNNNNNNNNNNNNNNNNNNNNNNNNNNNNNNNNNNNNNNNNNNNNNNNNNNNNNNNNNNNNNNNNNNNNNNNNNNNNNNNNNNNNNNNNNNNNNNNNNNNNNNNNNNNNNNNNNNNNNNNNNNNNNNNNNNNNNNNNNNNNNNNNNNNNNNNNNNNNNNNNNNNNNNNNNNNNNNNNNNNNNNNNNNNNNNNNNNNNNNNNNNNNNNNNNNNNNNNNNNNNNNNNNNNNNNNNNNNNNNNNNNNNNNNNNNNNNNNNNNNNNNNNNNNNNNNNNNNNNNNNNNNNNNNNNNNNNNNNNNNNNNNNNNNNNNNNNNNNNNNNNNNNNNNNNNNNNNNNNNNNNNNNNNNAACAGUAGAUAGUGGAGGGGUUCCUGUGGAGGGGUGGUUGAACAAUAGCCGGUGGAGUAGCGCGUGGUGGAGGCUGGAUGAACAGGAGCCUGUGGAGGCUGGAGGAGGUCGACGGUGGAGAUGAACAAUAUCCCGUGGAGUCCCGUUUUGCGGUACGCCACACCCCUCCCGAUGAACAGGACCCCCGUUUCGUCUGUAGCGCUCCAACACAAGUCCGUUUUGUCCGUUUUGCGGUACGCCACACCCCUCCCGAUCAACAGGACCCCCGUUUUGACCGUAGGAGGUCCGUUUCGUCCAUUUUGCAGUACGCCAGACCCCUCCCGAUGAACAUGAUCCCGGUUCGAACAUGGCCGGUCGAACACAAGGCCGUUUCCUCCGUUGUGUGGUAUGCCAAGCCUCGUUUCCAUCGCCUGUUCCGUCCAUGCCCUCCCGAUGAACACGACCACACAUUCCAUUCUGACCCAGCCGGUUGGCUCCCACGCGUUCCGUUGCCUCCCGAUGAACACGACGCAUUCUGUUGCCUCCCCAUGAACACGACACAUUCCGUUGUCUCCCCAUGAACAUGACGACGACGAUGUUUCUCCGUUCCGACCCAGCCAUGUCAACGAGCCCUGGCCAUACGUAUGUGCGAGUAGGCGUUCGAGACCCCGCCCGUAUGUACACAUACGUGGUCGUAUUUUCUUUCUUGCACCCUGGCCGAUGUACGUACGUGUACAUGCUACGUGCGCGCCUCUACUACGACACGUGCGCGUCUCUACAUCCACCAGUAUAUAUGUACGUACACAUUCGCGACCAGAAUGACAACGCUACGUACGCUUCGACCAGGUGGGUCCCUACUGUCAGGCACUUCCUUGCGUGCGAAGAUGUAGCUGGUGGGUCCCAGCAGUCAGGGGGCGAAUCGUUUUGUUUUUUGCCCGGACGCACUUCCUUGUGUGCGAAGGUGUAGCUGGUGGGUCCCAGCAGUCAGGGGGGAAACAUUUAUUUCGCGAAAUACGAUGGCCCGUCCGGUGGGUCCCCGCUGUCAGGUGGAGGAAUAAUUAUUUCGCGCGUAAUAAGGAGUCACUUCCUUGCUGCGGCCAUGGACCCAGCUGUUAGUGUCUCCACGCACAGUACUCUUCCAAUGGAAGUCGGUCGUUGACCACAUUGACCACGCCGCGCCGAGAGCACCACGACGGUGGACGACGGCAAGGCCUAGGAAGGGGACGACAUGGAGACAGGGAAGACUCGGCAGUUGUUUCCCACGCGGAGGGGAGUACGACUGUACGAGGGUUUACUGGUUCGUCUGCCGUCGCCGGAGAAUAACAGCAGGUGUGGGUGAGUAGAGGGAUGGCUAGGCCAGCGAUGGGAGUACGGUGGGGCGGUGAGGCCUGCACGGCAGCACAGCCGGCCGCGGGGAGGAGGGAGCAAGCAGUCCCGCCGGUGCUUGUUUGAGCGGCUGGAGCAGGAAGAGCAGAGAUUGAAGAAGCACGACGGCCGUUGGAUGGACAUCCAACAGUCAGUGCUUGUGCGUCAACCUUUUUUUAGGAAAGCCUCAAAUCUAUGGAAAACAACAUACAGCCCAUCUGCCAUUAUUUCUAAUAAUUUACAGCCCAUUUGCUAAUUCUUAAGGUUUUUUGGAGUCCAUAUUCUUUUUGUUAGCAUUACAGCCCAUAUUGUGGCCAUGGUUAAAAAAUUAUAUGAAAUUUUGCAUAUUUCGGUGCGGUCCGAACUAUUUUUAAUCCCAAAAUUUCGACUCACAUUUAAACUGAUUUUAAAAAUAAAUGUAUAUCAAUAUAAAAUCCAACAAAUUCUCCACGCAUAAAAAUUAAUGUAAUUUAAAAUCUUGAAAUGGAAAAAAAGAUAUUUGAAAUUAAUUGCCGGUUUGAUGUUUUUUAAAAAUGUACAACCCAUUUCUCAUCACUGAUGGGCCAUUUUCUCGGCCAACCGAAUGAAAGCUCUCCUCGUCUUGAAAGAUUUGCAGCCCAACAGGCCUGACAAAGCGACUUACCUGGAAAAUCAGAAAAAAAACUGGGUUGUGGCCGUGGACCCAGCUGUCAGCCUCUCCACGUACAGUACUCUUCCGAUGGAAGUCGUUCCUUGACCACGUUGACCACGCCGCGCGGAGAGCACCACGGCGGUGGACGACGGUGAGGCUUAGGAAGGGGACGACGCGGAGCCGGGGAAGACGCGGCAGUGGAAGCCCGCGUGGAGAGGAGUACGAGGGUUCACUGGUUUGGCUGCGGUGUGAGGCUGCCAUCGCCGCAGGGCCUGGCCAGCGGUGGGAAUAGUAGGGGGCAGUGAGGCCUCUGCGGCAGCACAGCCGGCCACGGGAGGCAGGAGCAUGCGGCAUGACCGGCGCUGCUUUGGGCGGCUGGAGCAAGAAGACCAGAGGUUGAAGAAGCACUAUGGUCGUUGGAUGGACAUCCUAUGGUCACUGGAGCUAGAAUCGUUCAUAUUGACUAAGUUGACAAAGCCCUUUGUCCCCCUCAACUUAGUAGGCCCACAAGUCAGCCUCCCACCAAGGUGGGUCCCAGCUAGCCUGGGGAGUAUUAAUUUUUUGUGCGUAAUAAGGAGGCACUUCUGGUGGGUCCGUGCUGACAGCGGGGGGAACAUUUUUUUCACGAAAUACGGUGGCCCGUCUGGUGGGUCCCAGUAGACAGGGGGAAAUGAUUUUUUUCGCAAAAUACUGGUGGCCCGUAUGGUGGGUCCCCACUAUCAGGUGGAGGAAUAAUUAUUUUCCGUGUAAUAAGGAGGCACUUCCUUGCGGCUGUCGUGGACCCAGCUGUCAGCCUCUCCACAUACAGUACUCUUCCGAUGGAAGUCGGUCGUUGACCACAUUGACCACGCCGCGCUGAGAACACCACAGCGGUGGACGACGGCGAGGCCUAGGAAGGGGACGACGCGGAGCCGGGCAAGACGCGGGAGUGGAUGCCCACGCGGAGAGGAGUGCGAGCGUUCACUGGUUCGGCUGUGGUGUGAGGCUGUUGUCGCCGCAGAAUAAUAGGGGGUGUGGGUGAGUGGAGGGAUGGCCUGGCCAGUGGUGGGAGUAGUAUGGGGGCAGUGAGGCCUCUGUGGUAGCACAGCCGGCCACGGGAGGCAGGAGCAGGCGGCACGACCGGCGCUGCUUUGGGUGGCUAGAGCAAGAAGACCAGAGGUUGAAGAAGCACUAUGGCCGUUGGAUGGACAUCAUACGGUCACUGGAGUAUUGACUAAGUUGACAAAGUCCUCCGUCCCCGUCAACUUAGUAGGCCCACAAGUCAGCCCAACAAUAUGGUGGGUCCCAGCUAGCAGGGGGUAUUCAUUUUUUGGGCGUAAUAAGGAGGCACUUCCUUGCGUGCGAAGAUAUAGCUGGUGGCUCCGACCUGUCAGCGAGGGGAAUGUUUCUUUCGCGAAAUACAGAGGCCUUUCCUGUGGGUCCUAGCUGUCAGGUGGAGGACUCAUUAUUUUGCGCAUAAUAAGGAGGCAUUUCCUUGCGUGCGGCCGUGGACCCAGAUGUCAGCCUCUUCACGUACCACUUCCGAUGGAUGUCGUUCAUUGACCAUGUUGACCAGGCCGCACCGAGAGCACCAGGGCGGUGGACGACGACGAGGCCUAGGAAGGGAACGACACGGAGCCAGGGAAUACUCGGCAGUUGUUUCCCAUGCGGAGGAGUACGAGGGUUUACUGGUUCGUCUGCCAUCGCCGGAGAAUAACAUCAUGUGUGGGUGAGUAGAGGGAUGGCUAGGCCAGCGAUGGGAGUACGGUGGGGCCGUGAGGCCUGCGCGACAGCAUAGCCGGCCGCGGGAGGAGGGAGCAGGCAGUCCCGCCGGCGCUUGGUUGAGCGGCUGGAGCAUGAAGAGCAGAGAUUGAAGAAGCACGACGGCUGUUGGAUGGACAUCCAACAGUCACUACUCUCGUGUGUUGACUAAGUUGACAGGGCGUUGCGUGUGCGUCAACCUUUUUUUAUGAAAGCAUACGCGUCAACCUGUAGUAGGCGCACAAGUCAGCCUCAAAUCUAUGGAAAACAGCAUACAGCCCAUCUGCCAUUAUUUCUAAUAAUGUACAUCCCAUUUGCUAAUUCUUAAGAAUUUUUUUGGAGCCCAUCUUCUUUUUGGUAGCAUUACACCCCAUAUUGUGGCCACGGUUAAAAAGUAUACGAAAUUUUGCAUAUUUCGGUGCAGUCAACUGUUUUUAAUCCAGAAAUAUCGAUUCACAUUCAAACUAUUUUGAAAAAUAAUUUAUAUAAAUAUAAAAUCCAAAUAAUUGUCCACGCAUAAAAAUCAAUGGAAUUUAAGAUCUUGUAAUGAAAAAAAAUUGAAACUAAUUCCCGGUUUGAUGUGUUUUGAAAAUGUACAACCCAUUUCCGGGCAAACCGAAUGGAACUCUCCUCAUCUUGAAGAUUUGCAGCCCAGCAGGGCCGAUAAAGCAAGUAGGCCUUGUUUGGGUAUUUCUUUUAAAAAAUAGAACUGCGCUAGCCAUUUUCAGCAAGAAAAAAAGACAACUGGGCUCAUGAUGUGGUAAACAUAAAUAAAACCCUGGCUAGACGGGCCACAGCCCCGCACAGCCCUGUUGUUACCCUGAUCCGUCGCUAAAACUAGUAUAAAUAACAACUGCUUGUUCCUCAAAAAAAUGCGUGACUUGCUGGGUCCCUAGUGUCAGCCGCUCAUAGUGUAAUUCUGUCAUUUAUUGACUAUGUUGACAAUGGCGUGAGCCCUAGAUGUCCAACCAUUAGGAGGAACCAUAUUUUUGGGCUUGUACUAUAGAGGCACUUGCUUGCGUACUGCCAUGACGCUGGUGGGUCCCUACUGUCAUCCUCUCCACGUACAGUCAUCUCCUUGUUCCUCUCGGUUGUUGACGACGUUGACAACGCAAGAGGGCGGCGCACCACGCACGGCGAGCGAACCAAGGCCGCAAGGCGGAGGACGACAACGAGGCCUCGGAUGAAACGAACAGGAGCCGUUGAAGAUGCGCCGGUCUAGUCGCAGGCGGAGGGGAGUACGAGGGUUCACUGGUUCGGGCGUGGGUGCGUGUUGGGGCUGACGUCGCCGGAGAAUAACAGGACGUGUGGGGGAAUAGAGGGAGGGACUGGCCAAUGUUGGAGGGUACAUACGGUAGGGAGGCGGAGGCGCAACCAGCCAUGGAAGGUGGGAGCAGGCGGAGCCGACAGGGUGGUUUGGUUCGGGCGGCUGGAGGAAGAAGAAGACAAGAGAUAGAAGAUACAGACAGAUGUUGGAUGUCAAUCCAACGGCUGGUAGGCAGAAUCGUUUGUUGACUGGCUAGUAAGUCGACACCACCUUGGAUAGGCUAUUUCCUCGCGGGUCCCAAAUGUCAAAAUCCAAAUCUGUCAUGGUCAUGCAGCCUUUCCUAUGAAAAUUUACAGCCCAUUUGAUGUGCUAGUUCGAAAUAAGUUUGUGGGUGCUGGUGGGGGCUAAUCACUUGGCUCCUGUAAUGCACAGUCAGCUCAAGGAGCCGGCGAGAGUGAUGUUAUUUCCCUUGGUUGGGAUUUGUUACAAUAUUUCACUCUAAAUUAAAUGAAUGGCAAGCCAUUUGCCUUGUUUCAAAGAAAAUAUGACAGUCACAGCCGAGUUGAAAAGGGCAGGAACAUCUAACUCCAACUUACAAACUGUACAAAAGCACGAGGGUUAAUUGUCCAUCAGGUUUACAAAAAAGCCAGAUUGAAAAGGGCAACAACAUCUAACUCCAGCACUGUUUUCGGCAGUCACAGUCAAAUGGAUCGAUCAGGUCCAUAGAAUGAACAUCCUGGGUCGUAAAAUUUACUGGAUUAUGACCACAAUAUGUUGUAAAUAGAAGCCCGGCACGUUCAGAAGCUCUUUUGCCCACCUAAAACUCCUUUUUUUGCUCUUCGACAUACCCAUAUGUCAAUUCAGUAAAUAUAUGGGCUUUUGAAUUGAUUUUACUAUUUACUAGUGUGGAUGGGCUGUUUUGUCUUGGGCCCGGAGAAACAAUUACUACUAGUAUAGUGGAGACACUCUACAGCUAUCCAGAAAAACAAUUACUACUAGUACAGUGGAGACACUCUACCACUUCUGGCUCCUCCUAGGUCAUUGAAACGUCUCCCUCUACUGAAUGCCGUUAUACUUUUGUUCACCGACAUGCAGGCCAUGCAGCGCGCGGGCCCAAAUGCCAUCCACCAAAUUAGAAGGCAAUAUGCAGGCGGAGAGUCACCCCGGUCGUAGCACAGUAGUAACGAGCCGUCGUAUCACAAAACCCCACCUCCCCGCAGUCUAAGUUUGACGGACGAAGCAACCAUCAUUUCACUCUUCGCUGAAUCCCCUUCUCCCUCACCGUCUUUAAGAAAGGCAUCACUCGCAUGUGCCACUGUUCUUCUCUUCGAACGAAGGGAAGGUAGCGGAUCUGUGAUGUUGGUAUAUUUUUCGUUCAGAGAAAAAAAAGAACUUUUGCAAAGCAGUAACCGAUCCUCACUCUCUCUUUUUUUUCAUUGUCAUUGCGAUUGUGUUUUCCUUUCAGUGGUCUCCUAGUAUUCGUCAGUUUCAUGAUGGACCAAGGAGAACCAGACAAAGAUCUGCCGAUAUUGGAGCAGACGCCGGAGGCUGAUCCCCACGAGACAGAGAGCUCCAAGAAGAUGGAGGCAACCACCGAGCUGACCCCAGAUACGCUCACGACCACUACUGAGAUGGUCAAUGCCCCGAUUGAGGUUACAGCCGCCGUGGCACUACAGGAGUAGUUNNNNNNNNNNNNNNNNNNNNNNNNNNNNNNNNNNNNNNNNNNNNNNNNNNNNNNNNNNNNNNNNNNNNNNNNNNNNNNNNNNNNNNNNNNNNNNNNNNNNNNNNNNNNNNNNNNNNNNNNNNNNNNNNNNNNNNNNNNNNNNNNNNNNNNNNNNNNNNNNNNNNNNNNNNNNNNNNNNNNNNNNNNNNNNNNNNNNNNNNNNNNNNNNNNNNNNNNNNNNNNNNNNNNNNNNNNNNNNNNNNNNNNNNNNNNNNNNNNNNNNNNNNNNNNNNNNNNNNNNNNNNNNNNNNNNNNNNNAGCUGCCCAAGGUGAUUUCCUUCUUUGCCGAUCUCGAUUGUGGUUUUUCAUCUAAGUAUGUGGUGAUUUUUUUAGAAAAAGAAGUAUGUGGUGAUUAAUAAUGCAAAAUUUUAUUAGCUUAGAUGCCAUGCUAUACAUAGUGGUUUAAAUAACUUGUGUUUCUUAUACUGAAAAGUAAUUCAGAAUUUCUUUCUGUUUCAAUUAGAGCCCUGAUGCAGACAAGGAUUGUGUGGUUGUACAUGUCACUCGCUAUGAGGUGGACGACCUGAAUAUACGCACUGGGAAAAUAGAGUUCUUAGGCUGUUGGAUCCUGGAAGCCAUUUGUGGUUAUACCAAUGAAGAGUUGUAUUCCAGCCUCACUGUUGUCGGGCGUGUUGUCCAGGGUGUACUGAAGCACAAGAAGUUCAAAGCUACUCCUUCGUUUGUGAGGCAUACUAUUCUUGUCAAGCUUACGGAGGAAGAUGAUGUGGCAUGCCUCCACAAACAAGUUUAUCAGUGGCAAGGCCACAAGGUUGUCUUCAUGAAGGUUCACAGGAUUGAGCUGCUGCGGGACGUCCUCGAUGAUGUUCAUGGCAAGGUCCGUCUUGUGUCCAGCCCAAAUUAGACUGAGGCAAGAAAUAGUUGCCCCAGCUAGUGUUUAAUAGUAGUUUGGAUUGUGUCUAAUUAUCCGAACCUUGCCUGUUAUCGACCCCUCUGGGGCUAGUACUCUGUUUGAAUCCGUCUAUGGGAACUGCUUCUACUUUUGUGUGCCCGUGAAUCAUGUGAGAACCAUCGUAAUUGUUGCCGAAACAGAUGCAUCCUCACUAGUUUUUUCAUGAAUAUGGCAUGGUAAGACAUAAGUUGUCACGGUUUAUCAUACGAGCAGUGUGUGUUUUGAUGAAAUAGAGCACUCGUUCGAGAACCGUGCGCCGACGUAUACAUAAGUACUUGUAAACACCGUUGGUGCUACCCCACUUGUAAGCAGUUGUGCAAAACACAGCACAUUGGCUCAGCUCGCUUCAACACUAGGCUAUCGACCAGCUAACAAUCAACAAUUUGAUGUCUGACAUAUAAGCAACUAUGUAUCUUGUUACACUGGUUCAUGCAGUUAAUUGAGGCCACAAUGUAAUAAAUUCCAAACGUUCACACGCUAGUCCAGCGCUCAUGUGGAACACUCACAUUAAACUCGUCUUCAUAAAAAACUUGAAAAGCAUAAGUUAAGCAAUUUUAUACAUCUCAAUGAUUCAUAGAACAUAACAAACAUAUACUAGUUCAUAGCAAAAGACAAAGUUGUGAGAAGGUUUACAAAUCAGGAAAAAACAAGCAAGGCUUCUCUGACCAAAGGGCCUCCCGGCAGGCUUAAAUUUCCUGGAGUUCACUCUGGUUUUUUCUUGUUGCCACCAUUCAGGGUUAGGUUCUCUCAUUCCAGAAUAACCAAUUAUAAUUGUGGUCUCAGCUGGAAUGCUGAACUGAACCAUGCAGUGUACUGACCAGCUGAAAUGCUUGUGCAUUCCACUAAAUUUAAGCACCGCUAUUUGCAGAAAUAAGCAGACCACAAUGCCUCUUGUCCGCGCACCUGUCCAAAAAACCGCCGUGCAGCCGUGCGAGCUAGUCCUCGGUCCAUGGAUGAACUGGUAGAAAGUGCAUUCCGGACUAGGAUGCAGUUGUUUUCGCUCGUCCCUGCACUACUGUAGCGACCCGACCUCAAACGGUCAAGUCUCUGUGCUUCAGUGUCAUCCCUGGAUCGGUAAUGCUGACACACACAGUACUCGAGGGAUUUAUAACAGAGUAGCAAUCACACACUUAUUACAUCGAAUGUCUCAAAAGAGAACUUAUUACAAUAAUAUGGCUUAAGGCCAUCUAAUACGAUAACAACGGAAGGCUUGGAAGAUAAAGUGAGUCCAUCAACUCCAACUGCAUAGCUGAGCUGCACGGCAACGACCUAAGGAACCUUACUCCUCGUCUGAAAAGUCUACAACAUAAUACAUUGCAGCUCGAAAAUGGGUCAGCACAUGGAAUAUGCUGGCAAUAUAACACAGUAGAGCAAGAACAGAAUAAUGCUAUCACUACAUGCAUAUUUGGCUGGUGGAAAGCUCUAUGUUUAUAGUUUUUUUUGCGAAAAGCCAAUUUUUCCCUACAACAAAGGAAUAGAUUUUAAUUUAACUAUCAUGGUGGUUGAAACAUCAUUGAGAAGGUUCCUCCAACUCAAUCCCAAUUAAAGUAAUUAACAACCCAACAAUAUUAAUUAAGAGUGAUGAGAUACUUAAGAUACUCCAAGUACUAGAUACUCAAGAUUGUCCAUAACCGGGGACACGGCUAACCAUGAUUAGAUUGUACACUCUGCACAGGUUUGCGCACUUUUCCCCACAAGACUCGAUCGCCUCCGUUAGAUUUCUCGCACUUCAUGAUAUUUGAGAAACGGAUGACCGAGACACAGUCUUUCAGAAACAUUAACUCUCUACUCCGGGCGGACCAUACCAAACCUACAACCCUCUACCUGCUGAUCCACCUCUUCAAGAGCUUCAUGUAACUUACUCAACUAUGCUAGAGCCCAUAAUAGCUUGUGGCUGCACACGGAAGUUUCUAGCAUGAAUAAUCUCAGUUCCCUUUGAGCCUGGGUGGCGGUCCAUAGGAGAAUCACACGGAACCCCGGGAUUUCCAAAAAUACAGGCAACACUGGGUACUUCAGGUGCCUCAAUCCACCCAGAUGUGUAUUUAAGUUGCCACCUUAAGUUGAACCAUUAAUUAACAAUCUCACAUCUGUCAUGGAUUUCACUGAAACCCAAACCAUGUCUACGAGCAUAGCAUAGCAAUAUAAGCAACGCGUAGAAGUAACUCCCAAGGGUUUGAUAUAACAGGGCAAUAGGUUCUACCUCAACAACUACUUCCCAACCCACAAGUUAAUGACAUCCUAUUCAUGCAAUGUUUGAGGAUUGAUUCUAAUGCAUAAAAACUGGGUAUGAAAAGAGUAUGAUCAAUGUGUUACUUGCCUUGCUGACGAUCCGCGAAACCUAGGGACUCAUAGUAGCACCCUUCGCACUCCGGGAAUUCUAUCGCAAACAAACAAUAGCAUACAUAAUCAACAAGCAGAGAUGCACGGGCAAAACUCAAAUAAGAGAGAUUGACCAGAAAGUUCAACUUAAGAACUCCGGUUUGCAAAAAGAAUCAAAUCGAACGGAGCAACGAAACUCAAACGGCGAAAGAAACAAGAUCCCUUUACUAAUCUGAACUAAAGUCAAAUUUUACAGUACCAAAACCUUGUUUAAGUUGAUUAAACAGAAAGAGGGUCUCGAGACGAAGAUCUAGGUGCUUGAAUCGCCUGAUUCCGAUAAACGAGCGAAAAGAUAAACUGAAACGAAAAUCGGAUCAGAAAUCACGAUCGAGAAUAAUCGUGGAAAAAUCCGAUAAGAAAACUGACGAACAGACUAACGAACGAGCGUUCGUUAUCUGUAACUAACGUCCGAAAACCGUUCGUUAAAACGAACAUACGGACGAACGUCCGCUAAGUAGCAGAACCGGGAAAAACCGGUGAACCGAUCUAAAAAAACAAACUAGGGUUUAAAAAAACAAUCGGUUUUCAAAAAACCCGGCGGCGGCGGAUCGGCGCGUUACCUCUCCGGCGAGGCAGCUCCGGCAAGGCGGGGCUUGGGCGGCGGGCUUGCGGGGCAGCGGGGCNNNNNNNNNNNNNNNNNNNNNNNNNNNNNNNNNNNNNNNNNNNNNNNNNNNNNNNNNNNNNNNNNNNNNNNNNNNNNNNNNNNNNNNNNNNNNNNNNNNNNNNNNNNNNNNNNNNNNNNNNNNNNNNNNNNNNNNNNNNNNNNNNNNNNNNNNNNNNNNNNNNNNNNNNNNNNNNNNNNNNNNNNNNNNNNNNNNNNNNNNNNNNNNNNNNNNNNNNNNNNNNNNNNNNNNNNNNNNNNNNNNNNNNNNNNNNNNNNNNNNNNNNNNNNNNNNNNNNNNNNNNNNNNNNNNNNNNNNNNNNNNNNNNNNNNNNNNNNNNNNNNNNNNNNNNNNNNNNNNNNNNNNNNNNNNNNNNNNNNNNNNNNNNNNNNNNNNNNNNNNNNNNNNNNNNNNNNNNNNNNNNNNNNNNNNNNNNNNNNNNNNNNNNNNNNNNNNNNNNNNNNNNNNNNNNNNNNNNNNNNNNNNNNNNNNNNNNNNNNNNNNNNNNNNNNNNNNNNNNNNNNNNNNNNNNNNNNNNNNNNNNNNNNNNNNNNNNNNNNNNNNNNNNNNNNNNNNNNNNNNNNNNNNNNNNNNNNNNNNNNNNNNNNNNNNNNNNNNNNNNNNNNNNNNNNNNNNNNNNNNNNNNNNNNNNNNNNNNNNNNNNAGGCGGCGGCGCGGGCUGCGGCGGCGGGGCUGGCGAGGGUGGUUGCGGCGGCGACUUGGGGCUCCAGGGGGGGCCCCGGGGUGGGUUUUUAAAGGGGAGGGCAGGGCGGGGGCUCGGACUCUUCCGAGUCCGGUGGCGGCACGGGACGGGGAAGGCGGUGGCGCGGGGUUGGGCCGGCCUGGCUCGGCUGGGCUUCGACCCGGUCGGGCGCUGGAAGUUUUUUUAAAUAAUUCUGCCUAACAGAAAAUAAAUCCUAGAAAAUAAAAUAAAAAUCUAAAAAUGCCAAAAUAAAUUUUCACCGUCUAAAUAAAAUAUUUAGAACGAGAUGAACAUUUUCUUGGCCCUAAAAUGCAAUUUUGAAAACGUGCAAUUUUUUCUAAUGCAAAUAAAAUCCAAAGAAAAUCAAAUAAAAUCAAAUAAACGAUUUUAAUAUUUUUCCUCCAAUAUUUCAAUUAUUUUGGAGAAGUCAUGUUAUUUCCUCUCAUAUGUUUUAAUAUGAAAUAUUUUUUGGAGAGAAAAAUUAUUAAAAUAAAAAAUCCUCGUUUCAUUAUUUGAUAACAAUCAAAUAUGAAAACUGGGAAAUCCCCAACUCUCUCCGAGGGUCCUUGAGUUGCUUAGGAUCUCGAGGAUUGCGGAACAAAAAUGCAAUAAAAUACGAUAUGCAUGAAUGACCUAUGUAUAACAUUCCAAAUUGAAAAUUUGGGAUGUUACAAACCUACCCCCCUUAAGAUGAAUCUCGCCCUCGAGAUUCGGGUUGGCUAGAAAAUAGGUGUGGGUGGUCUUUGCGAAGAUCAUCCUCUCGUUCCCAGGUGGCUUCAUCCUCGGUAUGGUGGCUCCACUGAACUUUGCAAAACUUGAUAACCUUGCUGCGGGUGACUCGGCUGGCAAACUCAAGAAUCUUAACUGGCUUUUCCUCAUAAGUCGAAUCACUGUCCAACUGAAUCGCCUCCAAGGGUACCGUAUCUCUUAACGGUAUAUCGGCCAUCUCAGCAUGACACUUCUUCAACUGCGAAACGUGGAACACAUCAUGAACCCCUGACAGUCCUUCAGGUAACUCCAACUUGUAGGCAACUUCUCCCGUACGUUCCAAAAAUACGAUACGGUCCUACAAAUCUUGGGGCUAACUUUCCCUUAACUCCAAAACGUUUCACUCCUCGUAAGGGUGAUACUCGCAGAUAUGCUCUUUUUCCAAUUUCAUAGGUUACCUCCUUGCGUUUCGGGUCUGCAUAACUCUUCUGCCUGGACUGAGCUAUCUUCAGUCUGUCACGAAUCAGCUUAACCUUCUCUUCAAACUCCUUGAUCAGGUCUGGUCCAAACAACUGUCUGUCUCCUACUUCAUCCCACAUCAACGACGUUCUGCACCUUCGUCCAUACAGGGCUUCAAACGGUGCCAUCUUCAAACUGGCUUGGUAGCUAUUGUUGUAUGAGAACUCUGCGUAAGGCAAAUUGUCAUCCCAACUAGAUCCAUAAUCUAGCGCACAUGCUCUCAACAUGUGCUCCAAAAUCUGGUUGACUCUCUCGGUCUGUCCAUCCGUCUCGGGUGAAACAUUGUACUAAACUCCAAUCUCAUUCCCAAAGUUUGGUGUAGCUAAUGCCAAAACUUCGAGGUAAACUGUGUUCCUCUAUCUGAUACGAUGGUCCUCGGAACUCCAUGCAGACAUACGAUCCUGGACAUAUAUAUCUUGGCCAACUUCGCACUUGUAUAAGUGGUUUUCACUGGGAUAAAGUGAGCCACUUUGGUCAAGCGAUCAACUACUACCCAUAUAGAAUCAUAUCCUGAUUUGGUCCUGGGCAAUCCGGUGAUAAAAUCCAUGCGAAGUUUAUCCCACUUCCACUCGGGUAUCGGCAUAGGCUAUAACAAUCCUGCUGGCUUUUGAUGCUCUGCCUUCACUCUCUGACAUACAUCACAUACGACUACAUACUCUGCAAUAUCCUUCUUCAUCCCCGUCCACCAGAAACGUUCCUUCAAAUCCAAAUACAUCUUGGUGUUUCCUGGGUGUAUUGAGUAUGGUGAGUCAUGAGCCUCCUGAAGUAUUAACUUCCUAAUCUCUGGGUUAUUGGGCACAUAAAGUCGGUCCUCAAACCAUAAGGUGUCGUGCUCAUCCUCACGAAAACCUUUGGCCUUUCCUUUGCUCAUUCUCUCUUUUAUCUCGGCAAUCUCUUUGUCAUCCUUCUGAGCUUCCCGAAUCUUACCCAACAAUGUCGACUGAACCUCCAUUGUUGCAACAAAACCUCUAGGAACAAUCUCUAAUCUAAGUUCCAUGAUAUUCUCUGCCAACUCCUUCAGUAAUCUCGUACUUGCUAGGAUGUUAGCAUAACUCUUCCGGCUCAAAGCGUCUGCUACGACGUUGGCCUUACCUGGAUGAUAGUGCAGCUUCAUGUCAUAAUCCUUUAUAAGCUCCAACCAUCUCCUCUGCCUAAGGUUCAACUCCUUCUGUGUGAAGAUGUACUUCAAACUCUUAUGAUCCGUGUACACAUCACAACGAUUUCCAAUAAGGUAAUGCCUCCAAGUCUUCAAUGCAUGCACUACGGCUGCUAGCUCCAAAUCAUGCGUGGCGUAAUUCAACUCGUGAGGUUUUAGUUGUCGCGAGGCAUACGAAACAACUCUUCCGUCCUGCAUAAGCACACUUCCAAGUCCUAAGCGAGAGGCAUCACAAUACACUUGGAAUUCCUUCCGUAUAUCUGGCAGGGUCAGCACUAGGGCUGUAGUCAAAUGUUUCUUGAACUCCUGGAAACUUGCCUCGCAGUCUUCCGUCCAUUUAAACUUAGUAUGCUUCUUCAAUAAUUCAGUCAUUGGCUUCGCAAUCUUGGAAAAGAUCUCAAUGAAUCUCCGAUAGUAUCCUGCGAGUCCAAGAAAACUAUGGAUCUCGCUAACUGAAGUGGGUGCCAACCAUUCAGUGACUGACUGAACCUUGCUAGGGUCUACUGCUAUACCUUCUCCUGAUAUAACAUGUCCAAGGAAUCCGACUUCCUUCAACCAAAACUCGCAUUUGCUGAACUUGGCAUACAACUGGUGUUCCCUGAGUUUCUCGAGAACUAAUCGCAAAUGCUCCUUGUGCUCCUCUUCAUUCUUCGAAUAUACCAUUAUAUCAUCAAUAAACACCACAACAAACUUGUCCAAAUAUUCCAUGAAUACUUUGUUCAUCAUGCUCAUGAAAUAGGCAGGAGCGUUAGUCAGUCCAAACGACAUGACCGUAUACUCGUACAAUCCGUACCGCGUGGUGAAUGCUGUCUUUGGUAUAUCUUUCUCUCGAAUCUUCAACUGGUGGUAUCCCAAUCGCAAAUCGAUCUUCGAAAACACCUUAGCUCCUUGCAGCUGAUCAAACAGAUCAUUAAUCAUCAGCAGUGGGUACUUGUUCUUAAUCGUCACUUCAUUCAGGGCCCGAUAAUCAAUAACCAUUCUUAGGGAUUUAUCCUUCUUCUCAACCAAAAGUACUGGGGCUCCCCAAGGUGAUGAACUCCUUCGAAUGUAACCUUUCUCCAAUAACUCCUUGAUCUGUUUCUUAAUCUCCUCCAGAUCAUUUGCGGGCAUCCGAUAGGGUCUCUUGGAUAUUGGCCCGGUACCUGGCAAUAGCUCUAUCAAAAACUCGAUGUCUCUAUCCGGUGGCAUGCCUGGUAACUCCUCUGGAAAAACAUCCGGGUAAUCCUUCACUACAUGCACUUCCUACUGAACAACUCCCGUGAGGGUAUUCACUUGGCUCCUUCUGGGCACAUGCCUAGAUACAUACUUAAUCCUUUUUCCCUCCGGGGUGGUGAGGUAAAUCGACUUACUAGCACAGUUAAUGCUUCCUCCAUACUUUGACAUCUAGUCCAUGCCUAAUAUCACAUCCAAUCCUCGUGACUCCAAGAUAAUUAGGUCGGACGGAAAAACAUGUGUGCCAAUGGUUAGGGGUAUCUGGUCGCACCAUCGACUAGCCAUAUACUCUGCUCCAGGUGAACUCACUAAAAGAGGGGUCCUAAGGGUUUGGGUUGGUAGUCUAAACUUAUCCACGAAUCCCCUUGAUAUGUAUGAAUGCGAUGCACUAGUAUCAAAAAUAACAAGAGUGGUAAAUGACUUAACCAAAAACUUACCUAUAACCGCGUCUGGCUGGUCUUCAACCUCCUCCAGGUUAACGUGGUUCACUUGUCCUUUGUUGAAUGGAUUGGUCUUCUUCCCAGCGCUCCCAUUUCUGUUUCCAUUCUUCCCUUCAGGGCACUCCGUGGCACAGUCUUCCCGCACUUAAAGCAAGUAAUGUGACUUAGGUCUCUUUUGGCGGGUGUGGCUGGAUUGGAGCGGUUCUGAUUGUUGUUGGCUCCAUUCCCAUUCCAAUUCUUAGAACCAUUGUGGUUAUGCGAUCCUCCUCCGGUGUGGUUAUGACCUCCAUGGUUAUGAACAAGUCCUCCCGAGUUCGGGGUUAGGCGAGGCUUCUGCUGAGCUCCUGAGUUAUACCUCCUUUGUCCAUACUUCCUCUUACGGCUCUCAAUCUGCUGCUGCUUCCCUUCAAUCAUAAGAGCCUUAUCUACCAACUCCUGGUAGUUUUUGAAGGUUUCUACCAUCAACUGCAUGCUCAUCUCGUCAUUCAGCCCUUCCAUAAACUUCUCCUGCUUCGCGGCAUCUGUGGCCACAUCGUCAGGGGCAUAGCGAGAUAACUUGCUAAACUCAUCCACGUAUUGAGCCAUAGUAUGGUUCCCCUGGCGUAAGUUGCGAAACUCGCGCUUCUUAAUAUUCAUAGCUCCAGUUGAGACAUGGGCUGUGCGUAAAGCUUGCUGAAACUGGUCCCAAGUGACGUUGGCUAUGGGGAAAGUGGCCGUGUAAUUCUCCCACCACGAGGCUGCUGGUCCAUCCAAUUGAUGUGCGGCAAAGCGCACCUUCUCAGCAUCUGUGCAACCUGCGGUGGUCAACUCCCUUCCAAUACGGCGUAGCCAAUCAUCAGCAACUACAGGCUCGGUGCUACUAGAAAACACCGGCGGCUGUAACUUUAGAAAACGGGCUAGGUUGUCAACUGGCGGCGGGUUGUUGUUGUUGUUGUUGUUGCCCUAGUUCUGAACUAGCAAUUGCAUCAAGGUGUUCUGCUGCUGGAUCAACUGAGUGAGCUCCGGUGGGAAGGCAAAAUCGGUGUCACGUCUCGGAGGCAUCUGAUGGGUUUAGAUGGAAGAGAUCGGAAUAAAAAGGGGUCUAAUGAGAAAGCACCACCCAUAUGCACAUGAGACAAACACAAUCAUUUCACUGAAUCAAUCAAGCAAGGGCAUACAAGCGGUCUAGAACUAUCACAAAAGUGCUCAACUACUACUAAAUACAUGGGGAAAUACUACUAAUAUGUGGUGGUCAUCUAGAAAUUUUGAUCGGUGGAAGACUCCAUGAUAUCUGCUCCAGCUUCAUCUUCAAAGUCAUCAUCACUAUUGUCGGGGUCCGAGUCGGUGUCGUCGAUGAUGAUGUAGUCCUUCGAGCGAAUCUCCUUGGGUUCUUCAUCUUCUCCUCCUGGUGCGGGGUCUCCCAGGAAUACUCCGAUCUUCUUAACCAGGUCGUCAUUCUUCUCCAGUAGCGUCUUAAUUUCCUCCUCAUAUCCAUCACGUGUAAACUUGAGUUCUUCCUCCAGUUCGAUGAUCCUAGUCUUCGCCUUCUUCAAGUCCAUCAUGUCUGCGCACAUUUGGUUCUCCUGACGUCGAAUGUGCUGGUUUAGCUCCUGGAUGAAAGCUGCAAUGGAUCUAUCGUUCUUGGUGCUGAUCACUUCCCGUUGCUCGUCUCGGCGCCCACAAAUCUGAUAGAUAGUGUCCUUAAGAUCCUUUUUUUAGACUUCUCCAAUGCGUCCCAUGGUAAUGUGGGCUGCCAUGCUCUUGCCUAGACUCCAGGUGGGUGCUUCGAAAGAAAAUUCUAUGGGUUUAGAGGUUGGCGAGAACGUCCUUCCUGGAACUUGUACUUGAAUCAUCCAACGCUCCUCUUCUGGUAAGGUGGCGUUGUAUGUCCCGGUGAAGCUUGGUAUUCCAAUGUUCAAGUACCUAGUGACUUCCUUCAAAUGGCAUCCAAAAGGUGUGUCUUCAUCCGGCUGUGCAAACUUGUUCUUCAUCUCCGCCAUCCUAAGGAGUAGAAAAUGGAGAGGAGUCAGAAAUGAGUAGAGAAGAGUGACCUAGGGUUUUUAUCUAAGUGGUCGUGUCAUACACUCUGCGUGUGCUCUAAUACCAUCUUGUAGCGACCCGACCUCAAACGGUCAAGUCUCUGUGCUUCAAUGUCAUCCCUGGAUCGGUAAUGCCAACACACACAGUACUCGAAGGAUUUAUAACAGAGUAGCAAUCACACACUUAUUACAUCGAAUGUCUCAAAAGAGAACUUAUUACAAUAAUAUGGCUUAAGGCCAUCUAAUACAAUAACAGCGGAAGGCUUGGAAGAUAAAGUGAGUCCAUCAACUCCAACGACAUAGCUGAGCUGCAUGGCAACGACCUAACGAACCUUACCACUCGUCUGAAAAGUCUACAACAUAAUACGUUGCAUCCCAAAAACGGGCCAACACAUGGAAUACGCUGGCAAUAUAACACAGUAGAGCAAGAACAGAAUAAUGCUAUCACUACAUGCAUAUUUGGCUGGUGGAAAGCUCUAUGGUUAUAGUUUUUUUUGCGAAAAGCCAAAUUUCCCCUACAAUAAAGGAAUAGAUUUUAAUUUAACUAUCAUGGUGGUCGGAACAUCAUCGAGAAGGUUCCUCCAACUCAAUCCCAAUUAAAGUAAUUAACAACCCAACAAUAUUAAUUAAGAGGGAUGAGAUACUUAAGAUACUCCAAGUACUAGAUACUCAAGAUUGUCCAUAACUGGGGACACGACUAACCAUGAUUAGAUUGUACACUCUGCAGAGGUUUGCACACUUUUCCCCACAAGACUUGAUCGCCUCCAUUAGAUUUCUCGCACUUCAUGAUGUUUGAGAAACGGAUGACCGAGACACAGUCUUUCAGAAACAUUAACUCUCUACUCCGGGCGGACCAUACCAAACCUACAACCCUCUACCUGCUGAUCCACCUCUUCAAGAGCUUCACGUAACUUACUCAACUAUGCUAGAGCCCAUAAUAGCUUGUGGCUGCACACGGAAGUUUCUAGCAUGAAUAAUCUCAGUUCCCUUUGAGCCUGGGUGGCGGUCCAUAGGAGAAUCACACGGAACCCCGAGAUUUCCAAAAAUACAGGCAAUACUGGGUACUCCAGGUGCCUCAAUCCACCCAGAUGUGUAUUUAAGUUGCCACCUUAAGUUGAACCAUUAAUUAACAAUCUCACAUCUAUCAUGGAUUUCACUCAAACCCAAACCACGUCUACGAACAUAGCAUAGCAAUAUAAGCAACACGUAGAAGUAACUCCCAAGGGUUUGAUAUAACAGGGCAAUAGGUCCUACCCUAACAACUACUUCCCAACCCACAAGUUAAUGACAUCCUAUUCAUGCAAUGUUUGAGGAUUGAUUCUAAUGCAUAAAAACUGGGUAUGGAAAGAGUAUGAUCAAUGUGUUACUUGCCAUGCUGACGAUCCGCGAAACCUAGGGACUCGUAGUAGCACGCUUCGCACUCCGGGAAUUCUAUCGCAAACAAACAAUAGCAUACAUAAGCAACAAGUAGAGAUGCAUGGGCAAAACUCAAAUAAGAGAGAUUGAACAGAAAGUUCAACUUAAGAACUCCGCUUUGCAAAAAGAAUCAAAUCGAACGGAGCAACGAAACUCAAACGGCGAAAGAAACAAGAUCCGUUUACUAAUCUGAACUAAAGCCAAAUUUUACAGUACCAAAAUCUUGUUUAAGUUGAUUAAACAGAAAGAGGGUCUCGAGACGAAGAUCUAGGCGCUUGAAUCGCCUGAUUCCGAUAAACGAGCGAAAAGAUAAACUGAAACGAAAAUCGGAUCAGAAAUCGCGAUCGAGAAUAAUCACGGAAAAAUCCGAUAAAAAGAAAACUGACGAACAAACUAACGAACGAGCGUUCGUUAUCUGUAACUAACGGGUGAAAACCGUUCGUUAAAACGAAUAUACGUACGAACGUCCGCUAAGUAGCAGAACCGGGAAAAAUCGGCGAACCGAUCUAAAAAAACAAACUAGGGUUUUUUUUAAAAAACCGAAUCGGUUUUCAAAAAAAUCGACGGCGGCGGAUCGGCGCGUUACCUCUCCAGCGAGGCAGCUCCAGCGAGGCGAGGCUUGGGCGGCGGGCUUGCGGGGCGGCGGGGUGGCUCGGUGGCGCGGGGCCGCUGCAGCGCGGGCAGCGGCAGGCGGCGGCGCGGGCUGCAGCGGCGGAGCUGGCGAGGGCUGCGGCGGCGGCGACUUGGUGCUCCAGGGGGGCCUCGGGUGGGUUUUUAAAGGGGAGGGCGAGGCGGCGGCUCCGACUUGGGGAGGGGGUCGCGGCGGCGGCGGCCGCUCGGACUCUUCCGAGUCCGGCGGCGGCACGUGACGGGGAAGGCGGUGGCGCGGGGUUGGGCCGGCCUGGCUCGGCUGGGCUUCGGCCCGGUCGGGCGCUGGAAGUUUUUUUAAAUAAUUCCGCCGAACAGAAAAUAAAUCCUAGAAAAUAAAAUAAAAAUCUAAAAAUGCCAAAAUAAAAAUUCACCGUCUAAAUAAAAUAUUUAGAACGAGAUGAAUAUUUUCUUGGCCCUAAAAUGCAAUUUUGAAAACGUGCAAUUUUUCUAAUGCAAAUAAAAUCCAAAUAAAAUCAAAUAAAUGAUUUUAAUAUUUUUCCUCCAAUAUUUCAAUUAUUUUGGAGAAGUUAUGUUAUCUCCUCUCAUAUAUUUUAAUAUGAAAUAUUUUUCGGAGAGAAAAAUAAUUAAAAUCAAAAAUCCUCGUUUCAUUAUUUGAUAACAAUCAAAUAUGAAAAUCGGGAAAUCCCCAACUCUAUCCGAGGGUCCUUGAGUUGCUUAGGAUCUUGAGGAUUGCGGAACGAAAAUGCAAUAAAAUAUGAUAUGCAUAAAUGACCUAUGUAUAACAUUCCAAAUUGAAAAUUUAGGAUGUUACAACUGCAAUCAGGAAGUAAAACGUACGAAUCAGAUUCUUUUAGAUUGCGUUGGUCAUUCUACCUUAGUUACUACCAAUGUAGGGAUACCUUGAGGACGGGAGGUUAGACGACGGCAAUGAGGGAUAGCCAUCUCAUUUUGCGCGGUUGUACUAAAACUGAGGUGUGUGCUUUUGAUUGCAUGGAUAGAAACGAUACGGAGACAGACAUCCCGAAACGAUAUGGAGACAGACAUCCCUGUUUGCGCAAAUACGAAAUACGGUUAUUUAAACAAUGACAGAUAUUACUACUUUCCCCAUUUCCUCUUAGAACCAAGUCCUAGAUUCAUGCUAUAGCUUUCCCACUUUCUUCCGUGUUUAAACCAACGCUUUGAGUCGACUGUAUGAACUAGCUUUACUUAUAAUAAUAGUAGAUGUCUAGGUGGCUUUGGAACAGUGGACAGAAAUAGAAAACGAUCCACAUGAAGGGAGCUGGGGCAGUAGAGCAAGGCAGGUUUCAAAGGAAUAUAUACCUGAGGGUCGUCGACAUGUGGCAAAGACGGCGUCGGGAGGCCGCAUCUUGGCCAUAAUACCGCAGGGAGGAAGAAGGGGUCGGAGGCCCUCCCGAGGCGGUGCUCUCUCGGAGAGAACGACACGGCCGCCGAUCGGGACGCACGGGCAGCCGUUGGUCUCCUCCCUCGCCGCCGACGACAGCGUGAACGAUUCACCUACACCCCUGCCCCGGUCGAGGUUGUCCGGCCGGAUUUGUGACCAGUCGUGAGCUGAGAGAGAGUGUGGCCACCUAUGUGUUGCUUAAAUCUGGAGAGCAUGAGAGAGUGAACGAGAGGAACCCUAGUAAAGCAAGCGCUAAGGCUCAUGCUUUUAUAUAUAGUGGAGUGAUUUUGUUGUACCAGCUUCAAAAAAAUGCGCUCCUACGUGUACCCACGAGUGGGUGUGAGAGAACUAGUGCGUGCGUGCACCGCUUCUCUUCGUGAGAGUACAAUAUACUAUGCCCAAAGAAUGUUCGCCGCAAGAGUAAUAGUAUAAGUGUGUGACGUGUGAGCUAAAAUGAAAUGUGCGCGCCGUCUUUUGUUUUGUAGAAGUUCUGAGGGUAGGGUGUGAAGAGCACAUAUGUGCGUGACGUCUACCUGCAGAUAGACGGUGGGUGCGACGUGCGAGUCUGCGAGAGGACUCGGGAAAGUCGUGACUCGUGAGGGUGCGUGUGCGUAUCAAUGCAAUGCAUGUGUCCGUAAAUCAUUAUCCGACAAACGUUCGCCACAAGUCUUUUCCUGACGAACGCCGUAAGAACCAUUAGAUCGGCAUCCGACAGUGUCAGUUUUGCCAUGUCAUUUAACAGAACAGCCACUCCUCCUACACACAAAUCUUCCACGUGAGUGUUAGCAACUGCCGUAUGCUCUCUCCGUUCCGAAAUGUAGUGCAUAUAGCUUUAUUGAAAAUUCGAACCUCGCAAACUUUUACCGAGUUUUCGUGUACCAAAUUGCACAUGUAGAAUACCAUGUAUAUAUAUCAUUUCAUUCAUCUUUUAGAGGUAACUAUAAAGAUGGGUGAUGAGUCUACAAAGAAAGACCAUCGUAUCACCCGCAGCAAUUUCAAGCAUCCUUUAGUGUUGAGGAAUAUCAUAGGAACUCUAUAUGAUAUGAUUUUUGUAGGAUUUUUUUCCUUUAGAGUCAAUUGGUUCAUAGAAAUAGAUUCAUAUACUCCACAUUUCAAAGAAAAUAAACAUGAUAUCAUUUCUAUAGCUUUAGAGCCACUUGGUUCAUAUGAAUGAAUUCUUAUACUCCCUUAAUUUCAAAGAAAAUAAACAUUAGCGCAUAUUCAAUAGAAAAGUUCCUAUGAUAUGAACCAAAUUACAUCUCUUUUCUAAUCCCUCCUCAUAGGAAUUGAGAUACAUGUCAUCUCUAGAUUCAAUAGAAAAGUUCCUAUGAUGUGAACCAAAUGACACCUCUUUUCCAAUAUAUACCUACUAAUAAAGCAAGAUGCGUUUCUCCAAUAGUUUCAUCCGUUCAUCGCCGAAAAUAAUUUUUUGCUAUCCGAGGUUGUACUAAAUUUUUGUUUGUCUCUCCACUGGAAAAGACAAAAAGUUUGUCCAGAAUACCGCAACUGGGCCAGGCGCACUUCAGCCCAACAAAACCAACCCAGUAGUUACCCUGCCCAUGCGUCGCCAGGACCUUAUUUGUCCCCGGUAGCGACAAAUAGUUGAAUGUACAAACAAGUCACCCAAGACUGGGCGAGCCUAUUUUUGUUUUUUCUGUAUUCGGUUUCUGUUUAAUUUUUAUUCCCUCCUUCUUUAUUUUUAUUGUUUUGGAAAAUAAAAAUAUACAAAAUGUAUUCAGAAUUUCAUUUUUUUUCAAAUAUUCAAAAGAAUUAGCAUUACAAAAUUUUAUUCCUGUCUUAAAAAUAUUAGCAACUUAAGAAAAUUGGUUUCGUAAUUUCCUCAACAUUUUAAAAAUGUUGCAAUUUAAAAUAAAUCUAUUUCAGAAUUGUUUGAUAUUUUUUAUAAAAUUAUUAUUUUAUAAAAUGUUCGAUAUUCAAAAAAUAUUCCUAUUUUAGUGAAAAGUUCAGAAAUACAAAAAAAUGUUUGCGUCUAAGAAAACAUUUUUAAAAAGUUUUUAAUGUUCCCCUUUUCAAAAAUAAUAAUAAUGUUCUGUUGUAUAAAUAGUUCAUGUUUUCAAAAUAUUUUUUCUUAAUUUCAAUUACUACUCCCGUUUCUAAUUUUGUUUGUGUUUUUCCAAAACUAUGUGGAAUUUAAGAAAAAUGUUGACAUUUUUUUAGAACUGUCCGGGUUUUUCUAUAUCUAUACCUCUAUAUCUACAUCUAUACCUAUACUAAUAAAGCAAGGUGCGUUUCUCCAAUAGUUUCGUCCGUUCGUCGCCAAAAAUAAUUUUUUGCUAUCCGAGGUGGUACUAAAUUUUUGUGUGUCUCUCCACUGGAAAAGACAAAAAGUUUGUCCAGAAUACCGCAACUGGGCCAGGCGCACUCCAGCCCAACAAAACCAACCUAAUAAUUACCCUGCCCAUGCGUCGCUAGGACCUUAUUUGUCGCCGGUGGCGACAAAUAGUUGAAUGUACACACAAGUCGCCCAAGACUGGGCGGGCCUGUUUUUUUUUUUCUGUAUUCGGUUUCUGUUGAAUUUUUAUUUCCCCCUUCUUUAUUUUUAUUGUUUAGGGAAAUAAAAAUAUACAAAAUGUAUUCUGAAUUUCAAUUUUUGUUCAAAUAUUCAAAAGAAUUAGCAUUACAAAAUUUUAUUCCUGUCUUAAAAAAUAUUAGAAACUUAAAAAAAUUGGUUUCAUAAUUUCCUCAACAUUUUAAAAAUGUUGCAAUUUAAAAUAAAUCUAUUUCAGAAUUGUUCGAUAUUUUUUAUAAAAUUAUUAUUUUAUAAAAUGUUCGAUAUUCAAAAAAUAUUCCUAUUUUAGUGAAAAGUUCAGAAACACAUAAAAAUGUUUGCGUCUAAGAAAACAUUUUUAAAAAUGUUGUUAAUGUUCCCCUUUUCAAAAAUAAUAAUAAUGUUCUGUUGUAUAAAUAGUUCAUGUUUUCAAACUAUUGUUUAUUAAUUUCAAUUGCUACUCCUGUUUUUAAUUUUGUUUGUGUUUUUCCAAAACUAUGUGGAAGUUAAGAAAAAUGUUGACAUUUUUUUAGAACUGUCCGGGCUUUCAAAAAAAUUAACGUUUCCAAGAACAUUCGGCGGUUUUCUUUGAAUGUUCAAAAUAAUAAAUAAAUAAAUAAAAUCUGAAGCUGUCGUAUCUUCUUAAAUAUUCGCGUUGGCCAUUGAUUAGAGUGCGCGUUUGUUCUAUCCUGGUUGGAAAUAAAUUAAAAAAAGGGCAUGUGCCAAUAAAAGAGUAUAUGUUGUUUGGCUCUAAUUAGAAAAAAAAUGGUUGAUACGUGAGCGCUAAAAUAAUCAAAGAGAAUAAACCAUCAUAAUGAAGGGACAUUCAUGACUGAUUAUGCUUAUGAAACAUGAUUUAUGCGCUGCAAUUAGUAAUCCAUCCGGUUACGCAGUUGUAGGAGAGUGGUCGAAGCAACUGUGUCCCGAAGAUCGUCACACACCCAUCAAAUGAGGAGGUAUGCACAACCCCGAGAUGGAGGCGGACGCGGAAAAAAAGCACGAGUUGGGUGCUCGCCACCGCGCCUACCAACCCCACCACUAUCAAGAUUUCAUGGGCCAAACACGUCCAGUGAGAAGACAACUCCUUGCUCUAUCGCCUACCGUUGUGGAGACCGUUUUUUGUGGCCACAUCGAUUAUCGUUCCCGUUAUUUGUCGUAAAUAAAAUAUCUCACCCGUUGCAUCGCGUGGGCAUUUGUGCUAGUCCCUACUCAUAGGAAUUGAGAUGCUCCAUGUUAUCUCUUUCCCUACAACUUCCAUGUAUACAUCUUCUAUUCCUAAAUAGAUAGUACAACCCACUAGUAGCUUUUUUCCAAAACAUGCAACUAUGGCACAAGAACUAUAUAGUGUGCCAAUAACUUUGAAAUAUGGUCGCUGGAUGAAGCUAACCCAACAAUGCAGAGGUAGGUAAAUCCGAGCACUACUGGUCGUUGGAUAUCAUCAACAUUCCACCAGAUCUGCCACAUGUACAAUUUAGAAGACUCCAUGGUUGAACUUAAGCAUAAUGCACAAAGCUCAAAACAUAAGCACUUCUCUUUUGUUCUAGAAUCUUCUGUAUCAUAAUUGAUUAUUUUUUCUAAAUGAAUUGCCAUUAUUUGUUUUUUACUUUAUGAUUUACAAUGCACAACCCCAUGAAUCUUAACAUUUUUAUAAAACUAAUUGAUUUUGAAUGAGAUGAACUAUAAGAACUAAACGAACAUCUACAUCAUGCAUAUAUGACUCAAAACUUUACAUGCUAUAGUGUGUAUUUAUUCAUAAUUUGGUUUCGAAAUCUCAUGCGUUCAAUACAUGUGUACCUUACUAGUUUUGAGUAGAGUAGCAAAUUUCACGCGUCCCCGGGUAUAUCAAAAUGCAGCGCCCAUGCAUCAUUACCUUUCGGUCGAACCUACGUCCACAAUUUUUUGUACGUACUAUAUCUCCACUGGUCCCCGAACUCAAAAUCCUGCCGCAUUCCCGUAAAACCAAGCGGCCCACACAUAUUUAAGGCGUCGACUCGAACCCGUUUACUACGACGUGGCCCCGCACGCCUUAGUACUCCUACAAACCCUACCGCCGCACUCAUCAUCGGUUUUCUUUAAGAGAACAAGGGAGAAGCCGAUUUGUAGGGGAGGCGCUUUAAAAAAAAGGAUCUGUAGUGGAGACCCCUACCCUAGGUGCCCUAGGUAGCUGCCGCACGCAUCAUUGUUUUCUCUUUUCUUUAUGCUCUUGCGCCCUAGAGUGAAAUGAUGGUUGCUUCGUCCGUCCAGCUUAAUGCGGGAAAGGUGGGGCUUUGUGAUUUGACCCCUCAUCGCUCAUUUUCUACUACUGCGGCGCUAUGACCGGGGUGCCUCCAAUUCCAACCGCUGCUCCGAACUGUAAUUUGGUGCAUCGCACGUGGAACAAGAUGGUGGAUGAGCCACAUGUCGGCCAAAGGGGUCCUGUUAAGUGUGUCGCCAUUUCGUGUGCGGACUGACUCUGCUUGAGUUGCUACGCCAACACGACGGGAGUAGCCUACCACUUGGUUUUGCUCCUUGGUGAAUCCCGACUAUAUUGAUCUAAAAAGAUACAUGCUGAACUACCCUCUCCAUCUUGGUUUUUUUAUUUUUAGGCAUCUCGAUUUAUAGGGCCUGCACGUAGUUCUAGGUCAUCUAUUUGACUAACUAAAUAUGAGUUACUAUGUCACAAAAAGUAUAUCAUUGGAUUCUUAAGCGGAUGUAGUUGUAUUUAAAAGUCGAGGGUGGGGCUUUUCCUGCACGGUAGGCGGGGUAGUUCCGCCUAGUCGGUUCGACAAAGACGCGAGAAGACGAGGGAGUAGGCUGCUGCAAACGUAGGGCUGUGUGAUUUGACAACGAGUUACUGCUGGACAGGUGGGGCCCCGUGAUUUGACUUGCCAUUAUCAUUUUAACUGCGGCGCUACGACCGGCGUGAGUCUCCCGAUUCCUGACCACCUCCAUUACGAAGAAAGAGAUAGAGAUGAGUAAAAAAAUACACUUAUAGCCAACCUUGUUGUAGUAUGAGUGACUAAGUGAUGACUAUGUAUGACAUGCCAACGUCAGAUAGCCUAACGCACCGUCUUAAAUCUCCAAGGGCGCGACCGCGCAAGCGACGCGAUGGUCGUGGUAGGCGCGACCAUGAUACGGGCUGCUGGCAGCCCUUGGAUCUGAGAUCAAACGGUCGCAUGCUAAGUUGCUGAAAAUUUGCAGAAUAACCCUCCAGGAUAGGAUAUUCACCCAUAGGUCUAGAAUCAUGCCAUGCAACCUUUUGAUCUCAGAUCCAAGGGCUCUCGGAAGCCCGUAUCAUGGGAGAAUGGAAAGCCACUACCCCGCCGUUCGCACGCUGGCAAUUCGCUCCUACUCAUCCCCGCACGUCCUUCAAUACUACGGCGGUUCGCUCCUAGUCGUCCCGUCCAUUCACAUUAUGGCAGUUCCACUAAUCCUAACCCUCCUCCCAAUUCCAUGGCGUCCCAAAUCUCCACGAUCGGCGGUGAAUACAAGGUUAGAACCAUCACCGGCGAUGAGUUCGACGUCAUCUACACCCAUUCUUCCGCGACGGUGAAAGGAUGCCUUUCUCGCUUCAGGCGCAUGUUCGAAAACUCAGAUGAUGAGUGGGUUGCUGGGCUAGAUGUUGAGUACACCACAAUCCUGGGACCAGAGAAGGAUCUAAAGGACGAAGAGAGGAAGAAGCCCGCCGUGAUCCAGGUUUGCGUACAUAACGUUUGCUUGGUCUACCACAUAUGGCAUGCCGAUGUUGAGUGCCAGGAUUUUAAGAACUUCCUCAAGGACAAACAGUGAAUUUCGUUACUGUAGACUUUAAGAACGACAGGGAUGUCCUGCAUCGGAUAGGUCUCGUUGUAGGCAACCCCUUUGACCUCCAGAAGAAUCGGCUGGUGUCCUCUCGUCAGCCUUCAAUGCUGACCCUGGCAGGAGCCAUGGUUCAUCCUUCGUACGGUAAACUGGAGAAACCUCCAUACACGUUUCAUCGUCAUGCAUGGCAGCGGAAUGUACUAGAUAUAGACCACAUCCACUACGCUACAAUGGAUGGCUACCUUUGCUUCAACAUCUACAAGGGUUGGAUGAAGAGCAACAACCAAGUGUGCGGUUCAAGCAAAGAAGUAUCAGCCAAGAGGGAGAGGGACAAGGACGAAGUCGAGGACGUGGACGAGGACUCCGAGUAAGGUGGCAGUGUCGUUGCUCAUGGUGGUUCUAAACUUCUAAUACAGUGUCUACCGGAUUAGUUGCAUAGUUUAAUUUCAGGUGUGCUUAGUUUAAUUUGAGGGGUGUGUUGUGCUGAGCCCCCAGCAGAACUAUAUUAUGUUUCUUCUCGUUACUUUAACUCUUCAGUCUGUACAUACUACUAGUAUUUCUUUAAUAGAAUUCAGCACCCCAAUUAAGCACGUACUAACUUUUUUAAUAGUACUAAUAUGCAUAAUUUGGCGACGAGCGCUCUCUAUAUGUACCACUUUUUUUAAUUUCAAUUUUUGCUCCAUGGCGCAAUCCAUCGAUAGUACUAUUGUACAAAAGUAUACAUUUUUUAAAAGGCUAGAGUACUGUUCAUCACAUAUAUAUAGCCAGUUAGAUUCUGAACCUAGAACGACGUGCAUGCCAUGUAGUAAGCCGAUACGGAGGAAGUAUAGUAAAAAUGAGGUGAUUUUACCGAGCGAUCGGCGGGGGAGCAUGGCCUGUCAUGCGGUCCCACGUGUCAUGAUGUACCAAGGCAAUGCGCGUGUCCCUCUUGAGACAGAAGCAAUACUACGUGGUUUGAGAUGAUGGCGGACCGAAGUGUGAAAUAAUGGUUGCUUCGUCCGUCUGGGAAGGUGUGACAUUGUAAUUUGACAUCUCAUUGCUCAUUACUACUACUGGGCCGGUACGAGUGGGGUGCGUCCCCCCUGCUGUUCUGCACUGUUAUUUGGUGCCUGACACGUCGACCCGGUUGCUAUAUGUCCCACAUGUCGGUGACAGGAAGUACAUAAUUCAUGAAAGGGAGCGUCGACGGAGGAGUAUACUAUAGAAUUCAUGAAAGGGAGCGACUUAGUUUUGGAAAAAUCUGAUUUUACGGAGUACGUACCCACUAGGGUUUAUAGGGCUCAUCUAAAAAACAUUCGUUUUUCCAUUUGAUAAGUCUCAAUUCUACUAUACUAGUAGUAGCACCAUUACAUGUUGGAUUUUGAGGUGCGUUAGAUCACCCGACGCAAGUAGUGUCAAGAGGAAACUAACCAAUGCAUGUACAAGUUCAUGGAAAUUUAGUGGUCAUUCAUGCAUUCGUUCUAAUUAAUGCCUCGGUAAACAUAACUUCUUGAGAAAAACGAGCGUACUAAUUACUUGUGCAAACUACAAAAUUAAUUCGACCACUCACCGUCUACCUUGGUUGGAGAGAUUUUGAAAUUGAGCCAUAAACUAGAAAGGAGGGAGUAGUAACUUUUGUCUCGAUUACUAUUUGUGGCCUUGUAUAGAUGCAAAAUGUAUUUUUUUAUACUGGCCUUGUAUAAGUAAAUGGAGGGAGUACUAACCAAAGUACGUAGUAGGGACGAGGAGUAAACAGAGGGAGUAGUAAAAUUUUAUCUUCAAGUGGGCGAGGGAGCGGGCGUAAAGGCGUACAGUAGUAGUAGUACUAGUACUACUCGUAAGCAAGCUUCACCUCAUCCUGCAAGCCACCGCGCCCGUGGGCGGGGGAGACGGCGUACUAAGCAAGCUUCUCCUCGCUCUGCGAGUUGACGGGACACAUCAAAAGUACUCCAGUGUAUAGAGCCUUGCCUCUAAGGUAGGCCCCACAUGGUUUUCCUCUUUUUUUAAUUUAACAUAACGCGUCAAGUCGCAAUUUGUUUGUUCACCCGUAGUAGACGAUCCUCCCUACACCAAGUGGACAACCAGUACACGUGCCAAAUUACCACGUGGGCUGCCUUUUUCGUACAGAAAUGAGCUCCAUCGUGUACCCGCGUGGGUGUGGUUGGGAAAGAGACGGGAGUACAUGCGCCGUGCGUGCACCUCUUCUCUUCGUGCACGUACCCCACCUACGUGGGUGUGUGUGAGAGAGAUACAAAUCUAGACAUAAUGCGCCGUCCAUCCCCAUGCCUCCGCCCAGUCCGACCACCAGUCACCACCACGCCCCACUCCUCCUCACCUUAUCUCUCAUCUUUCUCCCUCCAUUUUUAUAUACAAGGGUUCACUAUCAAAAUUACAAUUUGCAGAUAUACAAGGCCACUAACACUAAUCGAUGCAAUAUUAAUGGUGUUUGCCUCAUGGUACUAGCAAAGGAGGACAUUAAUUAUCCCUUGCAUGCAUGCAGGAGUUUGUAAAAAAAAUGCAUCUUGAUGUUCCAUGCAAUGCACGGGCAUCUUGCUAGUCCAUGAAAACAAGACAUGGCAAAAUUCCACGGCGAACGAGGGAUUUGAAUCUGUUGGGAGGGGCUGUUUGGAUCUUGCCUGGGGUAGCUGAGGGAGUCCUGGAUUAGAGGGUGUUCAGGCAGCCGGACUAUACCUUCAGCCGGACUCCAGGACUAUGAAGAUACAAGAUUGAAGACUUCGUCCCGUGUCCGGAUGGGACUUUCCUUGGCGUGGAAGGCAAGCUUGGUGAUGCGGAUAUUCAAGAUCUCCUACCAUUGUAACCGACAUUGUGUAACCCUAACCCUCUCCGGUGUCUAUAUAAACCGGAGGGUUUUAGUCCGUAGGACAACUUCAUCAUACAACAAUCAUACCAUAGGCUAGCUUUUAGGGUUUAGCCUCCUUGAUCUCGUGGUAGAUCUACUCUUGUACUACCCAUAUCAUCAAUAUUAAUCAAGCAGGACAUAGGGUUUUACCUCCAUCAAGAGGGACCGAACCUGGGUAAAACAUCGUGUUCCUUGCCUCCUGUUACCAUCCGGCCUAGACGCACAGUUCGGGACCCCCUACCCGAGAUCCGCCGGUUUUGACACCGACAUUGGUGCUUUCAUUGAGAGUUCCUCUGUGUCAUCGCUUUUAGGCCCGAUGGCUCCUUCGAUCAGCAACAACGAUGCAGUCCAGGAUGAGACUUUUCUCCCCGGACAGAUCUUUGUCUUCGGCGGCUUCGCACUGCGGGCCAAUUCGCUUGGCCACCUUGAGCAGAUCGAAAGCUACGCCCCUGGCCAUCAGGUCAGGUUUGGAAGCCUAAACUACACGGCUGACAUCCGCGGGGACUUGAUCUUCGACGGAUUCGAGCCAUAGCCAAGCACGCCGCACUGUCUCGAUGGGCAUGAUAUAGCACUACCGCCGAACAGCGCCCUGGAGGCCGCACACACAUCGGUUUCGACCAUUGAUUCGGAGCCUACUGUGUUGAUCGAGGACCAGCGGUUGGAUGCUGCCUCAGGGGCUGCGAUCUCAGAGGCGAUUGAGCCGAACUCCAGCCCCGCACUCCGCAUGGCCCGUGACUCCGAGGAGCCGGAUUCCUCUCCGAACUCCGAGCCCCCCGCGCCCCUGCCGAUCGAAUCGGAUUGGGCGCCGAUAAUGGAGUUCACCACCGCGGACAUCUUUCAGCACUCGCCCUUCGGCGACAUCCUGGAUUCUCUAAAGUCUCUCUCUUUAUCAGGAGAGCCCUGGCCGGACUACGGUCAGCAAGGUUGGGAUACAGACGAUGAAGAAAUUCAAAACCCACCCACCGCCCACUUCGUAGCCACUAUCGACGACUUAACCGACAUGCUUGACUUCGACUCCGAAGACAUCGACGGCAUGGACGACGAUGUAGGAGACGAACAAGAACCAGCACCUGUAGGGCACUGGAAGGCCACCUUGUCAUAUGACAUAUAUAUGGUGGACACUCCAAAGGAUGGAGAUGGCGAUGGAACAGCGGGGGACGAUACCUUUAAGAAACAGCCCAAGCGCCGGCGUCAGCGGCGCCGCUCUAAAUCCCGCCAAAGCAAAAAUGGUGAUUCCGGCACGGGAGAUAAUACUACUCCGGAUAGCGCCGAAGAACACCCCCUGCAGCAAGAUUCAGCAUAGGAGGACAGAGAAGCCAUCCCUCACGAGAGGGCGGCGGACCAAGAGGUUGAGGACGAUAAUUAUAUGCCUCCCUCCGAAGACGAGGCAAGCCUCGACGACGACGAGUUCGUCGUGCCAGAGGAUCUCGCCGAACAAGAGUGUUUUAAACGCAGGCUUAUGGCCACGGCAAGCAGCCUCAAGAAAAAGCAGCAACAUCUUAGAGCUGAUCAGAAUUUGCUAGCUGACAGAUGGACUGAAGUCCUUGCGGCCGAAGAGUAUGAACUCGAAUGCCCCUCCAAGAGUUACCCAAAGCGCAGGCUGCUACCCCGACUAGAGGAGGAAGCACCUACAUCACCAGCGCAUGACAUGGCCGGCCGGCCACCUCGUGGCCGCGACAGAGAGGCCUCUUGGCCCUCCACUCAAGCCAUGCCCCGACGCCGCGUUAAGCAUACUAAGUCAUGGGAAAAUGCGCCCGACCUGCGCGACAUACUGGAAGACAAGGCAAGGCAAACAAGAUCGAUCUACGGAUCACGCAGGCGCCCCACGGCACGUGACGGUGAUCGUCACUCCGGAUGCAAUAAAUCCGCCCGGGCCGAACUCAACAGACAAAGCUCCUUCGAGCUGCGUCGUGAUAUAGCCCAAUACAGAGGCGCCACACACCCACUAUGCUUCAUAGAUGAAGUAAUGGAUCAUAAAAUCCCUGAGGGCUUCAAACCCGUAAACAUCAAAUCGUACGAUGGCACAACAAAUCCUGCGGUAUGGAUCGAGGAUUAUCUCCUUCAUAUCCACAUGGCGCGCGGUGAUGAUCUACACGCCAUCAAAUACCUCCCACUCAAACUUAAGGGACCGGCCCGGCAUUGGCUUAACAGCUUGCUAGCAGACUCAAUCGGUUCUUGGGAGGACCUGGAAGCCGCAUUCCUUGACAACUUCCAGGGCACUUAUGUGCGACCACCGGACGCCGAUGACCUAAGCCACAUAAUUCAGCAGCCAGAGGAAUCGGCCAGGCAAUUCUGGACACGGUUCCUAACAAAGAAAAACCAGAUAGUCGACUGUCCGGACGCAGAGGCCUUAGCGGCCUUCAAGCAUAAUAUUCGUGACGAGUGGCUUGCCCGGCACCUGGGACAGGAAAAGCCGAAAUCUAUGGAAGCCCUCAUGACACUCAUGACCCGCUUUUGCGCGGGAGACGACAGCUGGCUAGCUCGCAGCAACGAUUUAACCAAUAACCCUAGUAAUUUGAAUACCAAGGACGAAAGCGACAAGUCACGUCGGAACAAACAAAAGCGCCGCGUUGACAACGACAGCAACAAGGAUACGACAGUUAAUGCCAGAUUCCGAGGCUACAAAUUCGGUCAACGGAAAAAACCAUUCAAAAGAAAUACUCAUGGCCCGUCCAGUUUGGACCAAAUACUCGACCGCUUGUGCUAGAUACAUGGCACCCCCAAAAAGCCAGCCAAUCACACCAACAGGGAUUGUUGGGUGUUCAAGCAGGGAGGCAAGUUAAGAGCCGAAAACAAAGACAAGGGGCUGUAUAGCGACAACGAGGAGGAGCCCAGGCCGCCGAACAACGGUGGACAUAAGGGAUUUCCCCCGCAAGUGCGGACGGUGAACAUGAUAUACGCAACCCACAUCCCCAAGAGGGAGCGGAAGCGUGUGUUACGGGACGUAUAUGCGAUGGAGCCAGUCGCCCCAAAGUUCAACCCAUGGUCCUCCUGCCUGAUCACCUUUGAUCGAAGGGACCACCCCACCAGCAUCCGUCACGGCGGCUUCGCCGCAUUGGUUCUAGACCCAAUCAUUGACGGAUUUCAUCUUACAAGAGUCCUCAUGGACGGCGGCAGCAGCCUGAACCUGCUUUACGAGGAUACAGUGCGAAAAAUGGGCAUAGAUCCCUCAAGGAUCAAGCCCACCAAAACGACCUUUAAAGGCGUCAUACCAGGUGUAGAAGCCAACUGUACAGGCUCAGUCACACUGGAAGUGGUCUUCGGAUCUCCGGAUAACUUUCGAACCAGCCCGUUCCGUAGUGGCUAUCACGCACUGCUCGGGCGAACCGCAUUCGCAAAAUUCAACGCGGUACCGCACUAUGCAUACCUCAAGCUCAAGAUGCCAGGCCCUAGAGGAGUAAUCACGGUCAAUGGGAACACCGAACGCUCCCUCCGAACGGAGGAGCGCAUGGCAGCGCUUGCAGCAGAAGUACAAAGCAGCCUCUCUAGGCAGUUCUCCAGUUCAGCCUUCAAAAAGCCGGACACUGUCAAGCGCGCCCGGAGUACCCUACAACAAGACCGCCUGGCACGUUCUGAGCUAGCAUAGCAAUGCGGCCCCAACCCUAGCCCUCGCGAUAUAGCGAAACCAGUGCUUCACGUACAUAACUACGCUCUUGAAAUACCAUGGGCACAGGGAAAGGGGCACUAUCACGGCACGCCCGAAAUACGGCUUAAACCGCACCAGGGGCUGCCGGAUUCCUUUCUUUUCUUUUUUCUCUUACUCUCAGGACUCCAUACUUCGGAUGACCCGUUCGACAAUUCAACUGCCGCACAAACGAUGCAAGAUCCAGGAAAGCAGACAAGCCACGCCGCAUUAUGGAACUCCCAGGUGGUCUCUAUUGCGAGCAGUAUACCUGUUUUUAAUACAAUUCCGCGGCCUGCCCCUGGCCAGGACAUGUUAAAUAGUCCAAUUUCUUUUGCUUAUCGCACUAUUUGUAUCGUUCCGCUUUCAUAGCAGCCUUUCUAUAAACAAUGCAUAGCUUUUUGUCUAUUUUUUGCAUUAUCCUCUUUUUAUAUAUAUAUGUUUAUCAAUAACAUGUUGCAUCCGUACACUAUGGUACGGCAAAAAUACGCCAGGGGCUUCAGCACCCAUCAAUAUGGCGUGAGAAGUCCGUACACUUCCACAAGUGCGGCACCCCGAACUUAUAGCACUAUAUGCAUCGGCCCCGAAUCAUGAUUUGGGUCAAUAGUUGGGUUUGCCCGGCUCCUAUAUUUUGGUGCCUUAUGUUCCGCUAUAUCGGCUAAGGUAGCACUAGGAGAACUACUGCGAUUGUGCCCCAGUUGAGCUGGGCUGAGAACCUCAGUAGAGAAAGCUAAAACCGACUGUCAUGAUGAGGCGAGAGACCGGUCGCUAUUCGAGAGGUUUUUCGAGUCCUUAAAGACUUAUGCCGCUUCGAGCGAGGAACCGGCUUUGUCCGGCCAAGGCGUGGAUAGCGCCCCGAACUCGGUCUUCCGAAUACUAGGGGCUUCGCCGAAAUUUAAAAUUAUAGAGUUCUAUGGCUAAGUGAGAGUGUUCAAGCAUUAUAGUCCGAUUGCCUUGUUCAUUGUGCUGAGCGCCUCCCUCGACGGACCCAAUCAUGGGAAAAAGAGCGCUCAGGUUUAUCCCGAACACCCCAGCACUAGUGGCAUGGGGGAAGAAGCCGACGACUGGCCAUCUCUCAAUUUUUUGAUAAACGGCCGCACAAAAAGUAAUAUUUUAAAUUCAAGCAUUGCUUAGCGCAUAUGAACAAGUUUUCAGCGCACAGGAUAACACGAGCGAGUUCAUUCAAAAAUUACAUCCUUGGUGCAUUCAUCCGCCAUAAGGCGGGCACCGGCCAGAACAUCCUUGUAAUAGUUCUCGGGCUUGCGAUGCUCCUUCCCCGGCGGCGGGCCGUCCCUCACAAGCUUCUCACCGUCCAGCUUACCCCAGUGCACCUUUGCACGGGUAAGGGCCCUACGGGCACCUUCGAUGCAGAUGGAGCGCUUGAUGACCUCGAGCCUUGGACAAGCCUCCACCAGCCGCCGCACCAGUCCGAAGUAACUCCCAGGCAGGGCCUCUCCAGGCCACAGCCGAACUAUGAAGCCCUUCAGGGCCUGUUCGGCCGCCUUGUGGAGCUCGACCAGCUGCUUCAGCUGGUCGCUCAAGGGCACAGGGUGUCCGGCCUCAGCGUACUGAGACCAGAACACCUUCUCUGUCGAGCUACCUUCCUCGGCUCGGUAGAAUGCGGCGGCAUCGGAUACGCUGCGUGGAAGAUCUGCGAAUGCCCCUGGAGAGCUCCAGAUUCGGGUAAGUAACAAGUAGUUUACUUUUAUAUGUCUGCUUUGCAUAGAGAAUGCCUUACCCGCCACUAUCUUUUUCACCACAUCCAAUUCCUGGAGGGCCUUCUGGGCUUCGGCCUUGGCAGAUUUGGCAGUUUUAAGGGCCGCAGCAAGCUCGGACGCUCGCGUCUUCGAGUCGAGCUCCAAACUCUCAUGUUUUUUCAUGAGAGCCUGAAGCUCUUGCUGCACCUCGCCGACCUGCGCCUCAAAUUUCUCCCGCUCGGUGCGCUCCGUGGCCGCUCUCUUCUUGGCCUCGGACAGCGCCUGCUUGAGGGUCGCCACCUCAGUUGUGGCCCCUACAAUAAGCAGUAUACUCCUGUCAUUUUUUGCAAUUGCGUCUUCUUAUAGGCAUUUUUUCUAUAAGGUAUCUCUUACCUUCUUUCUCCUCGAGCUGCCGUUUGGCAAGGCCGAGCUCUUGCUCGGUCUGCUCGAGGCCCUGCUUUAGGGCACCCACCUCCGCAGUCAGUGCGGCAGUGGCCAGCAGCGAAGCCUGCAUACGUAUAUUGACUCCUUUUUAGUUAGACUCCUGCGAUAUUUAAUAGAUCCUCUAUUUGGCUUUUCUUUCCGAACGCCAAACAGAGCAUCAGGGGCUACUGUCUACGCGGUAAUAUUUUUACAUAUUUCUACUUACCUCGAAGCCUGUUAGAAGGCUAGCACAAGCUUCAGCAAGUCCGCUUUUGGCAGACCGAACCUUCUGGACCGCCGUACUCAUGAUGGUACGGUGCUCCUCGUCGAUGGAGGCACCCUUAAGCACCUCCAGCAGAUUGUCUGGCGCCUCCGGUUGGACGGAGGACGCCAGCUCAAUAGGCCUGCUCCUCUUGGCAGGAGUUCACCUGCCGCAGUCGGGAACCGUUGAUGAUUCCGGCGCGGUGUCCGGCUUAAAGCCGGACUUGGAGCCCUGGGGGGUCUUGUCCCCUUUACUCCUGGAGUCCGGGAGGUCGCCUCGCGGCUCCUCUUGGACCACCUCCUCUUGCCACGGAGCUUGUCGCGACGCCACUUCGGCGUCAUCCGCAGCACAGGGGGAGGCAGCGGGCGGAGCUGAAUUCACGUCCGAUGAAUCCAGGAAGCCGCUCGACGACUCGUCGAGCCCAUCCUUGGGCAGGCUGCAUGAUUAUAUUCAACAUUAGGGAAAGCUGCGCAACAAAAGGAAUAUCAUGAGUUACUCUGGUAUCCGAACACUUACGAUUUCGCCGGACGCUUGGCCCUGUCCGGCCACUCCUCUUCGUCCUCGACGGCGUCAGGGGCGUAGUCCAGCGGAGGGGUUUUCCUCUUCUUGGACCCUUCGGCCUCCCCUACUAGGGCGGCCUUCCUCUUCUUUCCUCCCCCCGCUGGAGGGGGAGAGGUCUCUUCUUCCUCCUCCUCGUCUUCACGGGAGGAGUGCAUCUCGGACUCAUCGGACGACGAGUCCGACACCACCAUAUGCCGGGAACUCUUUCGAGUCCCCGUGGCCUUCUUCUUCUUGGCCUUCUUCUCCGGCACCACAUAAGGUGCCGGAACCAGCAGCUUCACUAGGAGAGUAGGGGCUGGGUCUUCGGGCAAGGGAGCCGGACAGUUAAUCAGUCCGGACUUCGCCUGCCAAUCCUGUCAAAGGUGAGGGAGUUUAGAUCCCGCAUAGAGUCAAACUAUGAAGAAAACUUAACAUCCUGUAAAAGAUGAAAAUAUUUUACCUCGCCAGCAGGACGCUGCGAGCUGAAUCCGCGGUCUUCGGAGGCGGAUGUGGGAGCCUCGGCGCCUUUGGUUAGCCCCUUCCAGACAUCUUCGUACAUCGUGUCGAAGAGCCUGCUCAGAGUUCGGUGCUACGCCGGGUUGAACUCCCACAAAUUGAAGUCCCGUUCUUGACACGGAAGGAUCCGGUGGAUGAGCAUGACCUGGACUACAUUGACAAGCUUGAGCUGCUUGUUCACCAGGGACUGGAUGCAUUUUUGCAGUCUGGUCACCUCUUCUUCGUCGCCCCACGACAAGCCUGUCUCCUUCCAGGACGUGAGCUGCGUAGGGGGUCUGGAUCGUAAUUUAGGGGCUGCAAUCCACUUCGGAUCGCGUGGCUCGGUGAUGUAAAACCACCCUGACUACCACCCCUUCAAGGUCUCCACAAAGGAGCCCUCGAGCCAUAGGACGUUGGCUAUUUUGCCCGCCAUGGCACCUCCGCACUCCGCCUGGUUGCCGCGCACCACCUUUGGCUUGACGUUGAAGGUCUUGAGCCAGAGGCCGAAAUGGGGGCGGAUGCAAAGGAAAGCCUCGCACACGACGAUAAACGCCGAGAUAUUGAGGAUGAAGUUCGGGGCCAGAUCGUGGAAAUCUAGGACAUAGUAGAACAUGAGCCCGCGGACAAAUGGGUGGAGAGGAAAACCCAGUCCGCGGAGGAAGUGGGGAAGAAAUACUACCCUCUCAUGGGGCCUUGGGGUGGGGAGAAGCUUCCCCUCCUCAGGAAGCCGGUGCGCGAUGUCUUUGGACAGGUAUCCGGCCUUCCUUAGCCUUUUGACAUGGCCCUCUGUGACGGAGGAGACCAUCCACUUGCCUCCCGCUCCGGACAUUGUUGGAGAAGGUUGAGGUAGGAAGUGCGGGCUUGGGCGCUGGAGCUCGGGUGCCUAGAAGAUGGAUAGGCAAAGGAGGAAGAAGGCGUAGGUAAAAAGGUGGAUCCUUAUCCCCUUAUAUGAGCGGAUGCGACUAUGCGUCCCCACCAGCCUAGUAAAACUCGCUUGCCUCCCAAGCGCCAUGAUAAAUGGCGCGGUUGGGUUACCCACGUCCGUAUUGAUGAGAAUCCCGUAAAUGGGGGACACGAUCUCUGCUUUGACAAGACGUGCCAAGGAAACCGCCUCGCAAAACACGCUGAGGUGGAAAAGUGAAAACGAUUCGAAUAAAGGCUUGGCCAUAGUGUGAUGUCACGCUGCGGAAUACGUCAGCAGAUUAGAUUUGUGUUAAUAUUAUUCUCUCUGUGGCAAUACAUGGAAACUUAUUUUGCAGAGCUGGACACUACUCUUGGUGUUUACAAACUUUUAUGAAGAAUUUGGAGGAGGAACCCGCCUUGCAAUGCCGAAGACAAUCUACGCGCCGGACUCGUCAUCAUUGAAGCCUGGUUCAGGGGCUACUGAGGAUGUCCUGGAUUAGGGGGUGUUCGGGUAGCCGGACUAUACCUUCAGCCGGACUCCAGGACUAUGAAGAUACAAGAUUGAAGACUUCGUCCCGUGUCCGGAUGGGACUUUCCUUGGCGUGGAAGGCAAGCUUGGCGAUGCGGAUAUUCAAGAUCUCCUACCAUUGUGACCGACUUUGUGUAACCCUAACCCUCUCCGGUGUCUAUAUAAACCGGACGGUUUUAGUCCGUAGGACAACUUCAUCAUACAACAAUCAUACCAUAGGCUAGCUUUUAGGGUUUAGCCUCCUUGAUCUCGUGGUAGAUCUACUCUUGUACUACCCAUAUCAUCAAUAUUAAUCAAGCAGGACGUAGGGUUUUACCUCCAUCAAGAGGGCCCAAACCUGGGUAAAACAUCGUGUUCCUUGCCUCCUGUUACCAUCCGGCCUAGACGCACAGUUCAGGAUCCCCUACCCAAGAUCCGCCGGUUUUGACACCGACAGUAGCCAAAAUAUUGGCAACCCUUUUGUCCACCGGUGCCUUUGCCACCGAUGAACGACGAAUGGCUCGGGUGCUCAUGCUAUCAUGCAUCCUCCAGCGCGCAUGUUGGAGACGAGCUCGCACGAGCUGUGUUUUUUGUCCCACAACGCCGCCCUAGCCACCCGUAGACCGACCGGCGACCCGCAAAUUACACCAUCCAACUGUAGCCGCACACAUUAUGACAACAACUCAACCAACCGGAUGAAAUUCACGCAAACACGUAGACAAACUGAUACUUCAUAUAAACAACGACGGAAAUCAUAUAAAAUACCGGAUUUUCAUACAAACAUGACGGAUUUCAUUACAUUCAAAUGAACUACGCGGUGCUAGUUCUGGACAGCACAUGUACAUAAUACCUGGCCUAAAUGGUUGCCCGCCGAUCGAUUUGUGUUCCUCAUGUCCGGUAGCACGAUCACCGGACUGCCGGGAGCCCCGGAGGUAUAUGCUUCAGCGCAAAGGAUGGCUCGCUUCCCCACUGCCCAACUGAUAUCAUUGGCUGGUGCCGAAGAUGAUGGUGGCCGGCACUGGUUCGAGUUCAUCACCGGCCACUACUUCGCCAUGGUCGGCACCGACUCGAGUUCAUCCUAACAUUCCCCUCUUCCGUGGAGCCCAUGCGGGGUUGACGAAGGUCCUCGCAACAAAAGGAUCCGGCAAGACACCUGCUGUGUACACCGGCGUCGCCUCCGCAGUGGCCUUCAUGGGACCCAAGUGGCGGCGGCCUCCCGUGUUCUACUUCUCCUCGAUGAUGGCGGCGGACGCGGAGGCGCUGGCCACCGACUCGUUGCUCUCCGCGCACCCGACUUCUGUCGCUGCUUACAUGGCGCGGCCGCCGGCAUGGGAGUCUCGACCAUAGAAAUGGGAGACGCGAUACGAGGCAGCGGCAUGGACGACAGCAACGAUGCCCGUGCGCCGCUCCUCGUCGAGCUGGCUGGAGCGGUGAGUUGCUGAACCGCGUGCCGGCUUGGGGCGGCAACUGGCUCCGUCGGGCGAGGGGAGGGAGGUGGAUCAGCAAGCUGCAUAGCUCGUAUCCGGCGGGCUACCCAGUCGGCUUGGAUGCGGAAUAACUACUCUUCGUAAGCCAUUGUAAGAGUGGACAAAAUGGUGGAGGAGAUAGGGGAGCGACGGAGGUGUGCGAUUCUUGGCUGGCGUUUGGCCUCGUUUAAAUAGGAGAUUAAAUACACGGCGGGCGGGAGGAGCUCGGCCGUUGUUGCGUUUAACGUCGGCCCGGUCAUGAACGGACGUGUGUCCAGAGUGGGUUUCUCGGCUUCCACACAGGUAGGUUUCAUGGAUGCGUUUGAAUGCGGCACGGAGGCAUGUUCAGUCGGGCGUGCUGCAAGUGGCGCCCUCGACUUUGACCUCGGACACCGCUUCGUUCUUCCACUGACGUGUGGGCUCUUUGGGUGCAUGGCCUGCAUGUCAGUGACCCAACGCAGGCAGCGCACAGCAGAGGAACCUUUGGUGGGCCAGGGCGGUCAGAAGCGGGCAUUUUAUAAACCGAUGAUUGUUCAUUGAGUGUGACGUCAUCAUUUUCAUGUAGAUAAGCCUACUAUGUUGAUAGGCCGUUCGAUACGUUGUGAUUCAUAAAGACCGCUACAAACAUCAAUGUUCUGCUUAUCAUAGAUAAGAUUGAUUAAUACCCGUAACAAUCCAUGUCCUUAACAAAGGGUGCAUGCACGUAUAGGUUGAGCGUGUGUCUUGCGUCGUGUGCUGUGUGCAUGCAGGUGUGCGAGUGUUGCAUGCGUGCAAGGGUACGUUUCAGUGUUGCAUGCAUGGGUGCAUACGUGCGUGUGUUCGUGAGUGCAUGUGUACGUGUCAGUGUUGCACGCCAGCAUGCGUGCGUGUGUACAUGUCAGUGUUGCAUGCCUACAUGCGUGCGUGUCUUGCGUGCGUGCAUGUGUACGUGCGGGGUGAGGCUACACGUCAGUCGACUGACUUUUUCAUCUUUGGUCAUUAGAUUUUCUAGCCGUUGGAUACGAGAUCAAGGGCCUCCGGUUUAUUAUCAAACUCCACCCCCGUGAGCCGCCAUCCACCACCGGCCGAACCGCCAGCCCCCGCCGCCCGCGGCCGGCCCGCCCUCCCCGAAACCACUCCCCACCGCUGGUCCGCCGCCGCACCGGCCAUCCCUCUAGCCCCCCCCCCGCCAAGCUUUUUCUCCGGGGAUCCCCACCCCACCGCCCAAUGAACGCCCCAACCACCGGUGACUGCUAACCAGAGGUCUCAUGACUUCGAAUACCCACCAACCACUAAUUUAUUACCAUUUCUAUCCUUCAUAUACGCGCUGAUGGGUGGGCCCUAUGGUAAUGUGCGCUGCUGAAUGUGGACCGUUUGAUUGGUCAAUUGAUCGUGUUAUCAACAAAUUACGGAGCUGUAUGGUGAGCCAGUGACCGUAUGAUCACCCUAAAAUGUACUCCUAUUUUAUUAACACAGUAUAGACUCAAACUACCAUUUCUUUCUUUCAUAUACGGGCUGACAGGUGGGCCCCACGGUUACGCGCCCCGAUAGUGCAACACUAGUUGCGCCGCGUGGAACGUUUGACUGGUCAAUUGAUUGUGUCAUCAACAAAAUACGUAGUUGUACGGGUGAGCCAGUGAUCAUAUAAUCAUGAUAUGUAUUUGUUUAACACAGUACAGACGCAAGGGCUCAUAUAUACGCGCAAGCACUCACCGCUAUAAGCGCACACACGCGAACCCUACCCCUAUGAGCACCUUCGAGAGAGAGUGUGCCAACAUAUAUGAUCUUGGGAUUUUACGAAGUCACCAUAGGUGCCUCGCAGUCGAGUGGAACGUCUCCUCCCACUGAACAUACAUCGCCGGAAAAUACUGAAAUUAACACAAGAUAAAUGCGAGCACCGGGUCUUUAACCUUGGUGGGCUCGAGACACCACUGUCCUCUAACCAUCCAACCACAUGUUGGUUAGCACGACAAAAUGUAUGUUGUGACCAUGAUGAGCUUAUUCUGAAGUCCAGUGACCAUAUCGUGCUUUCGCUUCAAAUACAAUGACCGUAAGUGUCGUCAACAAAAUACGGAGCACACAUCAAAUGCAAAGUCCGUCAGUGUCAUCAACAAAACUUGGAGACAGAUCGUGAGCUAGAUACCGUUGUACUAUUGUAUAUGCUUAUUUUCUUAGUGGCCGAUUGCGUGUGUGGUGUGGUGGGCACAUCAUUCCUAGUUGUGGUGGGUCAACAUGAAGACUCAUGGGUCGGUUCCAUCCUGCGCCACAGAUAGGUUGGACCGAGACGUGUUAUACGAAGACCCAUGUGGAGGACUCGGCGUACAACACAAAGCUACCAGAGUCGCGGAGGACUCUAUCCCCACUGGUGAUAGGCCGACUAUAUAUGAUUUGUAACCCUAGGCCCUUAGUAUGUUAUACAAGCUUGGGGGCUAGUUCAUCGAUAGUAUACACACACGCACAAUGCCUGAUUUGUAACCCUAGGCCCCUAUCACUAAUAUACAGUACCAGGAGUAGGCUCUUUCUUCAACUGCAAGGGCCGAUCCGAACUAGGGUAAAACUUUGCCUCAUAUUACCAUCCAACCUAACAGCCAGGGAUAUCCUACCGAAUGAUAUGAUGAAAUAAUAUCUGCCAACUACUAAGAGAGAGGUGUGUCGGGGGGUAAUGUGUGCGAGAGAGGCCUAAAGAUAAUGUGCAUGCGGGAGACACGUAGGCACAUAUAUGUGCGUAUAGAGGGCUAGUAGAGACCGUGCAUGUGUAUAUAUGCAUGUGAGAGAAAUAGUGUUUUCCAACUGAGAUUAGUAAAAAGAGUGGUACAUAGUAGUCAGAAAGAGAGAGAGAGAGAAACAGAGAGAGCAUGUGCGUGAGACACCCCGACACCCUGAGAGAGAUUGUGAGCAUGUGUGAAAGAGAAAUGCCGAUGCAUAUAAAGUGUGUGCACUUAUGCGUUAGAUAGAGAGAUAUAUAACGCGUUUGUGAGAACGGAGUGAGGCAUAGUGCAUCUACAUGUAAAAGGCGGUUCUACACAUUAAAUUAAAAUAUAAAUGACAUUAUUAUUUUUGUAUGAGAUCAUGAAUUUUGCAAAUUGCGUAUGGACGAAAAUCGGUCUAUCAGACACCCAUACUCUAUUGAAUUCUAGCAUGUGCAUGUGUUUAUUUCAUAUUAUCGAUCCAUAGAGUGAGAGCGGUUUGAAAUACAUGUAAUGGAUGCUUUUGCAAUUCAUAUAUAAACAUUAAUUAGUGCACUCCAUGUUGUUAGUGUGAAGCACUUUAUACAUUUGUCACUUGCAUGGAUACAUUCCAAAUUGCUAGCUAGAAUACAUGUCAAAUUCAACAUAAAGGGGGUUUCAAAGAUUAGAAUUCAUAGGAAGUGCAUUCAUCUAUUUGAACCCGAGAUAAUGGCAUUUGUAAAUCAGAUGUAAAAGGGGGCAUCAAUCUUUGUUGUGAGUUUGAACAUGCUAUAUAUAUUCAUACGCAUAUCUAACUUUUUUUUGCAACCAAGGAGAUUAUAUCUGGAACCAUGCAUGAACUGAGGUAUGUUGCAUAUUUUUCAAUAUAUAGUCAUGUACAAUGUAUAUUCAAAUGUACCCCCUCCAUUCCAAAAUAAUCGUAGCUUUAGGAUUUUCAAGAGUAAAGAUUUGUGAAGUUUGACAAAUCCUGAAAGUUCAAUUCAAGAGAACCGAAAACGUUUAUGCUUCUGCUCCCAAAUAUUGAACGAAGCACCAAAUAGGCCUCUGGUCACCCGAAACCGCGCGAGACUAAUGUUUUGGUGGUAGGAAAUUACUGUCCUGACUCUGGCCCGUGUAGCCUAUCGGCCCGAUGUCCAAAGGUCUAAACCAGGGUAGGUUUGUAACUUCACCAAGACGCGAGUCUCAACCGCCUCCGAGAAGCAUUCAUACGCCGUGGGCACCUACCCAUGCGCUCGGCCGAAAUCUAUCCCGCCCACAUUUGGGACACCUGACAUGACUGUCCUACCCCCAACCCGCAAUAUGUCUGAAAUUUUAGAUGGGGGCAAAGUUUGUAACUUUCCCCAAAUUUCAAACAAGCGCAUCUCAAACCGAAACAUUGUUCCCCCUUAGUUCCCCGCCUCCCUCCGUUUCCCCAUUCAUACUCCGUGGGCACGAAAACGCCCUCUCCACCAGCCGCGAAACCCCAGCCUCCUCCGUCCUCCACCCCAUAGCGGCCAAUCCACCGCCGCCCUCCUCCAUCACGCCGGAGCCGGUACCCCGACGUCGUCGUCCAACGCAACCGCAACCACAACGCCCUCAAGGACUUAGCAGCUGAAGCCGAGGCAGAGCUGCCUCCACGACGCCGACGCCGACGUGCGCCAUACCAGAACCACUCCGACCACGCCAUCCUGCGCCUCACUGAUGCGGCUCCACUGUCGCAACCAUCCACCGCACCGCAGCUGUUCCCGCUACGCCGUCGUUCACCGCCUCGAAUCUACUUCCCCGCCACCGACAGACGGCCACCGCACCACACUCAACAACUUGGCCAUGGGUUCGUCCAAGGCUGAAUCGUCCUUCACAACUUCUGGUUUCCGGCGAACAACAAGAAGAUCAUCGAAAAAACAGAAGGAGGACACAACACUGCCAGGAGAAAGAGGUACUCCUCUUCCCUCAUUCGUGCAAAUCUUACGUCUCCUCUCACACCGUAUUCAUCCCACGAAAGAAACUAGUUGAGCGCUUCUUACUGCAUCUUCUUCGUGAUAUUAAAUGCACAAGGUUUCCUCCCUUUUACUAUUUCACUUUUGCUAGAGGUCAGUAGCCCGCCUGGAUUUCAAUUCAGGGUCAGUCGAACCGCAAUUAAAAGAAGCAGCACCCGCUUAGGCGUGUGGAGCACCUAGUCCACUUGUUCCCCGGGGAAGCGGCGCAUCGGUGUUUAUCAUAGGGGUGUGGGGCGCAGGAGCUGCUUGCGCCCGAUCUGGAGGUCGGCGGGGCUUGAAUGGAUGGCCGGGGGGCGGUGCCAAGCACGGCGGUGCGGUGAGGUCGAGGGGAGGGCACAUGCAGGGGAGGAAUACUGGGCCGGUGGUCGCUGGCGUUUCGAGGAAGAUCGUCAACACUGACUAGCUGGAGGUAGAUGAAGGCGAUCUGCCCGUUCUUUGUACAUCGGACAGUGCCAAAAAAAUGGACUGGCCUAUUUGCUUUCAGUCGACUGUUAUUUUCAUAGCAUCCUGUAGUAAUUUAGUGUGCCAUGCAUGUUGUAGAGCUAUCAUAUGUCUCCCGUCAUUUAUUUCUCACCGACCUUCUAUCUGCUACCUUUACACUAUACUAAUUGUGCACACACUUCACCCAUACUUACACUGUUGUUUUUUUAUGCAUGGGUAUUUCAGACUCUAACGCAGUGUUGAUGAAUGCAGAAAAAAAAGACAGAAGUCGCUCCAGUGUAAUUCGAAGAUAAGCACUAAGCGUUUCAGCGCUCUAAUGGGUGCAGUGUCAGCAGUUGGAGACAGUAAACGUAGCUCUGCAGUUGAUGAUCUCAAUUGCCACACACAACCAUCCCAGGUGCUUGCUUUAACUUCACGCUGUCAAAUGUGGUUGCAUGUUGCAUAUAGUGUCUAGCUUGUAUUGCUGCCAAUUUGGUUAAAUUGCAUUUGCUUACUUUACACAUUAUACCUUUGAUAAUGACAUGCCUUCCUGUUUUUGAUACAUACUACAUAUGUCUAUUAACCAUGUUCAUACAUCAAACUAAUGCUCUUUUGUAUCCCUCGUCAAUCACUUAUGAUGAGACAGUCACCCGAGUGGGUUACUGUGAGACGCCCUACUCGUUCAAAGAGUGCAGUGUCAUCCUCCCCACAUGAUUCUCAAGAAACACCAAGGCUAAAUGAAGAUAGUCAACAUAGCUCUCUAGUUGAUCACCGCAAUUCCCCCACACCACCAUCGCAGGUGCUUGCUCUUACUUGGCAGUGUGAUAUGUGGUUGCAUGUUUCAUAUGGUGUAUACCUUGUAAUGCUUCUAAUUAGGGUAAAUUGCAUCUGCUUAGUUAACACAUAUACCUGCGAAUAUGACACCCCUUCCUGUUUUUGGUACAUACUACGUCUUUCUAUUAACCAUGUUCUUACAUCAAACUACUUUUCUUGUGUAUCCCUCAUCAAUGCUCCUAAUUUGUUAAAUUGCAUCUCCUUAGCUUACACAUUAUACAUGUGAAUAUGACACACCUUCCUGUUUUUGGUACAUACUACAUCUGCCUAUCACACCAUGUUCUUACAUCAAACUACUGUUCUUGUGUAUCCUGCGUCUAUCGCUUAUGAUGAGACAGUCACACGCGUGGGUUAAUAUGAGACGCAAUACUCUUAUAAAGAAUGCAAUUUCAUCCUCUCCACAUGAUUCUAAAGAAACAACAAGCCUAAAUGAAGAUAUUGAACGUAGCUCUGUACCUGAAGACUGCACUUCCCCUACACCACCAUCACAGGUGCUUGCUCUAACUUCGCAGUGUGAUAUCUGGUUGCAUGUUGCAUAAGGUGUCUAGCUUGUAAUGCUUCUAAUUAGGGUAAAUUGCAUCUGCUUAGUUUACACACUAUACCUAUGAAUAUGACAUGCCUUCCUAUUUUUGGUACACACUACAUCUAUGUGUUAACCUUGUUCUUACAUGAAACUACCUCUCUUCUGUAUCCUGCAUCAAUCACUUACGAUGAGUCACCUUUAUUCGUUGCAUAUUGCAUAUUAUUUCUAGCCUGUUGCCAUGUAUUGCUUCUAAUUUGGUCAAAUACAUUUGUUAGGGCACCCUUUUAAUUUGGCAAAGUGAUAUUGGUUUCAUCUUUCAUAUGGUUUCUAGCUUGCAUCGAUUCUAACAAGUUCAAGCACCUUGUGCUUAGUUUACACUUUAUACAUCAUACAUGUCAAUAUGUCACGCCGUCCUGUUUUUCAUACAUAUUCCAUCCUCCUAUCAUGCAGCUGCCUUACAUGAAAGUAGUGUUCGUCAGUAUCAUGCAUCAAUGAGUUCAAAAGAGCAAAUUUUAUUCCUUUUUCUUGUGGGUUUGACUUGACAAGGAAACAUCAAGAAAGAGGAAGGAAAAGAAUAAGGAAGGUGAUGAUGGUGGUCCUCUGCAGCAAUGUAAACGGAGCAUCUGUACCGAUUCUCCUUGUACUAAUAGUGCAUUACAAGGUCCAAGUCUCCGCUCCCCUACUCCACCAUCCAAGGUGCUUGCUCUAACUUGGCAGUGUGAUAUCUGGUUGCAUGUUGCAUAUGGUGUCUAGCUCGUAUUGCUCCUAAUUAGUGUAAACCGCAUCUGCUUAGCUUACACAUGAUACAUGUGAAUAUGACACGCUUUCCUGUUUUUGGUACAUACUAUAUCUGUCUAUCACACCAUGUUCUUACAUGAAACUACUCUUCUUGUGUAUCCUGCAUCAGUCACUUAUGAUGGGACACCUUUAAGUUGGAGUGUGAUAUUGGUUUGCGUCUUGAAUAUGAUUUCUAGCAUGUAUUGCUUCUAGUUUGAUGAACGCCACCUAUGACGAAACAAUUUUAACUUGGCAGAGUGAUAUUGAUUGCACCUUCCAUAUGGUGUCUUGUAGUGUUUCUAAUUUGUUGAAGUGCCUUCUGCUUAGUUACCACAUCAUAUGUGUGAAUAUGUCAAGCCAUCCAUUUUUUCGUACAUAUUCCAUCCUCGUAUCAUGACUUUGCCUUUCAUCAGAGUAGUGUUCGUCAGUAUCAUGCAUGAAUGAGUUCUGAAGAGUGAAUGAUAUUCCUUUUUCUUGUCGGUAUGACCUCACAAUGCAAAAUCAAUAAAGCUGAAGGAAAUUGGCAAGGCAUUGGAUGAUGGUGGUCCUUCCGAGCAACUGAAACGGAGGUUCUCUACAGAUUCUACUCUGCCAUCCUCCCAACAAGAUUCGCAAGACGACGCAAGGCUAGACAGUCAACGUAGCUGUGUAGAUGAUGAGCACAUCUCCCCUACUCCACCAUCACAUGUGCUUGCUCUAACUUGGCACUAUUAUAUGUGGUUGCAUGUUGCGUAUGCUGUCUAGCUUGUAUUGCUUCUAACUUUGUUGAAUUGCAUCUGCUUACUUUACACAUAAUGCCUGUGAAUAUGACAUGUGUUCCUGUUUCUACAUCAAACUACUAUUCUUGCAUAUCCCGCAAUAGUCACUUAUGAUAAGGCACCUUUAAGUCGCUACUAUGAUAUUGGUUGUGUCUUGCAUAUGAUUUCUAGCAUGUACUGCUUCUAAUUUGUUGAAACGCCAUACAGUUUGAACUUGGCAGAGUGAUAUUGGUUGCAUCUUUCAUAUGGUGUCUAGCUUGUAGUGCUUAUAAUUUGUUGAAAUGCCUUCUGCUUAGUUACCACAUCAUAGGUGUGAAUAUGUCACACCAUCCUGUUUUUCAUACAUAUUCCAUCCUCGCAUCAUGUGUUUGCCUUUCAUCCGAGUAGUGUUCGUCAGUAUCAUGCAUGAAUGAGUUCUGAAGAGCGAAUUUUAUUCCUUUUUCUUAUCGGUUUGACUUCACAAUGCAAAAUCAUUACAGCUGAAGGAAAUUAGUCCGGCAGUGGAUGAUGGUGGUCCUUCGGAGCAACUCAAACAGGGGGUCUCUACAGAUUCUACUCCGCCAUCCUCCCAACAAGAUUCGCAAGACAACACAAGACUGCACAGUCAAGGUAGCUGUGUAGAUGAUGAGCACAUCUCCCCUACUCCACCAUCACAUGUGCUUGCUCUAACUUGACACUAUUAUAUGUGGUUGCAUGUUGCGUAUGAUGUCUAGCUUGUAUUACUUCUAACUUAAAUUGCAUCUGCUUACUUUACACAUAAUGCCUAUGAAUAUGACACGUGUUCCUGUUUCUAGACCAUACGUGUACAUGAUGAGCACAUCUCCCCUACUCCACCAUCACAGGUGCUUGCUCUUACUUGGAACUGUUAUAUGUGGUUGCGUUUUUCGUAUGAUGUCUAGUUUGUAUUGCUUCUGAUUAUGUUGAAUUGCAUCUGCGUAGCUUACAACUUAUACCUGCAACGAUCACUUACCCAUAAGACACAUUUAACUUGGGACUAUGAUGUAUGUUGCAUCUUGCAUUGUCUUCUAGCUUGUACUGCUUCUAAUUUCUUGAAAUGGCACUUACGACGAGACACUUUUUACCUGAUAGAGUGAUAUUGGUUGCAUGUUCAUAUGGUGCCUAGCUUUCAUUUCUUCUAAUUUUGUUGAAAUGCCUUCCGCUUACUGUUUUUUCAUACAUAUUCCAUCCUCCUAUCAUACGUCUGAAUAUGAAACAUUGUCUUUUUUUGUAUAUAUUCCAUCCUCCUAUCCUGUGCUUGCCUUACAUCAAAGUAGUGUUCGUCUGUAUCAUGCAUCAACCAGUUAUGCAGAGCUAAUUUUAUUCAUCUUCUUGUGGUUUUGACUUCAUAAGGCAAUAUCAGAAAAUAGGAAGGAAAAGAGUAAGUUAGGGGAUGUUGGUGGUCCUCCGCACCGACGCAAAUAGAGACUCUCUAGAUUUGCCACUGCUACUGCUAAUGAAGUUGAAGUCCCAAGUCUACAUGAUGAGUUCAUCUCCCGUACUCCACCAUCGCAGGUGCUUGCUCUAAGUUGACAGUGUGAUAAUUGGUUUCAUGUUGCAUAUGUUGUCUAGCCUGUAUUUCUUCUAUUUUGAUUAAAUUGCACCUGCUGAGUUUAUACGUUAUACAUGUGCAUAUGACAUGGCUUUCUAUGUCUAGAAUGCACUGCAUCUAUCUACCAUACCAUGUUCUUACAUCAAAGUACUGUUGUUGUGUAUCCCGCAUCAGUCACUCAUGAUUGGACGCUUUUAACAUGGCAGUUUGAUAGUGGUUGCAUCUUGCAUUGAUUUUUACGUUGUACUGCUUCUAAUUUUUCGAAUUGCCACUUAUGACAAGACACUUUUAACUUGGCAGAGUAAUAUUGGUUGCAUCUUUCAUAUGGUGUCUAGCUUGCAUUACUUCUAUUUUCUUGAAAAUCCUUCUACUUAGUUUGCACAUGGUAGCUGUGAAUAUGUCAUGUCGUCCUGUUUUUCUUACAUAUUCCAUCCUCAUACAGUUGUCUUACAUCAAAGUAUUGCUUGUCUGUAUCAUGCAUCAAUGAGUUUUGAAGAGUGAUUUUAUUCUUUUAUGUUGUGGGUACAGCUUGACAUGGCAAAGUCAAAAAAGAGCAAGGAAAAUAAUAUAGCAGGGAGUGCUGUUACUCAUCGGGUGAAACGGAAAAGGUUCUGCCGUCGAGAUUCUACUGGUACUUAUAGUGCGGUAGAAGGUCCAAGUCCACCAGCUAAAUCUACAAACACAGUAUCACCCGCUCCACCAGCUGCAGCAUCCGCUUCAACUGUACCAGCAUCUCAACCAGUUACUCAUUCGUUUGCUCCGGAACUGGCCAGUUCCCAAGCUGCCUUCACACCUAACACUACUUCUGAAGCACUGCUGACACAACAAGACUUGGCAAGAUCAGAUGAACCUCAUGAGCAUCAACACCAAGACGGUACCUGACCGAGUCAAGUUGAAGUUGCAUGCUCCUUUAUAUGUACUCUCACGGUUUGAUGUACACUAACACUUUCCAUAUUCGUUGUUGAACUAGCACCACGGCGCAAGCAGAAACAGACAUCAGGGAUAAUGCUUGACAGAUUAACAAAAUCUAAAGGAGGAAGAAUGGAGAUCCAUUUUGAGGUAGGUUUAAAAAGGCCAUGUGAUGCUACAGAGUCAGCCAAGUUAGUAUCAGAGGCAGCAAUUGCCGUUAGGUGUCAUGCACAUAUCCUCCCAACGUGGAUCCAGUACAGGAAUGAGAAAGACAAUACCCAGUUUAACACCUUCCUUGACCAUUUAUCCAUAAGUAAUGUUAUUCAUCGCAAUUAGUAAUAUUGUCUUGCUCUGUCCCAUACUUUCUAGCUUCCUCCUAAUAAGACUCACAUUCUUUUUUCAACAGAUGAGGUUCAAGUUGGAUCUGAAAGAUGAUGCAACUAAACAAGCAUGCACUCAUGUUUUUCAGUCUGAUCUGCGACAGUAUCGGUACCACCUUAGAAAAUCUCACUUUGAAGUCAAGGCUAACAAUGAAAUCGCCCAAACAUCUCCAGUGGAAUAUAUUACAAAUGAAGACUGGACAACCCUCGUUAAACACUGGUCUAAUCCAAAGUAUCAGGUAGGCUAUAUGUAUUUGAUCAGACCACAUAUUGAACUUUUAUUUAUGUAUGUGCCUUACAAGUGUAUCUUCUUCUAGGCUAACUGUUUGAAGAACAAAACCAACCGUUCUAAAGUGAAAUUCCAACAGACAACAGGAUCUCGUAGCUACAUUGCACACUGCGAGGCUCUUGUAAAUAGCUGCUGCUUCCUUCUUUUUUUGUGCCAUAUUAUCGUAUCUAUAUUGACUUGUUCCAAAUACAGAGGAAAGCCCGUGCGGACCAAAAAGAACAUGAACCGAAUGCAGUGCAAAUCUUCAAGGAUUGCCACACCAGCAAGAUGAAGGGCAUGAGCACACGAGUUCAAGCCGCUGUUGUAAGUCCUUGCUCCUCCUGCCUUGAACUGAUUGGUACUGUGAUGUGUUCAUUUAACUACUUGGGUUUGCAGCCAAUGUCAGUUACUCUGUUCACUUUUAUUCACAGUUGUCUUAACGUAUCAUUUCACCUUACAUGGUUUAAAAGAGAUGAAGGAUAUUCUUUUGGUCUUGAUCUGUAAUCUAGUUGUUAUGUUCACGUGCGCACACAAUGAUAAAAUAGCCUGUUUGUUUUAUAUAUGUUUGCCCAUGAUAUGAAUGAUGUCAUACUAUGUUCAUCCUACUUUAAACCAUGUCUCUUUAUCCUUAGAUGUCAACAAAUGUGAGGAAAUAGACAAUACAGUAGGCAUGCUACAUGGACAUAUGUUCCGAAAGUGAUUUUAUUAUGUAGUUGGCACUACAAUACAUGCUAAUGUAUUACAGUAGUUCACCAAAAUAAGUUAUGUAUAAAUGUUUAACCUACUUUGUUUGUUCUUGUCUCAUUAGUUACUUAUCUGGUACACUAAUCUACAAGUUCAAACUUUCAGGAAGCUAUGGAACAAAUGAUUGAACAGCCACAACCACCUGAAGGUGACGAGGCUACUAUAGGCACAAUGUCACCUCUUGCUGAAGUGCGUCAGUAUAUCUCCACUAACAGUGCAAAAAGCACCUUCCUGCGUAAUUCUGGGUUGGUUGUCAAGGUAACCUCAUCCAAAUCACCUACUGAACAAAAUCUUCCUGCUAGACAGAGUGAUAUAUCUGUGCUCCAGACACAAGUCCAAUCCCUAAUGGAUGUUGUUUCGGAAACAAGAAUAGUGGUUGAGAAAUGUCAUCAAGAUAUGAAUGGUUUUCAAACCAGACUAUCAGACAUUCGCUUCGUUGUUCAAGAGCAAUGGCGGAAAAAGGUGGAGAUCAUGCUGCUCCAUCAGAUUCUACAGCCUGAAACAUUAGCACUCAGGUCAAAUGAUCUGUGCUUCUAUACAUCUGAUGGUGCUUUUAUCUGGAAGGACUGUAAAAUUUAUGCCAAUAGGCCUUUUGUUGUAUGGUUGGAAUUUAUUUUGUUGUGAUACAACAUUUAUGAUGUUGCCUGAGGCUGCAGUAAUUACAACACUAUUUUUGUAUAGUGUAGGUUUAUCUUAGUAAUGUAUUCGGCCGAAAGCUUCGUAGGAGCCCAACAUGCCAACAUUCGUCGGGCCCAUUCCAAUUGGGCUAAAAAUGAUUACGGGCCGAAAUUGGCAUGUAGCCCACUAAAAAUAUCUAGGCCUAAAUCAGCAUAAGCUUUCAUAUUUUUCUGGUAGGCCUAUGCCCAUAGUGGGCCUUUAACAGGCCUAAACAUAAUUUGAGCCCUCAGUAAAAAUAGGUCAUUUAUAGGUGUAAAUAUCUCGAGCCCAUAAAAAACAUGGGCCUUUAAUAGACCGAAAGUGAGAUUGGGCCCUAAUUGUGCCAAAUAACCAACUGGACUUAGCAUGACGAAAUGGUGGCCCAUUUACGAUGCAGAUCUUUGACAGGCCGAAAUUCGGACCGACCGUAAAUGCGCCAACCUAAUACAUGGGCCUUUAACAGGCCGAAACUUCGGUCGGGCUAGAUUAUCGUCAUUUUUAUAUGGGCCGUUAAUAGGCCUGAUAUGACGCUGGGCCACAUAUGGCCCAUGGUUUACGUCCGGCGUUAACAGGCCGAAAAUGACAACAGGCCGAAAGUGUCCCAAAGCUAUAGUAGGCCUCUAAUAGGCCGAAUGUCACACAUGGCUGAAUAUGACCCAAAUCCUUCGCGGUCGUUUAUGGGAUGAAAGUUUUGAUGGCCUGUAAAUGGGCCCAAAUGAAGUCGGACCUUUAACAGGCCGGAAAUACACCGGGUCGUAAUUCGUCCCAAUUACUUAGCGGACUGUUAACGGGCCAGAACUGACCAUGGGCCGCGUUGAUGACAAGUUUAGGACAUGUCGUUGACGGGCCGAUUUGACAGAGAAUGUUGGGCCUUUAGCUGGGCCGGCCCAUUAUGGUCUACAGAAUCUUGUGGGCCUUUAGCUAGGCCGGCCCAUUGUGGUCCACAAAAUCUUGUGGGCCUUUAGCUGGGCCGGCCCAUUAUGGUCUGCAAAAUCGUGUGGGCCUUUAGCUGGGCCGGCCCAUUAUGGUCCGCUAAAUUUUGUAGGCCUUUAGCUGGGCCGUCCCAUUAUGGUUCGCUAAAUCUUAUGGGCCUUCGGUUGGGCCGGCCCAUUUAAACUUUGUGGGCCACUUUUGGGCCGGUCCACGUGUCAACAUAUCAUAGGCCCAUUUCGACUGUUGGAUGAGUGCCACCUGUGCCAACGCGGAGCUGACGCGUGGAUCCAUCAGCCAAUGAGAAUUUUACAUGUGGAAAAUCAGCAUUGGUCGUGGCUGUUAACGGGUUAUCGGAUCCAUAAUCCGACCCAAUAGCUUAACGGCGUUCCAUUACGGUGGAUGCCACGUGUCGGUCACCCUUGACGAAAGCACUUCUGUGACGCGCGAUUUAUCGUCAUGGAAGUGGACACUUCCGUUAUGAUAAUUUUGGCAAUGUCAUGGAACACUUCUACGACAGCACAAGUAUGACUAUCUUGAUUCUGUCAUAAAUUUGUCAUGGAUGUACAUGCAUGCCACAAAACGCGACCUACUGUGACAAACACGUAUCAUCACGGAAGUGUAUUUUUUUGUAGUGUGCUUUUCUUGAUUUCUAUGUUCGUCGAUUUUCAUAUCACGGAGAGCUUGGGAAUCAUUUUCGUUAUCCCUUGCAUAUUAUAGUUCAUCACAAAGUUCUAGUAACUUGGUGAUAGUGACUAGAGAAUCCUGUCAAUCACUAUCUUAUCUAGAAGAUUAACUCCCACUUGAUUCAAGCAAUUGCAGUACCUAGACAAUCUGAGCACAUGCUCACUGGUUGAGCUAUUCUCCUCCAUCUUUGUAGGCAAAGUACUGUCAGAGGUCUCCUACCUCUCGACACGGGCAUGAGUAUGAAAUACUAAUUUCAACUCUUGGAACAUCUUAUAUGCUCCGUGGCAUUCAAAACAUUUUGGAAGUCCCAGUUCUAAGCCGUAAAGCAUGGUGCACUAAACUAUCAAGUAGUCAUCAUACCGAGCUUUGCCAAACGUUCAUAACGUCUGCAUAUGCUCCUACAAUAGGUCCUUCACCUAGCGGUGCAUCAAGGACAUAAUUCUUCUGUGCGGCAAUGAGGAUAAUCCUCAGAUCACGGAUCCAAUCCGCAUCAUUGCUACUAACAUCUUUCAAUUUUUUUCUCUAGGAACAUAUCAAAAAUAAACGGGGAAGCUAUGUGCGAGCUAUUGAUCUACAACAUAGAUAUGCAAAUACUAUAAAGACUAAGUUCAUGAUAAAUUUAAGUUCAAUUAAUAAUAUUACUUAAGAACUCCCACUUAGAUAGACAUCCCUCUAGUCAUCUAAAUGAUCACGUGAUCCAAAUCAACUAAACCAUGUCUGAUCAUCACGAGAGAUGGAGUAGUUUCCAAUGGUGAACAUCAUUAUGUUGAUCAUAUCUACUAUAUGAUUCACACUCGACCUUUCGGUUUCCAGUGUUCCGAGGCCAUAUCUGCAUAUGCUAGGCUCGUCAAGUUUAACCCGAGUAUUUCUGCGUGUGCAAACUGUCUUACACCCGUUGUAGAUGAACGUUGAGCUUAUCACACCCGAUCAUCACGUGGUGUCUCGGCACGACAAACUUUGGCAACGGUGCAUACUCAGGGAGAACACUUUUACCUUGAAAUUUAGUGAGAGAUCAUCUUAUAAUGCUACCGUCAAAUAAAGCAAAAUAAGAUGCAUAAAGGAUAAACAUCACAUGCAAUCAAAAUAUGUGACAUGAUAUGGCCAUCAUCAUCUUGUGCCUUUGAUCUCCAUCUCCAAGGUACCGUCAUGAUAUCUAUCAUCACCGGCAUGACACCAUGAUCUCCAUCAUCUUGAUCUCUAUCAACGUGUCGUCAUAUGGUCGUCUCGCCAACUAUUGCUUUUGCAACUAUUGCUAUCGCAUAGCGAUAAAGUUACGCAAUUGUAUGACGCUUGCAUAUUAUGCAAUAAAGAGACAACCAUAAGGCUCCUGCCAGUUGCCGAUAACUUAAACAAAACAUGAUCAUUUCAUACAACAAUUUAUAUCUCAUCACAUCUUGACCAUAUCACAUCACAACAUGCCCUGCAAAAACAAGUUAGACAUCCUCUAUUUUGUUGUUGCAAGUUUUACGUGGCUGCUACUGGCUGAGCAAGAACUGUUCUUUACUAUGCAUCAAAACCACAACGAUAGUUCGUCAAGUUAGUGUUGUUUUAACCUUCUCAAGGACCGGGCAUAGCCACACUCGGUUCAACUAAAGUUGGAGAAACUGACACCCGACGGCCACCUAUGUGCAAAGCACGUCGAUAGAAAAGGCCUCGCAUAAGCGUACGCGUAAUGUCGGUCCGGGCCGCUUCAUCCAACAAUACCGCUAAACCAAAGUAUGACAUGCUGGUAAGCAAUAUGACUUGUAUCACCCACAACUCACUUGUGUUCUACUCGUGCAUAUAACAUCUACGCAUAAAGCUGGCUCGGAUGCCACUGUUGGGGAACGUAGUAAUUUCAAAAAAAUUCCUACGCACACCCACAGGAUCAUGGUGAUGCAUAGCAAUGAGAGGGGAGAGUGUGUCUACGUACCCUCGUAGACCGAAUGCGGAAGCGUUAGCAUAACACGGUUGAUGUAGUCGUACGUCUUCACGAUCCGACCGAUCCAAGUACCGAACGCACGACACCUCCGAGUUCUGCACAUGUUCAACUCGAUGACGUCCUGCGAGCUCCGAUCCAGCAAAGCUUCACGCGAGAGGUUCGUCAGCAUGACGGCUUGCUGACGGUGAUGAUGAUGCUACUGACGCAGGGCUUCGCCUAAGCACUGCUACGAUAUGAUCGAGGUGGAUUAUGGUGGAGGGGGGCACCUGAUACAUCCAUUAUGCAUCAUGCUUUUAUAUCAAUAUUUAUUGCAUUAUGGGCUGUUAUUACACAUUAUGUCACAAUACUUAUGCCUAUUCUCUCUUAUUUUACAAGGUUUACAUAAAGAGGGAGAAUGCCGACAGCUGGGAUUCUGGGCUGGAAAAGGAGCAAAUAUUAGAGACCUAUUCUGCACAGCUCCAAAAGUCCUGAAACUUCACGGAAGUCAUUUUCAGAAUAUAUAAAAAAUACCGAGUGCAAGAAGUUCCGGAGGGGGGCCACACCCUGCCCACGAGGGUGGGGGGCGCACCCCCUGCCUCGUGGGCCCCCUGGUGGCCCUCCGAUGCCCAUCUUCUCUAGAUGGAGUCUUUCAGUGAGAAAAAAAUCAUAAGCCUGCUUUCGGGAUGAGACUCCGCCGCCACGAGGCGGAACCUUGGCGGAACCAAUCUAGGGCUCUGGCGGAGCUGUUCUGCCAGGGAAACUUCCCUCCGGGAGGGGUAAAUCAUCGCCAUUGUCAUUACCAAUGAUCCUCUCAUCGGGAGGGGGUCAAUCUCCAUCAACAUCUUCACCAGCACCAUCUCCUCUCAAACCCUAGUUCAUCUCUUGUAUCCAAUUCUUGUCUCCAAGUCUGGGAUUCGUACCUGUGGGUUGCUAGUAGUGUUGAUUACUCCUUGUAGUUGAUGCUAGUUGGUUUAUUUGGUGGAAGAUCAUAUGUUCAGAUCCUAUAUGCAUAUUAAUACUCCUCUGAUUAUGAACAUGAAUAAGCUUUGUGAGUAGUUACGUUUGUUCCUGAGGACAUGGGAGAAGUCUUGCCAUUAGUAGUCAUGUCAAUUGGGUAUUUGCUCGAUAUUUGGAUGAGAUGUAUGUUGUCUCUCCUCUAGUGGUGUUAUGUGAACGUCGACUACAUGACACUUCACCAUUAUUUGGGCCUAGAGGAAGGCAUUGGGAAGUAACAAGUAGAUGAUGGGUUGUUAGAGUGACAGAAGCUUAAACCCUAGUUUAUGCGUUGCUUCAUAAGGGGCUGAUUUGGAUUCGUAUGUUUCAUGCUAUGGUUAGGUUUACCUUAAUACUUUUGUUGUAGUUGCGGAUGCUUGCAAUAGAGGUUAAUCGUAAGUGGGAUGCUUGUCCAAGUAAGGACAGCACCGAAGCACCGGUCCACCCACAUACCAAAUUAUCAAAGUACCGAACGUGAAUCAUAUGAUCGUGAUGAAACCUAGCUUGACGAUAAUUCCCAUGUGUCCUCGGGAGCGCUUUUCUCUAUAUAAGAAUUUGUCCAGCCUUGUCCUUUGCUACAAAAGGAUUGGACCACCUUGCUGCACUUUAUUUACUUUUGUUACUUGUUGCUCGUUACAAAUUAUCUUAUCACAAAACUAUCUGUCACCUAUAAUUUCAGUGCUUGCAGAGAAUACAUUGCUGAAAACCGCUUAUCAUUUCCUUCUGCUCCUCAUUGGGUUCGACACUCUUACUUAUCGAAAGGACUACGAUAGAUCCCCCAUACAUGUGCAUCAUCAAGACUCUUUUCUGGCGCCGUUGCCGGGGAGUGAAGCGCCUUUGGUAGGUGGAAUUUGGUAAGGAAAAAAUGUAUAUAGUGUGCUGAAAUUUACUGUCACUUGUUACUAUGGAAAGUAAUCCUCUGAGGGGCUUGUUCGGGGUAUCUUCACCCCGACCAGUAGAGCAAAGAGUUGCUCCUCAACCUAUUGAACCUACUUAAAAUGAAAAUGUCUACUUUGAGAUUCCUUCGGGUAUGAUAGAAAAACUGUUAGCUAAUCCUUUUGCAGGAGACGGAACAAUGCAUCCUGAUGAGCACCUAAUAUAUGUGGAUGAAGUUUGUGGAUUACUUAAGCUUGCAGGUGUGCCCGAUGAUGUUAUUAAGAAGAAGGUUUUUCCUUUAUCUUUGAAGGGAGAUGCAUUGACAUGGUAUAGGCUAUGUGAUGAUACGGGGUCAUGGAACUACAAACGAUUGAAAUUGGAAUUUCAUCAGAAGUUUUAUCCUAUGUAUCUUGUUCAUCGUGAUCGCAAUUAUAUAUAUAAUUUUUGGCCCCGUGAAGGAGAAAGCAUUGCUUAAGCUUGGGGGAGGCUUAAAUAAAUGUUAUAUUCAUGCCCCAAUCAUGAGCUUCCAAGAGAAAUAAUUAUUCAAAAUUUAUAUGCUCGGCUUUCUGAUAACAAUCGCACCAUGCUCGAUACUUCUUGUGCUGGCUCUUUUAUGAUGAAGACUAUUGAAUUCAAAUGGGAUUUAUUGGAAAUAAUUAAACGCAACUCUGAAGAUUGGGACCUCGAAGAAGGUAAGAAGUCAGGUAUGACACCUAAGUUUGAUUGUGUUAAAUCUUUUAUGGAUACCAAUGUUUUCCGUAAAUCUAGCACUAAAUAUGGACUUGACUUUGAAAUAGUAGCUUCUUUCUGUGAAUCUUUUGCUACUCAUGUUGAUCUCCCUAGGGAUAAGUGGUUUAAAUAUCAUCCUCCCAUAGAAGUAAAAGUAGUUGCACCUAUUAAAGUUGAAGAAAAGACUGUCACUUAUAAUGAUCCUAUUGUUCCUACUGCUUAUGUUGAGAAACCACCUUUUCCUGUUAGGAUAAAAGAUCAUGCUAAAGCUUCAACUGUGGUUCGUAAAAGAAAUAUUAGAACCUAUACACCUCAUGAGCAAAUUAAAGUUGAACAUAAUAUUGCUAUUGUUAAGGAUCUCUUGGCUGAUAAUAUUGAUGGGCAUGUUAUUUAUUUCUGUGAUGAAACUGCUAGAAUUGCUAAACCUUGUGCUAAAGAUAAACAUAGACCUGUGGUAGGCAUGCCUCUUAUUUCUGUUAAAAUAGGAGAUCAUUGUUAUCAUGGCUUGUGUGAUAUGGGUGCUAGUGCUAGUGCAAUACCUAUUAACUUAUACAAAGAAAUUAUGCAUGAUAUUGCACCUGCUGAGUUAGAAGAUAUUGAUGUCACAAUUAAACUUGCCAAUAGAGAUACUAUUUCACCAAUUGGGAUUGUUAGAGAUGUUGAAGUCUUGUGUGGGAAAACUAAAUAUCCUGCUGAUUUUCUUGUCCUUGGUUCCCCCCAAGAUAGCUUUUGUCCCAUUAUAUUUGGCAGACCCUUCUUGAACACGGUUAAUGCUAAGAUAGAUUGCGAAAAGGAUGUUGUUACUAUUGGUUUAGGUGAUAUGUCUCAUGAAUUUAAUUUCUCUAAAUUUUGUAGACAACACCGUCAAGAGGAAUUUCCUAGUAAAGAUGAAAUUAUUGGUCUUGCUUCUAUUGCUGUGCCUCCUAGUGAUCCUUUAGAACAGUAUUUGCUAGACCAUGAAAAUGACAUGUUUAUGAAUGAAAGAAGGGAAAUAGAUGAAGUAUUCUUUAAACAGGAACCCAUCCCGAAACACAAUUUGCCUGUCGAAAUCCUAGGGGAUCCUCCUCCACCCAAGGGUGAUCCCGUGUUUGAGCUCAAACCGUUACCUGAUACUCCUAAAUAUGCUUAUCUUGAUGAGAAAAAGAUAUAUCUUGUUAUUAUCAGUGCUAACCUUUCAGAGCAUGAAGAAGAGAGAUUAUUGAAAACUCUGAAGAAGCACCAUGCUGCUAUUGGAUAUACUCUUGAUGAUUUUAAGGGCAUUAGUCCCACUCUAUGUCAACACAAAAUAAAUUUGGAAAAAGAUGCCAAACCAGUUCGUGAUCACCAACGACGACUGAAUCCUAAGAUGAAAGAAGUGGUAAGAAAGGAAAUACUAAAGCUCCUUGAGGCAGGUAUAAUUUAUCCCGUUGCUGAUAGUCAGUGGGUAAGUCAUGUCCAUUGUGUCCCUAAAAAGGGAAGUAUUACUGUCGUUCCUAAUGAUAAAGAUGAAUUGAUUCCGCAAAGAAUUAUUACAGGUUAUAGGAUGGUAAUUGAUUUCCCCAAAUUAAAUAAGGCUACUAAAAAAGAUCAUUACCCCUUACCUUUUAUUGAUCAAAUGCUAAAAAGAUUAUCCAAAAAUACACAUUUUUGCUUUCUAGAUGGUUAUUCUGGUUUCUCUCAAAUACCUGUGUCAACUGAUGAUCAAUCUAAGACCACUUUUACUUGCCGUUCAGUACUUUUGCUUAUAGACGUAUGCCUUUUGGUUUAUGUAAUGCACCUGCUACCUUCCAAAGAUGCAUGAUGGCUAUAUUCUCCGACUUUUGUGAAAAGAUUUGUGAGGUUUUCAUGGACGAUUUCUCCGUCUAUGGAUCCUCUUUUGAUGAUUGCUUAAGCAACCUUGAUCGAGUUUUGCAGAGAUGUGAAGAAACUAACCUUGUCUUGAAUUAGGAGAAGUGCCACUUUAUGGUUAAUGAAGGUAUUGUUUUGGGGCAUAAAGUUUUUGAAAGAGGUAAUGAAGUUGAUAAAGCUAAGGUUGAUGUUAUUUAAAAGAUGUCAUGUCCCAAGGACAUCAAAGGUAUAAGAAGUUUCCUUGGUCAUGCCGGUUUUUAUAGGAGGUUCAUUAAGGACUUCUCAAAAAUUUCUCGGCCUCUGGCUAAUUUAUUACAAAAAUAUAUACCAUUUGUUUUUGAUGAUGAUUGCGUAGAAGCAUUUGAAAUACUUAAGAAAGCAUUGAUCUCUGCACCUAUUGUUCAGCCACCUGAUUGGAAUUUACCCUUUGAAAUUAUGUGUGAUGCUAGUGAUUAUGUUGUAGGUGCUGUUCUAGGGCAAAGAGUUGAUAAGAAAUUAAAUGUUAUUCAAUAUGCUAGUAAAACUCUAGACAAUGCUCAGAGAAAUUAUGCUACUACUGAAAAAGAAUUCUUAGCAGUUGUAUUUGCUUGUGAUAAGUUCAGACCUUAUAUUGUUGAUUCUAAAGUAACUAUUCACAUUGAUCAUGCUGCUAUUAAAUAUCUGAUGGAAAAGAAAGAUGCUAAACCUAGACUUAUUAGAUGGGUUCUCUUGCUACAAGAAUUUGAUUUUCAUAUUAUUGAUAGAAAUGGAGCUGAGAACCUCGUUGCAGAUAACUUGUCUAGGUUGGAAAAUGUUCUUGAUGACCCACUACCUAUUGAUGAUAGCUUUCCUGAUGAACAAUUAAAUGUCAUAAAUGCUUCUCAUAAUGCUCCAUGGUAUGCUGAUUAUGCUAAUUACAUUGUUGCUAAAUUUAUACCACCUAGUUUCACAUACCAGCAAAAGAAAAGGUUUUUCCAUGAUUUGAGACAUUACUUUUGGGAUGACCCACAUCUUUAUAAAGGAGUAGAUGGUGUUAUUAGACGUUGUGUACCUGGGCAUGAACAGGAACAGAUCCUACGCAAGUGUCACUCUGAAGCUUAUGGAGGACACCACGCUGGAGAUAGAACUGCACAUAAGGUAUUGCAAUCCGGUUUUUAUUGGCCUACUCUCUUCAAGGAUGCCCGUAAGUUUGUUGUAUCUUGUGAUGAAUGUCAAAGAAUUGGUAAUAUUAGUAGACGUCAAGAAAUGCCUAUGAAUUAUUCACUUGUUAUUGAACUAUUUGAUGUUUGGGGCUUUGAUUAUAUGGGACCUUUUCCUGCAUCUAAUGGAUAUACACAUAUUUUAGUUGCUGUUGAUUACGUUACCAAGUGGGUAGAAGCUAUUCCAACUAGUAGUGCUGAUCAUAACACCUCUAUUAAGAUGCUUAAAGAAGUUAUUUUUCUGAGGUUUGGAGUCCCUAGAUAUUUAAUGACUGAUGGUGGUUCACAUUUUAUUCAUGGUGCUUUCCAUAAAAUGCUUGCUAAGUAUGAUGUUAAUCAUAGAAUUGCAUCUCCUUAUCACCCACAGUCAAGUGGUCAACUAGAAUUGAGUAACAAAGAGCUCAAAUUAAUUUUGCAAAAGACUGUUAAUAGAUCUAGAAAGAAUUGGUCCAAGAAACUUGAUGAUGCAUUAUGGGCCUAUAGAACUGCAUAUAAAAAUCCUAUGGGUAUGUCUCCGUAUAAAAUGGUUUAUGGUAAAGCAUGUCAUUUACCUCUUGAACUAGAACAUAAGGCAUAUUGGGCCAUUAAAGAGCUCAAUUAUGAUUUCAAACUUGCUGGUGAGAAAAGGUUAUUUGACAUUAGCUCACUUAAUGAAUGGAGAACCCAAGCCUAUGAGAAUGCCAAAUUGUUUAAAGAAAAGGUUAAAAGAUGGCACGACAAAAGAAUACAAAAGCGUGAGUUUAAUGUAGGUGAUUAUGUAUUGCUAUACAACUCUCAUUUAAGAUUUUUUGCAGGAAAGCUUCUCUCUAAAUGGGAAGGUCCUUACGUUAUCGAGGAGGUCUAUCGUUCUGGUGCCAUAAAAUCAACAACUUUGAAGGCACAAAUUCAAAGGUGGUGAACGGUCAAAGAAUCAAACAUUAUAUCUCAGGUAAUCCUAUAAAUGUUGAAACCAAUGUUAUUGAAACCGUAACCCCGGAGGAAUACAUAAGGGACACUUUCCGAAACGUUUUAGACUCCGAAAAGGAAUAGGUAUGUGGUACGGUAAGUAAACCGACUCCAAAACAGUUCUAAUGUCAAUUUUUCUCCUUUUUGGAAUAUUUAGAAAAAUAGAAAAAUAAGAAGCAGUCCGGGAAGGACACGAGGGCUCCACGAGGGUGGAGGGCGCGCCCUAUCCCCCUAGGCGUGCCCCCUGCCUCGUGGGCACCUCGUGUGCUCUCCGGACUCCGUUUUCUUGCACGUCGCGUAUUUUGGUCGGUAAAAAUUCAUUAUAUAAUCUCCCGAAGGUUUUGACUCCCGUAUCACACAAAAAUCUCCUGUUCUUGUUUCGAGCUGUUUUCUGUCAGGGUUGUCAAGGCCAGGCAUUAUGUCGUCCCCCUCCUCCAACAAUGGUGACAACGAUGCUUGGCUAAUGAAGAUAGAGCUUAAGAGGGAAGAACCUAUGGAGAUCAACAAGGAUGAAGGGAUCAAGAAGACCACAGAGGACCAAGUUCCGGUAGCAGAAGACAUCCUUCAACUUGAUCACAAUCUUCUUACCCCAACUGAGAUCGAGGCUUUCAAGAUGAUUGAGUUAUCCCGUAUACAAAACAAGUAUCUCACACGUGAAAAUAUUUUGUUGAAGGAGCAUAUCAUCGCACUCAAGGGCAUUAUCCGCAAGUUGGAGGACCUCCUACGCUCGAUGUGCGACUAUCCAUCAUCAACAACUCCACCUUCUUCACCAACAAAGAAGAACUGAGUAUCUGGUAUGGGCACUCCCCUUGGCAACUGCCAAGCUCGAGGGAGUGCCCCAGUAUCGUAUCACCAUCACUUUUAUCUUUACUGUUUUCUUAGUUCGAUCCUUUUGAUAAUAUUUUGAUCUAGUAGAAUAAAAGUUCUUAGUAUGAUCUAGUUGUGAGUUUUGCUUUAUGAUCCUUCUAUGUAAUCGAGUCCGUGAGCUAUAUAUAAUAAAGAUUAGUGUUGAGUCAAGGGCUUGAUUAUUUUGCCAUAAUCCUGAGUGAAUAAAAUAAAAGAGAAAGAAUAAAAAGAAAUAAAAGAGAUCAUAUGGAUCUUAUGGAGAGUAAUGAGCUCACAUCUAAAGAGUAUGAUGAUUAAAAGUUUUUGAGAGUUGACAAACAUAGUUUUGGUCAUCGUUGCAAUUAAUAGGAAGUAAUAAAGAAAGAGAGGUCUUCACAUAUAAACAUGCUAUCUUGGACACCUUUUAUGAUUGUGAGCACUCAUUAAAAUAUGACAUGCUAAAGAGUUGAUGUUGGACAAGGAAGACAACGUAAUGGGUUAUGUUUUCUUACAUCUGAGAUAAAUUAUAUUGUCAUGGAUCAUCCAACAUGAUUGAGCUUGCCUUUCCCCCUCAUGCUAGACAAAUUCUUUGCACCAAGUAGAGAUACUACUUGUGCUUCCAAACACCCUUAAACCAGUUUUGCCAUGAGAGUCCACCAUACCUACCUAUGGAUUGAGUAAGAUCCCUCAAGUAAGCUGUCAUCGGUGCAAGCAAUAAAAAUUGCCCUCUAAAUAUGUAUGACUUAUUAGUGUGGGAGAAAAUAAGCUUUAUAUGACCGUGUGAUAUAGAAGAAAUAAAAGCGACAGACUGCAUAAUAAAGGUCCAUUUCACAAGUGGCAAUAUAAAGUGACGUUCUUUCGCAUUAAGAUUUUGUGCAUCCAACCAUAAAAGCACAUGACAACCUCUGCUUCCCUCUGCGAAGGGCCUAUAUUUUACUUUUAUCUCCUACCUUGCAUAAGAGUCAUGGUGAUCUUCACCCUUCCUUUUUAAAUUUUAUCUUUUGGCAAGCACAACAUGUUGGAAAGAUCCUGGUAUAUGUGGCUAAUUGGAUGUGUGUUUUCAUGAACUAUUAUUGUUGACAUUACCCUUGAGGUAAAAUGUUGGGAGGCAAAACUAUAAGCCCCUAUCUUUCUCUGUGUACGAUUGAAACUCCAUACCCAUAAGUAUUGCAUGAGUGUUAGGAAUUGUGAAAGACUAUAUGAUAGUUGAGUAUGUGGACUUGCUGAAAAGCUCUUAUAUUGACUCUUUCCUAUGUUAUGAUAAAUUGCAAUUGCUCCAAUGACUGAGAUUAUAGUUUGUUAGUUUUCAAUGAAGUUUAUGAUUCAUACUUGAAAUUGUGAUUGAAUUGUUACUCUAGCAUAAGAGAUCAUAUGACAAGAAUUAUAUAAGUUGAUGUUCUAAGAAUGAUCAUGAUGCCCUCAUGUCCAUAUUUUAUUUUUAUCGACACCUCUAUCUUUAAACAUGUGGACAUAUUUUUCGAUUUCGGCUUUCCCUUGAGGACAAGCGAGGUCUAAACUUGGGGGAGUUGAUACGUCCAUUAUGCAUCAUGCUUUUAUAUCGAUAUUUAUUGCAUUAUGGGAUGUUAUUACACAUUAUGUCACAAUACUUAUGCCUAUUCUCUCUUAUUUUACAAGGUUUACAUAAAGAGGGAGAAUGCCGACAGCUGGGAUUCUGGGUUGGAAAAGGAGCAAAUAUUAGAGACCUAUUCUGCACAGCUCCAAAAGUCCUGAAACUUCACAGAAGUCAUUUUCAAAAUAUAUAAAAAAUACCGAGCGCAAGAAGUUCCGGAGGGGGGGCCACACCCUACCCACGAGGGUGGGGGCGUGCCCUAACCCCCCCCCCCCGGGCGCGCCCCUUGCCUCGUGGGCCCCCUGGUGGCCCUCCGAUGCCCAUCUUCUUCUAUAUGGAGUCUUUCGAUGAGAAAAAAAAUCAUAAGCCAGCUUUCGGGAGGAGACUCUGCCGCCACGAGGCGGAACCUUGGCAGAACCAAUCUAGGGCUCUGGCGGAGCUGUUCUGCCGGGGAAACUUCCCUCUAGGAGGGGGAAAUCAUCGCCAUCGUCAUCACCAAUGAUCCUCUCAUCGGGAGGGUGUCAAUCUCCAUCAACAUCUUCACCAGCACCAUAUCCUCUCAAAUCCUAGUUCAUCUCUUGUAUCCAAUUCUUGUCUCCAAGUCUGGGAUUGGUACCGGUGGGUUGCUAGUAGUGUUGAUUACUCCUUGUAGUUGAUGCUAGUUGGUUUAUUUGGUGGAAGAUCAUAUGUUCAGAUCCUAUAUGCAUAUUAAUACUCCUCUGAUUAUGAACAUGAAUAUGCUUUGUGAGUAGUUACGUUUGUUCCUGAGGACAUGGGAGAAGUCUUGCUGUUAGUAGUCAUGUGAAUUUGGUAUUGGUUCGAUAUUUUGAUGAGAUGUAUGUUGUCUCUCCUCCGGUGGUGUUAUGUGAACGUCGACUACAUGACACUUCACCAUUAUUUGGGCCUAGAGGAAGGCAUUGGGAAGUAAUAAGUAUAUGAUGGGUUGCUAGAGUGACAGAAGCUUAAACCCUAGUUUAUGCGUUGCUUCGUAAGGGGCUGAUUUGGAUCCAUAUGUUUCAUGCUAUGGUUAGGUUUACCUUAAUACUUUUGUUGUAGUUGCGGACGCUUGCAAUAGAGGUUAAUCAUAAGUGGGAUGCUUGUCCAAGUAAGGACAGCUCCCAAGCACCAGUCCACCCGCAUACCAAAUUAUCAAAGUACCGAACGUGAAUCAUAUGAUCGUGAUGAAACCUAGCUUGACAAUAAUUCCCAUGUGUCCCCGGGAGCGCUUUUCUCUAUAUAAGAAUUUGUCCAGGCUUGUCCUUUGCUACAAAAAGGAUUGGGCCACCUUGGUGCACUUUAUUUACUUUUGUUACUUGUUGCUCGUUACAAAUUAUCUUAUCACAAAACUAUUUGUCCCCUAUAAUUUAAAUGCUUGCAGAGAAUACCUUGCUGAAAACCGCUUAUCAUUUCCUUCUGCUCCUCGUUGGGUUUGACACUCUUACUUAUAGAAAGGACUACGAUAGAUCCCCUAUACUUGUGGGUCAUCAGCACCGCACACGGCUAAGAGAUCAAUGAUCAAUUGUGUGUCUAUGGGGUGCCCCCGCCCCAGUAUAUAAAGGAGCAAGGGGAGGAGGCAGCCGGCCAGGGAGAGGCGCGCCAAGAGGGGGAGUCCUACUCCCACUAGGAGUAGGACUCCUCCUUUUCCUAGUAGGAGUAGGAGAGGGGGAAGGAAAGGGAGAGGAGGAGAAGGAAAGAGAGGGGCGGCCCCCCUUGCCCUAAACCAAAUUCAGUUUGGGCCUUGGGGGGCUCGCCCGCAUUCCCCUUGCUGCCCUCUAUUUCCACUAAGGCCCAUGUAGGCCCAUUAAGCCCCUUGGGGGGUUCCGGUAACCCCCCGGUACUCUGGUAUAUGUCCGAAACCUUUCGGAACCUUUCUGGUGUCCGAACAUAGUCGUCCAAUAUAUCGAUCUUUACGUAUUGACCAUUUCGAGACUCCUUGUCAUGUCCGUGAUCACAUCCGGGACUCCGAACUACCUUCAGUACAUCAACACACAAAACUCAUAAUACCGAUCGUCACCGAACUUUAAGCGUGCGGACCCUACGGGUUUUAGAACUAUGUAGACAUGACCGAGACACGUCUCCGGUCAAUAACCAAUAGCGGAACCUGGAUGCUCAUAUUGGUUCCCACAUAUUCUACGAAGAUCUAUAUCGGUCAAACCGCAUAACAACAUAUGUUGUUCCCUUUGUCAUCGGUAUGUUACUUGCUCGAGAUUCGAUUGUCGGUAUCUCAAUACCUAGUUCAAUCUCGUUAUCGGCAAGUCUCUUUACUCGUUCCAUAAUACAUCAUCCCGUAACUAACUCAUUAGUUACAAUGCUUGCAAGGAUUAUAGUGAUGUGCAUUACCGAGUGGGCCUAGAGAUACCUCUCCGACAAUCGGAGUGACAAAUCCUAAUAUCAAAAUAUGCCAACUCAACAAGUACCUUCGGAGACACCUAUAGAGCACCUUUAUAAUCACCCAGUUACAUUGUGAUGUUUAGUAGCACACAAAGUGUUCCUCCGGUAAAUGGGAGUUGCAUAAUCUCAUAGUCAUAGGAACAUGUAUAAGUCAUGAAGAAAACAAUAGCAACAUAUUAAACGAUCAAGUGCUAAGCUAACGGAAUGGAUCAAGUCAAUCACAUCAUUCUAUAAUGAUGUGAUCCCAUUAUUCAAAUGACAACUCAUGUCUAUGGUUAGGAAACAUAACCAUCAUUGAUUCAACGAGCUAGUCAAGUAGAGGCAAACUAGUGACACUCUGUUUGUCUAUGUAUUCACACAUGUACUAAGUUUCCGGUUAAUACAAUUCUAGCAUGAAUAAUAAACAUUUAUCAUGAUAUAAGGAAAUAAAUAAUAACUUUAUUAAUUCCUCUAGGGCAUAUUUCCUUCAAUUCCCCCCUCCGGCAGGGUGCCAGAACGGGUCUAGAUUGGUUUUCGGUGGAUACGGAGGCUUCUAGCGGCGGAACUCCCGAUCUAGGUUAUGUUCUGGAGGUUUCAGUAUAUAUAACAGGUUUUGGCAUCGAGAACAAGUUAGGGGGGUCUCCAGGCCGUCCACGAGGUAGGGAGGCGCGCCCAGGGGGGUGGGCACGCUCCCCACCCUCGUGGGCAGCCCGGGACUCUUCUGGCCCAACUAUUUUACUCCAUGUCCUUCUUCUGGUCCAAAAAUAAGUUCCGUGAAGUUUCAUGUCAAUGCACUCCGUUUGGUUUUCCUUUUCUACAAUACUCAAAAACAAAGAAAAACAGAAACUGGCACUGGGCUCUAGGUUAAUAGGUUAGUCCCAAAAAUCAUAUGAAAUAGCAUAUAAAUGCAUAUAAAAUAUCCAAGGUUGACAAUAUACUAGCAUGGAACAAUCAAAUAUUAUAGAUACGUUGGAGACGUAUCAAGCCGGAAGAACUCCAGGAAGCCGCGGAAGAAAGUGCUCGCCGGAAGAUCAAACCCGCGCUUGAAGUGCAUAAAGAAGACCACACGCUCCAUGCCCUCGGGCCGUGGCUCCUGCUCCCCCUGCGGCAGGCGCACGGCGACCUCCUGAUGUCUACUACACAACCUUCAUCUUGUAGACGUUGUUGGGCCUCCAAGUGCAGAGGUUUGUAGGACAGUAGCAAAUUUCCCUCAAGUGGAUGACCUAAGGUUUAUCAAUCCAUAGGAGGCGUAGGAUGAAGAUGGUCUCUCUCAAGCAACCCUGCAACCAAAUAAUAAAGAGUCUCUUGUGUCCCCAACACACCCAAUACAAUGGUAAAUUGUAUAGGUGCACUAGUUCGGCGAAGAGAUGGUGAAACAAGUGGUAUACGGAUAGUAGAUAAAGGUAUUUGUAAUCUGAAAUUAUAAAAACAGCAAGGUAACUAAUGAUAAAAGUGAGUGUAAACGGUAUUGCAAUGUGUGGAAAUAAGGCCUAGGGUUCAUACUUUCGCUAGUGUAAGUUCCCUCAACAAUAAUAACAUAAUUGGAUCAUAUAACUAUCCCUCAACAUGCAACAAAGAGUCACUCCAAAGUCACUAAUAGCGGAGAACAAACGAAGAGAUUAUGGUAGGGUACGAAACCACCUCAAAGUUAUUCUUUCCAAUCAAUCUGUUGGGCUAUUCCUAUAAGUGUCACAAACAUCCCUAGAGUUCGUACUAGAAUAACACCUUAAGACACAAAUCAACCAAAACCCUAAUGUCACCUAGAUACUCCAAUGUCACCUCAAGUAUCCGCGGGUAUGAUUAUAUGAUAUGCAUCACACAAUCUCAGAUUCAUCUAUUCAACCAACACAUAGGACCUCAAAGAGUGCCCCAAAGUUUCUACCGGAGAAUCACGACGAAAACGUGUGCCAACCCCUAUGCAUAGGUUCAUGGGCGGAACCCGCAAGUUGGUCACCAAAACAUACAUCAAGUGAAUCACGUGAUAUCCCAUUGUCACCACAGAUAUCCACUGCAAGACAUACAUCAAGUGUUCUCAAAUCUUUAAAGACUCGAUCCGAUAAGAUUACUUCAAAGGGGAAACUCAAUUCAUUACAAGAGAGUAGAGGGGGGAGAAAACAUCAUAGGAUCCAACUAUAAUAGCAAAGCUCGCGAUACAUCAAGAUCGUAUCACCUCAAGAACACGAGAGAGAGAGAUCAAACACAUAGCUACUGGUACAUACCCUCAGCCCCGAGGGAGAACUACUCCCUCCUUGUCAUAGAGAGCACCAGGAUGAUGAAGAUGGACACCGGAGAGGGAUUCCCCCCUCCGGCAGGGUGCUGGAACGGGUCUAGAUUGGCUUUUGGUGGCUACGGAGGCUUCUGGCGGUGGAACUCCCGAUCUAUUCUCUGUUCUGGAAGUUUUAGGAUGCAUGGGUAUAUAUGGGUGAAAGGAGUACGUCGGUGGACCGAAGGGGGGGCACAAGGCAGGGGGCACACCCCAGGGGGGUGGGCGCGCCCCCUACCCUCGUGAGCUCCUCCUUCAUCUUCUGACGUAGGGUCCAAGUCUAUCCGGUAGGUUUGCUUCCAAAAAUAACUUCUCCAGUUGAUUUCGUUCCGUUUCGACUCCGUUUGAUAUUCCUUUUCUUCGAAACACUAAAAUAGGCAUAAAAUAGCAAAUCUGGGCUGGGCCUCCGGUUAAUAGGUUAGUCCCAAAAAUAAUAUAAAAGUGGAAAAUAAAGCCCAAUAUUGCCCAAAACAGUAGAUAAUAUAGCAUGGAGCAAUAAAAUAUUAUAGAUACAUUGGAGACGUAUCACCUCCAUCUCCCCUGGCAACCUCCUGGUGGUGCGGAGGUAGGCGAUGUCGUCUAAAGUGACGGUCGAGCCCAUCCACGAGCCCGACGGAAGAGCCAUCGACGAAGAAAGGAAAGAAGGAAGAAUGGCGGUGAAGCUCUGCUCGAAGCGGCGGGCAUUGCAGCGCGCGGCGGUCGCUAAGGGCAGAGGAAGGAUGAGGAAGUAGGGGAGUGGGAGCGAGAAUGACUUCCGCCGCCCCCUCUCCCAAUUUAUAACCCACGAUUCGAAACAUGGGGAAGUGGGAUCGUUUGCGCUCGCCCCUCCCACUUCCCCGCAAUAAAUACACACGUACGCACGCAGUAACUGCAUCGAGAAUGGCAACCGGCCCGUGGACGCCGCACUAAAUCCGCGUGCGUGGGCCGAGGGUGCGCAGCAGCGGGUCCUAUCGCGUGCAUGGCCUGUCAGGUCCCUCUAGCUCCCGAGCACCACAUGGCGCCCGCGCGAAGCCCAAAAGAUCGCCUCAAGAUUCGACGGGCUCUUUGGUUUCCCGCCCCUGUUGGGAUGCCGCGAUCUGGCUUCCGAAAGCCGGCACACAGUGGGUGUUGCCGGACCCGGCGGUCACAAAAUUCGCCUCCUCAAGGGGGGAAACUGCGAAGGCCCUCCCGCUCGAAGACGGCGGACCUUCACAACUUUGGGGACUAUUGUCGGGAGGAUGAACCCCAGGAAGGCAACGGAACCCGGAUCCUUUUCAAAAACAACGGGCCAACAACGCCCCUCAAGCCGGCUCACGCCUGGCCGGGUCGCUCGACCCGGCCGAGCCCCUUAACCCGGCCAAAUUCCUCGACCCGGCCCCGGCGGCUGCCGCAAGGCGGCCGAACCCGGCGCACCAAGACAUCUUCAACAAGCCUGCUUCCCCUUGACGUGUUCUCCAACCCGGCCACUUAUUCAUCCAUUUUGCAUCAUGCUUUUAUAUCAAUAUUUAUUGCAUUAUGGGCUGUUAUUACACAUUAUGUCACAAUACUUACGCCUAUUCUCUCUUAUUUUACAAGGUUUACAUAAAGAGGGAGAAUGCCGGCCGCUGGGAUUCUGGGCUGAAAAAGGAGCAAAUAUUAGAGACCUAUUCUGCACAGCUCCAAAAUUCAUGAAACUUCACGAAAGUCAAUUUCAGAAUAUAUAAUAAAUAUUGAGCGCAAGAAGUUCACCAGGGGGGCCACACCCUGCCCACGAGGGUGGGGGGCGCGCCCUACCCCCCUGGGCGCGCCCCCUACCUCGUGGGCCCCCUGGUGGCCCUCCGAUGGCCAUCUUCUCUAUAUGGAGUCUUUCGACGAGGAAAAAAUCAUAAGCCAUCUUCCUGGACAAGACUCCGCCGCCACGAGGCGGAACCAAUCUAGGGCUUUGCUGGAGCUGUUCUGCCGGGGAAACUUCCCUCCGAGAGGGGGAAAUCAUCGCCAUCGUCAUCACCAAUGCUCCUCUCAUCGGGAGAAGGCAAUCUCCAUCAACAUAUUCACUAGCACCAUCACCUCUCAAAACCCUAGUUCAUCUCUUGUAUCCAAUUCUUAUCUCCAAGUCCGGGAUUGGUACCUGUGGGUUGCUAGUAGUGUUAAUUACUCCUUGUAGUUGAUGCUAGUUGGUUUAUUUGGUGGAAGAUCAUAUGUUCAGAUCCUAUAUGCAUAUUAAUACCCCUCUGAUUAUGAAUAUGAAUAUGCUUUGUGAGUAGUUACGUUUGUUCCUGAAGACAUGGGAGAAGUCUUGCUAUUAGUAGUCAUGUGAAUUUGGUAUUCGUUCGAUAUUUUCAUGAGAUGUAUGUUGUCUCUCCUCUAGUGGUGUUAUGUGAACGUCGACUACAUGACACUUCACCAUUAUUUGGGCCUAGAGGAAGGCAUUUGGAGGUAAUAAGUAGAUGAUGGGUUGCGAGAAUGACAGAAGCUUAAACCCUAGUUUAUGCGUUGCUUCGUAAGGGGCUGAUUUGGAUCCAUAUGUUUCAUGCUAUGGUUAGGUUUACCUUAAUACUUUUGUUGUAGUUGCGGAUGCUUGCAAUAGAGGUUAAUCAUAAGUGGGAUGCUUGUCCAAGUAAGGGAAGUACCCAAGCACUGGUCCACCCACAUACUAAAUUAUCAAAGUACCGAACGUGAAUCAUAUGAACGUGAUGAACCCUUGCUUGACAAUGUUCCCAUGUGUCCUCGGGAGCGCUUUUCUCUAUAAAAGAGUUUGUCCAGGCUUGUCCUUUACUACAAAAAGGAUUGGGCCACCUUGCUGCACUUUAUUUACUUUUGUUACUUGUUGCUCGUUACCAAUUAUCUUAUCACAAAAUUACCUGUUACCUAUAAUUUCAGUGCUUGCAGAGAAUACCUUGCUGAAAACCGCUUAUCAUUUCCUUCUGCUCCUCGUUGGGUUCGACACUCUUACUUAUCGAAAGGACUACGAUAGAUCCCCUAUCCUUGUGGGUCAUCAAGACUCUUUUCUGGCGCCGUUGCCGGGGAGUGAAGCGCCUUUGGUAGGUGGAAUUUGGUAAGGAAAAAUUUAUAUAGUGUGUUGAAAUUUACUGUCACUUGUUACUAUGGAAAGUAAUCCUCUAAGGGGCUUGUUCGGGGUAUCUUCACCCCGACCAGUAGAGCAAAAAGUUGCUCCUCAACCUACUGCACCUACUGAAAAUGAAAAUGAAAAUGUUUGCUUUGAAAUUCCUUCGGGUAUGAUAGAAAAACUGCUAGCUAAACCUUUUGCAGGAGAUGGAACAACGCAUCCUGGUGAGCACCUAAUAUAUGUGGAUGAAGUUUGUGGAUUAUUUAAGCUUACAGGUGUACCCGGAGAUGUUAUUAAGAAGAAGGUCUUCCCUUUAUCUUUGAAGGAAGAUGCAUUGACAUGGUAUAGGCUAUGUGAUGAUACGGGGUCAUGGAACUACAAAUGAUUGAAAUUCGAAUUUCAUCAAAAGUUUUAUCCUAUGAAGUUGAUUUCGUUCCGUUUCGACUCCGUUUGAUAUUCCUUUUCUUUGAAACACUGAAAUAGGCAUAAAACAGCAAAUCUGGGCUGGGACUCCGGUUAAUAGGUUAGUCCCAAAAAUAAUAUAAAAUUGGAAAAUAAAGCCCAAUAUUGCCCAAAACAGUAGAUAAUAUAGCAUGGAGCAAUCAAAAAUUAUAGAUACGUUGGAGACGUAUCAAGCAUCCCCAAGCUUAAUUCCUGCUCGUCCUCGAGUAGGUAAAUGAUAAAAAGAUAAUUUUCUAUGUGGAAUGCUAGUUGGCAUAAUUUCAAUGUAAUUCUUCUUAUUUGUGAUAUGAAUAUUAAGAUCCGAAAGAUUCAAGACAAAAGUUCAUAUUGACAUAAAAAUAAUAAUACUUCAAGCAUACUAACUAAGCAAUUAUGUCUUCUCAAAAUAACAUGGCCAAAGAAAGUUCAUACCUACAAAAUCAUAUAGUUUAGUCAUGCUCCAUUUUCAUCACACAAGAAUGCUCUCAUCAUGCACAACCCCGAUGACAAGCCAAGCAAUUGUUUCAUACCUUAAUAAUUUCAAAAUCAUAAACUUUCACGCAAUACAUGAGCGUAAGCCAUGGAUAUAGUACUAUGGGUGGAAUAGAAUAUAAUGAUGGGGGUUAUGUGGAGAAGACAAAAAGGAGAAAGUCUCACAUCAACGAGGCUAAUCAAUGGGCUAUGGAGAUGCCCAUCAAUUGAUGUUAAUGCAAGGAGUAUGGAUUGCCAUGCAACGGAUGCACUAGAGCUAUAAAUGUAUGAAAGCUCAACAAAAGAAACUAGUGGGUGUGCAUCCAACUUGCUUGCUCACGAAGACCUAGGGCACUUGAGGAGGCCCAUUGUUGGAAUAUACAAACCAAGUUCUAUAAUGAAAUAUUCCCACUAGUAUAUGAAAGUGAUAACAUGAGAGACUCUCUACUAUGAAGAUCAUGGUGCUACUUUGAAGCACAAGUGUGGCAAAGGAUAGUAGCAUUGUUCCUUCUCUCUUUUUCUCUCAUUUUUUUAUUUGGCCUUUCUCUUUUCUUUUCUUUUUGGGCCUUCUCUUUUUUAUGGCCUUUCUCUUCUUAUUUUUAUUUUUUUGGGCCUUCUCUUUUUAUGGCCAUUUUUUAUUCCUCACUUGGGACAAUGCUCUAAUAAUGAUGAUCAUCACACUUCUAUUUAUUUAGAACUCAAUGAUUACAACUCGAUACUAGAACAAAGAUGACUCUAUAUGAAUACCUCUGGCGGUGUACCGGGAUAUGCAAUGAACUAAGAGUGACAUGUAUGAAAGAAUUAUGAACGGUGGCUUUGCCACAAAUACUAUGUCAACUACAUGAUCAUGCUAAGCAAUAUGACAAUGAUGAAUGUGUCAUGAUAAGCGGAACGGUGGAAAGUUGCAUGGCAAUAUAUCUCGGAAUGGCUAUGGAAAUGCCAUAGUAGGUAGGUAUGGUGGCUGUUUGGAGGAAGAUAUAAGGAGGUUUAUGUGUGAUAGAGCGUAUCAUAUCACGGGGUUUGGAUGCACCCGCGAAGUUUGCACCAACUCUCAAUGUGAGUAAGGGCAAUGCACGGUACCGAAUAGGCUAGCAAGGAUGGAAGGGUGAGAGUGCAUAUAAUCCAUGGACUCAACAUUAGUCAUAAAGAACUCACAUACUUAUUGCAAAAAUGUACAAGUCAUCAAAAACCUCGGCACUACACGCAUGCUCCUAGGGGGAUAGAUUGGUAGGAAAAGACCAUCGCUCGUCCCCGACCGCCACUCAUAAGGAGAACAAUCAAAUAACACCUCAUGUUUCAAAUUUGUUACACAACGUUUACCAUACGUGCAUGCUACGGGAUUUGCAAACUUCAACACAAGAAUUUCUCAAAUUCACAAUUACUCUACUAGCAUGACUCUAAUAUCACCAUCUCCAUAUCUCAAAACAAUUAUCAAGUAUCAAACUUCUCAUAGUAUUCAACACACUCAUAAGAGAAUUUCAUUAUUCUUGAAUACCUAGCAUAUUAGGAUUUUAAGCAAAUUACCAUGCUAUUUAAGACUCUAAAAAUAAGUGAACCAUGAGAGUUCAUCUAUUUCUUCAAAAUAAAACUACCACCAUGCUCUAAAAGAUAUAAGUGAAGCACUAGAGCAAAUGACAAACUACUCUGAAACAUUUUAGUGAAGAUCAAUGAGUAGUCGAAUAAUAAUGCAACUAUGUGAAGACUCUCUAACAUUUAAGAAUUUCAGACCUUGGUAUUUUAUUCAAACAGCAAGAAAAACUAAAUAAAAUAAAAUGACGCUCCAAGGAAAACACAUAUCAUGUGGCGAAUAAAAAUAUAGCUCCAAGUAAAGUUACCGAUGAACGAAGACGAAAGAGGGGAUGCCUUCCGGGGCAUCCCCGAGCUUAGGCUCUUGGAUAUCCUUGAAUAUUACCUUGGGGUGCCUUGGGAAUACCCAAGCUUAGGCUCUUGCCACUCCUUAUUCCAUAGUCCAUCGAAUCCUUACCCAAAACUUGAAAACUUCACAACACAAAACUUAACAGAAAACUCGUAAGCUCCGUUAGUAUAAGAAAGUAAAUCACCACUUCGAGGCUGUAGUGAAAUCAUUCUUUAUUUAUAUUGGUGUUAAACCUACUGUAUUCCAACUUCUAUAUGGUUUAUAAACUAUUUUAAUAGCCAUAGAUUCAUCAAAAUAAGCAAACAACACACGAAAGACAGAAUUUGUCAAAAACAGGACAGUCUGUAGUAAUCUGAAUCAAACGUAUACUUAUGGAACCCCAAAAAUUCUAAAAUAAAUUUAUGGACCUGAGUAAUUUCUCUAUUAAUCAUCUGAAAAAAUAAUUAACUAAAUAUCACUCUCCAAAUAAAAAUGGCAGCAAUUCUCGUGAGCACUAAAGUUUCUGUUUUUGACAGCAUGAUCAACAAGACUUUCCCGAAGUCUUCCCAAAGGUUCUACUUGGCACAAACACUAAUUAAACACAUAAAACCACAUCUAAAAAGAGGAUAGAUGAAUUAUUUAUUACUAAACAGGAACAAAAAGCAAGGAACAAAAAUAAAAUUGGGUUGCCUCCCAACAAGCGCUAUCGUUUAACGCCCCCAGCUAGGCAUGAUGAUUUCAAUGAUGCUCACAUAAAAGAUAAGAAUUAAAACAUAAAGAGAGCAUCAUGAAGAAUAUUACUAGCACAUUUAAGUCUAACCCACUUCCUAUGCAUAGGGAUUUUGUGAGAAAACAACUUAUGGGAACAAUAAUCAACUAGCAUAGGAAGGCAAAACAAGCAUAACUUCAAGAUUUUAAGCACAUAGAGAGGAAAUUUGAUAUUAUUGCAAUUCCUACAAGCAUAUAUUCCUCCCUCAUAAUAAUUUUCAGUAGAAUCAUGAAUGAACUCAACAAUAUAACCAGCACCUAAAUAAUUCUUUUCAUGAUCUACUUGCAUAGAAAAUUUACUACUCUCCACAUAAGCAAAAUUCUUCUCAUUCGGAAUAGUGGGAGUAUCAUAAGAGACUUGAAUACUAUAAAUUGUUUCCACGUUGAAGGAGUAAUGUUCAGAGAAAGGGUACUCAUAAUCAUGACAAGUUUUAUAAAUAUAAUCAUCACUACUCUUUAUAGCAUAAGUUUUAUCACAAUAAUCAUCAUAAGUAGCAACUUUGUUCUCAUCAUAAUCGAUUGAAACCUCUUCCAAGAUAGUGGAUACAUCACUAAAUAAAGUCAUGACCUCUACAAAUCCACUUUCAUAAAUAUUAUAAGAUUCAACAUACUCCAAAAUAGUGGGUUCAUUACUUCCUAAAUUUGACACUCUUCCAAACCCACUUUCAUCAAUAUAAUCAUCGUAAGUAGAAGGCAUGCUAUCAUCAUAACAACUUUGCAUGUCAAAACUUGAGAGGCUAAAAAUAUCAUCAUUAUUAGACAUAGCAUCCCCAAGCUUGGGACAAACAUUAAUUGCAGCAAAUAUAUUCUCAAAUAUGUCAUCCUCAUCAAACAUAGCUUCCCCAAGCUUGGGCCUUUUCAUAUCAUAAGCAUAAUCACUCUCAUCAUUAAUAGUAUAGAUAGCACCAAUAGUAUAGCAAUUAUAAUAUUCUUCCAAGCAAGUGCCAAAAAGAUUUUCAAGAUCAUAAGAAGUGUCAUUAUCUUCCCAAUCAUAAUCAUCACAACAAGCAAUAGGCAUAACGAGAUCAUCAUCAAGUGUAUCAUUUUCAUGAGGCACAUCAAUAAUAGGAGCAACUUUAUUUGGGAGAGAUACCUUUUUACCUCUCUUCCUUUUUCUUUUCUUCUUCUUCACCACAUCAUGUGUGGGUUCAAUCCUCUUUUUGGAGCUCCUUAUUAAUGAGAUUGGUUGAAUAGAGGGCUCCUCUUCGUUACCUGAUUCAUCGUAAGAAAUAAUAAGAGAAUAUUGGGAAGUCUCUUCCCUUUCGUUAGCAUUCUCUUCAUCUUCUAUUUGUUUUAUUUUCUUUAUGUAAUUGGCAAUAUAAGGAUUUUCAAUGAAAUUCACCGCGCAAUACAUAUAAAUUUCCUCUAGAUCAAAAUGAAGAACUUUAUCAAGGGCAAAUUUUGGAAUAUCCUUAGUUCUACGUUUAAUUUCUACAUAACCCAAGAGCAAACUAAGUUCAUUAUGAUGUGCAAGGGAAAUCAAGUCAUCACAAUUUUUGGACACGAUAUGCUCAUGAAAAAAAUUGCAUUGGGUACUAAAAUGAUCACGUUCAUUGCAAAGUUCACAAGUAGGGCUAAGAAAAGAUAAAUUUUCAGCACAUUCAUUUAGCUCUUCUUGCAACAAUUUGGUUUCUAAGUACUUAUGCCUCUUGCAAUAUCUAUCUUCCCUAUUUGGUGUGUACUUGCAAACCCAGUCUACUCCACAAAAAAUUGACAUGUUUAUAGGAGGCAUUUUCAUCAUAACUAGUGCAAUCAUCAUUAGCAUCAUGGAUAUUCAAAGAAUUCGUACUAACAACAUUGCAAUCAUGCUCAUCAUUCAAAUAUUUAGUGCCAAACAUUUUAGAGAUCUCUUCUUCUAGCACUUGAGCACAAUUAUCCUUUCCAUCAUACUCACGAAAGAUAUUAAAACGAUGAAGCGUAUGAGAGAAACUCAAUUCCAUUUUUUUGUAGUUUUCUUUUAUAAACUAAACUAGUGAUAAAACAAGAAACUAAAAGACUCUAUUGCAAGAUCUAAAGAUAUACCUUCAAGCACUCACCUCCCCGGCAACGGCGCCAGAAAAGAGCUUGAUGUCUACUACACAACCUUCUUCUUGUAGACGUUGUUGGGCCUCCAAGUGCAGAGGUUUGUAGGACAGUAGCAAAUUUCCCUCAAGUGGAUGACCUAAGGUUUAUCAAUCCGUAGGAGGCGUAGGAUGAAGAUGAUCUCUCUCAAGCAACCCUGCAACCAAAUAACAAAGAGUCUCUUGUGUCCCCAACAUACCCAAUACAAUGGUAAAUUGUAUAGGUGCACUAGUUCGGCGAAGAGAUGGUGAAACAAGUGGUAUACGGAUAGUAGAUAAAGGUAUUUGUAAUCUGAAAUUAUAAAAACAGCAAGGUAACUAAUGAUAAAAGUGAGCGUAAACGGUAUUGCAAUGUGUGGAAAUAAGGCCUAGGGUUCAUACUUUCGCUAGUGUAAGUUCCCUCAACAAUAAUAACAUAAUUGGAUCAUAUAACUAUCCCUUAACAUGCAACAAAGAGUCACUCCAAAGUCACUAAUAGCGGAGAACAAACGAAGAGAUUAUGGUAGGGUACGAAACCACCUCAAAGUUAUUCUUUCCAAUCAAUCCGUUGGGCUAUUCCUAUAAGUGUCACAAACAGCCCUAGAGUUCAUACUAGAAUAACACCUUAAGACACAAAUCAACCAAAACCCUAAUGUCACCUAGAUACUCCAAUGUCACCUCAAGUAUCCGUGGGUAUGAUUAUACGAUAUGCAUCACACAAUCUCAGAUUCAUCUAUUCAACCAACACAUAGGACCUCAAAGAGUGCCCCAAAGUUUCUACCGGAGAAUCAUGACAAAAACGUGUGCCAACCCCUAUGCAUAGGUUCAUGGGCGGAACCUGCAAGUUGGUCACCAAAACAUACAUCAAGUGAAUCACGUGAUAUCCCAUUGUCACCACAGAUAUCCACGGCAAGACAUACAUCAAGUGUUCUCAAAUCUUUAAAGACUCAAUCCGAUAAGAUUACUUCAAAGGGGAAACUCAAUUCAUUACAAGAGAGUAGAGGGGGGAGAAAACAUCAUAGGAUCCAACUAUAAUAGCAAAGCUCGCGAUACAUCAAGAUCGUAUCACCUCAAGAACACGAGAGAGAGAGAGAGAUCGAACACAUAGCUACUGGUACAUACCCUCAGCCCCGAGGGAGAACUACUCCCUCCUCGUCAUGGAGAGCACCGGGAUGAUGAAGAUGGCCACCGGAGAGGGAUUCCCCCCUCUGGCAGGGUGCCGGAACGGGUCUAGAAUGGAUUUCGGUGGCUACGGAGGCUUCUGGCGGCGGAACUCCCGAUCUAUUCUCCGUUCGGGAAGUUUUAGGAUACGUGGGUAUAUAUGGGUGAAAGGUGUACGUUGGUGGACCGAAGGGGGGCACGAGGCAGGGGGCGCGCCCCCUACCCUCGUGAGCUCCUCCUUCAUCUUCUGACAUAGGGUCCAAGUCUAUCUGGUAGGUUUCCUUCCAGAAAUAACUUCUCCAGUUGAUUUCAUUCCGUUUCGACUCCGUUUGAUAUUCCUUUUCUUCGAAACACUGAAAUAGGCAUAAAACAGCAAAUCUGGGCUAGGCCUCCGGUUAAUAGGUUAGUCCCAAAAAUAAUAUAAAAGUGGAAAAUAAAGCCCAAUAUUGCCCAAAAUAGUAGAUAAUAUAGCAUGGAGCAAUAAAAACUUAUAGAUACAAUUGAGACGUAUCACCUCCGUCUCCCCCGGCAUGCUCCUGGUGGUGCGGAGGUAGGCGAUGCCGUCUAAAGUGAUGGUCGAGCCCUACGGAAGAGCCAUCGACGAAGAAAGGAAAGAAGGAAGAAUGGCGGUGAAGCUCUGCUCGAAGCGGCGGGCGUUGCAGCACGCGGCGGUCGCUAAGGGUAGAGGAAGGAUGAGGAAGCAGGGGAGUGCGAGCGAGAAUGACUUCCGCCGCCCCCUUAUCCCAAUUUAUAACCCAUGAUUCGAAACAUGGGGAAGUGGGAUCGUUUGCGCUCGCCCCUCCCACUUCCCCGCAAUAAAUGCGCACGUACGCGCGCAGUAACUGCAUCGAGAAUGGCAACCGGCCCGCGGACUCUGCACUAAAUCCGCGUGCGUGGGCCGAGGGUGCGCAGCAGCGGGUCCUAUCGCGUGCAUGGCCUGUCAGGCCCCUCUAGCUCCCGAGCACCACAUGGCGCCUGCGCGAAGCCCAAAAGAUCGCCUCAAGAUUCGACGGGCUCUUCGGUUUCCCGCCCCUGUCGGGAUGCCGCGAUCUGGCUUCCGGAAGUUAGCACACAGUGGGUGUUGCCGGACCCGGCGGUCACAAAAUUCGCCUCCUCAGGGGGGAGGGGGAACUGUGAAGGCCCUCCCGCUCGAAGAUGUCAAACCUUCACAACUUUGGGGACUAUUGUUGGGGGGAUGAACCCCAGGGAGGCAACGGAACCCGGAUCCUUUUCAAAAACAAUGGGCCAACAACGCUCCUCAAGCCGGCUCACGCCUGGCCGGGUCGCUCGACCCGGCCGAGACCCUUGACCCGGCCAAAUUCCUCGACCCGGUCCCGGCGGCUGCCGCAAGGCGGCCGAACUCGGCGCACCAAGAUGUCUUCAACAAGCCUGCUUCCCCUUGACGUGUUCUCCAACCCGGCCACUGAUACGUCCACUUUGCAUCAUGCUUUUAUAUCAAUAUUUAUUGCAUUAUGGGCUGUUAUUACACAUUAUGUCACAAUACUUAUGCCUAUUCUCUCUUAUUUUACAAGGUUUACAUAAAGAGGGAGAAUGCCGGCCGCUGGGAUUCUGGGCUGAAAAAGGAGCAAAUAUUAGAGACCUAUUCUGCAUAGCUCCAAAAGUCCUGAAACUUCACGGAAGUCAAUUUCAGAAUAUAUAAUAAAUAUUGAGCGCAAGAAGUUCACCAGGGGGGCCACACCCUGCCCACGAGGGUGGGGGGGCGCGCCCUACCCCCCUGGGCGUGCCCCCCUACCUCGUGGGCCCCCUGGUGGCCCUCCGAUGGCCAUCUUCUCUAUAUGGAGUCUUUCGAUGAGGAAAAAAAUCAUAAGCCAUCUUGCCAAACGAGACUCCGCCGCCACGAGGCGGAACCAAUCUAGGGCUUUGUCGGAGCUGUUCUGCCGGGGAAACUUCCCUCCGGAAGGGGGAAAUCAUCGCCAUCAUCAUCACCAACGCUCCUCUCAUUGGGAGAGGACAAUCUCCACCAUCUCCUCUCAAAACCCUAGUUCAUCUCUUGUAUCCAAUUCUUGUCUCCAAGUCCAGGAUUGGUACCUGUGGGUUGCUAGUAGUGUUAAUUACUCCUUGUAGUUGAUGCUAGUUGGUUUAUUUGGUGGAAGAUCAUAUGUUCAGAUCCUAUAUGCAUAUUAAUACCCCUCUGAUUAUGAAUAUGAAUAUGCUUUGUGAGUAGUUACGUUUGUUCCUGAGGACAUGGGAGAAGUCUUACUAUUAGUAGUCAUGUGAAUUUGGUAUUCGUUCGAUAUUUUGAUGAGAUGUAUGUUGUCUCUCCUCUAGUGGUGUUAUGUGAACGUCGACUACAUGACACUUCACCAUUAUUUGGUCCUAGAGGAAGGCAUUGGGAGGUAAUAAGUAGAUGAUGGGUUGCGAGAAUGACAGAAGCUUAAACCCUAGUUUAUGCGUUGCUUCGUAAGGGGCUGAUUUGGAUCCAUAUGUUUCAUGCUAUGGUUAGGUUUACCUUAAUACUUUUGUUGUAGUUGCAGAUGCUUGCAAUAGAGGUUAAUCAUAAGUGGGAUGCUUGUCCAAGUAAGGGCAGUACCCAAGAACUGGUCCACCCACAUACUAAAUUAUCAAAGUACCGAACGUGAAUCAUAGGAACGUAAUGAAACCUAGCUUGACAAUAUUCCCAUGUGUCCUCGGGAGCGCUUUUCUCUAUAUAAGAUUUUGUCCAGGCUUGUCCUUUACUACAAAAAGGAUUGGGCCACCUUGCUGCACUUUAUUUACUUUUUUUACUUGUUGCUCGUUACCAAUUAUCUUAUCACAAAACUACCUGCUACCUAUAAUUUCAGUGCUUGCAGAGAACACCUUGCUGAAAACUGCUUAUCAUUUCCUUCUGCUCCUCGUUGGGUUUGACACUCUUACUUAUCGAAAGGACUACGAUAGAUCCCCUAUCCUUGUGGGUCAUCAAGAAUCUUUUCUGGUGCUGUUGCCGGGGAGUGAAGCGCCUUUGGUAGGUGGAAUUUGGUAAGGAAAAAUUUAUAUAGUGUGCUGAAAUUUACUGUCACUUGUUACUAUGGAAAGUAAUCCUCUGAGGGGCUUGUUCGGGGUAUCUUCACCCCGACCAGUAGAGCAAAGAGUUGCUCCUCAACCUACUGCACCUACUGAAAAUGAAAAUGAAAAUGUUUGCUUUGAAAUUCCUUCGGGUAUGAUAGAAAAAUUGCUAGCUAAACCUUUUGCAGGAGAUGGAACAACGCAUCCUAAUGAGCACCUAAUAUAUGUGGAUGAAGUUUGUGGAUAAUUUAAGCUUACAGGUGUACCCGGAGAUGUUAUUAAGAAGUAGGUCUUCCCUUUAUCUUUGAAGGAAGAUGCAUUGACAUGGUAUAGGCUAUGUGAUGAUACGGGGUCAUGGAACUACAAACGAUUGAAAUUGGAAUUUCAUCAGAAGUUUUAUCCUAUGCAUCUUGUUCAUCGUGAUCGCAAUUAUAUAUAUAAUUUUUGUCCUCGUGAAGGAGAAAGCAUCGCUCAAGCUUGGGGGGGGGGCUUAAAUCAAUGUUAUAUUCAUGCUCCAAUCAUGAGCUCUCAAGGGAAAUGAUUAUUCAAAAUUUGUAUAGUCGGCUUUCUUAUAACAAUCGCACCAUGCUCGAUACUUCUUGUGCUGACUCUUUUAUGAUGAAGACUAUUGAAUUCAAAUGGGAUUUAUUGGAAAGAAUUAAAUGCAACUCUGAAGAUUGGGACCUCGACGAAGGUAAGGAGUCAGGUAUGACACCUAAGUUUGAUUGUGUUAAUCUUUUAUGGAUACCGAUGUUUUCUGUAAAUUUAGCACUAAAUAUGGACUUGACUCUGAGAUAGUAGCUUCUUUUUGUGAAUCUUUUGCUACUCAUGUUGAUCUCCCUAGGGAGAAGUGGUUUAAAUAUCAUCAUCCCAUAGAAGUAAAAGUAGCUGCACCUAUUAAAGUUGAAGAUCGACAAGAUGGCAAACAGUGCCCCUACACCCGGCGGGUCCCAUGCCCGGAGAACCCGGUGAGCCCUGUCACCCGGCGGGUCCCAGCACUGUCUUUCUGAAUGAUGACAACCCGGCCCCACGGCCUUGUAACAUUACCAUUGUACCCCUGGGGGGUUGACCUAUAAAACCCGCCAGGAACCCUCCAUGCACAGGGGUGAAGAGAUCCGAUCAGUAGAACACACACAUGGAGAGGGAGCAGCCUAAGCCUUGGCCUACAUUCCUUCCUCCCCGAUACAGCUCAAGGAGCAACUCUGUACUAUCACACAUAAACCACACUCGGCAGGACUAGGGGUAUUAUCUCUUCGGAGAGCCCCGAACCUGGGUAUGUCUUGUGUCCCGCGCUCGCUCAUGCAGACCUCGCCUCUGGAGCCCACCAGUGCCCUCGUGCCUCCUCUUCUCUUUAUCCAUCCCUUGGCAUCUGCCGUGAGCCCACCAUGACACAGCGGUACCAUCGUCGUUGUUCCAUAUCUAAAUUAGGCCAAGUAGCAAACGAUGACCUCGCACCGCCGUCGUCGUCCAUGUCGUCAUAGUCGCCUCUGUCUGAGCCAUCGUCGUCGUCGCCACACCGCUUGAGGAAGGCAUCGUGGCGUCCCUUACAUGUCGUGCUUGCGGUGCAGACGCUUCGCUUCCUCCACCUUGCAUCGCCUCUCGCCAACUUGUUGACGGGCCGUGCGCUCAAACUUGACCAUCCCAACUUGGACGCGCUCGGCGUUGAAACGGCACCGGCGCCAAGACAUUCAACGCCACAAUGGUCUUGGACGGAUCAAGAGCCCAAGCCUCCGCAAGCACAGGGUCCUAGAGCACCUAGGUCGGUAGUAACUAGAUUUUGGCGAACGCUGUCGAGCGUUGCGCCCAUCCACUCCCAGCGCGCCUCCACCUCAGAGAGACAUUUAUUGCGUUGCGUGAACCGCAGCCUUAGAGGUAGUGGACAUGGCUCUGUGAUACGUCUCCGACGUAUCUACUUUUCCAAACACUUUUGCCCUUGUUUUGUACUCUAACUUGUAUGAUUUGAAUGGAACUAACCCGGACUAAUUGUUGUUUUCAGCAGAACUACCAUGGUGUUAUUUAUGUGCAGAAACAAACGUUCUCGGAAUGACCUGAAACUUCACAGAGCAACUUUUUGGAAAAUAUAAAAAAUACCUGCAAAAGAUGAAGGCCAGGGGCCCACCACCUGUCCACGAGGGUGGGGGGCGCGCCCCCUACCUCGUGGGUGCCCUGGUGCCUCUCCGACUCCAACUCCAACUCCAUAUAUUGUGUUUCGGGGAGAAAAAAAUCAGAGAGAAGAAUUCAUCAUGUUUUACGAUACAGAGCCAAGACAUUGGACAUUGAGAUCCUAAUGAAGAAAAUGGCAAUGUUGUGGUAGACCAGGACAUUGAGAUCCAUCCUGAGUGGGGUGUCUGGCCUCCCCCACCCCCUCAAGAGCCACCAAUGCUCUAUAACUAUCAGGAGUGGCUUGCGGGUGAAGGUCUGCAGGUAGAUCAUGGCAUCAUACCACCUAAUAAUAUUCAUGACAGUUCUGCAGUUGCUUGGAAUGCCUCAAUCUCCAGGAGUAACAACACAGACUCUAGUGCCACAAUUUCUGACUCUUAUGUUUUGGUUCCUCUCAAUCUCAUGAACCAACACUGGCCACAAGAAGCCUCAAGCUCUGCUCCACAGGAAAUUGGUCCAGUUACUACUGCACUAACUGCUACUGGAACAUCUGCUACAACCUCUGCUGCUCUGGAUUUGAUCCCAGCACCUCCUGCUCUGCCUACCAAUAGGCUUGACAUUUCACUCUCGGUUUCUGCUGCUGGAUUGCAGGUUGACAUGGUUUCUCAUGGGGAUUUCACACCAGCCAUGCUUCUACAUGAUUGUAUUCCAAUGCUCCGGCUCAACACUUAUCUCACUGCAGCAAUCAGGCCUAUCAUUGCAUCUUUUGGCCCCUAGAAUGAUCAUUUUGGUUUCACACAGGAUUCUGUGACUCUUAACAUUACCAUGGCUGAAAAUGCAGGCUCACUCUCUAUUGUUUCUGCUUACAAGGCCACCAAUCAGUUUGGGAGUUCUUCUAGGCGCACUGAGGAAAUUUCUGAAGCUUCUCUCUGGGAGCUUAAUGCACCCCCUGUGCCUGAAACUACACUGUUGCCUGAUGUUAUACCUGCUCUGUCUCUGUAGAGCACUCCUCUGGACAGUGACAUGUUUGAAUCUGAUACCUCCCUCAUAGCUCUGACUGCACCCCCUGCUCAGAACAAUCAGGAAGAUGCUGUUGCAGGGAUGCCGGUUCCUGUAAUUGUGGAUGCAAGUGGUAACUCCUCCCGAAAAGGGAAAUCUGUGGUGCCAAACUGCUCCAUUUCUCUGCGUAGAAGCACCAGAUCCAAUAAGUAUGAUGGCUUCAAGGUGCCCCCACUGACGGACAGCAAGAUCAAGUCAUCCAAAGUUAAGCCGCGACAGGUACCCUCUGCCCUUACCAUCAGGUACACCCCUGCAGAGCAUAUUCCUCCUGCAACACCAAUCCAGGUAAUCCAACAGAUUGGCACCAACCUAUGUGGUAUUCCUGCUGAUGAACUCUCUGAAGAGGCCCUCAUGGCAGCCCAGGAGGAGGAGCCGGCCUCUUCCACCUAAUCUUACUUUGCCUUUCCUAAUAAUAUGCCUCUUUUGGUUUCAUGGAAUGUCCUGUGUUGGAACGUUCACGGUUUAAAUUCAGACGAAAAAUAGCUAGCUCUUUCGAAUGCUAUUGUCUCUAGUGGAUGUGCUAUCGUUUGUUUACAAGAAACAAAGAAGUCAACUUUUGAAUUGUCUUUUGUUAAAUCCAUUUGCCCUUGUAGAUUUGAUCAAUUUGCUUAUGUGCCUUCUCGUGGAGCAUCGGGUGGUAUUGCCACGAUCUGGAACAGUUCCAUAUUCACAGCAGAUGUUCUGUUUACUGAAGACUUUGCUCUGGUUACUCGCUUUCGUUCCACACAAUCAACACAAUGCUGGACGCUUGUUAACAUCUAUGGGCCUUGCCAAGGGGAACAGCGAGUUAACUUCAUAAAUUGGUUAGGAGCUUUGGAUAUUCCGGCAAAUGAGGAUUGGCUUUUUGUGGGUGAUUUCAAUUUUAUUCGUGCACCUGAAAAUAGAAACAAACCAGGUGGUUCAAUGGCUGACAUGAAUACAUUCAAUGACUUAAUCAGAUCACAAUGCCUAAUUGAACUACCAAUAAAAGGCUGCAUGUUUACCUUGAGCAACAUGCAACAAGAUCCUCUUAUUGAACAACUCGAUUGGUUCUUCACAAGCACAAACUGGACAAUAUCUUACCCUAAAACCAUGGUAAAACCACUAGGUAAACAUGUUUCUGAUCAUAUACCUUGUGUGGUUAAUAUUGAAACUGCCAUCCCUAGAUCCAAACUAUUUCGCUUUGAAACAUAUUGGGUCCAACACCCUGGUUUUAUGGAUGUGGUUGCAAAGUCUUGGGCCAAAAAUGUCACAUCCACAAAUCCUGCCACAAAUCUUUGUCGUAAACUUAAAAUUCUACGCAGAGAUCUUAAACAAUGGAGCAAAGGAAUUUCCAAACUCUCUGUGGCAAUUGAGAAUUCUAAUAAAGCUCUCUGCGAGAUCGAUGAAUUGGAAAAUAAACGUUCAUUAACUGUCCCGGAGAAUAACUUCGGAGAAAUCCUCAAAAACCAUAUUCUCCGGUUGCUCAGAUAUCAGCAACUCUAUUGGAAAAACGGUGCACCAUACGGUGGGUUAAAUUUGGGGACGAACCAUCAAAAAAUUUCCAGGCAAUGGCUUCGGAAAGGUACAGAAAGAACAAUAUUGCAUCCCUAACUACUACUGAUGGGAUUGUUGUUGAAGAUCACACAGGGAAAGAAUCAAUCAUCUUCCAAACUUUCAAAGAAAGAAUGGGUUCUUCAUCUGGACAUGACAUGAAAUUUGACCUACACAAAAUCAUCAAGAAGUGCCAUGACUUGGAUGCUCUCACUGUCCGCUUUUCAAAUGUCGAGAUUGACAACGUAAUUAGAGAGAUGCCCGCGGACAGAGCACCUGGCCCGGAUGGUUUCACGGGUGUGUUUCUCAAGAAAUGUUGGCCAAUAAUUAAGGAGGACUUCUACAAGCUGUGCCAUCAAUUUCACGAGGGCAAUCUUUCACUUGAGAGCAUUAAUGAUGGGUUCAUCACACUCAUCCCAAAGAUCAGCUCUCCCGAAACGAUCAAUGAUUAUAGACCAAUCAUGCUCUUGAACUGUUGUCUUAAGGUUAUCACGAAGAUCCUGGCCAAUAGAUUACAAAAAGUCAUACUCAAGAUCGUACACCAUAACCAGUAUGGAUUUCUCAAGGGGAGAACUAUUCAAGAUUGCCUUGCGUGGGCAUACGAAUACAUAUAUCAAUGUCAACAAUCCAAGCAGGAAAUUAUGCUCCUAAAACUAGACUUUGCAAAAGCAUUUGACACGAUUGAGCACGAGGCCAUGAUUGACAUUAUGAAAAGCAUGGGGUUUAAUGAUAAGUGGAUAAGCUGGGUUCGAUGCAUAUUCUCCUCAGGUAAAUCAUCAGUGUUACUAAAUGGAACACCUGGUCGGCAAUUUCUUUGUCAAUGUGGAGUACGGCAGGGCGACCCCCUCUCUCCACUAAUUUUUGUACUUGCGGCCGGUCUUCUUCAAGCAGCCAUCAAUGAUGCUUUCCAGCGCAAUCUUAUACGCCUACCAUUUCAUUCAACAAACCAAAAAGAGUAUUCUGUGAUCCAGCACGCCGAUGACACUAUAUUGGUCAUUCCAGCAUGCAUGCAACAAGCUCAGAUUGUCAAGACCAUAUUAACCGACUAUGCCUCCUCAGUUGGACUAAGAAUAAACUUCCACAAGUCUACUCUUAUCCCAAUCAAUUGUGGCCCAGAAAAAAGUGAGGAGAUUGCCAACACCUUCGGAUGUGUCGUGGGGAAAAUGUCAUUCACCCACCUUGGACUGCCACUUGGCACUACUAGACCCUCUGUCCAAGAGCUUAUGCCCCUUGUUUGCUCACUCGAGCGACGGUUAUCUGCCACCCUCAACAUGGUUUCUUAUGGUGGCAAACUAUCGCUUCUAAACUCGGUCAUUACAUCGCUCAUUAUCUUUGCCAUCUGUACUCUGAGACUGCCGACAAAAAUCAUUGAAUUACUGGACAAAAUAAGAAGGAAAUGCAUGUGGAUUAAAAAACGGACCAUGGCGACAAAAAUAACUCCCUUGCCUCCUGGGAAAUGGUGUGUCGGCCCAAGACCAGUGGUGGCUUGGGCGUAUUAAAUCUGCGUGCUCAAGGCGAGGCCCUACUGCUUAAAUACCUUCACAAGUUCUACAAUAAGUGGGACACACCGUGGGUGCAAUUGAUUUGGGACACUUACUACAUUGACCAAAUCCCACAUGCAUCGGACCCAUGUGGAUUGUUUUGGUGGGGAGAUGUGAUCAAGCUAAUACCAACUUACCGGGGUAUCUCUAAGGUGACUGUGGGGAAUGGUGAAAAUGUACUCUUUUGGAAAGACAUGUGGAGAGAGGACAUACUUGCUGACUCAUAUCCUCGAGCACUCUCAUAUGCCAAAAAUGAGGAUCUGUCUGUCCAACAAUUCUUGGGCAUCACCACCCUACAAGAGGCAUUUCAUUUACCACUCUCACCACAAGCACAUGCAGAAAUGAGACAGCUUCAGCUGGAAGUCUCGGAGGUUCAACUCUCCAAUGAGAUUGACAAGUGGACAUACGUUUGGAACACCAAUCUCUUCUCUGCAAAACAAUACUAUACAUUCUACUUCAGAGAAAUUCAAGCACAUGAAUCUUUUGGAUGGAUUUGGAAAUCUAAGUCAACCAUGAAAAUAAAAGUCUUUGGGUGGCUGCUACUUUCUGACCGCCUCAACACCAGGAAUAUGCUAAAGCGAAGGCAUUACAAUAUUGGAGAUGAUUAUGACUGCAUCCUUUGUGGUUUACCAAUUGAGGAGACGUUGGAACAUCUCUUCUUCGAGUGCCACUUCAGCUAUGACUGCUAGUCUCACCUUGGCCUCUCCUGGUCUCAGGGCAGCACAAGACUGGACAACAUCUCCAAAGCAAAACAAGACUGGAAUAGGCCACUCUUUAUGGAACUAUUUUUGUUGGCGGCCUGGAGUAUACGGAAGGAGCGCAACAACAAACACUUUAGAAAUAUCAUACCAUCUAAAACCUCCUGGUUAAGUAGACUUAAGGCUGACUUUUCACUGCUCACCCAUAGGGUUAGAGAGGAGCAAAAACAAUACAUUUCAAUAAUACGUGCAUCCCUGUAAACUAGUACAUGCUUCCCAUCCCCCAAAGGAGGAUGGUUUGUAAUUACAAUGUACAAUCUCACUAACCUAUAUUAAUAUAUAACACAAUGGGAGGUACUCCUACUGUUUCUGAUCAAGAAAAGACAAAUGUUUAUUAUUCAUGCUAUAAUUGUAUUAACCGGAAACAUGAUACAUGUGUGAAUACAUAGACAAACAAAGUGUCACUAGUAUGCCUCUACUUGACUAGCUCGUUGAUCAAAGAUGGUUAUGUUUCCUAGCCAUAGACAAAGAGUUGUCAUUUGAUUAAUGGGAUCACAUCAUUAGGAUAAUGAUGUGAUUGACUUGACCCAUUCCGUUAGCUUAGCACUUGAUCGUAUAGUUUGUUGCUAUUGCUUUCUUCAUGACUUAUACUUGUUCCUAUGACUACGAGAUUAUGCAACUCCCGUUUACCGGAGGAACACUUUGUGUGCUACCAAAUGUCACAACGUAACUGGGUGAUUAUAAAGGUGCUCUACAGGUGUCUCCGAAGGUACUUGUUGGGUUGGCGUAUUUCGAGAUUAGGAUUUGUCACUCCGAUUGUCGGAGAGGUAUCUCUGGGCCCACUCGGUAAUACACAUCACUUAAGCCUUGCAAGCAUUGCAACUAAUGAGUUAGUUGUGGGAUGGUGUAUUAUGGAACGAGUAAAGAGACUUGCCGGUAACGAGAUUGAACUAGGUAUUGAGAUACCGACGAUCGAAUCUCGGGCAAGUAACAUACCGAUGACAAAGGGAACAAUGUAUGUUGUUAUGCGGUUUGACCGAUAAAGAUCUUCGUAGAAUAUGUAGGAGUCAAUAUGAGCAUCCAGGUUCCGCUAUUGGUUAUUGACCAGAGAUGUGUCUCGGUCAUGUCUACAUAGUUCUCGAACCCGUAGGGUCCGCACGCUUAAAGUUUGAUGACGGUUAUAUUAUGAGUUUAUGUGUUUUGAUGUACCGAAGGUAGUUCGGAGUCUCAGAUGAGAUCGGGGACAUGACGAGGAAUCUCGAAAUGGUCGAGACGUAAAGAUCGAUAUGUUGGACAACUAUAUUCGGACAUCGGAAAGGUUCCGAGUGGUACGGGUAUUUUCAGAGUACCGGGGAGUUACGGGAAUAUGGGGAAAAAUAUAUGGGCCUUAUUGGGCUUUAGGGGAGAGAGAGAGGCAGGCCGUGCGCCCUCCAAUGACUAGUCCGAAUUGGACUAGGGGAAGGGGUGGCGCCCCCUCCUUCCCUCUCUUCCCUCUACCCCUUCAUUGUCUCCUACUCCUACUACUUGGAAGGGGGGGAAUCCUACUCCCGGUGGGAGUAGAACUCCUCCAGGGCGCGCCAUAGGGGCCGACCCUCUCCCCCUCCUCCACUCCUUUAUAUAUGUGGCUAGGGGGCACCCCAUAGACACAACAAUUGAUCCCUUGGAUCUCUUACCGUGUGCAGUGCCACCCUCCACCAUAAUUCACCUCGGUCAUAUCGUAGCGGUGCUUAGGUGAAGCCCUUCAUCGGUAGAACAUCAUCAUCGUCACCACGCCAUCGUGCUGACGGAACUCUCCCUCAAAGCUCUUCUGGAUCAGAGUUCAAGGGAUGUCAUCGAGUUGAACGUGUGCAGAACUCGGAGGUGCCGUGCGUUCAGUACUUGAUCGGUUGGAUCAUGAAGACGUACGACUACAUCAACCGCGUUGUGCUAAUGCUUCCGCUUUUGGUCUACAAGGGUACAUGUACAUACUCUCCCCUCUCGUUGCUAUGCAUCACCACGAUCUUGUGUGUGCGUAGAAUUUUUUUAAAAUUACUAUGUUCCCCAACAGUGGUAUCAGAGCCAGGUUUUAUGUGUUGAUGUUAUAUGCGCGAGUAGAACACAAGUGAGUUGUGGGUGAUACAAGUCAUACUGCUUACCAGCAUGUCAUACUUUGGUUCGGCGGUAUUGUUGGAUGAAGCGACCCGGACCGACAUUACGCGUAUGCUUACGUGAGACUGGUUCUAUCGACGUGCUUUGCACACAGGUGGCUGGCGGGUGUCAGUUUCUCCAACUUUAGUUGAAUCGAGUGUGGCUAUGCCCGGUCCUUGAGAAAGUUAAAACAGCACUAACUUGACAAGCUAUCGUUGUGGUUUGGAUGCAUAGGUAAGAAUGGUUCUUGUUCAGCCCAUAGCAGCCACGUAAAACUUGCAACAACAAAGUAGAGGAUGUCUAACUUGUUUUUGCAGGGCAUGUUGUGAUGUGAUAUGGUCAAGACAUGAUGAUAUAUUUUAUUGUAUGAGAUGAUCAUGUUUUGUAACCGAGUUAUCGGCAACUGGCAGGAGCCAUAUGGUUGUCGCUUUAUUGUAUGCAAUGCAAUCGCCCUGUAAUUGCUUUACUUUAUCACUAAGCGGUAGCGAUAGUCGUACAAGCAAUAGUUGGCGAGACGACAACGAUGCUAUGAUGGAGAUCAAGGUGUCACACCGGUGACGAUCGUGAUCAUGACGGUGCUUUGGAGAUGGAGAUCACAAGCACAAGAUGAUGAUGGCCAUAUCAUAUCACUUAUACUGAUUGCUUGUGAUGUUUAUCCUUUAUGCAUCUUAUUUUGCUUUGUUUGACGGUAGCAUUAUAAGAUGACCUCUCACUAAAUUUCAAGAUAAAAGUGUUCUCCCUGAGUACGCACCAUUGCCAAAGUUCGUUGUGCCGAGACACCAUGUGAUGAUCCGGUGUGAUAAGCUCUACGUUCAUCUACAACGGGUGCAAGCCAGUUUUGCACACGUGGAAUACUCGGGUUAAACUUGACGAGCCUAGCAUAUGCAGAUAUGGCCUUGGAACACUGAGACCGAAAGGUCGAGCGUGAAUCAUAUAGUAGAUAUGAUCAACAUAAUGAUGUUCACCAUUGAAAACUACUCCAUUUCACGUGAUGAUCGGUUAUGGUUUAGUUGAUUUGGAUCACGUGAUCACUUAGAUUAUUAGAGAGAUGUCUAUCUAAGUGGGAGUUCUUAAGUAAUUUGAUUAAUUGAACUUUAAUUUAUCAUGAACUUAGUCCUGGUAGUAUUAUCAUAUCUAUGUUGUAGAUCAAUAGCUCGCGUUUAGCUCCCCUGUUUCAUUUUUGAUAUGUUCCUAGAGAAAACUAAGUUGAAAUAUGUUAGUAGCAAUGAUGCAGAUUGGAUCUGUGAUCUGAGGAUUAUCCUCAUUUCUGCACAGAAGAAUUAUGUCCUUGAUGCACCGCUAGGUGACAGACCUAUUGCAGGAGCAGAUGUAGACAUUAUGAACGUUUGGCUAGUGCAAUAUGAUGACUACUUGAUAGUUUAGUGCAUGAUAACCCACAAGUAUAGAGGAUCGCAACAGCUUUCGAGGGUAGAGUAUUCAACCCAAAUUUAUUGAUUCGACACAAGGGGAGCCAAAGAAUAUUCUCAAGUAUUAGCAGCUGAGUUGUCAAUUCAACCACACCUGGAAACUUAAUAUCUGCAGCAAAGUGUUUAGUAGCAAAGUAAUAUGAUAGUGAUGGUAACGGUAACAAAAGAGUAACGAAAGCAAAGUAAUGUUUUUGGUAUUUUGUAGUGAUUGUAACAAUAGCAACGGGAAAGUAAAUAAGCGUAAACUGGUAUAUGGAAAACUCGUGGGCAUCGGAUCAAUGAUGGAUAAUUAUGUCGAAUGCGGUUCAUCAUGUAACAGUCAUAACAUAGGGUGACAUAGAACUAGCUCCAAUUCGUCAAUGUAAUGUAGGCAUGUAUUCCGAAUAUAGUCCUACAUGCUUAUGGAAAAUAACUUGCAUGACAUCUUUUGUCCUACCCUCCCGUGGCAGCGGGGUCCUAAUGGAAACUAAGGGAUAUUAAGGCCUCCUUUUAAUAGAGAACCGGAACAAAGCAUUAGCACAUACUAAAUACAUGAACUCCUCAAACUACGGUCAUCACCGGUAAGUAUCCCGAUUAUUGUCACUUCAGGGUUAACAGAUCAUAACACAUAAUAGGUGACUAUAGACUUGCAAGAUAGGAUCUAGAACUCUCAUAUAUUGAUGAAAACAUAAUAGGUUCAGAUCUGAAAUCAUGGCACUCGGGCCCUGACAAGCAUUAAGCAUAGCAAAGUCAUAGCAACAUCAAUCUCAGAACAUAGUGGAUACUAGGGAUCAAACCCUAACAAAACUAACUUGAUUACAUGGUGAAUCUCAUCCAACCUAUCAUGGUCCAGCAAGCCUAUGAUGGAAUUACUCACGCACGGCGGUGAGCAUCAUGAAAUUUGUAAUGGAGGAUGGUUAAUGAUGACGACAGCGACGAAUCCCCCUCUCUGGAGCCCCGAACGGACUCCAGAUCAGCCCUCCCGAGAGGUUUUAGGGCUUGGCGGCGGUUUCGUAUCGUAAAACACGAUGAUUUCUUCUCUCCUAUUUUUUCUCCCCAAAAGCAGUUAUAUAGAGUUGGAGUUGGAGUCGGGGGGGGGGUCUCCAGGGGGCCCACGAGGUAGGGGGCGCGCCCUAGGGGGGGGCCACCCUCGUGAGAAGGGUGUGGGCCCCGUGAUCUUCAUAUUUGGCGAGGAUUUUUUAUUAUUUAUUGUAAGAUAUUUCAUGGAGUUUGAGGUCAUUCUGAGAACUUUUGUUUUCUGCACAUAAAACAACAUCAUGGCAGUUCAGCUGAAAACAGCAUCAAUCCGGGUUAGUUCCAUUCAAUCAUACAAGUUAGAGUCCAAAACAAGGGCAAAAGUGUUUGGAAAAGUAGAUACGUUGGAGACGUAUCAACUCCCCCAAGCUUAAACCCUUGCUUGUCCUCAAGCAAUUCAGUUGGGAAACUGAAAGAAAUAAAGAAAAACUUUUACAAACUCUGUUUGCUCUUGUUGAUGUAAAUAUUUCAAGCUAGUCUUUCAAGUUUUCAGCAAAGAUUAUAACUAACCACAUUUGCAAUAAUUCUCAGGUCUCAUGUUUACUCAUAUCAAUAGCAUAAUCAACUAGCGAGCCAUAAUAAUAAAACUCGGAUGACAACACUUUCUCAAAACAAUCAUAAUAUGAUAUAACAAGAUGGUAUCUCGCUAGCCCUUUCUGAGACCGCAAAACAUAAAUGCAGAGCACCUUUAAAGAUCAAGGACUGACUAGACAUUGUAAUUCAUGGUAAAAGAGAUCCAAUCAUAGUCACACCCAAUGUAAACUAACAAUAAUGAAUGCAAAUGACAGCUGUGCUCUCCAGCUAGUGCUUUUUAAUAAGAGGGUGAUGACUCAACAUAAAAGUAAAUGGAUAGGCCCUUCGCAGAGGGAAGCAGGGAUUUGUAGAGGUGCCAGAGCUCGGUUUUGAAAUAGAGGUGAAUAACAUUUUGAGCGGUAUACUUUCAUUGUCAACAUAACAACCAAGAGAUGGCGAUAUCUUCCAUGCUACACGCAUUAUAGGCGGUUCCCAAACAGAAUGGUAAAGUUUAUACUCCCCCUCCACCAACAAACAUCAAUCCAUGGCUUGCUCAAAACAAUGAGUGCCUCCAACAUACAUCAGGUCCCAGGGGGAGUUUUGUUUGCAAUUAUUUUGGUUUAGUUUGCAUAAAGCAUGGGACUGGGCAUCCCGGUGACCAGCCCUUUAUCUCGUGAGUGAGGAGCCGAGUCCACUCCUCUUGAGAAUAACACACCUAACAUGGAAGAUACAAACAACCCUAGUUGAUACAUGAGCUAUUCGAGCAUACAAAACGGGAUUUAAUUUGAAGGUUUAGAGUUUGGCACAUACAAAUUUACUUGGAACGGCAGGUAGAUACCACAUAUAGGAAGGUAUACUUGACUCAUCUGGAUUAACUUUGGGGUUUAAGGGAUGUGGAUGCACAAGCAGUAUUCCCGCUUAGUACAGGUGAAGGCUAGCAAAAGACUGGGAAGCGACCAGCUAGAGAGCAACAACAGUCAUGUACAUGCAUUAAAACUAAUAAACAAUGGAUGCAAGCAUGAGUAGGAUAUAAUCCACCAUGAACAUAAAUAUCGUGAAGGCUAUGUUGAUUUGUUUCAACUACAUGCUUGAACAUGUGCCAAGUCAAGUCACUUAAAUCAUUCAUAGGAGGAUACCACCCUAUCAUACCACAUCAUAACCAUUUUAAUAGCAUGUUGGCACACAAGGUAAACCAUUAUAACUCAUAGCUAAUCAAGCAUGGCACAAGCAACUAUGAUCUCUAAUUGUCAUUGCAAACAAGUUUAUUCAUAACAAGCUGAAUCAAGAACGAUGAACUCAUCAUAUUUACAAAAACAAAAGAGGUCGAGUUCUUACCAGCUUUUCUCAUCUCAGUCAGUCCACAUAUAUCAUCAUAAUUGUCUUUCACUUGCACGACCGAACGAUGUGAAUAAUAAUAAGAGUGCACGUGCAUUGGACUAAGCUGGAAUCUGCGAGCAUUCAAUAAACAGGAGAAGACAAAGCAAUAUGGGCUCUUUUGUCAGGUAAACAAUAAUGCAUAUAAGAGCCAUUUCAACAAUUUAAUCAUGGUCUUCUCCUACUGACCCCCAAAGAAAGAAAAAGAAAUAAAACUAUUUACACGGGAAAGCUCCCAACAAGCAAAAGAAGAACAGGAAAUAUUUUUGGGUUUUCUUUUUAAUUACUACUACAAGCAUGGAAAGUAAAUUAAUUAAAAGCUACAACUAAUUUUUUUGGUUUUUUUCUUAAGGUUUAUUAAACACAUAAGAAGAAAGAAUAAAAAGGAAAAUAAACUAUCAUGGAUGAUACAAUGAAAAAGUAUGAGCACUGACAUCUAGCAAUGAGUGUGUGUGAACAUAAAUGUAAUGUCGGUGAGAAAUAUGUACUCCCCCAAGCUUAGGCUUUUGGCCUAAGUUGGUCUAUGGCCACGGCUGGCCUGGCGGAUAUCCAUAAUAAUAGUUGGGGUCAUACUGCGAUGAGGAAGAAGAAGGCUCCGAUUGCCACUGGUUGGCAAUCAUCUUCGGAUCGCACUGAUAGUUAGACUGUCGUGAAGGAUCAAAUUGUGGUUCCGGUUCUGGCUCCUCGGCUGGUGCAGGGUUCCGGUAGGCGUGGAUAGCCGUCAACGGAACAAGGUACUUGCCUACAAUCAAAUCAAACAAAGCAGGAGCAGGCAGGGUAAUAGUCUCAGGAUGAUGUUUAUUAAAGAACAAUUGAUAUUUAAGCUCUCUUGCCCUAUUCUUAACAAUAAAAUCAUGUGCCACCAUACUUUUAUAAUCUAAAUAAACACGGGGUAGCACUUUUUCUUCCUUCUCAGCAUGCCUAAUAGCUAUGUUAAAAUGUGCAGCUAGGCGUGUAGCAUAGAUUCCUCCAAAGAUGGGACCCUUAGUACGGUUCAUACUUAACUGUCUAGCAAUAUUUCCGCCCAUACUUGUUAUCACUGUAUAAACCUUGGAGCAAAAUAAUAAUAUCAGGGAUACUAAGGUUUCCACAGUUUCCGCGACCAAUUAAGCAACGACUAGCAAAUAAUGCAAAGUAACGUAAGACAGGAAAAUGUAUGCUAGUGAUUCGUGCAUCGAAAAACUUCCUAGUUUCCCCUACCGUGAUAGUAUUAAUAAAUCCCUCCACAUCAUCACGAUGUGGUUCUUCUGUCUUGCCCUCAAAAGGGACUAAACAAAUCCGACAAAAAUCAUAAAGUGACAUCUCCUUAUGCUCAUCAUAUAAAUGAAACUCCACCAUAGGUGGUGAGUUCCUAGAAUGAAAAUGAAAGUUUUGCACAAAGGGAUUUGUGAGCAAGAGAUACUGAUUGCAUUGGUCAUGGAGGAAAGUGAUGAGGCCUGCAUUAUGAGCCAACUCAUGAAAAUCUUCAUAAAUCCCGGCUGCUCUCAAGAAAUCCUCGGAAGGCCAUUCACACGCCCGAACCUCCGCGGUGCAUGGCAAAUUAUACUUAGGCUUCGGUACCUUUUCCUUUGAGCUUUGGCUCGAUGAGCCCCUCAAUAAUCUCAUCAUCAUUUUCUGAAAAAAUCUGAAAUUUUUAGUAACUUCAAAAUAAAAGUAAAGCAAACUCAAUAAUAUUGAUAGCAACUACUCCUACAAGUGCCUAGGGCCUAUAUCAUGCAUCAAAACUACUUUUGACCAUAUAAAUUUGACAUGCAAGCUCAAGAACAGGGUCACCUAAGCAGCAAAAAUUUGCAAUGAAUAAAACACUAGAACAAAAACUAAAUGGACAAAUGGAGGAGUCACAUACCAAGGAACAAUCUCCCCAAGCAGUUUUGUGAGAGGUGCUUUGAGCAAGGAGAUCAAAAAUGGCAGCAAAGUGAGCUUGGACUCGGGUUUGAGUUGGUUUUUCGUGUUUGGGGGAGGAAGAUGAAGUGUGUGGCUGAAAGAAUAAGUGGAGGAGGGCCACUAUGGGCCCACGAGGUAGGGGGCGCCCUCCACCUUCGUGGCAAGGUGGUUGGCCCCCCUGGUGUGUUCUUUGUUCCAUAAAUCCUCAAAUAUUCUAUAAAAAUCAUAUUUAAUUUUUAGGGCAUUUGGAGAACUUUUAUUUUCGAGGUAUUUUUAUAUUGCACGGAUAAUCAGAUAACAGAUAGAAAAUUAUUUAUUUUCACUUUAUUUCAACUAAAUAACAGAAAGUAUAGAGAGGGUAGAGAAGGUUGUGCUUCUAGUUUCAUCCAUCUCAUGCUCGUCAAAAGGAAUCCACUAACAAGGUUGAUCAAGUCUUGUUAACAAACUCAUCCGAUUAACAUGAAACUGGAGAAAUUUCGAAUAACACUAGGUUACCUCAACGGGGAUAUGCACUUCCCCGAUAAUAAGUGUAUCAUAUUUCUUCUUGACAGUAGGAAGAGGAAAUUCAAAACCUCCAAAUAUAAUUGAUGGAAUUUUUCCGAUAGAAUUGAUGCUAUGAACUUGAGGUUGUUUUCUCGGAAAGUGUACCGUAUGCUCAUUACCAUUAACAUGAAAAGUGACAUUGCCUUUGUUGCAAUCAAUAACAGCCCCUGCAGUAUUAAGAAAAAGUCUUCCAAGAAUAAUAGACAUACUAUCGUCCUCGGGAAUAUCAAGAAUAACAAAGUCCGUUAAAAUAGUAAUGUUUGCAACCACAAUAGGCACAUCCUCACAAAUACCGACAGGUACAGCAGUUGAUUUAUCAGCCAUUUGCAAACCUAUUUCAGUAGGUGCCAACUUAUUCAAAUCAAGUCUACGAUAUAAAGAGAGAGGCAUAACACUAACACCGGCUCCAAGAUCACAUAAAGCAGUUUUAACAUAGUUUCUUUUAAUGGAGCAUGGUAUAGUAGGUACUCCUGGAUCUCCAAGUUUCUUUGGUAUUCCACCCUUAAAAGUAUAAUUAGCAAGCAUGGUGGAAAUUUCAGCUUUCGGUAUCUUUCUUUUAUUUGUAAUAAUAUCUUUCAUGUACUUAGCAUAAGGAUUGGUUUUGAGUAUAUCAGUUAAUCGCAUUCGUAAAAAGAUAGGUCUAAUCAUUUCAGCAAAGCGCUCAAAAUCCUCAUCAUCCUUUUUCUUGGAUGGUUUGGGAGGAAAGGGCAUGGGUUUCUGAACCCAAGGCUCUCUUUCUUUACCAUGUUUCCUAGCAACAAAGUCUUUCUUAUCGUAACGUUGAUUCUUUGAUUGUGGGUUAUCAAGAUCAACAGCAGGUUCAAUUUCUACAUCAUUAUCAUUACUAGGUUGAGCAUUAUUAUGAACAUCAUCAUUAACAUUUUCAUUAGGUUCAUGUUCAUUACCAGAUUGUGUUUCAGCAUCAGAAAUAGAAAUAUCAUUUGGAUUAUCAGGUGGUUCAGCAAUAGGUUCACUAGAAGUUUGCACAGCUCUAUCAUUUUUCUUUUUCUUCUUUUUAGAAGAACUAGGUGCAUCAAUUUUAUUUCUCUGAGAAUCUUACUCAAUUCUCUUAGGGUGGCCUUCAGGAUACAAAGGUUCCGGAGUCAUUCUACCAGUUCUAGUAGCCACUUUAACAACAUAAUUAUUUUUCUUACUAUUCAUCUCAUUGAGCAAUUCUUUUUGAGCUUUAAGUACUUGUUCUACUUGAGUGGUAACCAUAGAAGCAUGUUUGCUAACAAGUUUAAGUUCACCUCUAAUAUUAGCCAUAUAAUCACCCAAGUAUUUAAUCAUAUCAGCAUCUUGUUUUAAUUGUCUACCAAAAUAAGCAUUGAAGUCUUCUUGCUUAAAGAUAAAAUUAUCAAACUCAUCCAAGCAUUAACUAGCAAUUUUAGUAGGAGGGAUUUCAGCUUUAUCAUAUCUAUAGAGAGAAUUUACCUUUACUACCUAUGUCGGGUUAUCGAGGUCUGGAGGUUCUUCAAUAAAUAAAGGAUUAAGAUCAUAUGUUUCUUCAACAAGCGGUAAAUUAAGACCACGUAUUUCUUCAAUAGGAGGUAAAUUCUUAAUAUCUUCAGCUUUAAUACCUUUUUCUUUCAUAGAUUUCUUUGCCUCUUGCAUAUCUUCAGGACUGAGAAAUAGAAUACCUCUCUUCUUCGGAGUUGGUUUAGGAAUAGGAUCAUUAAUUGGAGCAGGAGCUGGCUCAGGAGGUUCCCCAUUAUUUUCAUUUGUCAACAUAUUAUUCAAUAAGAUUUCAGCUUCAUCUGGUGUUCUUUCCCUGAAAAGAGAACCAGCAGAACUAUCCAGGUAAUCUCUGGAAGCAUCGGUUAGUCCAUUUUAAAAGAUAUCAAGUAUUUCAUUUUUCUUAAGAGGAUGAUCAGGCAAAGCAUUAAGUAACUUGAGAAGCCUCCCCCAAGCUUGUGGAAGACUCUCUUCUUUAAUUUGCACAAAGUUGUAUAUUUCCUUUAAAGCAGCUUGUUUCUUAUGAGCAGGGAAAUAUUUAGCAGAGAAGUAAUAGAUCAUAUCCUGGGGACUACGCACACAACCAGGAUCAAGAGAAUUAGACCAUAUCUUAGCAUCACCCUUUAAUGAGAAUGGAAAUAUUUUAAGGAUAUAAAGGUAGCGAGAUCUCUCAUCAUUAGUGAACAAGGUAGCUAUAUCAUUUAAUUUAGUAAGAUGUGCCACAACAGUUUCAGAUUCAUAACCAUGAAAAGGAUCAGAUUCAACCAAAGUGAUUAUACCAGGAUCAACAGAAAAUUCAUAAUCCUGAUCAGCAACACAGAUAGGUGAAGUAGCAAAAGCAGGAUCAGGUUCAUCCUAGCAUUUAGAGAUUGCUUAUUCCAUUUAGCUAAUAACCUUUUGAGUUCAUAUCUAUCUUUGCAAGCUAAAAUAGCUAAAGAAGCAUCUUGAUCAAAUAAAUAACCCUUGGGAAUAACAAGUGAUUCUUCAUCAUCACUUUCAUCCUCAUAAUCAGAUUCAAUAUUUUCAAUCUCUCUAGCCCUAGCAAUUCGUUCCUCGAGAAAAUCACUAAGUGGCAUAGUAGUAUCAGGCAUAGAGGUAGUUUCAUCAUAAGUAUCAUGUAUAGCAGAAGUAGCAUCAUCAAUAACAUGCGACAUAUUGCUACCUCUUGAGCACUGCGUUGGAUUUCCCCGAAGAGGAAGGGAUGAUGCAGCAAAGUAGCGUAAGUAUUUCUGUCAGUUUUUGAGAACCAAGGUAUCAAUCCAGUAGGAGGCUACGCUCGAGUCCCUCGUACCUACACAAAAACAAUAGCUCAACGCAACCAACGCGCUUAGGGGUUGUCAAUCCCUUCAUGGUCACCUACGAAAGUGAGAUCUGAUAGAGAUGAUAAUAUUUUUUGGUAUUUUUGGUAUAGAGAUGCAAAGUAAAUAAAAUAAAAGCAAAGUAAAAGCAAAGAAAUAAUAAAGUGGUGGAGAUUUAUAUGAUGAGAAAGAGACUCGGGGCCAUAGGUUUCACUAGUGGCUUCUCUCAAGAGCAUAAGUAUUCUACGGUGGGUGAACAAAUUACUAUUGAGCAACUGACAGAAUUGAGCAUAGUUAUGAGAAUAUCUAGGUAUGAUCAUGUAUACAGGCAUCACGUCCGAGACAAGUAGACCGAAAUGAUUCUGCAUCUACUACUAUUACUCCACUCAUCGACCGCUAUCCAGCAUGCAUCUAGAGUAUUAAGUUAAAAACAGAGUAACACCUUAAGCAAGAUGACAUGAUGUAGAGGGAUAAUUUCAUGCAAUAUGAUAAAAACCCAUCUUGUUAUCCUCGAUGGCAAGGACACCGCAAGAUUGAACCCAAAGCUAAGCACUUCUCCCAUGGCAAGAAAAAUCAAUCUAGUAGGCCAAACCAAACUGAUAAUUCGAAGAGACUUGCAAAGAUAACCAAUCAUACAUAAAAGAAUUCAGAGAAGAUUCAAAUAUUAUUCAUAGAUAGACUGGAUCAUAAACCCACAAUUCAUCGGUCUCACCAAACACACCGCAAAAAGAAGAUUACAUCAAAUAGAUCUCCACGAGAGAGGGGGAGAACAUUGUAUUGAGAUCCAAAAAGAGAGAAGAAGCCAUCUAGCUACUAGCUAUGGACCCGUAGGUCUGAAGUAAACUACUCACACUUCAUCAGAGGGGCUUGGAUGAUGAUGUAGAAGCCCUUCAUGAUCGAUGCCCCCUCCGGCGAAGCUCCGGAACAGGCCCCAAGAUGGGAUCUCGUGGAUACAGAAAGUUGCGGCGGUGGAAUUAGGUUUUUGGCUCCGUCCCCGAUCGUUUGGGGGUACGUGGAUAUAUAAAGGAGGAAGAAGUACGUCGGUGGAGCUUCGAGGGGCCCACGAGGCAGGGGGCGCGCCCUAGGGGGGCGCCCCUACCCUUGUGACCACCUCGUGGCUUUCUUGACAGAGGGUCCAAGUCUCCUGGAUCGUAUCUGAUGAGUAAAUCACGUUUCCGAAGGUUUCAUUCCGUUUGGACUCCGUUUGAUAUUCCUUUUCUCCGAAACCCUAAAACAGGCAAAAAACAGCAAUUCUGGGCUGGGCCUCCGGUUAAUAGGUUAGUCCCAAAAAUAAUAUAAAAGUGGAAAAUAAAGCCCAAUAAUGUCUAAAAUAGUAGAUAAUAUAGCAUGGAUCAAUCAAAAAUUAUAGAUACGUUGGAGAUGUAUCACAUAUCAGAACGAAUAGCAGAAGCAGGUUUAGGUGUCGCAAGCUUACUCAUAACAGAAGGUGAAUCAAGUGCAGAGCUAGAUCGCAGUUCCUUACCUCCCCUCGUAGUUGAGGGAUAGAUCUUGGUUUUUGGAUCUCUCAAGUUCUUCAUAGUGUCCAGCAGAUAUAAAUCCCAGGUGACUCAAAGAAUAGAGCUAUGCUCCCCGGCAACGACGCCAGAAAUUGGUCUUGAUAACCCACAAGUAUAGGGGAUCGCAACAGCUUUCGACGGUAGAGUAUUCAACCCAAAUUUAUUGAUUCGACACAAGGGGAGCCAAAGAAUAUUCUCAAGUAUUAGCAACUGAGUUGUUAAUUCAACCACACCUGGAAACUUAAUAUCUGCAGCAAAGUGUUUAGUAGCAAAAUAAUAUGAUAGUGAUGGUAACGGUAACAAAAGAGUAACGAAAGCAAAGUAAUGUUUUUGGUAUUUUGUAGUGAUUGUAACAAUAGCAACGGGAAAGUAAAUAAGCGUAAACCAGUAUAUGGAAAACUCGUAGGCAUCGGAUCAAUGAUGGAUAAUUAUGCCGGAUGCAGUUCAUCAUGUAACAGUCAUAACAUAGGGUGACACAGAACUAGCUCCAAUUCGUCAAUGUAAUGUAGGCAUGUAUUCCGAAUAUAGCUAUACAUGCUUAUGGAAAAGAACUUGCAUGACAUCUUUUGUCCUACCCUCCCGUGCCAGCGGGGUCCUAAUGGAAACUAAGGGAUAUUAAGGCCUCCUUUUAAUAGGGAACCGGAACAAAGCAUUAGCACAUAGUGAAUACAUGAAAUCCUCAAACUACGGUCAUCACCGGUAAGUAUCCCGAUUAUUGUCACUUCGGGGUUAACGGAUCAUAACACAUAAUAGGUGACUAUAGACUUGCAAGAUAGGAUCUAGAACUCUCAUAUAUUGAUGAAAACAUAAUAGGUUCAGAUCAAAAAUCAUGGCACUCGGGCCCUAGUGACAAGCAUUAAGCAUAGCAAAGUCAUAGCAACAUCAAUCUCAGAACAUACUGGAUACUAGGGAUCAAACCCUAACAAAACUAACUCGAUUACAUGGUGAAUCUGUAGCGACCCGACCCGAAUGGAUCAAGUCUCUGUGCUUAAGUGUCAUCCCUGGAUCGGUAUGCUGACACACAGUACUCGAGGAUUUAUAACAGAGGUAAAUCACAUGUAAAAGUAACGUAAAUACUAUUACCUCAAUCCAAAUAGCGGAAGUAACAAGGUUGUGGAUUCCCAUCAACACCAACGGCAAAGUUGAGUGUAGAAAUCGUAACCCUAACGUAUCACUUACUCGUCGUAAGAUCUCCUGCAACAUGAGACGUUGCAGCCACAAAGGGUUAGUACAUUGAAUCUACUAGCAAAUUCACACUAUAGAGCAAUGAUGAAUAAUGGCUAUCACUACAUGCAUAUAUGGCUGGUGGAAAAGCUCUACGGUUAUAAGGUUUUUGCGAAAAGCCAAUUUUUCCCUACUGCAAAGGAAUAAAUUUUAUUUAACUAUCAUGGUGGUUGUUGAACAUUGAGAAUGGUUGACAGCAUUCUCAAUCCCAAUUAAGUAACAUCAUUAAACCCAACAACUUAAUUUAAAGUAACAUGAUGAGAUUCACAUGAUAAUCCAAGUACUAGAUACUCAAGAUGUCCAUAACCGGGACACGGCUAACCAUGAUUAGUUUAUACACUCUGCAGAGGUUUGCGCACUUUUCCCCACAAGACUCGAUCGCCUCCGUUUGGUUUCUCGCACUACAUGGUGUUUGAGAAACAGAUGACCGAGACAUAGUCUUUUAGAAGAGCUUGCACCUUACGAUGGAUAGACCGUUACACCUACUUUCCCCUACAUCUGCUAGUCUACCCUGUAAGAGUUCGCACGACUUAAUCAACUAUGCUAGAGCCCAUAAUAGCUUGUGGCUGCACAUGGAAGUUUCUAGUAUGAAUAAUCUCAUGAUCCCUUUGAGCCUGGGUGGCGGUCCAUAAAAUAACAGGCAAUCCUGGUCUACCCAGGUGCCUAGACAGGCAAUCCUGGAAUACCCAGGUACCUCAAUCCACCUAGAUGUGUGUUUAAGUUGCCACCUUAAGUAAAUCAUUAAUUAACCAUCUCACAUCUGUCAUGAAUACUCUCAAAACCCAAUCCACGUCUACGAGCAUAGCAUGGCACUAUAAGCAUAACGUAAUAGUAACUCCCAAGGUUUGAAUGCAGGGCAAAUAGGUUCCUGCCUCAUCAACUACUUCCCAAUACCCACAUGUUAUCAAUCCUACUCAUGCAAUGUUUGAGGGUGAAACUAAUGCAUAAAAACUGGGUAUGAAAGGAAUAUGAUCAAAGUGUGAACUUGCCUGCAAUGUUGAUGAAGAUGAUUCGCACUCAUAACUCUUGAUAGUUCUACUCAUCACACUCCGGUCAAUCUAUCGUAAGCAAGCAAUAGUAACCACACAUAAGCAAUCACUCAAAGAUCGGAGAGAACAAUGAAAACAAUUCGGAAAACGUCAAAACCAAGCAAAUAACUCUUGCAACAUAAAACAAUUUCUAACAGUACCAAAAUUAGAUGAAUUUGGCCUUAUCAGAAAGUUUAGGUCAAGAUCUUCGAUUUGCAAAAAGAAUCAACUCAAACGGAGCUACUAAACUCAAGUUAUGAACAAACGAAGUUUGAAUACAAAUCUGAUCUAAUUCAAAUUUUAAAACUUUCAAAAACAUGUUUGAGUUGUUUUAAUGGAUAGAGGAGUUCGUAACGAAGACGUGAGCGUUGGUUUCAUUGGAUUUGGACUAACGAGUAAAAAGUUGUGAUCGUUUGAAGAUUAGGGACUAAUCUGUAAAGAAAAACAUCACGGAUAGGUCCCUGGCCGAAUUUAAAGGAAAAAGGGGAAAUUCUAAAUAACGAACGUUUGUUACCGAACGCUAACGAAUGAAUUCGUUCGCUGCGAAGGGAUAAACAGCGAACGUGCACACAAUAGGACUAACUAAAAAAACCGAUCUAAUAUAAAACCGAACUAAAAAAACGAGGCGGGUUACGGUUUAUACCGAUUCACCUAAAAGAACCGGCGACGGCGGUGGUUACUCCGGCGAGACGGGAUGGCGGUGCGGCGGCUCCGGCGUGGUGCGGCAGCGACUUGCGGCGCGGGGCAAGGUGGCGGCGCAAGCGGCAGCAGCAGCAGCUGCAGCGGUGGCGAGUGGUGGCGAGGGCGUUGGGCGGCGGCGGCGCUAGAUCCGAGCGGCAGCGGCGGGAGCGAGCGGCGGCUCGGUGCGAGGAGAGAAAGGCGGGGCCCGGGGCCUCGGGUAUUUAAGGAGAGGGGCGAGGGAUGGCGUGGGGGAGGGGUAAGAGGAGGCCGGCGGCAGCACGGAGGCGGCGGCGAUGCCGUGGCGGCUCGGGACUCUGUCCCGAGCUCAGGGACAAGCGGGGCGCGGUGACGGGCCGGUUGGUCGUGGCCUGGCGACUGGGCCGGCCCGGUCCGAUCGGUCCUAAGUUUUUUUUUUACAUUUACUUAGACAAAUAAAAAAACAGAAAAAAGGAAUAUAUUAUAUAGGCAUAUAAUAUAUCAAAAUUUCCAGAAAAAGAUUUCCUACAAGGUGAACAUUUUCCUAACAUCAAAUAAAAUACACACAAAUUCAGAUAAUUCAAAGAGUGCUACUGCCCUAAUAAAAUCCAAUAAAAACCAUUUUAAAAAUACCAAAAUUAGUUCAAAUUUAUUUCUCUCCAAUUUUCUGUUGUAGGGAAUCAUGUUACCCUAAUUUCCAUAUAUUUUAUUUUUGGAGAAAAGUAAUUUGAAUAAAACUCAAAUAAUUCCAAAUUGAAAAUAAUUUCAAAAGGACUUUGAAUUUGAUCCUUGAAACUCCCAACUCAUAUUUCAUAUAUUUUGAAGAAGUCAUUUUAUCUUCUCUCAUGAAAAUCAUUGAGUUGCUUGAAUUUUAUAAAUUUGAAAUAUUUUCAAAUGAAAUUCAAAUAUUUUCAACAACCCUUUUCAUUUACUUAAAUGGAAGAAGUCAUGUCAUCUUCUCUUGAGGGUUUUGUAUUUGAAAAGAAUUUGAACUCACGGAGAUCAAAAUGCAAAAGGUGAAAGUUUGGGAAAGUCCUUUUAUUCCCUCUCAUUUAACUUUCAAAAAGUUCGAAUUCACUCACUUUCAGUCAAUCAAUCCAACAAUCAAUCAAUUCUAUCUAUUUAAUAUAACAUUCCAAAAUUUAGAAUUUUGGGAUGUUACAGAAUCUCAUCCAACCAAUCACCGUCCAGCAAGCCUACGAUGGAAUUACUCACGCACGACGGUGAGUAUCAUGAAAUUGGUGAUGGAGGAUGGUUGAUGAUGACGACGGCGACGAAUCCCCCUCUCCGGAGCUCCGAACGGACUCCAGAUCAGCCCUCCCGAGAGGUUUUAGGGAUUGGCGGCGGCUCCGUAUCGUAAAACGCGAUGAUUUCUUCUCUCUUAUUUUUUUCUCCCCGAAAGCAGUUAUAUAGAGUUGGAGUCGGGGGGUCUCCAGGGGGCCCACGAGGUAGGGGGGCGUGCCCUAGGGGGGGCGCCCCCACCCUCGUGAAAAGGGUGUGGGCCCCCUGGUCUUCAUCUUUGGCGAGGAUUUUUUAUUAUUUAUUGUAAGAUAUUCUGUGGAGUUUUAGGUCAUUCCGAGAACUUUUGUUUUCUGCACAUAAAACAACAUCAUGGAAAUUCUGCUGAAAACAACGUCAGUUCGGGUUAGUUCCAUUCAAAUCAUACAAGUUAGAGUCCAAAACAAGGGCAAAAGUGUUUGGAAAAGUAGAUACGUUGGAGACGUAUCAGUGCACCAUGCUUAACAGCUUAGAAUCGGGACUUCAAAGACGUUUUGAGCGUCAUGGAUCAUAUGAGAUGUUCCAGGAGUUGAAGUUAAUAUUUCAAGAAAAUACCUGAGUUGAGAGAUAUGAAGUCUCUAGCAAAGUUCUAUAGCUAAAAGAUGGAGGAGAAUAGCUCAAGCAGUGAGCAUGUGCUCAGAUUGUCUGGGUACUACAAUGCUUGAAUCAAGUGGGAGUUAAUCUUCCAGAUAAAAUAGUGAUUGAAAGAAUUCUCUAGUCACCAUCACCAAGUUAGUAGAACUUCGUGAUGAAUUAUAGUAUGCAAGGGAUGACGUAAACGAUUCCCGAGCUUUUCAUGAUGAUGAAAUCGAUGAAGGUAGAAAUCAAGAAAGAGCAUCAAGUGUUGAUGAUUAACAAGACCACUAGUUUCAAGAAAAGGGCAAAGGGAAAGAAAGGGAACUUCAAGAAGAAUGGCAAGCAAGUUGCUGCUCAAGUGAAGAAGCCCAAGUCUGGACCUAAGCCUGAGACUAAGUGCUUCUACUGCAAAGGGACUGGUCACUGGAAGCGGAAAUGCCCUGAAUAUUUAGUGGAUAAGAAGGAUGGCAAAGUGAACAAGGGUAUAUUUGAUAUACAGGUUUUUGAUGUGUACCUUACUAGUAUUUAUAGUAGCCCCUGGGUAUUUGAUACUUGUUCGGUUGCUAAAAAUUAGUAACUCGAAAUAGGAGUUACAGAAUAAAUAGAGACUAGUUAAGGGUGAAGUGACGAUGUGUGUUGGAAGUGGUUCCAAGAUUGAUAUGAUCAUCAUGGCACACUCCCUAUACUUUCGAGAUUAGUGUUAAACCUAAAUAAAUGUUAUUUGGCAUUUGCGUUGAGCAUGAAUAUUAUUUGAUCAUGUUUAUUGCAAUACGGUUAUUCAUUUAAAAUUAGAGAAUAAUUGUUAUUCCGUUUACAUGAAUAAAACCUUCGAUGGUCAUAUACCCAAUGAAAAUAGUUUGUUGGAUCUCGAUCAUAGUGAUACACAUAUUCAUAAUAUUGAUGCCAAAAGAUGCAAAGUUGAUAAUGAUAGUGCAACUUAUUUGUGUUACUGCCAUUUAGGUCAUAUCGGUGUAAAGCGCAUGAAGAAAAUCCAUGCUGAUGGGCUUUUGGAAUCACUUGAUUAUGAAUCAGUUGAUGCUUGCGAACCAUGCCUCAUGGGUAAGAUGACUAAGACUCCGUUCUCCGGAACAAUGGAGCGAGCAACAGACUUGUUGGAAAUAAUACAUACUGAUGUAUGCAGUCCGAUGAGUGUUGAGGCUCGCGGCGGGUAUCGUUAUUUUUCUGACGUUCACUGAUGAUUUGAGUAGAUAUGGGUAUAUCUACUUGAAGAAACUUAAGUCUGAAACAUUUGAAAAGUUCAAAGAAUUUCAGAGUGAAGUGGAAAAUCAUCGUAACAAGAAAAUAAAGUUUCUAUGAUCUGAUCGUAGAGGCGAAUAGUUGAGUUACGAGUUUGGCCUUCAAUUAAAACAAUGUGGAAUAGUUUCACUAACUCAUGCCACCUGGAACACCACAGCGUAAUGGUGUGUCCGAACGUCAUAACCAUACUUUAUUUGAUAUAGUGCAAUCUAUGAUGUCUCUUACCGAUUUACCACUAUCGUUUUGCGGUUAUGCAUUAGAGACAGCUGCAUUCACAUUAAAAAGGGCACCAUCUAAAUCUGUUGAGACGACACCGUAUGAACUAUGGUUUAGCAAGAAACCUAAGCCGUCGUUUCUUAAAGUUUGGGGUUGCGAUGCUUAUGUGAAAAAGUUUCAUCUUGAUAAGCUCAAACCCAAGUCAGAGAAGUGCGUCUUCAUAGGAUACCCAAAAGUAACUGUUGGGUACACCUUCUAUCACAGAUCCGAAGGCAAGAUAUUUGUUGCUGAGAAUGGAUCCUUUCUAGAGAAGGAGUUUCUCUCGAAAGAAGUGAGUGGGAGGACAGUAGAACUUGAUGAGGUAACUGUACCUGCUCCCUUAUUGGAAAGUAGUUCAUCACAGAAAUAUGUUUCUAUGACUCCUACACCAAUUAGCGAGGAAGCUAAUGAUGAUGAUCAUGUAACUUCAGAUCAAGUUAGUACCGAACCUCGUAGGUCAACCAGAGUGAGAUCCGCACCAGAGUGGUACGGUAAUCCUGUUCUGGAGGUCAUGUUAAUUGACCAUGACGAACCUACGAACUAUGAGGAAGCGAUGAUGAGCCCAGAUUCCGCGAAAUGGCUUGAGGCCAUGAAAUCUGAGAUUGGAUCCAUGUAUGAGAACAAAGUAUGGACUUUGAUUGACUUGCCUGAUGAUCGAUGAGUCAUUAAAAAUAAAUGAAUCUUCAAGAGGAAGACAGACGCUGAUAGUAGUGUUACUAUCUACAAAGCUCGAAUUGUCGCAAAGUGUUUUCGACAAGUUCAAGGUGUUGACUACGAUGAGAUUUUCUCACUCGUAUCGAUGCUUAAAAGUUUGUCCGAAUCAUGUUAGCAGUUGCCGCUUUUUAUGAAAUCUGGCAAAUGGAUGUCAAAACUGUAUUCCUUCAUGGAUUUCUUUUAAAAAAAGAGUUGUAUAUGAUGCAACCAGAAGGUUUUGUCGACCCUAAAGGUGCUAACAAAGUGAGCAAGCUCCAACGAUCCAUCUAUGGACUGGUGCAAGCAUCUCGGAGUUGGAAUAUAUGCCUUGAUAAAGUGAUCAAAGCAUAUGGUUUUAUACAAACUUGCGGUGAAGCCUGUAUUUACAAGAAAGUGAGUGGGAGCACUACAACAUUUCUGAUAAGUAUAUAUGAAUGACAUAUUGUUGAUCGGAAAGAAUGUAGAAUUUUCUGGAAAUAAUAAAGGAGUAUUUGAAAGAAGUUUUUCAAAGAAAGACCUCGAUGAAGCUGCUUACACAUUGAGCAUCAAGAUCUAUAGAGAUAGAUCAAGACGCUUGAUAAGUUAUUUCAAUAAGUACAUACCUUGACAAGAUUUUGAAGUAGUUCAAAAUGGAACAGUCAAACAAGGAGUUCUUGCCUGUGUUGCAAGGUGUGAAGUUGCGUAAAGACUCAAAACCCGACCACAACAGAAAAUAGAAAGAGAAUGAUAAGUCAUUCCCUAUGCCUCAGUCAUAGGUUCUAUAAAGUAUGCUAUGGUAUUUACCAGUCCUAUUGUAUACCUUAGCAUCUUUCUGGCAAGGGAGUACAAUAGUGAUCUAGGAGUAGAUCACUGGACAACGGUCAAAAUUAUCCUUAGAGGACUAAGGAAAUAUUUCUCAGUUAUGGAGGUGAUAAAAGAGUUCGUCGUAAAGAUUUACAUCGAUGCAAGCUUUUUACAUAGAUCUAGAUGAUUCUAAGUCUCAAUCUGGAUACAUAUUGAAAGUGGGAGCAAUUUGCUAGAGUAGCUCCAUGUAGAGCAUUGUAGACAUAGAAAUUUGCGAAAUACAUACGGAUCUGAAUGUUGCAAACCCGUAGACUAAACUUCUCUCACAAGCAAAACAUGAUCACUCUUUGGGUGUUAAUCACAUAGCGAUGUGAACUAGAUUAUAGACUCUAGUAAACCCUUUGGGUAUUAGUCACAUGGAGAUCUGAACUAAUCACAUAAAGAUGUGAACUAGAUUAUUGACUCUAGUGCAAGUGGGAGACUGAAGGAAAUAUGCCCUAAAGGCAAUAAUAAAGUUAUUAUUUAUUUCCUUAUAUCAUGAUAAAUGUUUAUUAUUCAUGCUAGAAUUGUAUUAACCAGAAACAUGAUACAUGUGUGAAUACAUAGAUAAACAGAGUGUCACUAGUAUGCCUCUACUUGACUAGCUCAUUGAUCAAAGAUGGUUAUGUUUCCUAGCCAUAGACAAAGAGUUGUCAUUUGAUUAAUGGGAUCACAUCAUUAGGAGAAUGAUGUGAUUGACUUGACCCAUUCCGUUAGCUUAGCACUUGAUCGUUUAGUUUGUUGCUAUUGCUUUCUUCAUGACUUAUACAUGUUCCUAUGACUAUGAGAUUAUGCAACUCCCAUUUACCGGAGGAACACUUUAUGUGCUACCAAACGUCACAACGUAACUGGGUGAUUAUAAAGGUGCUUUACAGGUGUCUCCGAAGGUACUUGUUGGGUUGGCGUAUUUCGAGAUUAGGAUUUGUCACUCCGAUUGUCGGAGAGGUAUCUCUGGGCCCACUCGGUAAUACACAUCACUUAAGCCUUGCAAGCAUUGCAACUAAUGAGUUAGUUGCGGGAUGAUGUAUUACGAAACGAGUAAAGAGACUUGCACACGCACAUGCAAAACACAAAAUAUCAAUCGUCAUCGAACUUUAUGCGUGCGGACCCUACGGGUUCGAGAACUAUGUAGACAUGAUCGAGACACGUCUCCGGUCAAUAACCAAUAGCGGAACAUGGAUGCUCAUAUUGGUUCCCACAUAUUCUACGAAGAUCUUUAUCGGUCAAACCGCAUAACAACAUACAUUGUUCCCUUUGUCAUCGGUAUGUUACUUGCCCGAGAUUCGAUCGUCGGUAUCUCAAUACCUAGUUCAAUCUCGUUACCGGCAAGUCUCUUUACUCGUUCCGUAAUACAUCAUUCCGCAACUAACUCAUUAGUUACAAUGCUUGCAAGGCUUAUAGUGAUGUGCAUUACCGAGUGGGCCCAGAGAUACCUCUCCGACAAUCGGAGUGACAAAUCCUAAUCUCAAAAUACGCCAACUCAACAAGUACCUUCGGAGACACCAGUAGAGCACCUUUAUAAUCACCCAGUUACGUUGUGAUGUUUGGUAGCACACAAAGUGUUCCUCCGGUAAACGGGAGUUGCAUAAUCUCAUAGUCAUAGGAACAUGUAUAAUUCAUGAAGAAAGCAAUAGCAACAUACUAAACAAUCAAGUGCUAAGCUAAUGGAAUGGGUCAAGUCAAUCACAUCAUUCUAUAAUGAUGUAAUCUCGUUAAUCAAAUGACAACUCAUGUCUACGGUUAGUAAACAUAACUGUCGGUGUCAAACCGGCGGAUCUCGGGUAGGGGGUCUCGAACUGUGCGUCUAGGUGGAUGGUAACAGGAGGCAGGGGACACGAUGUUUUACCCAGGUUCGGGCCCUCUUGAUGGAGGUGUAGGAUCGAAAGUAUGUCUAGAGGGGGGUGAUUAGACUACUUUACCCAAUAAAAACUUAACCUUUUCCCAAUUUUAGUUCUUGGCAGAUUUUAGCUAAUUUAGGACAAGUCAAGCAAUCAUCACAUAAUUCAAGCAAGCAUGCAAAGAGUAUAUAGGCAGCGGAAAGUAAAGCAUGCAACUUGCAAGAAUGUAAAGGGAAGGGUUUGGAGAAUUCAAACGCAAUUAGAGACACGGAUGUUUUUCCUGUGGUUCGGAUAGGUGGUGCUAUCCUACAUCCACGUUGAUGGAGACUUCAACCCACAAAGGGUAAUGGUUGCGCGAGUCCACACAGGGCUCCACCCAAGGGUAACAGUUGCGCGAGUCCACACAGGGCUCCACCCACGAAGGGUCCACGAAGAAGCAACCACCCACAAAGGGUCCACGAAGAAGCAACCUUGUCUAUCCCACCAUGGCCAUCGCCCACACAGGACUUGCCUCACUAGCGGUAGAUCUUCACGAAGUAGGCGAUCUCCUUGCCCUUACAAACUCCUUGGUUCAACUCCACAAUCUUGUCGGAGGCUCCCAAGUGACACCUAGCCAAUCUAGGAGACACCACUCUCCAAGAAGUAACAAAUGGUGUGUAGGUAAUGAACUUCUUGCUCUUGUGCUUCAAAUGAUAGUCUCCCCAACACUCAACUCUCUCUCAUAGGAUUUGGAUUUGGUGGAAAGAAGAUUUGAGUGGAAAGCAACUUGGGAAGGCUAGAGAUCAAGAUUCAUAUGGUAGGAAUGGAAUGUCUUGGUCUCAACACAUGAGUAGGUGGUUCUCUCUCAGAACAUAUGAGUUGGAAUGGUGUAUGUGUUCUGAUGGCUCUCUCCAUGAAUGAAGAGGAGGUGGAGGGGUAUAUAUAGCCUCCACACAAAAUCCAACCAUUACACACAGUUUUCCAAUCUCGGUGGGACCGAAUCACGAACUCGGUCGGACCGAAAAUGUAAACCUAGUGACCGUUAGAGAUUUUCGGUGGGACUGACAUGCAACUCGGUAGGACCAAUAUGGUUAGGGUUUGGGCAUAACGUAAUCUCGGUGAGACCGAUUACACAAACUCGGUGAGACCGAAUUUGGUAAUUAGCUAACCAGAGAGUUGGUCAGGCAAACUCGGUGGGACCGAUUUGCUCUUUCGGUGAGACCGAAAAGUUACAAAGGGGAAACACUGAAUUUACAUUGCAAUCUCGGUGGGACCGAUUCGCUCUUUCGGUGAGACCGAAAAGUUACGAAAGGGAAACAGAGAGUUUGCAACCCCAUCUCGGUGAGACCAAGAUCCCUAUCGGUAGGACCGAAUUGCUAGGGUUUGGCAGUGGCUUAUGACAAAUGAAAACUCGGUGGCGCCGGAAGAAUCGGUAGGACCGAGUUUGGCUUAGGGUUUAGGUCAUAUGUGGAUAUGGGAAAGUAGUUGAGGGUUUUGGAGCAUAUCACUAAGCACAUGAAGCAAGAGGCUCAUUAAGCAACACCUCAUCCCUCCUUGAUAGUAUUGGCUUUUCCUAAAGACUCAAUGUGAUCUUGGAUCACUAAAAUAUAAAAUGAAGAGUCUUGAGCUUUUGAGCUUGAGCCAAUCCUUUUCCCUUAGCAUUUUGAGGGUUCCACUUUCACAUCCAUGCCAUGCCAAUCAUUGAGCUUUCCUGAAAUAAUUAUCUUGGAAUAGCAUUAGCUCAAUGAGCUAUAUGUUGUUAUGAAUUACCAAAACCACCUAGGGAUAGUUGCACUUUCAAUCUCCCCCUUUUUGGUAAUUGAUGACAACAUAUAGAUCAAAGCUUCGAUAAAUGAUAAUAAGCAUGAAAUAUAUCGUCGCUUUGAGAAGUACGUGAUAAGUAAGAGCUCCCCCUAAAUUUGUGCAUAUUUAAAAUUUGCUUUGGACUGCAAAUGCACAAGGAGUUAGAGUCAUGGGUUACUCUUCCAUGUCACAUACAUCUUGGUGGAGCGCUUAAAAUGAUAAUAAUGAAAUACAUGCACUCAUCACCAAGAAUAGUGAAUGAUCACAUAAGAUAGAUAAGAUAAUAGCAUUAAGAAAACAUUAAGUGUAGCUUAUGAUCAAACACAUGAUCAUCAAUGUCUCACAAAUAAUGACGUAGUAUCUCUAGCACUCAAAAGCAAACAAGUUCGAAAACCACCAAAUAAAGCAAGAGAGAAAAAAAACCAACACACUCUCUCUCGAAGCCUAUGAUCUAUACAUCUUCUCCCCCUUUGGCAACAAGUUGCCAAAAAGUUCCUAGAAAAUGCAUAGUGCUAGAUCGACGCUCAGGCUUGAUCUUCUGGUGGUGGUGGAGUCCGGAUCACUCCAAGGACGAAGGCUUCGGUAGACGCUGAAGUAGACGCUGGAAUUGGAGCUGAAGUAGAUGCUGGAGCUGGUGGAACUAAGGCUGUAGCUGGUGCUGAAGUGGUGGCUCUGGUGUCAGCAACUGGCACGGCAGAUGACCUCGGGCCUCGUGGCACUCUGGCAAAGGCAUGAGUGGUAGUCCUGCCUCUCCUCUCCUGCAUGUCCUCCUGGAGCUGCUCCACUGCAUACUGAACUUCUGUUACUUUGACAUCCAAGUCAUAGAACUUCUGUUCCAUGAUUCUCUCUAGGCUCUGCUGAUUCUGAGUGAGGGUGGCCAGACUUUGCUCAAUCCUCAGCGUGGAUGCAAUCAAGUAACCAAGCUGCUCUUGUUUAGUCUUCAAGAAAUACUCAGAUGCCUCCUCUUGAGUUGGCAUCUUGGCAGCUUUCUCCUUUCUUGCCUUCUCCUUCUUUGCUUGUGCUUGAACUGAUGAUGGCUCAUUCUCAGUCAUGACCACUUGGUUAUCUUCAAAAUCUGGAUGGAUAGGCAGGUGUUCCUUGUCCAAUAAGUAUAUGCCCGUGCCCAUCUUGGAGUUGAUGAGCUCCUGGAUCUAAGGGGCAUAUCCGCAACUCCUCUUCCGAUCUGCUGCAGUCCUUUUGAUAGUUUCCACUAUGAGGCUCAUCACCUUGAACUUCUGAGGCACAUCAAAUACAUGUAGCAAGUUGAUCGCAUGGCCUCUGAUCAUCUUGUGAUCACCUGACUUGGGCAACAAGGUGUGCCUCAAGAUCCAAUUGAUGGUUGGCAGUCCUGACAGAAGAUAGUGCACUGAGCCAAAUUUGAAAGUGUCAAGUGCCUCAUUUGGAAUUUCCUUAUACAUAUUGGACAUGGAAUUGUGGUCCAUCUUCUUCUUGGCAUAUAUGUCCAUGUCAUCAUCAUGCUCCUCUGGGGCAUUAACCAACUUUGCCCAUUCCUCAACAGUGGAUUGGUACCUCGUACCCUCAGACAUCCAUGUGAUCCUCCCAUCUGGAUAAAAGUGAGCUGUGGAGUAGAACUGCAUGAUGAGUUCCUCGUUCCACUUUGUGAGCUUCUGCCCAACAAAGUCCUCUACUCCACACGCCUUGAAGCUGUCCUGAACUCCUGGGUAGUACUCUUCAUUGUCCUUAAUGUAUUGCCAAUCAACCCAUCUCAUAUCACAGACUAUUGGCUUCUUAUCAAGCAAAACAGUCUCAUAGAAAUCCUAUUGCUCCUUGGUGUGAAACCUGUAGUCAACUGCUAUCCUUCUCCUUGAAGCAUAUGGGUCUACUUCUCUCCACUUCCUCAGCCCUGAAUCUCUCCUGAGCUUCAUGUCCUCAGCCACAGGAUGAGCAUCGUUGUGGUCUGGGAUCUUGGGCUUGAGCUUUCUCAGAACAUUCUCUUCCUCUUCUUCAGCAACAGUCUUAGGCACUGGGGCCUUGUUCUUCUCAGCUGCAGGAAUGCUCCUUGUAUUCCUCUUGGGUGCAGACUUGGGCUUGGAGGCAGCUUUGGGCUUAGAUGCAGUAGCCCCUGAUCUUAUGGCAUCACCCAUCAGCUUGGGUGCCUUGGGUGCUGGUGCAGCUACCUCUUCUUCCUCUUCCUCUUCCAUGAUGGAAGCCUUUCCUAACACUCUGGCUACAGUCUUCUUGACCCUUUCCUUCCUCUUCUUGCCUUCUGCAGCAACUGGCUUUUGGGGAGUGGGCUUCUUAGUUGAGUCUCUUGCCUUUGACAUGGGUUGCCUGCCUGCUGGCCUUUUGAUCUUUAGGCCUGGCUUUGUGCCUUGAGCUGGCUCAACUCUCUUGGAAGUGGCCUCUUCCUCUGACACAUAGUCUUCAUCUUCGGAGUCUGAAGUUCUCUUCUUCCUUUGUCUCGUGGCAGCCUUUGGCAAAUUGCUAGGAGUGCUCCUGUUGCCUUCAUCAGAAGAGCUGGAGGGACUAGUGCCCUCACUCAUGUGCACCUGCUGCUCUGACAUAUUCUGGCUAUCACUUUGAUCAGACAUGCUACAAACUAACUGCUGACCCUGUGAAUAGUUUAUAGAUGAGAUAGACUAGAUGAGCAUCACAAAAUGCAGAGAUUUUUGCAAAAGAAUUAUCCAAAAACUUAGUUUUAGUUUCCCACUGAAAUCAUCUCGGAUCUACCGAUUUUUAAACUCGGUGAUACCGAAGCAGUUUUGGCACCUAAACUAGUGAACUCGGUCAGACCGAGUCACAGUUCGGUGGCACCGAGACUGCUAGGGUUUCACUGAGUUCUAAAAUCGGUCACACCGAUAAGUAAUUCUCGGUCAGACCGAGUCUCACUUGUGCAAUGGCAUAAGCCAAAUCGGUGGGACCGAGUUUUUCAACUCAGUGGGUCCGAGAUGGUUUCGGCGGAAACCUAACCCUAAAAUUUUCAAAUCAAAGCUAAUCUAUGGGCGCAUUGACUGGAUAGGAGUGUUUCAAUCGUGGCAAGAAUCAUGAAGAACACAAUGUGCUAGGAAUUGGACGGGAAAUAGCACUGUGAUCAAGUCCAUAUCCUAGUUCAGCGGAGACUUGCUACGGCGGCAACGGCGGGGCAGAAUUCCCGUUGACAGCGACGGAGACCAGCGACUGGAGGCGGCUGGCGGCAAGAAGAUGAUCCGGAGACCACGUUGGCAGAGCAGGCUAUCACGCGGGCGAAGGGGUUCGGAGAAAUUUCCAAAUUUUGCCCGUGACUAUAUAUAGCCCGACCCUGUCGGUGUGACCGAGUGGAACAACUCGGUGGCAUCGAGAUUCAUAACUGCAGGCAGUUACUGAAACUCGGUGUGACCAAAAUGUUCAAAUCGGUUGCACCGAGAUCGAAAACCUAGAUCAACUUAAUGAUCUCGGUAGGACCGAAAGUGGAGUAUCGGUCAGACCGAGAAUCAUAAAGAGGUUUUGGAAGUUUAAGUCUAUGACGAAUCGGGGACUCCGAGCGCUCCUCACACAGAGUGGUUCGAAUCUGACUUGAUCAAAUUUUGUGAUGCAGCAUGAAUAGAGUUUGAGACGAGAAAAGCAUAGAUAGCUAGAGGAGGUUCUUAGGCAUUCUUGUCCAUCCACUUGGCAGAAGAAGAUAAAACCAAACAAUCAAAACAACAAGUGGAUGUCCUCGAAUGAGUAAAAGAUGCAACCAGCAUGCUCACACAAUAAGAUGGCAAAUGAAAUAUGUGACAAGGCAUGCACAACCAAUUCUAGCAUCUAUCAAGCAAUUUGCGAUGACUAGGUCAUCUAUAUAUGAGUAUAUUGACUUAGGAGUCAAGUGAGAACACUUGAUCAUAGGUCAUACUCAUCGUUUAAGCUCAAGUGGGGUUACCACUUUUACAUAAAGCAUUGUUGUGUUCACAUCUUUAGAGUUGCUUUAGCUCAAGUCUUAGAGUAAAGCUCCCCCUAGAUGUGAUAUCCCCCCUAAGAGGGAUGAACUAACCUUGGGUUUUGUCGAUGAUGACUUCAUGUAGAUGUUGAAGAUGUGGAUGCUCAAUGUUGAUGUAGAUCACUUGGAGCUAUCCAUUUGAGUGAAUUGCACUUUCAAUAUCUACAUGGGUUAGUCCCACAAGGAACAAACAAGGAUAUCCAUAGACAUAGAGUAAUGCACACACAAGAUGAUGUCCAUGAAAACUUUUAGGUUACCUUGUCCCUUGUCUUACCAACAAGAGGGUUUGUGACUCCUUGAACUAGUGCACGAUGUGGGAGUUGAUUGCACUUGUUCUUGCCAAAAUGAUGAGAGUGAAGUAUGUUGGCGGAGUCACCCUCAAGAACUCUCUAGUUCUUCUUCUUUUGGAUCCACAUCAUCUUUAUGGGAAUCCUUGGAGUUGUAGUCGUACUUGAUGAAGUGGAACUUGAAGUAGUCUUGGGAAUCCACUUGACUAAGGUCUUUGGAGCUUCUUCAAAUGCAUCAAUUUCCUCUUGAAGCUUGUCCUUGCCUUUUUGCUUGUAGUCUUGUGGUGGAAGAUCAUCUUGAGCUUGUGUCCCCUUGAAAGAAGUAUACUUCUCUUGUUGAGGGACAAACUUUGUCUUGGGGUAUUGAUCUUCUUCCCACUCAACUCCAUUGGCAUUGAACUUUCGUUCAAAACCAACACCUUGAUUCUUCCGGUGCAUUCCUUGCUUGCGCACAAUUUCCUCGAAUUGCUUACUCCCGGCAAGGCUUUUGUACACUCCUUUCUCUAUAAUUCCUUUCAAUAAACUAUUUUCUUGCUCAAGUGUAACUUGGCUAAGGGAAUCAUUAGUGGAAUCAAGAGAGCUACUAGAAGUAACAAUAUUGGAUUUAGCAUGAUCAUUGUUACUACUAGAGGAAGAAUCUUUCUUGUUCUUGUUACUAGACUUGACUUGAGGCAUGUAAGUGGAUAAGAGUAAACGCUUGGCAAUGUAAGAAGAACUUUUCUUGCGGAGAUCAUCAUUGAUUGCUUUUAAGAACUCAUGCUCUUGCUCAAGAUUGAGCUUUUUAAAGCGUAAUUUCUCAUGAGCUCUUAAAAGUUCUCGAUGAUCUUCGAAGAUGGUUUCAUGAGCUAACUUAAGAGUGUUUAGUUCUUUAGUUAGGGCCUCAAUCUUCUCCUUAUCAUUGUCAUUCGUUUUAUCUUCAUUAGCAUGAUUAAUUGAUGUUUCAUCGUAGUAUUCAUCACUAGAGUUGUCAACAAGCAAAUCAUCACCUAACAAGUCAUCUUCAUCACUAUUGAAAUCAACAUACUCGGGGUGUGUUACCUUAGGACCUUUGGCCAUGAAGCAUCUUCCAAAUCCUUCAUUUGGUGAGUCAUAUGUCGUAGGAGUUGGUUGACACAAGUGCUAGACCGGCAACACCUUCAUCUUGAGUAUCUUCAGAGUCGGAGUGAUAACUUCUCUCGGAGUGGCUGUCGGAGUUAGAGUCGGAUAUCCAUUCACCAACAUGAGCUUGAUGUCUUCGUCUUGUGUAGAUCCUUGAUGAUUUUUCCUUCCUUUCCGAAUCCUUGCUUCUCCAUGAGUAUCUUCGUUCAUAACGAUCAUCUCUACUCCUCCUCUCUCUUGGUGGUGAUUCUUUGCUUCUUCUUUUUGGAGAAUCUUCUCUUCUCUUGUGGGGAGCCGUACACUCAUUGGAAUAGUGUCCGGGUCUUCCACAAUUGUAGCAGUUUCGCUCUCGACUAGAAGAUCUUUUGUCAUUGUAGGACCUUGACUUGAAGCUUCUAUCUUUGCUUCUACUCUUGUAGAACUUGUUGAAGUUCUUCACCAUUAAGCUCAAUUCUUCAUUGAAGUCUUGUUUCUCACUUGAUGAUGUAGGGGCUUCACAUGAGGCUUUAUAGGCACCACUUGAUUUGUUGUGAAGUUCCUCUUUAUCCUUAAGUGACAUCUCAUGAGCAACAAUUCUUCCAAUCACCUCCGUUGGCUUGAGAUCUUUGUAAUUGGGCAUCAUUUGGAUCAAUGUGGACACGGUAUCAUAUUUCCCAUCCAAGGCUCUUAGAAUCUUCUUGAUGAUGAAUUUAUCGGUCAUCUCUUCACUUCCUAAGCCGGCAAUCUCAUUUGUGAUGAGAGCAAGCCUAGAGUAUAUUUCAGCGACACCUUCACCAUCCUUCAUCUUGAACUUGUCAAGUUGGCUUUGAAGCACAUCCAACUUGGAUUCCUUGACGGAGUCGGUACCUUCGUGCAUAUCAAUCAAAGUGUCCCAAAUUUCCUUCGCAUUCCCAAGACGGCUGAUUUUGUUGAAUUCUUCGGGGCACAAUCCGUUGAAGAGAAUAUCACAAGCUUGAGCAUUGUAUUGCUACAUCUUCAACUCAUCCGCGGUAGCUUCAUGGUUUGGUUCUCUCCCAUCAAAUAAGUCACCUUGCAAGCCAACACACACAAUAGCCCAAACGGCGGGGUUAUGUCCAAGAAUAUGCAUUUUCAUUUUAUGCUUCCAACUAGCAAAAUUAGUACCAUCAAAGUAGGGACCUCUACGGUGAUAAUUUCCUCGCUAGAUGCCAUACUCUCCUAGGUUGUGAAACCAAGGCUAUGACCACCAAAGCUAUGGAGAUCAAAGCAAAUGGAGACCAAAGCUCUGAUACCACUUGUAGGAUCGAAAGUAUGUCUAGAAGGGGGGUGAUUAGACUACUUGACCCAAUAAAAACUUAACCUUUUCCCAGUUUUAGUUCUUGGCAGAUUUUAGCUAAUUUAGGACAAGUCAAGCAAUCAUCACAUAAUUCAAGCAAGCAUGCAAAGAGUAUAUAGGCAGCGGAAAGUAAAGCAUGCAACUUGCAAGAAUGUAAAGGGAAGGGUUUGGAGAAUUCAAACGCAAUUGGAGACACGGAUGUUUUUCCCGUGGUUCGGAUAGGUGGUGCUAUCCUACAUCCACGUUGAUGGAGACUUCAACCCAUGAAGGGUAACGGUUGCGCGAGUCCACACAGGGCUCCACCCAAGGGUAACGGUUGCGCGAGUCCACACAGGGCUCCACCCACGAAGGGUCCAUGAAGAAGCAACCACCCACAAAGGGUCCAUGAAGAAGCAACCUUGUCUAUCCCACCAUGGCCAUCGCCCACACAGGACUUGCCUCACUAGCGGUAGAUCUUCACGAAGUAGGCGAUCUCCUUGCCCUUACAAACUCCUUGGUUCAACUCCACAAUCUUGUCGGAGGCUCCCAAGUGACACCUAGCCAAUCUAGGAGACACCACUCUCCAAGAAGUAACAAAUGGUGUGUAGGUAAUGAACUCCUUGCUCUUGUGAUUCAAAUGAUAGUCUCCCCAACACUCAACUCUCUCUCAUGGGAUUUGGAUUUGGUGGAAAGAAGAUUUGAGUGGAAAGCAACUUCGGAAGGCUAGAGAUCAAGAUUCAUAUGGUAGGAAUGGAAUGUCUUGGUCUCAACGCAUGAGUAGGUGGUUCUCUCUCAAAACAUAUGAGUUGGAAUGGUGUAUGUGUUCUGAUGGCUCUCUCCAUGAAUGAAGAGGAGGUGGAGGGGUAUAUAUAGCCUCCACACAAAAUCCAACCGUUACACACAGUUUUCCAAUCUCGGUGGGACCGAAUCACGAACUCGGUCGGACCGAAAAUGUAAACCUAGUGACCGUUAGAGAUUUUCGAUGGGACUGACAUGCAACUCGGUAGGACCGAUAUGGUUAGGGUUUGGGCAUAACGUAAUCUCGGUGAGACCGAUUACACAAACUCGGUGAGACCAAAUUUGGUAAUUAGCUAACCAGAGAGUUGGUCAGGCAAACUCGGUGGGACCGAUUUGCUCUUUCGGUGAGACCGAAAAGUUACAAAGGGGAAACACUGAAUUUACAUUGCAAUCUCGGUGGGACCGAUUCGCCCUUUCGGUGAGACCGAAAAUUUAUGAAAGGGAAACAGAGAGUUUGCAACCCCAUCUCGGUGAGACCGAGAUCCCUAUCGGUAGGACCGAAUUGCUAGGGUUUGGCAGUGGCUUAUGACAAAUGAAAACUCGGUGGCGCCAGAAGAAUCGGUAGGACCGAGUUUGGCUUAGGGUUUAGGUCAUAUGUGGAUAUGGGAAAGUAGUUGAGGGUUUUGGAGCAUAUCACUAAGCACAUGAAGCAAGAGGCUCAUUAAGCAACACCUCAUCCCUCCUUGAUAGUAUUGGCUUUUCCUAAAGACUCAAUGUGAUCUUGGAUCACUAAAAUAUAAAAUGAAGAGUCUUGAGCUUUUGAGCUCGAGCCAAUCCUUUUCCCUUAGCAUUUUGAGGGUUCCACUUUCACAUCCAUGCCAUGCCAAUCAUUGAGCUUUCCUGAAAUAAUUAUGAAUUACCAAAACCACCUAGGGAUAGUUGCACUUUCAGGAGGUAAAACCCUACGUCCUGCUUGAUUUAUUCUUGAUGAUAUGGGUAUUACAAGAGUUGAUCUACCACGAGAUCGGAGAGGCUAAACCCUAGAAGCUAGCCUAUGGUAUGAUUGUUGUUAUUGUGUCCUAUGGACUAAACCCUCCGGUUUAUAUAGACACCGGAGGGGGCUAGGGUUACACAGAGUCGGUUACAAGGAAGGAGAUCUACAUAUCCGUAUUGCCAAGCUUGCCUUACACGCCAAGGAGAGUCCCAUCCAGACACGGGACGAAGUCUUCAAUCUUGUAUCUUCAUAGUCCAACAGUCCGGCCAAAGGUUAUAGUCCGGCUGUCCGGAUACCCCCUAAUCCAGGACUCCCUCAGUAGCCCCUGAACCAGGCUUCAAUGACGAUGAGUCCGACGCGCGGUGUUGUCUUCGGCACUGCAAGGCGGGUUCCUCCUCCGAACACAUCACCAAAGAGUUUGAAUACCACGAUAGUGUCCGACCCUGCAAUAUAAAUUCCACAUACCAUCGUAGAGAGAAUAAUAUUUCCACAAAUCUUAAUCUGCUGACACGCUUUGGCCACAUGACAUCAGGCCAUGGCUCGGUGAUUAUUCGAACCGUUUUUCUUCAACUAGCUCCACAUAUAACGCGAGGCGGUUUCUUGACACGUCUUGUCAAAGCAGAGAUCGUGUUCCCCUAAUUACAGGACUCUCAUCAAUACGGUCGUGGGUAACCCAACCGUGCCUAGGACUCCUAGAUAUUAGGCAAGUCCCAAAUGGCCACUAGGAGUGUUGGGGAACGUAGUAAUUUCAAAAAAAAAAUCCUACGCACACGCAAGAUCAUGGUGAUGCAUAGCAACGAGAGGGGAGAGUGUUGUCUACGUACCCUCAUAGACCGGAAGCGGAAGCGUUAUAACAACGCGGUUGAUGUCCCUCAAGCACCGAAACUACGGCACCUCCGAGUUUUUACACACGUUCAACUCGAUGACGAUCCCCAGACUCUGAUCCAGCAAAGUGUCGGGGAUGAGUUCCGUCAGCACGACGGCAUGGUGACGAUCUUGAUGUUCUACCGUCGCAGGGCUUCGCCUAAGCACCGCUACAAUAUUAUCGAGGAUUAUGGUGAAGGGGGGCACCGCACAUGGCUAAGAGAUCAAUGAUCAAUUGUUGUGUCUCUGGGGUGCCCCCUGCCCUCGUAUAUAAAGGAGUGGAGGAGGGGGCCGGCCAAGGAGGGUGGCGCGCCCAAGGGGGAGAGUCCAACUCCCACCGGGAGUAGGACUCCCCUUUUUCCUAUUAGGAGUAGGAGAGGGAAGGAAGAGGAAGGAGGGAGGAAGGAAAGGGGGGCGGCCCCCCUCCCAAUUCGGAUUGGGCUUGGGGGGGCGCGCCCCCUCCCUUGCUCCUUUCCCCUCCUUUCCACUAAGGCCCAAUAAGGCCCAUAUACCUCCCGGGGGGUUCCGAUAACUCCCGGUGAUCCGGUAUUGUCCCAAUCUUACCCGGAACCUUUCCGGUGUCCAAAUAUAGUCGUCCAAUAUAUUGAUAUUUAUGUCUCGACCAUUUCUAGACUCCUCGUCAAGUCCUUGAUCACAUCCGGGACUCCGAACAACCUUUGGUACAUCAAAAUAUAUAAACUCAUAAUGAAACUAUCAUCGUAACGUUAAGCGUGCGGACCCUACGGGUUCGAUAACAAUGUAGACAUGACCGAGACAAGUCUCCGGUCAAUAAGCAAUAGCGGAACCUGGAUGCUCAUAUUGGCUCCUACAUAUUCUACGAAGAUCUUUAUCGGUCAGACCGCAUAACAACAUACGUUGUUCCCUUUGUCAUCGGUAUGUUACUUGCGCGAGAUUCGAUCGUCGGUAUCUCAAUACCUAGUUCAAUCUCGUUACCGGCAAGUAUCUUUACUCGUUCCGUAAUACAUCAUCUUCCAACUAACUUAUUAGUUGCAUUGCUUGCAAGGCUUAAGUGAUGUGUAUUACCGAGAGGGCCCAGAGAUACCUCUCCGACAAUCGGAGCGACAAAUCCUAAUCUCGAAAUACGCCAACCCAACAUGUACCUUUGGAGACACCUGUAGAGCACCUUUAUAAUCACCCAGUUACGUUGUGACGUUUGGUAGCACACAAAGUGUUCCUCCGGUAAACGGGAGUUGCAUAAUCUCAUAGUCAUAGGAACAUGUAUAAGUCAUGAAGAAAGCAAUAGCAACAUACUAAAUGAUCGGGUGCUAAGCUAAUGGAAUGGGUCAUGUCAAUCACAUCAUUCUCCUAAUGAUGUGAUCCUGUUAAUCAAAUAACAACUCAUGUUUAUGGUUAGGAAACAUAACCAUCUUCGAUUAACGAGCUAGUCAAGUAGAGGCAUACUAGUGACACUUUGUUUGUCUAUGUAUUCACACAAGUAUUACGUUUCCGGUUAAUAAAAUUCUAGCAUGAAUAAUAAACAUUUAUCAUGAUAUAAGGAAAUAAAUAAUAACUUUAUUAUUGCCUCUAGGGCAUAUUUCCUUCAGUCUCCCACUUGCACUAGAGUCAAUAAUAUAGAUUACACAGUAAUGAUUCUAACACCCAUGGAGCCUUGGUCCUGAUCAUGUUUUGCUCGUGGAAGAGGCUUAGUCAAUGGGUCUGCUACAUUCAGAUCCGUAUGUAUCUUGCAAAUCUCUAUGUCUCCCACCUGGACUAGAUCCCGGAUGGAAUUGAAGCGUCUCUUGAUGUGCUUGGUUCUCUUGUGAAAUCUGGAUUCCUUUGCCAAGGCAAUUGCACCAGUAUUGUCACAAAAGAUUUUCAUUGGACCCGAUGCACUAGGUAUGACACCUAGAUCGGAUAUGAACUCCUUCGUUUGCUGCUUCCGAAGCAUCUAUGUACUCCGCUUCACAUGUAGAUCCCACCACGACGCUUUCUUUAGAACUGCACCAACUGAGAGCUCCACCGUUUGAUGUAAAUACGUAUCCGGUUUGCGAUUUAGAACCGUCCGGAUCAGUGUCAAAGCUUGCAUCAACGUAACCAUUUACAAUGAGCUCUUUGUCACCUCCAUAUACGAGAAACAUAUCCUUAGUCCUUUUCAGGUAUUUCAGGAUGUUCUUAACCGUUGUCCAGUGAUCCACUCCUGGAUUACUGUGGUACCUCCCUGCUAGACUUAUAGCAAGGCACACAUCAGGUCUGGUACACAGCAUUGCAUACAUGGUAGAGCCUAUGGCUGAAGCAUAGGGAAUAUCUUUCAUUUUCUCUCUAUCUGCUGCAGUGGUCGGGCAUUGUGUCUUACUCAACUUCACACCUUGUAACACAGGCAAGAAUCCUUUCUUUGCUUGAUCCAUUUUGAACUUCUUCAAAACUUUGUCAAGGUAUGUUCUUUGUUAAAGUCCAAUUAAGGGUCUUGAUCUAUCUCUAUAGAUCUUAAUGCCCAAUAUGUAAGCAGCUUCACCGAGGUGUUUCAUUGAAAAACUCUUAUUCAAGUAUCCCUUUAUGCUAUCCAGAAAUUCUAUAUCAUUUCCGAUUAGCAAUAUGUCAUCCACAUAUAAUAUCAGAAAUGCUACAGAGCUCCCACUCACUUUCUUGUAAAUACAGGCUUCUCCAAAAGUUUGUACAAAACCAAAUGCUUUGAUCACACUAUCAAAGCAUUUAUUCCAACUCCAAGAUGCUUGCACCAGUCCAUAAAUGGAUCGCUGGAGCUUGGACACUUUGUUAGCUCCUUUUGGAUCGACAAAACCUUCCGGCUGCAUCAUAUACAACUCUUCUUCCAGAAAUCCAUUCAGGAAUGCAGUUCUUGACAUCCAUCUGCCAAAUUUCAUAAUCAUAAAAUGCGGCAAUUGCUAACAUGAUUCGGACAGACUUAAGCAUCGCUACGGGUGAGAAGGUUUCAUCGUAGUCAAUUCCUUGAACUUGUCGAAAACCUUUUGCGACAAGUCGAGCUUUGUAGACAGUAACAUUACUGUCAGCGUCAGUCUUCUUCUUGAAGAUCCAUUUAUUUUCAAUUGCUUGCCGAUCAUUGGGCAAGUCAACCAAAGUCCACACUUUGUUCUCAUACAUGGAUCCCAUCUCAGAUUUCAUGGCUUCAAGCCAUUUUGCGGAAUCUGGGCUCACCAUUGCUUCUUCAUAGUUCGUAGGUUCAUCAUGAUCUAGUAGCAUGACUUCCAGAACAGGAUUACCGUACCACUCUGUUGCGGAUCUUACUCUGGUUGAUCUACGAGGUUCAGUAGUAACUUGUUCUGAAGUUUCAUGAUCAUCAUCAUUAGCUUCCUCACUAAUUGGUGUAGGUGUCACAGAAACUGGUUUCUGUGAUGUAUUACUUUCCAAUAAGGGAGCAGGUACAGUUACCUCAUCAAGUUCUACUUUCCACCCACUCACUUCUUUCGAGAGAAACUCCUUCUCUAGAAAGGAUCCAUUCUUAGCAACAAAUGUCUUGCCUUUGGAUCUGUGAUAGAAGGUGUACCCAACAGUCUCCUUCGGGUAUCCUAUGAUGACACAUUUCUCCGAUUUGGGUUCGAGCUUAUCAGGUUGAAGCUUUUUCACAUAAGCAUCGCAGCCCCAAACUUUCAGAAACGACAACUUUGGUUUCUUGCCAAACCAUAGUUCAUAAGGCAUCGUCUCAACGGAUUUUGAUGGUGCCCUAUUUAACGUGAAUGCGGCCGUCUCUAAAGCAUAACCCCAAAACGAUAGCGGUAAAUCUAUAAGAGGCAUCAUAGAUCGCACCAUAUCAAGUAAAGUACAAUUACGACGUUCGGACACACCAUUACGCUGUGGUGUUCCGGGUGGCGUGAGUUGCGAAACUAUUCCGCAUUGUUUCAAAUGUAAACCAAACUCGUAACUCAAAUAUUCUCCUCCACGAUCAGAUCGUAGAAACUUUAUUUUCUUGUUACGAUGAUUUUCAACUUCACUCUGAAAUUCUUUGAACUUUUCAAAUGUUUCAGACUUAUGUUUCAUUAAGUAGAUAUACCCAUAUCUGCUUAAAUCAUCUGUGAAGGUGAGAAAAUAACGAUAUCCGCCACGAGCUUCAACAUUCAUUGGACCACAUACAUCUGUAUGUAUGAUUUCCAACAAAUCUGUUGCUCUCUCCAUAGUACCGGAGAACAGCGUUUUAGUCAUCUUGCCCAUGAGGCACGGUUUGCAAGUACCAAGUGAUUCAUAAUCAAGUGGUUCCAAAAGUCCAUCGGUAUGGAGUUUCUUCAUGCGCUUUACACCGAUAUGACCUAAACGGCAGUGCCACAAAUAAGUUGCACUAUCAUUAUCAACUCUGCAUCUUUUGGCUUCAACAUUAUGAAUAUGUGUAUCACUACUAUCGAGAUUCAUCAAAAAUAGACCACUCUUCAAGGGUGCAUGACCAUAAAAGAUAUUACUCAUAUAAAUAGAACAACCAUUAUUCUCUGAUUUAAAUGAAUAACCGUCUCGCAUCAAACAAGAUCCAGAUAUAAUGUUCAUGCUCAACGCUGGCACCAAAUAACAAUUAUUUAGGUCUAAUACUAAUCCCGAUGGAAGAUGUAGAGGUAGCGUGCCGACCGCGAUCACAUCGACUUUGGAACCAUUUCCCACACACAACGUCACCUCGUCAUUCGCCAGUGUUCGCUUAAUCCGUAGUCCCUGUUUCGAGUUGCAAAUAUUAGCAACAGAACCAGUAUCAAAUACCCAGGUGCUACUGCGAGCUCUAGUAAGGUACACAUCAAUAACAUGUAUAUCACAUAUACCUUUGUUCACCUUGCCAUCCUUCUUAUCCGCCAAAUACUUGGGGCAGUUCCGCUUCCAGUGACCAGUCUGCUUGCAGUAGAAGCACUCAAUUUCAGGCUUAGGUCCAGACUUGGGUUUCUUCUCCUGAGCAGCAACUUGCUUGUUGUUCUUCUUGAAGUUCCCCUUCUUCCCCUUGCCCUUUUUCUUGUAACUAGUGGUCUUGUUGACUAUCAACACUUGAUGCUCGUUCUUGAUUUCUACCUCCGCAGCUUUUAGCAUUGCGAAGAGCUCGGGAAUUGUCUUAUCCAUCCCUUGCAUAUUAUAGUUCAUCACGAAGCUCUUGUAGCUAGGUGGAAGUGAUUGGAGAAUUCUGUCAAUGACGCAAUCAUCCAGAAGAUUAACUCCCAGUUGAAUCAAGUGAUUAUUAUACCCAGACAUUUUGAGUAUAUGCUCACUGACAGAACUGUUCUCCUCCAUCUUGCAGCUAUAGAACUUAUUGGAGACUUCAUAUCUCUCAAUCCGGGCAUUUGCUUGAAAUAUUAGCUUCAACUCCUGGAACAUCUCAUAUGCUCCAUGACGUUCAAAACAUCGUUGAAGACCCGGUUCUAAGCCGUAAAGCAUGGCACAUUGAACUAUCGAGUAGUCAUCAGCUUUGCUCUGCCAGACGUUCUUAACAUCAUCAGUUGCAUCAGCAGCAGGCCUGGCACCCAGCGGUGCUUCCAGGACGUAAUUCUUCUGUGCAGCAAUGAGGAUAAUCCUCAAGUUACGGACCCAGUCCGUAUAAUUGCUACCAUCAUCUUUCAACUUUGCUUUCUCAAGGAACACAUUAAAAUUCAACAGAACAACAGCACGGGCCAUCUAUCUACAAUCAAACAUAAACAAGCAAGAUACUAUCAGGUACUAAGUUCAUGAUAAAUUUAAGUUCAAUUAAUCAUAUUACUAAAGAACUCCCACUUAGAAAGACAUCCCUCUAAUCUUCUAAGUGAUCACGUGAUCCAAAUCAACUAAACCAUAACCGAUCAUCACAUGAAAUGGAGUAGUUUUCAAUUGUGAACAUCACUAUGUUGAUCAUAUCUACUAUAUGAUUCACGCUCGACCUUUCGGUCUCAGUGUUCCGAGGCCAUAUCUGCAUAUGCUAGGCUCAUCAAGUUUAACCUGAGUAUUCUGCGUGUGCAAAACUGGCUUGCACCCGUUGUAGAUGGACGUAGAGCUUAUCACACCUGAUCAUCACGUGGUGUCUAGGCACGACGAACUUUGGCAACGGUCCAUACUCAGGGAGAACACUUUUAUCUUGAAAUUUAGUGAGAGAUCAUCUUAUAAUGCUACCGUCAAUCAAAGCAAGAUAAGAUGCAUAAAAGAUAAACAUCACAUGCAAUCAAUAUAAGUGAUAUGAUAUGGCCAUUAUCAUCUUGUGCUUGUGAUCUCCAUCUCCGAAGCAUCGUCAUGAUCACUGGCACGACACCUUGAUCUCCAUCAUAGCAUCGUUGUCGUCUCGCCAAUCUUAUGCUUCUACGACUAUCGCUACCGCUUAGUGAUAAAGUAAAGCAUUACAGGGCGAUUGCAUUGCAUACAAUAAAGCGACAACCAUAUGGCUCCUGCCAGUUGCCGAUAACUUGGUUACAAAACAUGAUCAUCUCAUACAAUAAAAUUUAGCAUCAUGCCUUGACCAUAUCACAUCACAACAUGCCCUGCAAAAACAAGUUAGACGUCCUCUACUUUGCUUGUUGCAAGUUUUACGUGGCUGCUACGGGCUUAGCAAGAACCAAUCUUACCUACGCAUCAAAAACCACAACGAUAGUUUGUCAAAUUGGUGAUGUUUUAACCUUCGCAAGGACCGGGCGUAGCCACACUCGGUUCAACUAAAGUUGGAGAAACUGACACCCGCCAGCCACCUGUGUGCAAAGCACGUCGGUAGAACCAGUCUCACGUAAGCGUACGCGUAAUGUCGGUUCGGGCCGCUUCAUCCAACAAUACCGCCGAACCAAAGUAUGAUAUGCUGGUAAGCAGUAUGACUUAUAUCGCCCACAACUCACUUGUGUUCUACUCGUGCAUAUAACAUCAACACAUAAAACCUAGGCUCUGAUACCACUGUUGGGGAACGUAGUAAUUUCAAAAAAAAUCCUACGCACACGCAAGAUCAUGGUGAUGCACAGCAACAAGAGGGGAGAGUGUUCUCUACGUACCCUCGUAGACCGGAAGCGGAAGUGUUAUAACAACACGGUUGAUGUAGUCGUACGUCUUCACGGCCCGACCGAUCAAGCACCAAAACUACGGCACCUCUGAGUUUUUGCACACGUUCAGCUCGAUGAUGAUCCCCGGACUCCAAUCCAGCAAAGUGUCGGGGAUGAGUUCCGUCAGCAUGACGGCGUGGUGACGAUCUUGAUGUUCUACCGUCGCAGGGCUUCGCCUAAGCACCGCUACAAUAUUAUCGAGGAUUAUGGUGGAGGGGGGCACUGCACAUGGCUAAGAGAUCAAUGAUCAAUUGUUGUGUCUCUGGGAUGCCCCCCUGCCCCCGUAUAUAAAGGAGUGGAGGAGGGGGCGGCCAAGGAGGGUGGCGCGCCCAAGGGGGGGAGUCCAACUCCCACCGGGAGUAGGACUCCCCUUUUUCCUAUUAGGAGUAGGAGAGGGAAGGAAGAGGAAGGAGGGAGGAAGGAAAGGGGGGCCGGCCCCCCUCCCAAUUCGGAUUGGGCUUGGGGGGGCGCCCCUCCCUUGCUCCUUUCCCCUCCUUUCCACUAAGGCCCAAUAAGGCCCAUAUACCUCCCGGGGGUUCCGAUAACCUCCCGGUGAUCCAGUAUUGUCCCAAUCUUACCCGGAACCUUUCCAGUGUCCAAAUAUAGUCGUCCAAUAUAUCGAUCUUUAUGUCUCGACCAUUUCGAGACUCCUCAUCAAGUCUGUGAUCACAUCCAGGACUCCGAACAACCUUCGGUACAUCAAAAUAUAUAAACUCAUAAUGAAACUGUCAUCAUAACAUUAAGCGUGCGGACCCUACGGGUUCGAUAACAAUGUAGACAUGACCGAGACAAGUCUCUGGUCAAUAAGCAAUAGCGGAACCUGGAUGCUCAUAUUGGCUCCUACAUAUUCUACGAAGAUCUUUAUCGGUCAGACCGCAUAACAACAUACGUUGUUCCCUUUGUCAUCGGUAUGUUACUUGCGCGAGAUUCGAUCGUCGGUAUCUCAAUACCUAGUUCAAUCUCGUUACCGGCAAGUCUCUUUACUCGUUCCGUAAUAAAUCAUCUUGCAACUAACUUAUUAGUUGCAUUGCUUGCAAGGCUUAAGUGAUGUGUAUUACCGAGAGGGCCCAGAGAUACCUCUCCGACAAUCGGAGCGACAAAUCCUAAUCUCAAAAUACGCCAACCCAACAUGUACCUUUGGAGACACCUGUAGAGCACCUUUAUAAUCACCCAAUUACGUUGUGACGUUUGGUAGCACACAAAGUGGUCCUCCGGUAGAUGGGAGUUGCAUAAUCUCAUAGUCAGAGGAACAUGUAUAAGUCAUGAAGAAAGCAAUAGCAACAUACUAAAUGAUCGGGUGCUAAGAUAAUGGAAUGGGUCAUGUCAAUCACAUCAUUCUCCUAAUGAUGUGAUCCCGUUAAUCAAAUGACAACUCAUGUCUAUGGUUAGGAAACAUAACCAUCUUUGAUUAACGAGCUAGUCAAGUAGAGGCAUACUAGUGACACUUUGUUUGUCUAUGUAUUCAUAUAAGUAUUACGUUUCCAGUUAAUACAAUUCUAGCAUGAAUAAUAAACAUUUAUCAUGAUAUAAGGAAAUAAACAAUAACUUUAUUAUUGCCUCUAGGGCAUAUUUCCUUCAAGGAGGACGCUUGAUAUUCACCCUCUUUGUAAAGGGACAAGGCUUUUACUUUUUUCCCUCUCGUGCUCAAUCGAAUCCUUCCCCCGCCUCGAGUUCUAACACCCAAAGCCCAGGUCAGGUGCUUUGGACCUUCAAUCAUGUCCGGAUCUAGCCUUCAAGGCCGGUGGAUGACGUCCUCCGCUACGGAAGAGGAUAUCAAGAAGUUGAGGGAGGCCAGAUACCUGACCGCCGAGGUUUCGCAUUGGCUGCCUGCCCGAGGGCAGGUCGUCCGUACUCCCGAACCCAACGAGAACGUUGUGUUCAUCUCCCACUUCCUCUGAGGUCUAGGCCUCACUCUGGAUCCCUUCGUUAGGGGUUUGAUGUUCUAUUACGGGCUAGAUUUCCACGAUCUAGCCCCGGACUCCUUUCUCCACAUCUCGGCAUUUAUUGUCGUAUGUGAGGCCUUCCUCCGCAUUACCCCUCACUUCGGCCUGUGGCUCAAGACCUUUGACGUGAAGCCGAAGAUGGUCGAGGGGCAGCAUGUAGCGUGCGGAGGCGCAUUAAUAAGCAAGAUCGCUGGAGCUCCAUGGCCAAAAGGUUCCUUUCCAGAGGUGUCCGGAUUAUGGCAACGGGAGUGGUUUUACAUUACAGCUCCCAAAAGUGUCAAGUGGGUGGCUGCCCCUGCUUUCCGCUCGGGCCCUCCACCACAACUGAUGUCAUGGAUUAGCAGAGGGCUGAGCUGGGGUCCAGCCAAGGACGUGCCUAUAUUGCAGACUCGUAUUCAAGAUCUCUUCGAGGGAGAUUUUAGUUUGGUUAUGGUAGUGCAAGUCAUGCUGGUUCGUCAAGUCCAGCCUUGCAAACGCUGGCCCCUCCGCAUGUGGGAGUUCAACCCAGAAGUACCGCGUACUAUUCAGAAUUUCCUCGGCCUAACGCAUGAGGAGAUGUAUAAAUCAUUCUUCGGGCCUCAAAUAGAGUGUCCGGACACUACUGAGGACGUGGGCCUGAGUAGCAACCGCACCGCGGCCCAAGUAAGUAAUUCUCUAGCCGAACAUACUGUCUUUCAUUUAUCAUGAUGUCAUUCUGAAGAAUCACUUUUUGACCAGGACUGGAUAACAAAGGUGAAGAUGAUCCGGUGUUCGGCCCCCCUUCCUGAAGGCUUGGACAAUUCGGUGCUGGAGAAGAUGCUCGAGCCAGCACCUUGCCCGGUGCCCUCAAAGGAAGAUGAAGGGGGAAUAAAGAGGGCGAAAGCGGGCCUCCAACGCUACCUAUUCUGAUCGAGGGAACGAGCGCCUCCGUGAGGGAGGAUAACCAAGGGGAGGAAUCUGACAUUCUCUCACCCCGGGGAAGGAAGAGGACUACCUCUGAAGAUCCGGAAACCAAGGUUUCCAAACGGGAGAAGAAAUCUCCACCAGAGGGUCCUGCCUUGGAGGGUGCUCUUGCCGCACGAAGUCUGCGCGGAGAUCAGCCCUCUAACGAGCUGUAAGUAAUCAAAAAGUACUUUAAUAGUGAAGAUAUACUACCUUAACUCUGAGGAAAAUAACCGAAGCAUUUAUCUUGCAGUUCGGAUCUUAGCCCUUCUCAACAGAGCUCGUCUUCGGGGGAUCUUCUUCCGGAGAUGAUGGAGAGCGAACGCCUCCCCCGGACUCCCCCGCUCAAGAAGCGGGUGACCUUGAAGUGUCGUCACGGAGGGCCUUGCCGAAUCAGGUGAGGCUAGAAGAUAAUCCUAUGGUCGCCCGAAGUCCCCAGUAUCCGGCUCUUGAAGAGAGCAACCAAAAGAAUCCGGCACCGUUUGGUAUGCGGUCGGACGCACUGAGGGAUCUGCUAGAGCGAGCAACUAUCUCAGAAGAACACCGUACAUUGAUGGGUACGGUGAUUGAAAGGAUUUCGUCCGCCGAAAGCGGGUUGCAUGAAGCCUUUAUGAGUCUACUGACGGGUUUUGAGGUACGUGAAAUGAUAUACAUUUGUGAUAGUACCGCACAUUUUUAGGUGUGCCCUGUGUAGAUAGUAGCCCCUGAGACUCUGGUUGUCGUCGAGAACGGCGGCAAACAGAGGAUCGUAGUCCCAAGUAAUAACCAGACCGCCUUCAUGUGCAGGUGGUUGAAGCUCCGGUGGCUAGCCGGACUUAUGGGUUUGCCGAACUAAAGCGACAACUGGAUGUGGCGGAUGCCGACAUCGAGCUUGUUAACAAGCGGCUCGACGAGGCACAAGGUAGGUGAUUUUUCUGGUGAAUGUCACAUAGUAAGAGCAGCGUGAUGCCAGUAUCUUUAAUAUGUUGUGACUGCAGAUGGAGCUGCCACCGUGGAGACCCUUCGGGCGGAGCUUGCCCGAGCUAUGGAGCAAGCAAGGAGUAAUAAUGCGGCCGCUUUAAAGGCGGCUGAAGAGUUAAGAGCCGAAAAGGCUGCACAUUGCGAGAGCAAAGAUAAAAUGGCCAAGAUGGCUAUAGAGUUAAAAGACACUGUCGACCGUUGCCAGUUCCUCGAAGAAAAAAACCAGGCGAGGGUGACGGACCUUGAGAAGGCCACAACGGUGACCAAGGACACCCGCUCUGGCAUGAGAGCGAAGAAGGAGGAACUGCGUGAAGCCGGGGAUAUUGCGGCUGGGAAGCCCUUUAUGCUGCGAAGGAAGUUCGGAGAUCCGCGGUAUGCCCCUCUGGAUCGGCUGUGGAGUUCGGCAGACGCAUAUAUGUACUUGGCGGCAAGCGUUGUUGAUGCGGCCGAAUACUUCCGAGAUCAAACAGAUCGUGAAGUGGACAAGCUGUUCUGGUCGCAGUUUAACGUUCCAGAGCGUCCACUUCCAUUGACUGAUCAGCUAGCCGAAUGGGCCGAACUCAAUAGGUUGUCCGGACUCGCCAUGAGGUCUGUUGUGGAUCAGCUGUGGCCGGAAAGGCCAAAGCCGAACAACUAUUUUAGCCUGGUGCAGCAGUUCCUUGGUGCGGUGCCGUGCAUCAAUGCGAUGAAGAGGUCGGCGUGCAUAGAGGGCUCGCUGAUGGCCCUUGCCCGUGUCAAAGCAUACUGGGCGGAGAUGGAUGCUACCACUGUUGCGGCGCAGGGUUUGGCCAUAGGCCGAGUGGCUGCCGAGCACUAUUUUGAAGAAGUUCUUGAGGGUUCUCGUUUGAUAGAGGCCCAGUGCUCGAAGAAUAUUAUGUUUGAGUGACAUGUAUUCCCAUUGUAAAAACAAUGUUUUUAUUAAAUUUAUCAAGGUUGUAUUUAUACUUUUGCCCGAAAGUAAUAUGAUGCCUCCUGUGCGGCCGUUUACGUAUAUAUAUGUAUAUCCUGAAAGAUUGCAGUCGUCGGCUUCAGCCCCCACGCAUAUAAUGCGGGGGUGUUCGCAGAAGACACGUGUUCACACUUAAUCCAACAUCUUGGUCCUAUUAAGGAGGUGAUAGCGCGGCGAACUAGGCAACCGGACUAUAAUGCUUUAACACUUUCACUUAGCCAGAGGAGUUUGACAGUGGGGCUACUAUAUAGCCCCUGGUGGCUCCACACUCACCCGAAUUCGGGGUGCGUACAUGCCUGGCUGGGAAACGGCCCUUCGUUAAGGCGGAGGAAUUCUAAGAUUCCGAUAGGUCAUCGAGUGGUUGACCAGUCUCACGCUAUAUCAUGACAGUUAGUUUUCGGCUUUCUCUACUGAGGUGCUCGUCUGGAUGAACCAGGGCGCAAUCGCAGUAGUUCUCCUGGUGCCGCCUUAGCCGAUAGAGCGGAACGUAAGGCAGCAAAACACAGGAGCCGGGCAAACCCAACAUUUGACCAAAGACAUGAUUCAGAGCUGAUGCAUAUAAGGCCAAACUCGCGACGUCGAACACUCCCUAAGGUAUUCGGUCUUUAUUGUGGGCCUGAACAGUUCCCUUUGUAAGAAGCCCCUAGUGUCCAGGUACGUGCAUUACUCUGACGUGGCCACAUGCCAAGACAUCAGCAUCCUUCUCAAUUGUACUGAGAAUCUGAGGGAUGUGUAUCAACAAGAGACAGUAAAAAAGGUUGACGCAGGGUCUUAAUCUAAAAAUAAUCCUUGGAACGGGUCCCUGCUGCAUGUAUGCGCCUGUGUCCCCGUUGUGCCGUAUCCUGGACGGGUGUAGCAUGAUGGUCAUAUGUAAAAGAGAGGAACUUAGGUGAAAAGUUGUCGUGCAAAAAGGUAGGUUUAAAGAAACCAUGUUCAAUUCAAGAUGAGUAAAAGUUGCCACUUGUCUGCGCUCAUUGAGCCCCUUGUAUUUGUAAUAGGGGUAUGUCCAUCAAACCUGUAUGAAUUACAUAUAGCUGCGCCGGACUCGUCUAACCGUGUCCGUGGUCUUGACGACCUAUCGAAUGCUUUAGUUGGUGACCGUUUUAGUGUGCGGCUGCCAAGGCCGCCGCACUCUCUUCAGUGCAUAGGGAUCGCUCAAUAUUUCCAUUUACUAUAAUGAUGCCACGUGGACCGGGCAUCUUAAGAGUGAGGGAAGCGUAAUGCGGUAUUGCAUUAAAGCGAGCGAAAGCUUCGCGUCCAAGUAGUGCUUGAUAGCCACUUUGUAAUGGCACAAUGUGGAAGGUUAAAUUUUCUCUACAGAAGUUAUCGGGGAAGCCGAAUAUAACCUCUAGUAGCAGGGAGCCCGUGCAAUGAGCCCCUGGGCCUAGCGUUACUCCUUUAAAGGUAGUAUUGCUGUGGCAAAUUUUUGUUGGGUCUAUCCCCAUUUUGCGGACUGUGUCCUGAUAUAUCAGGUUUAGACUGCUGCCACCGUCCAUCAGGACUCGUGUGAAGUGGUAUCCGUCAAUUAUUGGAUCUAAUACCAAGGCAGCCCAUCCUGCGCGCCGGAUACUUGCCGAGUAAUCCUGAUGGUUGAAGGUGAUCGGUUGAGACGGCCAGUGGCAGAACUCCGCGGUGAGAGGCCCUUGGGCAUAUUUAUCUGGGAGUGUCGCUUUGUUUCUCCCCUUUAUCACAUGUAACACAUGUACUGUUUUGACUUCUGGUGGAAAUUUCUUCUGUUCCCCAGUGUUUUGCUUGCGAGGCUCAUCCUCGUCUUCGCUUGGUGUAUCCUGCCCCUUAUGUUCGGCGUUGAGCUUGCCGGACUGCUUGAAGACCCAACAUUCUCUGUGUGUAUGAUUUGCAGGUUUAUCGGGGGUGCUAUGGAUCUGACAUAUUUGGUCCAGAAUUUUGUUUACGCUGGAAAAUUCAUCUCUGGCGCCUUUAGAGGAUGGCUUUUGCUGACCUGGCCAGGAGCUUCUGAAUCCGGCGUUGACCGCCGUGCUCUUCGGGAUGUCUUCUUUAUUCCGGCGCUUAUUUUUACUGCAUUGGGAUUUCCCGUUUCCAUCCCUGUCUUCGGAUGUAUUUGGGUCGCUGGUGCUGCAUCGGGCUAACCAGCUGUCCUCGCCCACGCAAAAGCGGGUCAUGAGGCUUGUUAAUGCUGCCAUUGUUCGCGGCUUUUCUUGGCCGAGGUGUCUGGCAAGCCAUUCGUCACGAACGCUAUGUUUGAAAGCCGCUAAGGCUUCGGCGUCCGGAUAGUCGACUAUUUGGUUCUUUUUAGUAAGAAACUUGUUCCAAAGCUUUCGGGCUGACUCUCCGGGCUGUUGAGUUCUAUGACUCAAAUCGUCUGCAUCCGGUGGUCGGACAUAAGUCCCUUGAAAAUUUGCCCGAAAAGCUUCUUCAAGCUCUCCCCAACUUCCGAUGGAGUUUUCAGGGAGGCUUUUAAGCCAGUGUCGAGCUGGCCCUUUGAGCUUGAGGGGUAAGUAUUUAAUGGCGUGGAGAUCGUCUCCUCGAGCCAUAUGGAUAUGGAGGAUGUAAUCCUCGAUCCAGACCCCUAGGUCUGUUGUUCCGUCGUAUGCCUCUAUGUUUACGGGUUUAAAUCCCUCUGGAAAUUCAUGGUCCAGCACCUCGUCGGUGAAACAUAGGGGGUGUGCGGCACCCCUGUAUUUGGGUGUACCGUUGUGUUCGGAUAUUUUUUGUGUUGCAUUGCUUACAAGAGCGUGCUUUCUUGGACCGUAGAUAGAUCUGGUUGAGCCAUCUCUUUGAUGCGAGUCCUCGUGUGGAUCAUGUGCUGGCUUGUGUGCGGCGCCGUGUGCCGCUCUAUGUUGGCCGUGAGUUCGUCUAUCCGACCAGAUGGCUGCUUUGUUUUUUGAUUGGGGGGGCUCUAAGGCCUCCUCAUCAAAUUCGGGCAGUAGCUUUCGCUUCGGGUAGCUCUUUGUGUGGCGACUGCCGCCAUAUUUGUCUGCGGUGUUGAGUACUUUGCUCCAUCUGAUUCUGAGUGCAUCUUCCGUAGUCUUUAGCUUACGCUUCUGCUUCUUCAGGCUACGUGCAGUGGCGACGAGCCUUUUAUGGAGGUUCUUCUGCUCCAGGAACUUGUCUGGCGUGAGGUCAUCCGGACUGUUAUCUUCGCUGGGGACGGGUUGUUCGGUUUGAUUAUCCAAAUUGCCUUGUUCGGACGGUUGCUCGAUGCCAUGUUCGUCGUCCGCCGGCUCGCCCUGCUCUGUGGCUGGGUCUGUAUGACCGCUGUUUCUAUCGAGGCGGGGUUUGGAGCGGCGCUUGCGCCGCCGCUUUGACUGCUUUUCGAGGGAACAAUCCUUCGCUGCGUCCUCCCGUUCCUCGCCGUCGUUUCCUUUGGGUGUGUCCACCAUAUAUACAUCGUGAGAUGAGGUGGCUAUCUAAUGCCCUGUGGGCAGUGGUUCCUGUUCGUCUCCUGCAUCGUCGUCCAUACCGCCGAUGUCUUCGGAGUCGAAGUCGAGCAUGUCGGUUAAGUCAUCGACAGUGGCUACUAAGUGGGUGAUGGGUGGGCGGUGAAGUUCUUCGUCAUCCGCAUCCCGAUCCUGCCGGACAUAGUUCAGCCAGGAUCCUCCUAACAAGGAGAGAGACCUUAAUGAGUUCAGUAUGUCGCCGAAGGGAGAGUGCUGAAAAAUAUCCGCGGAGGUAAACUCCAUGAUCGGCGCCCAAUCGGAUUCAAUAGGAACGGGUGCAGGCGGAUUCAAUAGCAACACGGCUCUUGUGAAGGGUAACGUCGAUCCUCGGCUCGAUCGCCGCUGAGAGUGCGGCCUCCGUGGCGGGGUCUAUCCCUCCGUCCUCGGAUGGCGCGAUAGGCUCCGAAUUGAGGGUCGGAGCAGUUGUCGGUGCGAUCUCCUGCACAUUGUCCGCUGGCAGAGCUAAAUCAUGCUCAUCAAGAACGUGCGGCGCACUCGGCAGGGGCUCGAAUCCGUCAAAGAUCAAGUCUCCGCAGACAUCGGCCGUGUAGUUUAAGUUUCCAAACCUGACCUGAUGGCCAGGGGCGUAAUUUUCGAUCUUCUCUAGAUGGCCAAGCGAGUUGGCCCGCAGUGCGAAGCCACUGAAUACAAAGAUUUGUCCGGGGAGAAAAGUAUUACCCUGGACUGCAUCACUAUCGAUGAUCAAAGGAGCCAUCAAGCCUAACGGUGACGACACAGAGGAACUCUCAAUGAAAGCACCAAUGUCGGUGUCAAAACCGGCGGAUCUCGGGUAGGGGGUCCCGAACUGUGCGUCUAGGCGGAUGGUAACAGGAGGCAGGGGACACGAUGUUUUACCCAGGUUCGGGCCCUCUUGAUGGAGGUAAAACCCUACGUCCUGCUUGAUUUAUUCUUGAUGAUAUGGGUAUUACAAGAGUUGAUCUACCACGAGAUCGGAGAGGCUAAACCCUAGAAGCUAGCCUAUGGUAUGAUUGUUGUUAUUGUGUCCUACGGACUAAACCCUCCGGUUUAUAUAGACACCGGAGGGGGCAAGGGUUACACAGAGUCGGUUACAAGGAAGGAGAUCUACAUAUCCGUAUUGCCAAGCUUGCCUUCCACGCCAAGGAGAGUCCCAUCCGGACACGGGACAAAGUCUUCAAUCUUGUAUCUUCAUAGUCCAAUAGUCCAGCCAAAGGUUAUAGUCCGGCUGUCCGGAUACCACCUAAUCCAGGACUCCCUCAAUAACCAUCAUAGAUUCAACGAGCUAGUCAAGUAGAGGAAAACUAGUGACACUCUGUUUGUCUAUGUAUUCACACAUGUACUAAGUUUCCGGUUAAUACAAUUCUAGCAUGAAUAAUAAACAUUUAUCAUGAUAUAAGGAAAUAAAUAGUAAAUUUAUUAAUGCCUCUAGGGCAUAUUUCCUUCAAUUCCCCCCUCUGGCAGGGUGCCAGAACGGGUCUAGAUUGGUUUUCGGUGGCUACGGAGGCUUCUGGCGGCGGAACUCCCGAUCUAGGUUAUGUUCUGGAGGUUUCAGUAUAUAUAAGAGGUUUUGGCAUCGAGAACAAUUCAUGGGGGGGUCUCCGGACUGUCCACAAGGUAGGGAGGUGCGCCCAGGGGGGUGGGCGCGCACCCCACCCUCCUGGGCAGCUCGAGACUCUUCUGGCCCAACUCUUUUACUCCAGGUCCUUCUUCUGGUCCAAAAAUAAGUUCCGUGAAGUUUCAUGUCAAUUGGACUCUGUUUGGUUUUUCUUUUCUGCGAUACUCAAAAACAAAGAAAAACAGAAACUGGCACUGGGCGCUAGGUUAAUAGGUUAGUCCCAAAAAUCAUAUGAAAUAGCAUAUAAAUGCAUAUAAAAUAUCCAAGGUUGAUAAUCUAAUAGCAUGGAACAAUCAAAAAUUAUAGAUAUGUUGGAGACGUAUCAAGCCCGAAGAACUCCAGGAAGCCGCGGAAGAAAGCGCUCGCCGUAAGACCAAACCUGCGCUUGAAGUGCGUAAAGAAGACCAUGCGCUCCAUGCCCUCGGGCCGUGGCUCCCGCUCCCCCUGCGGCAGGCGCACGGCGACCUCCGUCUCCCCCGGCAAGCGUCUGGUGGUGCGGAGGUAGGCGAUGUUGUCUAAAGUGAUGGUCGAGCCCAUCCACGAGCCCGACGGAAGAGCCAUCGACGAAGAAAGGAAAGAAGGGAGAACGGCGGUGAAGCUCUGCUCGAAGUGGCGGGCGUUGCAGCGCGCGGCGGGCGCUAAGGGCAGAGGAAGGAUGAGGAAGCAGGGGAGUGCGAGCGAGAAUGACUUCCGCCGCCCCUCUCCUAAUUUAUAACCCACGAUUCGAAACAUGGGGAAGUGGGAUCGUUUGCGCUCGCCCCUCCCACUUCCCCGUAAUAACUGCGCACGUACGCGCGCAGUAACUGCAUCGAGAAUGGCAACCGGCCCGCGGACGCCACAAUAAAUCCGCGCGCGUGGGCCAAGGGUGCACAGCGGCGGGCACCAGCGUGUUGCCCCGUCCUAUCGCGUGCAUGGCCUGUCAGGCCCCUCUAGCUCCCGAGCGCCACAUGGCGCCUGCGCGAAGCCCAAAAGAUUGCCUCACGAUUCGAUGGGCUCUUCGGUUUCCUGCCCCUGUCGUGAUGUCGCGAUCCGGCUUCCAGAAGCCGGCACACAGUGGGUGUUGCUGGACCCGGCGGUCACAAAAUCCGCCUCCUCGGGGGGGGGCCUUCACAACUUCGGGAACUAUUGUCGGGGGGAUGAACCCCAGGAAGGCAACGGAACCCAGAUCCUUUUCAAAAACAACGGGCCAACAACGCCCCUCAAGCUGGCUCACGCCUGGCCGGGUCGCUCGACCCGGCCGAGCCCCUUGACCCGGCCAAAUUCCUCGACCCGGCCCCGACGGCUGCCGCAAGGCGGCUGAACCCGGCGCACCAAGACAUCUUCAACAAGCCAGCUUACCCUUGGCGUGUUCUCGAACCUGGCCACGGGUCAGCUCCCGUCCCAUCCUGGUCGUACGAUGGGACGAGUCUUCAAUCAAGAGAUGAGCAAGGCAACGAUGCCCCUCCCAUGCCUCUGGUCAGCCGAGGCAUGGCAACAGUACCUCACCUACCGGCUGACUAGGGCCGGCGUGGCUACAGUGCACCCGUCGUCACUGCUGACGCCAGCAAGCGGCGACCUGACGAAGCGCCACUGUAGCGGACUCGACCCGGCCACUCCGUGACGAUCGACAAGACAGCAAACAGUGCCCCUACACCCGGCGGGUCCCAUGCCCGGAGAACCCGACGAGCCCUGUCACCCGGCGGGUCCCAGCUCUGGCUUUCCCGAUGAUGACAACCCGGCCCCACAGCCUUGUAACAUUACCAUUGUACCCUUGGGGGUUGACCUAUAAAACCCGCCAGGAACCCUCCAUGCACGGGGGUGAAGAGAUCCGAUCAGUAGAACACACAGACGGAGAGGGAGCAGCCUAAGCCUUGGCCUACCUUCCUUCCUCCCCGAUACAGCUCAAGGAGCAACUCUGUACUAUCACACAUAAACCACACUCGGCAGGACUAGGGGUAUUAUCUCUCCGGAGAGCCCCGAACCUGGGUAUGUCUUGUGUCCCGCGCUCGCUCAUGCAGACCUCGCCUCUAGAGCCCACCAGUGCCCUCGAGCCUCCUCCUCUCUUUAGCCAUCCCUUGGCAUCUGCCGUGCGCCCACCACGACACAGCGGUACCAUCGUCGUUGUUUCAUAUCUAAAUUAGGCCAAGUAGCAAACGAUGACCUUGCACCGUCGUCGUCGUCCAUACCGUCAUAGUCGCCUCUGUCUGAGCCAUCGUCAUCGUCGCCACACUGCUUGAGGAAGGCGUCGUGGCGUCCCUUACAUGUCGUGCUUGCGGUGCAGACGCUCCGCUUCCUCCACCUUGCAUCGCCUCUCACCGACUUGUUGACGGACCGUGCGCUCAAACUCGACCAUCCCAACUUGGACGGGCUCGGCGUUGAAACGGCACCGGCGCCGAGACAUUCGACGCCACAAUGGUCUUGGACGGAUCAAGAGCCCAAGCCUCUGCAAGCACGGGGUCCACGAGCACCCAGGUCGGCAGUAACUAGAUUUUGGCGAACGCUGUCGAGCAUUGCGCCCGGCCGCUCCCAGCGCGCCUCCACCUCAAAGAGACAUUUAUUGCGUUGCGUGAACUGCGGCCUUAGAGGUAGUGGACAUGGCUCUACGAUAGCGGAGCCACCUCAUACUUAGCGGGCGGCGGGGGCGGUCGACCAUGAGGCCGGAUGCAACAAGCGCGAGCGUGUAAGGUGGUUGGGAGCACUCUGUCGAGAGGAAGAGGUUGAGGAGGCUGGGAGCGUGGGGUUCCUCUUCACUGGGGAAUUUAGUGAGGCUGACAUGUGGGUCCCAUCGGUCAUAAAAAGGGGCAAAUUUAAUUGUCCAGAUAACAUACCUGAUGAGUGGGCUCCAAUAGUAAUAAAAUAAUUUUAAUUUAAUCAAACCAGUCAUCAGUGUAUUUUUGAAACGAAAAAGCAACUUUGUGGUAAUUUUCGGCGAAUUUUAAAAAUAGAUAGUUUUUUGGAAUCCUUUUGCCGUAAUACUGAUAGAUUAUCUUUUAUGCUAUAUACUCUCCCCUCCCUGACUCCACCAUGCCACCUCAAUAUUUAUUUGUGAAAAAGAUCACUUGCAUAUUCCUUAAUUCAGUGUUAUAGACUCCACAUAAACUUAUGUUUGUUGCAAAAGCAAUAAUGCAAUUUCUACGAAGCUUAAUAGGGAGUACUAAUAUAUUUUUUCUCCUAAAACAACAUCUAGGGGUAUCUAUGAUCAUCUAUGUUCACCGAACAAUUAUUAGCCAAUGGACAGAUGCAUAAUCAAAUUGAAUUAUCUAAAAUGAACUGUGCAUAUCUUGCUACCCAUACUUUUGUGGUCAUGGAUAUGAAAUUUUAGCACCAUUAUCAUAAAAAAAACACGCUCAAUUUCUUUUGUUGUGGCUAUAAAACUUGCCACGGUUAACAGGUGUGCCAGUACUUCUGAAGUGAUGAUGGAGGUACACAGAUUAGUUCGUUACUGCUAUCCCAAAUGCAAAACUGUACAAAAUACUGUCGUCUCAAGUCACAAAGUUCUGAAUUCUUCAGCUCAGUGCGGAUAUUUCACAUUCCAUUUGAAGUCCAAACCCUACAAGCACAACAGUCGGUAGAUAAAAAAUUACCAGUCCAUGAUACUGGCUCACCAAGUCAACAACUACAGGCAGCAGACCAUUGCUUGAAUAGAUUCACUAACAGUCUAUAAAAUUCAGAGUUGUAACUUAUGUUCGAUAAACAGCAAGAGUACUCCAGUAACCAAAUUUGCUUAUAGGAACCAACUUCUAGAUGAUACCGAUGCUGCAAAUUACAGCAAUUGUCAAACUUGACAUUUUAAUAGUGUCAACAAGGUGCUGCAAACAUGCUGGCUAGAUGAUGAUACUAAUUGAAAAGCAAUGCUAACUUCUAGCAUUACAAACCAAAAGCACGAGCAAGGCAAAAUCAUGGCGUUGGUGUUGCUCAUCAUUACCUUGACAUGAACACAGCGGUACUCAUAAACUCAUAACCUGAAGUGGUGCAACCAACCCAAUAAGUUUCAGAGAACUGAAGCCUAACACUAACAAAACCAAUGUUCAGUCCCGUGGCACAGUUCGGUUCAGAAGGAACAGAAAAGCAACAGCAGUCAGAUCAUAAGCGACGUUACUAAAUCUCAGCUUGCAAAAGCGGCACCAUAGAUUCAUAAUUCUGUUCUUACAGCGAACGAAGCAUCGGCAAACAUUCAGCAACUCCCAUCAAGCACUAGCACUACUUCUACUUGGUGAUAACCAGGGCGAACAGCUAUUUAGAUACAGGCAAUGGAAUCUAAGAGGAGGUGAACUUGGUGACUGCCUUGGUGCCCUCGGAGACGGCGUGCUUGGCGAGCUCCCCAGGGAGGACGAGGCGGACGGAGGUCUGGAUCUCCCGGGAGGUGAUGGUGGGCUUCUUGUUGUAGCGGGCGAGCUUGGCGGCCUCGCCGGCGAGCUUCUCGAAGAUGUCGUUGAUGAAGGAGUUCAUGAUGGACAUGGCCU